rnacentral:lncRNA from 1 species
AAGGAGUUGAGAAUCUAUGGAUGUCAUAAUCUCAAGAAUGUCUUAUCAUCAUCUAGGUUGCUGCAGCUGCUCCAAAACCUUGAAGAGAUAUGGGUGAUUCGAUGUGAUGAACUGGAGGAGUUGAUUGGAGAAGAAGAAGAAGAAAACAGAAGAAACGUUGAAACACCCAUCGCAGUUCAAUUCUCUAAGAUUAAAAAAUUGGUGUUUAGGAAUCUACCAAAAUUGAAGAGCAUUUGGAGGGGCGUGAUGAUUUGUGAUUCUCUGAAAGAAGUUUGGGUACUACCAAAUUGUUCUGAAUUAAAGAAGCUCCCUCAAUUUAAGGGAGAAGAUCAAUCGAUACAACCGCCAGCAUCUCUGAAAGAAAUCCAAGGAACCAGAAAAUGGUGGGAUUCACUGGAAUGGGAUCCUGCAUAUCCCCAAAAUAUCCUUCAACCCUUCUUCAUAGAACUUCAAGGUAUGUAUGGAUUGAUUUAUCACACCAAAUGUGUUCAAAUUUUUUUCUGUUUUCUUUUCAUUGUAGUAUAUUUUGAUUAAUUACUUCAAUUCUAUUUUGAUUUGUUCGUAGUAGAAGAAGAAGAAGAAGAAGAAGAAGGUAUGUAGAAUGUUUGAGCAUUGGUUUCAGUUCAACUAGUUAACUAAAGCGUUAUCACAAGUCACAACCAAAUACACAAACGUUAUGUUAUAUAUAAGUUUUAUAUAUAAGUUUCCACUACAACAUUGAAAUCAAUUGACCAGAGUAAAUUCGUUGGUAAUUCGUUGUUCUUUUGUUAAGUAAUUCGUUGGUUACUUCUUCAAGUAUGCCUAUUUAUAUAUGUCAUCUGUUUUUUACUAAAAUGAAAUAGAAAACCGCAUUGCCCAACGAUUAAUUAAGUUCCGACUUUAAUGGAUAUAUUUCAUUCAAAAACAAAUUCCAAAUUGAAGCUAAUUAAAAGCAAGUGCAAUGUUUUGGUCAACUAUAUUUCAAAAUUGAAGCUAAUUAAACCCCGAUUGCUGCCACUGUGUCUGAACCCAAAAAUAGUGUUGUUCAUCACGAUAUUCCCAAAAGAUAAGCUAAAAUCGAAGAGUAGAUUAACCAUGAAGUUUACUGCUUUAUCUAUAUUUUUUAUGUCAUGACUCAAAUUACAUUGAUAAAUGCAUAAGGGAGAGAUACAACGCAUUUCCAUAUAUUUUUUAUUUUAAAAUUGAAGAGUAGAUUAACCAUGAAGUUGAUCCGAUUACCAUAUUCAAAAUAUUUGACAUAUAACGCAUUUUGUCGACAUCCCUACCAGAAGAUGAAGUGGCCCAUUUCUAUAAAACAUUGAUAUAUAGAUACCUACAUACAUGCAUCAUACAUUUCUUUUGGUUUGGGCAAGAGUUGGACUGUUAGACCUACCCCUACCCAUUUAUCAACACUGCCAUUAACUAUACCUUGUUACUUUCUCUAAAAGAAAAAAACGUCUUAUGACUUAUGAAGUGACACUGUCUGCCAUUCCAUUGGUCUUGAACUUUUCUGAGGACAUUAGUAGUAAAGAUUUGAUGUAUUACAUCGUGCCACUAUCAUUAACCUAGCAAUCUAUUGUCUCAUGUGCAGGAAAUAUACACACUGUAACUAGUUGCGAUAACUGUAAGGUAACAUCCUUCUUGCAUUUUGAUUCAAUUUAUGUAAAAUUCAGGGUACUUAUCCAUAUAAGCUGCAAAUGGUCCGUUCUGAUUGAUAAUUUUGUUCUGAUAGAUUGUAUGUUCUUGUCUGGCUUCUUUUUAUUUUCUGUUUUUAGAGUUUUGCUAAACAAUCAUAUACUGUACCUAAAUUUGUGAAAAGAAGAAGACAUCAGACUGCUAGAAUGGAGUGCAAAUUUGUUGAUAUACGCGGGACAGUCUUAUUUCCUUGGGCGACCUGGUCCAAAAUUCACUUAAGUUUUAUUUUAAUAAAAAUUAAAAACAAAAAAGGGGUUUCUAAAAAUAAAAAUAACGUGAAUUUCGAACCACAUGGCCCAAUGAAAUAAGGCUGUCCCAUGGACAUACAUUGAGUGUAUGUCCACAAAUUUGCACUCCACCAGGUGAUACGCAAAUACUGUAUAAAAUACUUCAUUCUCUAACUGCAUUCAGGAAGCCGAAGUUUGUGUAAAGUUUUCAGGCAUACAAUACUUUCCUCUUUUUAGCUUUAUCCUUUAGUCUUCUCUUACCACCUAAAUUGACCUCUACAGAUGAAUCCAAUAGUCGGAAAGCGAUACAAAUGCAAGGAAUGUUAUGAGGAACGUGUUGUUGGCACUGAGGGAUGGAUAGGUUUCGAUUUGUGUGAAGAGUGUUAUAAUACUCCCUCGAAGCAUUCAGAUUUUGUCAAUCAGCAUAACACAAAAGGGCAUACCUUUGAGCUUAUUGCAAACCGUGGAGACAGUCCAGUUCCUGUACAUACCGUUGAAGAGCAAAACAAUGCAUAAAGUUGAGCUAGUUAAUAAGUUCAUAUGAAGGAGUGGUACAUCAUACUGGUUGUUACAGUACAUUAUUAGUGCAGUUCUUUCCCAGUGGUUUCUUAUGAUGCUGCAGAAGAUCUAUGGACUGUACUUUUUCAUAUAUUCUCUGGGGCUCUUUUGAAGUUGCACUCAACUAUUUUGCUUAUUGAAAGUUGUUGAUGAACAAUUUAUGCUUAUUGAAAUUGUUCAAGUUGUUGAUGAACAAUUUAUUGCGUUUUCAUUGUUACCCAGAUUUAAACUCACCCCAUGUUUAUCCAACUGAAUUGGCUGAUAUCAAUGUGGAGUAAUAUUUUUUGUAUUGAUUUGGUUUUGCCAAUAAGUUCUAACAGUAUGAUUUUACAAAUUGUCUUGGUUUGUGGAAUGGAGAUGGUUGUAAUUGAAUGCAAUUCAUUCAAUAGGAAAAAGAAGAAAGUGAUUUCUUCUGCAUAAGGUUCACAUGGAUCAUUGGCAAAUGUAGAGAAUUAACCCUGUACAAGAAGGGUAGUUUGUGCUAAUACAUUGAUGGACAAAGAAGAAGUGUUGUUAAUGUUAUCAGCACUCUGCUUUUUUGCAGAGGAAUUGCUGAGCUUGAAAGAGUUGGAGAAUCUUAAUGUCACUUUCCAUAGCUUGUCUGAUUACACUAGCUAUGUUAGAUCGGCCAAAUUUAAUGGGUUAAAAUGUUUUUUUGUAGCCAUUGGACCACACUGCUAUUAUUCUCAACUUCGUCUAUGUAAUCCUCCAAGAGCACCAGUUCAAUUAUAUUACUCACCUGAUGAACAUUGGGUGUAUAUGGCCGUGGUCUUCCGAAGAUGAUGAGUGUAACAACAUUCAUUCUACUCAUCUAGGUUGCUGCAGCUGCUUCAGAACCUUGAAGUGUUGUAUAUCUUUGAUUGUAAAGAAAUGGAGGAGUUGAUAGGAGAAGAAGACGAAGAAGAAAAAAAUAGGAAGCGUCAAAACACCCAUCACACUGCCUAGGUUAAAUGAAUGGUGUUUGUGGAAUCUACCAGGAUUGCAGAGCAUUUGAAGGGGCAUUGAUAUUGCAACAGAAUUAGGUUAAAUGAAUUGUGUUUGUGGAAUUUACCUGACAUUAUGCAUGGAGUUACUUGUAAACUGUUUAUUACGUAAUAUAAAUAUGCUGAUAAAUUAGAUUAUUGAAUGCAAUUCAGUAGGGUAAAAAGGAAAUAGAUUUUUUUGCAAAAGAAAAGAAUUAACCAAAAUAUUUUCAUACCUUUUGCUUUUGACACAUUUGAAUCAAUAGCCUCAGGUGUGGUAUGACACAUUUUCAUACCUUUUGCUUUUGGCAAUGUGAUGACUGUUGGUUCGAACGAAUAUGUAUUUAAAAGAAUCGGGUCUGCUAUUCAAAAAGGAUUUGUAGCCCGUUUGUCCUCUAAUUUUGUGUAAUUUCUUGAAUAUGUCAAAAAGAAUCGGGUAGUUUAUACUUUGUAGCUAAGUAGCAAUCAAGCAAUGAGCAUCCUUACCCCUAAUUUAGACGGUGGUUAAAAAGGGAAAUAACAUUGUUGUAAUAAUUCAAUUGGUGCUAAUGUCAACUAUACUCCCCCCUCCUCCCAAUAUCAACAAGCUCUUUGUGCGGCUACAGGACAUACGUACGCCCUAACUACGUACGUACGUUCCUGAAAGAAAAACUUCCCUUCUCCACCAAAAAACCCAACAUGUUCGAGCUCUGAGGCCUGCUGUGUAGGCUGUGCUGACGAGAUGUUGAAGCGAGCAGAUAUAUACUCUGAGUGGUUGGUGGUGGGGAAAUAUCAAUGAAUGGCCGCUUAAGCUGUUGACAUUUAAAAUGUACACCUAUUAGGAUGAUUUCUUAGAAUCCCAAAUUAGUAUCACUGUCAUCAUAACAUUUCACCCAACACUCCAAUUCUAACAUACUAUAAGAAUAACAACAAUACUCAAGCCUUAAUCAUCAUCACUACUUUUCUGAUACUCUCAUUUCUCUAUCAUCGAUCACAAUGGCUUGCAAACAUAAUGCAUCUCUGUUUUCUUACCUUGUUGUCCUUAUCAUGUUUCUUGCCAUGACCCAAUUUGCUUUCGCUGCCCGGGAAAUCCCAAGAACCAUUAAUAGCAAUGCUAAGAAUAAGCAUAAUCAAGAUGUCCCAUUAACCACUCAAAUUUUUCCAGGCUUUGGUGUUGGAUAUAACAACCUACCAGGAAGACAAUACCACCAGUAUAUUCCAGGUUUUGAUGAUACCUUCAUUCCAAACCCAGGUUUCGAGGUCCCAUAUCCGGCAGCGGUCCAAGCUUCUGCUGCUCGUCCAUGAACACACAAUAUGUAGGGGCUUGAUUGUCAAGAGGUUCUCUUGUCAAAACAGUAGUUUAGAAAUGGUGAAGAUCUCUAUUGCUAGCUAGUGUUAUUUUCAUUGUAUUUUAUUUCAAAAUGUUUCUUCCUAAGUUGCAUUAUGAUGUUUUGUUUUGCUGCGUUUGCAAUGAAUAAAUUUCAAGUUAGUCUGUUCUGGCGAUGGCAGUAGUCUUGAAUGCUGUUUUUCCUUAUGCUUCUAACUACCGCAGUCUGCUCGGUGGUGCCAAACGAAAACUAACCAUUGAACAAUUAUAAGAAAUACCAUUACCACCGUAGAACACUGCUACUUCCUCAGAAUAACACAAGAAUAUAGAGAAUGGGUUUUGUCAGUAUGCUUCGAAGUUCAGCACAAAAUCUAGUUCCAGCAAGGAAUACCGAAUGUCAGCACAAAAUCUUGUUCCAUGUGAUAGUUAUCACAUUGAGGAUUUGCGAAUGUGCAAGACAGUUUUUAGUGAGCUUUGACAAAAAUGACAACUGAAAAUAUAUAUUCUUCGGACUACAUCAGAUAAUUGCAGGAAUCUAGUGGCAUGUCUACCGACAGAUCACUCAUUCCUCAACUUGGUGUUUAAUUCAUUGAUAGUUUUAGGCUUUAUUAUGGAUAACAGGUUAGGUUAGAUAACUUCCCUAACCAGGAAAGAUACAGAGUGCUACUUUGACUAAUACAAUGUUAGGGAUGCCAUGCCAAGAUGCACAAGAAGCCACGUUCCAAAAUUUGAUGCCUAGAUCAGUAAAACCUACUUUGUACCAUAAUCUAGACUGCAAAAGGAGCUCUAUUAAUAGGCUAUCGGACGACGUAGACAGUAAUUAUCUCGUCGUUUUUCUUUCUAGGACCACUAGGUUUUUUUGGACCAAUCUUACUAAAAAUGAUCUAGAUAAACUUGAGGUGAUGUAGAUAUAUAGUGUAUAUUUAGGAUUAACAACGAGCUGAACUAAAAUUUCCUAUACAGCUACUCUUAGUCAAUCAUCAUUUUUAUUGAAAGUAAAAAUACGAGUAUAUAUUCUGAAUAGAGAUUUGCAUACAUAUUAAUGCAUCAAAAGAGAGCAAUUGUUGAAAGUAAGAGUGGCAAAAACUGGUAACACUGUCGGUAAAGACAUCCCUGUCCAUGGUUAGAGGAAUUUUACUCAUAUAAUAUUAGGAGGAUCUCUCCAUGGUGGAUUAGCCUUCGGGGAUUGUUCAUUGUACGGCUUACUGGCCUAGUUUCAGAUGUACACCUUCGGACCUUGUGAAGUAGCUUUCAGGUCUUGGAAUAUAAUGAAAAAAAUUAAAAUUAAAGAAAAAAGAAAAGAAAAAAAAAGGGUAAUUUCUCAAAUAAGCACAACAUCUUGCCUAACUUUCCUAAAAACACAACAAGUCUUAAGUUCUUCCCAUGCAAGCACAAAGAUUCUCUUUCAAAAUUUUUUUUUUGUCUUUUAGUUAAUUUUUAUCCCUAUUUUACCCUUAGUAUUUAAAUAAUAUUUUGGGUUUGACCGACAGAUGUGACAUGUGAGAAAAUGAUUCUUCAUUAAAUGAGGACCAUUGGAUUCGCUUGAUUAUAUGUGAUCGUUGGAUCUAAAGUUAAGUUGGGGUUAUCUGUAAGAAAACCCUAACUAUCUGCUACCUUAGGAUAACACGUGGCAGAAGCUGUUUAGGGAACAAAGAGAGGAGCUUUUAGUUUAGGGAAAGUGAAAUUUAGGGAUUUCAAUUUCAAUUUCGCACAACAGCAACGCCUCCCUCUCAUCUUCUUCUUCCCCAACCGUCGCCACUCUUCCUCUCAUCUUCUUCUUCCCCAACCGUCGCCACUCUUCCUAACUUCGAUAACCACUAUUUAUAACCCAAAGUUUAGGGAGUUCUCAAAGUUCUAAUUUCGGAAGAAAAUGAAGGAAACUAAGAAGCAGCAGCAGACUAAAGAUGAUGAAACCGAAAUCAAAUGAAAAAGGUAGGCGAUUUACCCUUACAGUAAGGUGUUCAACAACUAAAUUCUUCGAUCACUUUCAACACCCAAGUGACAAAAUUCCACCUUCAGAGUUAGAAUCAUUUAGAAAUUCUCCCUUUGGUCAAUUUCUAGAUUUUAAGUCCGAGGAUGUUCAUAUGAUAACAUCUGUUAUCACAGAAAUUGUUAGAUGUAGAGUAGGAGGUUGAAAUAUGGAAUAGGAGGAAGAGUUGUUGAAUUCAAAAUGAUUGAUGUCGCAAUGAUUUUAGGGCCUUUAAAAUUUCAAAAAGUUCCGGUUGAUUUUCUUAUGAGGAAGCCUAAAGAGUAUAGUGCAUUUAGGAGCAAGUACUUUGGUAUGAAUCUGCAUAUAAAGGAUGAUCACAUUCUGAGUGCAAUUACUGAAGCAAGGAGAUUUAUUGCUAAUGGAGAAGCAGAUUCAAAUGAUGUUCAUCAUUUGAACAGGUUAUAUUUUCUGUGUAUUUUUCUUCUUGCCGAGUCAUCUAAAAAAUCUGAGUGUAAAGUAUAUUGAUUUGGCUGAAGACUUGAAUGCCUUUGAUGAUUUUCCAUGGGGUACUGUGACUUUUCAAUUGCUUGAGACUUCCCUUGAAGAAAUAUAUCCCUAAACCCUAAUCCUAGUUAUUGCAUAAAUGAGUGUAUGUUGGCUUUCAUCAUUGGGGCAUAUUUGCACUUCCGUGAUUUGGGUCCUAGGAGAGAUCGAAGUGUUGGAUUUCCAUGGAUGCUUGGAUGGUCUGAGUUGCUAAACAGGAACAAAACUAGAAAUAAAAUUGCUCUAAAGUUGUUUCCCAAGAAAGGUAAAUGUACGGUGGCAUAUCCAUUAGAUGUCACCCAGGAAGAAAAAGAUCUAGCUAAUCUACAACAUGUUGCAGAGGUAAAUCCCCUUGAAUUUUGUUUUUAUCUUCUACAAAACAAUGAAUUCCCUUUCUGUAUUAAUUUAAUCUGCUAUAUUGUACUAUCUAUUUUCUAGACUACAACAUUUAUCUACUACAUGUUAUUUGCAGUUUGAAGCUCAGUAUAAAGCAGAACAUGAAGAGUCUGCUUCUUCUAGGCCAUCUAUUCCUUCCAUUCCAUCUUAUCCAACAUCUUCAACAAGAAGUGGGGGAGGUUCAGAUUUGCUUACAAUUAACAAGGAUUUUCUUGAGACAAUUCUGAGUGGAGUAGUUAAGGCAUGCAUGACUCAAAAGGUAUUUUGUUUGCUAGAACUAAAUUUUCCAUGUUCAUGUUUUGAUAAAAUAUCUACUACUUGUUUUAUGAUAUCUGCCAUUUGUAUGAUAUUUGCCAUUUGUAUGAUACUUGUUGUAUUAUAUCUGCCACUUGUUAUAUUGAUGAAUUGUACUGUUGAACUGUGAUAUCUACUACAAUGUUUAUUUUAUUUGUUACAUUAGUACUAAUAUCUGCUAGAAUAGUAAUUAAAUGUGUUUGUCAAUUCUUAUCUGCUAGAAACUUGGAUUUUGUCAACAUAUUUUGUGUAAUAUCUGUUAGAUCUAGCAUUUUAUCUGCUACAAUGUUUUGUGUUCAUUUCUGCAAAGUGGUCAGCAACUUAAUGCAAAACAAUUUGUGAGUGAUGUUUUAGGUCAAAUUGAUAAGGGGGCAUCCAAAUCUAAGGCAACAACAGAAAAGAAGUCAAGUACCUCAUCAAAGGCAACACCAAAAGUCAAACCCAAGACCAACUUGCCAGUUAAAACCAAGAAACCUUCACCUCCCAAACCUUCACCUCCCAAACCUUCACCUAAGAAAAAGGCUGCAGCCAAGAAACCCAUUGUUCCAACCCCAAAAGUUAGUGUUUCACCCAAACCAGUUGGGAAAGUGAAACUUCCACCUAAGAAGAAACCCCCUACGACCAACCCCAACAAGGAUUCAAAAUCUAAGAGUGAUUCAUUACUGCCUAAAUCCCAGAAGAAUAUUCCAAAGCCAACAACAUCACCAACUUCAGUUAGAACUACCAGAAGGAAAUCCUUGGAGGAUAAUGUUACAACAGUUGGUAAGUAUGAGUUAAGAAGAAGGGAACCAAUAGAACCAAAAGCUACAGAAGUUAAGAAGAGGAAAAAAUCAGAUAAAGAAGUUAAGAAGGAUACCAAGAAGGUGAAAGUAGGGGAUAAAGUUGAGGAAGUUCAGAAGGGUAAAGGGGAGGGUAAGAAGGGUAAAAAGAAGAGAAAAAGUGGUGAUGAUGAAGUGAAGGAGGGUGGUGUUUAUGUGAGUGAAGAAAUGAUAGACAUGGAAUUCUUCAAGCCCCCUACAGUCCUUCUACUUGGCUGGUAUGAGCAAGAAGACAAUGAUAAUGAUGGAGAAGGAACAAAGAUUACAGAAAUGGAGGUGAAACAAAGAAAGAGGAAGAAAACAGAAGUUGGAGUACCUCCUUCAAGACUACAACCUAAGAGGAAGGGUGAAGCAGAACAAAUUACAUGGAGGAAAGAUAUAAGAAGGAGAAAUGAGGCAAAAAAGAAAAAGACACUUGAAGCAAGAAAAACACAAUCAGAUGAUGAUGAUAUCCCCAGCUCCAAGAAAGCAAGAAAGUUGAAUUUUUGGGAUGAUGAUGAUAGUAGUGAUCAUGAGAGUUUUGAAGUUGUGGUGAAAUUUUUUAAAGAAUGAGCUAAUCCUCUUGACACAGAGAUGUCAAAGUUGAAAGAACUUUCUAUUCUUGCUUCAAUGAAGGUUGAUUCAUCAACAAUAGGUAGUUCAUCUGCUACAUCUGGUCAACCAUCUUCCACAGCUACUCACCCAUCUGCCACAGAUAUUCAUCCAUCUGCUACAUCUAGUCAACCAUCUUCUCAGAUACUCUUCCUUCUACUACAGAUGUUCAUCCAUCUGCUACAGAUGCUCCUCCAUCUGCUACAGAUGCUCCUCCAUCUGCUACAACAACACCAACAGGAACACCAUCAGCAUCUACAACCUCUAAGACUGAAGACUCAAGGGAUGAGGCCACUGAUGAUGAUGAUGAACAAACUGGAGGGUUGAUGCAGAAUACUUGGCCAAAAUAUCACCUGAGGAGGUUCAGAUUGGUCUUAAGUGUGAUGCAAAAAUUCAAGAUAUAAUGAGGGAUCCAUUCUUCACUGGGCAAGUUGAAAAGGAAGAAGCAGAUCUUCUUCAUUAUUUGUGGAGAUUGGCUAAGGAACCUUCAAGAUUGAGGCAAUAUGUGACGGUUUAUGGUUAUCUUCAAUCAUGCCCUGUGAGUGCUUUCAACACACUCUAUAAAAAAAACUGGCUUAAUGAUGAGAUUAUUGAUGUUUAUUUGAGGUUGUUAGUUCGUUGGAUGAUUGGAAAGAGGCCACAAGAUUACAAGGAAGAAGAUCAAUAUGCUGUGGUUCCAAAUGUAUUUCUACAUGUAAGUAUAUUCUUCUGAAUAUUUAUUCUUCCAUGGUUAUGUUCUUGUAUUUCUACUACAUGUAAGCAAGUUCUUAUUCUUGUUUUCAUCUGUCUAGACCCAAAUUGCCUCUUAUGUGAAGCCUCAGUUUGAUGCUUUAAUGAAGGACAAAAGUUUUGCCAAAAUGAAUCCACAAGAUAGAAUAUUGUCUGGGAGAUUUAGGAUUCCAUCAAAUAUUACUUCUCUUGUUGAUCCAUGGAUAGGCCUCCGCAAUCAAGUACACCCUGUGAAAGCUAAGGCACUUCUUGUUCCUUUACAGGUAUUUUCUUCAUUUAUACUACCUUAUCUGCUACAUUGUAUAACACAUCUGCUAGAUAUUUUUGAGUAUCUGCUAGAUAUUAUUGUGUAUCUACUACUUCAUGUUAGACACUUUUUAUCUUCUACAUUUAUCUGCCACAUUGUUCAUAAUAUCUGCUAGGUUUUAAUCAGUAUCUUCUAUGAUGCACAUGUCAUCUACCAUAUCUUACAUAUCUAUUAUUAAAUGGAGGUGGAUAACAACCACUGGAUUCUGCUCUCAUUUAGUUUCAGAGAGAGAAUAAUUAGGAUUUAUGAUUCUUUGGGCUACAAAAGGGCAACUGCUGAACUGAGAAACAUGGAGAAGUCGUAUGUUAUUUAUGUUGCGGACCCAUCGCAGAUUCAUCUUGAUUUGGGAAGGAAAUGGAAGCGUGAGUAUGUAUCUUGUGUUACACAACCAGACUUUUGUACUUGUGGGGCAUUCCUUCUUGCUUUCGUCGAAUGUGUCCUUCGACGAAUACCACCGGUAUUUGAAGCAGAUCCUUUGUAGAUGGGCUACCGCAUUGCUAGAGACCUGAUUGAUUGUGGAGAGCUACCACCAAAGAGAAAGACCUAUUAUGAACCUAUUGACAUGUUUGUGAAGACUUAUGUAUUUUUUUUUGUUUUGUGAAGACAUGUUUCUGAAUUUAUUGUAUUCUGAAACUUAUGAACCUUUUAACUUAUGGUAGACACCUUGUUCAGUAUAUUGGAUUACCCUUAAACAUCUGUUGAACAUGUUAGCAAAGAUACCAAGAUUUUAAAUAACAGAUAGUAGAAUCAGUCUAGUAGAUAGAAUGCUCUUAAUAGCAGAUAGUAAGUGAACUCUAAUACACAAUGAUGUAGAGGAUACCAAAACACACAAAAAAAUUACUUGAAAAACCUCCUAUGUUGUUUGAGGGAGAGGAGAGAGAGGAGGUCAUUCUCCAAACUGCAUUGGAGUGAAAAGUUCAUAGUCAUCUAUGAAUUCAAUGCAAGUUUUUUUGUUGUGGCCUCUCCGUUUACACCUUGAGCAUCUCCUACUCUGGACUGGGACACCUUCAGCUUUACCUCUCUUCCUGACCACUUUAGGUCGACCUGGCAUACAAACUUUAAGUGGUGGCAAUAUUUUUCUUGUUGGUCGUGCAGUUGGCCAUGAUUCCUUUCCAGCAGUAGGAAUCCAUUCUUCCUUGUAGGUUUCCAUGUAUGUUUCUUUCAAGUAAAAAACUUCAACAAACUUGUAUGGAUCAUGGCCUACAUCCUUUAUAGUUGCCAUGGCAUGCGCACAUGGUAUCCCCAUGUGCUGAAACCAUUUGCAUGUACAUGUUCUCUUGUUAAGAUCAACUACACAUGACCUAACCAGCCCUGUAACAGUCCAAAUUCCGGCUGAAACUCUUUUAUGUGUGCAUCUUCUUGUUGUGGAAGGAUUGUGAAUUAUUAGCUCCUGACACCAUUUUGUAACUGGUGAGUUGAACUUCAAGGAGUCAUUGCGAUAAUCGCGAUAAUGCCUAAUCACAUUGUCUCUUAUCAUUGACAUAACAAUAGUAAUUGGCAUCAUUCUCUCCCCAACAAUCAUUUUGUUCCAGAACUCCACAUGAUUUGUGGACACAAUUCCAUACCUGCAACACAUAGUCAAGGGAUAAAUGUAGGCGAUAGUAGUUUAUAUGUAGAAAAAGGAAUUAAAUAUCUAGCAGACAUUUGGAUUGACUGACCUUGAUUUUUCUUGAAAAGCACUUGGCCAUUUUUCUACAGGCCCAACAUCCAUAAGUUUUUCAUGUGCCUUGCUUGACAUACAUCAGAUUCUAAGCAUCAUUCCCCCAAAUUCUUCUUGGUUGAGAGUUUUUGCACCUUCUUGGACCAAGAACUUGAUUUUCUUGUUACCAAACUUGCCACUCAAGUGAUAAGAACAGUACAUAUGGAUAGCCUUUGGCAAGAUUUUAGGGACACCCUGGAUGAUACUUUUGUGCCUAUCAGAUAACAAAAUAAACUCAUGAUCCUCCCCAACCCUGGAUGAUAUUCUUAUACCACUAACAGAUAAAGUGGUCAUUCUAAAGGAUAGAAUUAAGAUUGAAGAUGAUAAAGAAUAUACUUACCUUUCUCAUUGCCUUCUCAUUAGCUAACCACGCAACUUUGUAAGAAAUCUUUACCAAGUAGUCUUCCUUGAUUGCACUCACCAAUUUUAGGGGUGGCAAGUCUGGGUUGUCCCUCAACCUUCUCAUACAAACUCUUGAAACCCAAUCACUGUUUGCUUGGCGGUUUUUAUUUCCAAAUCUAAAGUUACCGCACGAGUGGUCAUCAAUUAGUGUUUUUAUUAUCCAACUUCCAUCAAAACCAUUUGGGGUUGCAUACAGAUACCAUUUGCACCCAUCAGCUGGACACCUAAAAAUCAACCUCUUACUGUUUGUGCUUCCACGUUUUAGAUAUUUUUCCCUUUUAAUCGCGUAUGUUUGGACAUCCCUUUCAAGCUCAUCUCGAUUAUUGUAGAUUACUCCUCGUUUAGGUUGCACAUAGUCGUUGUGUGCAGGCUCUGUAUGAGGAGCACAACCUACACUUGCCCUUUUAGUCGCAAUAAAAAAUAUUGUUGAGUUCGCAUUUUACCUCGUCGAAAUCACGAUUUUCCUCAACCCUAAUAUUAUGCUGCAGUGGUACAUUGCUAGGAAAUGGCACAUUGUUCUGAAGAGGUACAUUGUUCUGAGGAGGCACAUUAUUGGCUUGAGAUGGCAUAUUGUGUUCUGAUGGUUGAUUGGCAAACAUAUCGUCUAGAUUAUCAAACCUAUCGGUGAGAUUGCACCUGACCCCCUCUGUCGUCGCACUUUCAUCUGCCACAUUGUCACCUUGUUGAGUAUUUACAUUGUCACCAACAUUUGGGCUGCCUUCUUCAGAGAUUGGUCUAGAAGGACCAAACAUUGGUUGACUAUCAUCCCACAUUUGAUCCUCGAGCUCAUCUUCAGUAUUCCAAGAUGCAGGUGAGUGGAAGACUUCUGGAUCUGUAUCCCAAUGGUAUUCUUCACCCCUAGGCGAUUGAGAGUCCUCACUAUCAUCAUCUAUUAAUGUUGGUUGGAUCUCCUGUGCAGAUUGAAGAACAACAUCAACUUCUUGUAAUAAAAGUGAAUCCCAAAAACCAUCAUCUUUUUGCAUGGCAGAAAGAAUUCCAGCUGCAUCCAUGAAACCUUUGCUUUUAACAGAUAGUGGUGUACAAAUAGAAGAUGGACAUGGAUUGGUAGAAGAUGUGGGAGUAUGUUGGACUGGAGGUUUAGGAAUAUAGACACCUCUAGGGGGAGGGGUUUCCAAAACUACAGGGUCAUUUGCAUGCCCCAUUCCCUUGACUAUCAUAUCAGCACUUGGGUCUUGAGUAGGAGUCUCCAAUCUAUAUUCAUCUGGAACAUUAACAGGUUUGGUGGGUGUACGAUAAGUAGAGUAAUCGGGUUUACUUUUUGGAGCCUUUUGUAACUGCAUUGGUAUCUUUCUUUCUUCCCUUCUUAUUAUUUCAGGUUUCUUACUCAAAGGUGUAUAAGAAGGAAUAACUUCAGGAAAAAGUUUUCUUUUCCCUUUGCUUUUGGGAGCCUCAUUUUGUAACACAAAUGGUAUCUCCCUCUCUUCACUCCUUGCUAUUUCAGGCAUAAUCUUCAGUAUAGGUGGUUUUCUAUGAUCAACAAUCCAAACAGAUAUGCACAUUGCAGCUGAAUUGUAUAUGGAAGCUAACAUUGCAUUAUAAUGAUCUUCACAUUCAAGUCUGGAUACCCUGAGGUUGACUACUGCUCGAAGUGACCAUAUUCCUUUUGGAGGAUUGCAUAAGGAAGAUACCUAUUUGAGGAAGUCUGCAUAGGUCGUCUUAAUAUCAGCAAUCCUUAUUCUUGACUCUCCAUCCACAUAUCCAACAUUUCCCCCCUCAGCUGUAACCUCUAACAGACCACCAAAACGAUAAAUUACAUUGAAAGUAUUCGCUGAAAGUAUCCACAUGUUAAUAAUUUGGAUUAGUAUGACAGUGUUAUAGUAGUUAUUCAAAGUUUUUCAUGCUUUUUAAAAUCUAUCUGCUACAUUCUAAUUCUAUCUGCUACUGUCAAGAACUGUUGCUUUAUAUAGCAAAUCUAUCUGCUACUUACAAACUGAAAGCUUAAAAUCUUUAAAAGGCAAAGUUUGCAUCUUUAAACCUAAUUGCAUCUUCAACAACAAAGCUUGCAUCUAUAAAAACUUUAAAAUCAAAUCUUGCAUCUUGGCCCAACUUUAAAAAUCAAGAAACUUUAAAAAUCAAUUCAUACUUUGGGAAAGCUUUCAUCUUAUAAUCUUUCAAAAUCAAAGCUUUCAAAAUGAACAAAUACACACUUACUUGAACAAACUUAAACAAUAGCAAACCAUAACGAAUUGGGUAACGAAUUUAAUGCGAAAAACAGUAUUAAAUUGAAUAGCAAGCCCUAUUAAAUAUCAAUCAUUACAUUAAGGGUUUAAAUGCAUACCGGAUAUGCUUAACAAAAAAAGAUAGAUAAAAUUUUAUUAAUUAUUAUUUAUAAAAAUUGAUUUAACAAAUGUUUAUACAAUUUCUAUUUUCCAGGUAUGAAUGAUUGGGAGUUAAACUUUAUGGUAAAUCGACAAAAGAAAUCGAAAAAACAAUCAAAUUGAAAGAAAAUGGGAAUCAACCAACAGUCAUCAUAACUUCAACAUUAGCAAAAUAUCAUGAACCAAAAUUUGGUAAGAAUUGUUUUCUAAUUUAAUUAAUUUUUUUAAUUUAUUUACCAAUUUUAAUAAAAUAUUAUUCAAAAAUAUAAUAAUAUUAAGUUUAUAAUUUAAUAAUUUAAAAACUGGAUACUACGUGGAAUCAUCAUUUGCUACAAGGAUAUUCGUAAACAUAAGGAUGCAAGAAGUGGAAGAUUUCAACAACAAAAUGAACAAAAGAAAAGUUGUGGAGAUGGAAUAGGAAACAAUUAUAAUGUACCAAAUGUAUAUGGAUGAUUUUUAUUUCUUUGAAGAUUACAUAGAUAUUUCAUAACCAUUAAAUCAAAAUCAUAUUAUAAAUGCAAAAAAAAAAAAAAAAAUUGUAAACUAAAACUAAUAUAUAAAAAAUUAAAAAAAUAUAUAUAAACUAUAAAAUACUAAUUUAAACUAGCGUGGCAAAGCCACGGGUAUAACUAGUGUAUAUUAUACUGUUGGUGGAGAUCAUAAGUCUUGGACAUAAGUUUGGUCCAUCCAACGGUGUAGAUUAGAUUUUGGCUUUGAAAUUAAGUUAUGGUCGUGGAUAUUCCUUGGGCACUGCUUAUCUAUGUAGGGGUCAAAUUUAAGUUGUCUUCGAUGGCUAGGAUUAGAUCCUAGGUCUAAAAUUGGUUGUUGGCCAUGAAUAUUCCUCGAGAACUGAUUAGUUGCUCUGGGCCCAGAGUUAAGUCGUGUAUGAUGGUUCAGAUUUCAUCGAUAAUUGAAUUUUCCAAGUCUUUUGCGCAAUCCAUUCUAGCUUCCAGUAUAUAAACCAUUCUUUCAAACAAUGUAACAACAAAUGUGUGAUGAACUUAUUACUCAAAUUGGACAUACUUAUGUCCACAAACAGAGGUAUUUACUUUAUAAUGUAUUACAUCCUUUGUGCAUGCACAUCCAUCAGACUCAGGUGGAAAGUUGUUAUCCCGCAGCACACACCAGCAAAACAAUUUGCUUUAUAGGCCCUGCUUGGUUAUUCCGCAAAAAUUUGCAUGAAAUUUAGCCUAAUUUAAUAUGCUCGAAAUUCUUGACAAUUCGGUUUAUGACCAAAUUUUAUGCAAAAAUUUGGUGCUAUUUUAAAAUUGCAAAGAUUUCACAUUUUUUUCUAAUAGACUUAGUAGGAGACCAUCUAUGAUUAUCUUAUACUUACCUAAGGUUUAGGUGGGGGACCAAGCUAGAUUAGUUGGGGACCAUUCAAAUCAAAGAGUAAAUUUGUGAGGGACCACUCUAAUCAUAGAUGGGUAAUGAUUUGCCUUUUUUGCAGCCCAAACAAGCAGGGCCAUAAAGGUAAUUGUCUAGUCCAAACUUCAAGAAGGACCUGACAAUAACUGUUGUAUACCUGUAUUACUUGUUCACGCUGGGGCCACUCUCUCUUUCUCAACAAGUUUCUCAUAGAAGAACCUGACAGUAAACUAUCCAUUAAAUUUUAGCAUUUUAAAUCUAAAGUGGAACGGCUAUUAACAUUGAAUUCUAAAAACAAGUCGUAGGGGUACUACAUACAACAACCAAUCAAAACACGACACGUGGCCUACCCAACAUUCCAUCAGGUCGCCCACUGCACGACCCAACUAAAGACCGACCAGAGCAACUCGACCAUAUGACCGUUGGCGACCUCUCUAUACGCACGUGCCCUUAAUCAAUGCACAAAGAAUAUCUUCGCCUGUUACGUAAUCAAUGCCAGAUAUUGCACAAUCAUUAAGAUGUCUGAGAAUCUGCAAGAUCCCAUGAUCUGCACCCUUUCAUCUUCUAUAAGAACAGAACUACGAUGGCUUGAUCUCUAAGUUCCACUCCCUCGAACUAGAGUACGUAGGCAAUCUCGAUCUCAUCGAGGUGCAGCCACCCCCGAUCUCAAAUCUCCACCUUGGUCAGUCAAACAGCGACCUGACCUAGUUAAUGCAUUAAUCUGGAAACAAGUUAAUACAUUUGGCACCGACUGUAAGCAUCGAUAAUAUUGAAAAACAAAUCCUCCCACCCAAGUCAAAGUCAUACACAUCUACCUAUCCAACAAAUUGGUACCCAAGACGAUAUCAUCUAAGACCUAAGAAACCAACUUAAUCGUCUACAAGAGGAAAAUGCACAGCUAAAGGCUGCAAGCAACGUUGAUACAAACACUGAACAUGGAGCAGUCAUUGCAGAUGACAACAACCACAAGUAUGAGGAACUAAGCCAACAGCUCGCUAAGUUCAAGGCCUCUCAGGCCGCAAUCUAAUUAAGAAAAGGUCGCACAGCCGAACAGCUCGCUGCCCAAUCUUUACAACACUUUCAGGAGUCUCCAUUCGCCAAGGAGAUCCUAGAGCAAGAGUUGCCCAACAAACUGAAUGCUCCGAAGUUCGAUCAAUACUCAGGCAUUGGAGAUCCAACAGAUCACAUCAAGGGUUUCCACAAAUCACUCCCACUCAUCAAGGAAGAUCAUCUGCUAUGUCUAUUGCUUCAAUCCAGCCUCACUGGACCAACUCUUGAUUGGUUCCACCGUCUCAAGUCAGGUUCCAUCAACUCGUUCAGCGACCUGGAAAAGCAGUUCGUUAUUUUUUACAUCCAUAACAAGAAGCGUCCAGUAACCAUCGACGCGAUGUUCAAAGUCAAGCAACGAGACGGGGAACUGCUGAGCGACUUCUUCGCUCGUUUCAAAACCGAACUACACUCCAUUCAAGACUUCGCAAAGGAUCAUGAACCCUUUGCAACCAUUGCGUUCUCUCACGGUCUAAUUCCUGGGUCAGAUCUCCACAAGUUUUUGGCUAUGAAACGGCCAACUUCUCUCGAAGAGCUCUACCUCAAGGUAGAUCGUUAUAUCAAACUGGAAGAAGCCCUGGUCGGAAGGGUGAAAAGCCAUGUUAUUUCAAACGUAGAAGGGGGCUCCACCAAAGAACCUCGAUCAGACAAUAACAGGAGAUUCAAGGCUAAGGCGUUGCCCACAGAGCAACGUGAGUAUUACCGAUUUAUACGCCCUUCAAGAUAUAUCUAUGAGCGAAUCAAGCAUCACCACUGGUUCAAGAUUCCAGAUUUCACACCAUUAGUAGGACACAUCUGGUCGUCCAUACUGCAAGGUCUACAAGGUAAGAUGUCAUCAAACAGAUGAUUGCCGCAUACUGAAGCGAGCUCUUCAGACAUGGGCUGAUGAAAAAAUGCUGAACAACUGAAUCUACAAUAGGCAAGAAAAAUCUAGUGAAAAGAAAACCAAGAAGAGAUCAAGAACACCUCCACGUUCUGCCAAACGUUCUCAAAGCAAGGCAAGAACUGCCUGCUCAAGUCCAGCAUGCAGCAGAGGGCGAAGCCUUCCAAGAAGACUAGGUCCCACCGGCGACCUCUGCGUCCAAAUCAACAAGCAGGUCGCAAACAAGAUAGAUGAAGAUAGUGAGACAGAAAGUCAUGUGGUCUACAUGAUCUACGAGUCCAACUCUACAUCAGUUUCAAGAGAAAAGAAAAGGCGAGUAGAACACCUGCACCAUGUCUACUCCAUCACAGGUCGAGCAGCUUGAACCAACAUUCCAGCUCGACAGGAAACAGAUCUUAGUUUCACCGAAGACGAUCUCAACAAGGUCGUUACUCCACACAACGACACUUUGGUCGUUCAAUUGAGAAUUGCAGAUUACAUUGUCAAGAGGGUUCUAAUCGACCCAGGAGCAUCUUAUAACAUACUGAUGUACAAGACCUUUAAGGAUAUGAGGCUACCUGAUUCAGUCCCCAUUCCUGACUUCACCCCAAUCUUAGGCUUCAAUAGCUCGAGAGAGGACCCUGAAUGAGAGAUAUUGUUGCCCGUUUCUGUGGGCAAGAACGAAGACAGUUUCAAUCACAACAAAGUUCAGCGUUCUCAACAUUGCAAGCAAGUACAAUGCAAUACUUGGUCGCAAAUGGAUCCAUGCAAUGCGAGGAGUUCCAUUCACCUAUCAUCAGGUAUUCUGUUAUCCUGGCCCCAAUGGGGUAAUGGAGCUUAGAGGCAACCAGAACGCUGCACAUGAAUGCCAUGGAAUUCUCGAAGCUAUGGCGAAUGACAAGGCAACGACCUCAGGAACCAAGGAGGUCGCAAAUCAAGUAAAGAGUCCAUCAAAGGGAAAAGCUAAGGCCACAGACACGACCAAAUAGCAACUAGAGAAGGAGCAAGCGAGCUCCCCUCAGCUAUCACUUGGAAGCACAGAUCCAGGAGUGCAAGUGAACUUAGGGUCAGAGGACGACCCCAAGUAUGUUUAUGUGGGCUCAGAGUUAGGAACAGAUAAGUACAAUAAUUUUGUAAACUUUAUUUCUCUUAAUAAAGAUGUCUUUGCUUGGUCGUACACUGAUAUGCCUGGGAUAGAUCCAUCAAUAGCAUGCCAUAAGUUACGAGUAAAUGCCAAUUAUCGAUCUGUUCAGCAAAAACCAAGAGGACUUGCCCCAAAAUUUCAUCAGGCCGUCAAUGAUGAAAUUAGUAGACUCAAUCAGGUAGGAUUCAUCAAAGAAGUUGACACACCAGAUUGGUUGACCAACAUAGUUCCAGUCUUGAAAAAGAAUGGGAAGACAAGAGUUUGCAUCUUUACAAGCUUGAACAAAGCUUGUCCUAAAGAUUCAUUCUCACUCCCACGAAUCGAUAGGUUAGUCGAUCAGACUUGUGGUUUCGAACUACUAUCAUUCAUGGAUGCACACUCAGGGUACAAUCAGAUCCCAAUGGAUGAGCCAAAUCAAGAAAAGACUUCAUUCACUACUGAGCAAGGAAUUUUCUGUUAUAAAGUCAUGCCUUUUGGUCUCAGGAACGCAGGAGCGACCUACCAACGACUGGUCACCAAAAUGUUCGACGACCAACUAGGUCAAACGAUGGAGGUCUACAUCGACGACAUGUUGGUCAAGAGCGACCUCGAGCAAGACCACUUAGCCAAUCUCGAUCAGACAUUUCAAAGAUUACGACAAUUCAGGAUGAGACUUAAUCUAGAAAAAUGUCUAUUCGGGGUCGUAUCAGGAAAAUUCCUCAGCUACCUAGUUACAAGGAGGGGUAUUGAAGCAAACCCCGACCAAAUUAGAGCCCUGGUCGAUAUGCCCAGCCCGAAGACAAAGAAGUAAAUUUAGAAACUCAACGGCAUGGUAUCAACUCUCAAUAGAUUUAUUUCUAGAGCAUCCGAUAAAUGUCGACAAAUGCUUCAUAUUCUUAGAAAAGGGGCUGCAUAUCAAUGGACAAAAGAAUGCGAGCAAGCCUUUGCCGAGCUGAAGGCAUACUUAUCCAUUCCACCAGUUCUUACUAAGGCUAAUGACGGAGAUGUGCUCAGAAUCUAUCUCGCCACAUCAGAUUUUGUGAUCAGCGCAGUACUAUUCAAGGAGGAAAAUCAAGUCGAACGACCAAUCUAUUUCACAAGCAAGGUGUUGCAACAGGCAGAAAUAAGGUACACACCUCUAGAAAAGUUAGCAUUAGCUCUCCUAUAUGCUGCAUGUAAGUUUAGACCUUAUUUCCAAGAACACACUGUUAUAGUAAUCACCAACCAGCCACUACACCACAUCCUAGAAAAGAAGAACAAAACAGGUCGUAUGGCCCGUUGGGCAGCUGAGCUCGGUGAUUAUACCUUUGAGUUCGUACCUCGUCAGGCCGUUAAAGGCCAGGUCGUAGCUGAUUUCUUAGUAGACUACCUUGCUGAAGACUCAAGCUGGGAACCAGAACCAGAGACUAGACCAGUCCAAGUUGAUCCACCAAACACUUGGCAACUAUACGUUGAAGGUUCACACAAUGCAAAUGGAAGUCAGAAGUGGCAUUGGUGCCGUACUCAUCUCACCUGAGGGCUCACGACAUGAAAGGUCAACUAGAUUAGACUUCUCGACCUCUAACAAUGAGGCCGAAUACGACGCCCUAAUCCAAGGUCUACAAAUGGCCAUUGACCUACAAACAGAACGACUCAAAGCGUUCAGUGAUUCUCAGCUGGUAGUGAAUCAGAUCACAAGUAACUACCAAAUUCAUGGAGUCAAUUUGAUAAGAUAUGCAAGCAAAGCAAAGGAACUAAUCAGCAAGUUCAGUUUCUUCACCAUUGAUCACAUCCCAAGGGAUGACAACCGACAUGCUGAUUCACUCGCAUUCCUAGCAUCCAAGGUCGAAUCAGAUCGACCUCGAGCUCUGACAAUAGCAGUAAACACCCUACCAGCAUAUUUACAAAAGCAAGAAGAGGCCAACCAAAUCAACGACCUAUUCAACACGACCUCAGAAGACAUCAAGGGAACUUGGAUGGAACCUUUCAUCAAUUACUUGCAAACUGGCGAGCUCCCAACAUACAAGAAGAAAGCUAACCAGUUAUUACAUAAAGUCACUAUGUACAAGUUACAUGAAGGAAAGCUAUUCCAAAAAUCAGCAACUGGUCUACUCUUAAGAUGCUUAAUUCCCAAGCAUGGGCAAAUCAUCUUCCAGGAAAUUCAUGAAGGAGAAUGCGGAAAUCAUUCAGGAGGUCGCACACUUGCUCAUAAAGCGAUUUCGCAAGGUUAGUUUUGGCCAAGAAUGAAGGAAGAUGCAAAGAAAUUCGUUUUAAGGUGCAAGGAGUGUCAACGUUUUGUCGACCACACUCAUCAACACCCCAACGACCUCUUCAACAUCACUGCUCCUUGGCCAUUUCACAUGUGGGGGCUCGAAAUCAUAGGCCCACUGAUUAAAGAAAAGAAGUCUGAGAAGAGAUUCGUUCUAGUCGCAUUUAACUAUUUCUCCAAAUGGGUUGAAGCUAUUGCUCUCACUAAUGUUACUCAAGCAGAUGUGAGAAGAUUUCUGUGGGAACAUCAUUACAAGAUUCGGCUUGCCAAAAUGGGUCGUUACUGAUAAUAGAACUUAGUUCGUUGGGAAGAACAUUACAGCUUUCUAAGAACUUUGGAAAAUCGAGCACUCCAUAUCAGCUCCUCGAUAUCCACAAACCAAUGGUCAGGUCGAGGCUGCGAAUAGACAAAUUCUUUCAAACCUAAAGAAAAUAUUCGAAGAUCAAGAAGAACAAUGGCCACAACAGCUAAACAUCCUUUGGGCCUAGAGAACAACUCAUAGAACGUCAACAUGAAUGUCUCCAUUUAGUCUUCGCUAUGGAGUAGAAGCUGUCAUCCCAACCGAGCUGACUUUUGGUACGAUCAAGUCAUUACUAGUCGACACUGAACUCAACAAUCAAGCUUGGUCGUUUGGGAUAGACCUGGCUGAAGAAAGAAGAAACCAUGCUACUAUUAAACUCGUACAGUACCAACAAAGCUUAAAACGACUUACAACAAAGGAGUACGACCUCAAGCUUUUCAACCAGGAGAGCUCGUACUAAUUAGAAUGUUCCACAACAAGAGGAAGGCGAACAUUAGAAAGCUUAAUGCUAAUAGGGAAGGACCUUACAUCAUCGCAAAUGUUCAAUACAAUGGAUCUUAUCGCCUCAAAACUCCAGAAGGAGAGGAUGUCAAGAAUCCCUGGAAUGCUUAUCAUUUGAAGAAAUUCUACCAGUAAAUGAAAGCAUGCGUUCUCAUACUUUAAUAAACGAGCUCGAUUUUGCCUUCAUUUCAGUUCAUACAUAAAUGGUUUGAAUAGGUCGGAAUCAAUCACACUAGACCUUUAAAUUAUCAAUAUUCUAGUCCCUUUGAUAAUUUAUAUAAGUGUUAAAGUUGACAUCUAUACUCCAACUAACACUGUCCUACUUAGGUCAUAACUAUCCCACGACCUAAGUAGACUCGAGCUCAUAAUCUAACGACCAACUCUCAUCCCAGGUCGAAUUUUAUACUUAACUUUAUUAUUUGAUGUUUGCGAUCUAGCCACGCAGACAAUACAAAUAACAUAAAGGAAAGUGCAAGCAAGGUAAUCAAAUAAAAGUUCAUUUUAUUUAUUUAUUCCUAGUCAAACUAACUAUUACAGGAAAAAUGAUCUAAUCGUUGUAUUACAUCAACGACCUACACUACUUGGGGGCUACUUCAGCAAUCCUUAGCUACAGCUCGCAAAGCAGAAGUACCUGCAAAACAUCAAACCAAACUACAAGAAAAUGAGAGAUACAUAUAUCAAAAAGCAAAUUCAUUAAACAAAAGCAUGCAAGAGGAAAUCUUUCAGUUCGUCCUACUUGUAGCCAUUCACCUCGUCUACCUGCCUUCUGAAUGGGCUACCAAGACUCCUUGGAAACUAGUCGACAAAAGAUACAGGUGACAUUAUCCACAGCAAAAAGGAAAAUGCAGAAAAGUAAUAGCGCAAUCGACCUGCCGAAGCAGAUCGAUCACUAUUGUUUACGGCCAAUGGCCCGAACCAGGAAUCAGAGCGCCACGAGUUAAUUUGAUCGACAUCAAAUCAACUCAAGACUAAUGUUUUUAAGCCACACAGGGCCGCCAACCACCAUCAAAAGAACAAACUUUCAAGAUAAACAAAUUGUUCAAAUCCUCACACACUCAAGAAGAAGAAAAAGAAAUAAGUCACUGUUGCUGCUCUUGCUCAACCUGCUCAUCCUGCGUUUCCACUGUUCGCUCUCCAGGGCCCAUCGAGGUGUCCUGCGGUGCAACUAGAUUACCCUCUUCAACCACCGGCGUCUCCUCUCUUUCGGGUGAUCCCACUUCCUCAAGUUGUCGUCUCAACAUUUCACAAUGAGUUUGCCAGGCCAGGCCGUACUCUUCACAUUGCUUCCUUGAAUUCUGCAACAAAACCUUCACCUCGUGAAUCGCCAGCUUGUAUUGAGAGGCCUCUUUCUUCUGUUCUCUUAUCCUCAGGUCGCGCAGAAGCAGUUCAUUCUUAGCAUUGUGAAGAUCAUCCCUAGCUCGUUUCAGGUCCAGGUCAGCCUGCGCCCCAGCCUCAGCCACACCUCUCACCUCCUGGAAUGAUGUAUUCAACUACAAAGCAAAAGUACAAAACAUGAAAUCCCAUUUCAAAAUUCAACCAAAAAUGAAAACAAAAGCACACACUUACGAGUGCAAUGGCAUAAUUGAUCUUGGAGCAUGCGUGCGACAAGGACUGAGCCAUAACGGCCUGAUGAUCUGCAUCCAGAACCAUGGCUUCAUUGAUGGCUUGACAGACGAGGGGAUUGGAAAGAGCACUAUCAUUGUUCAGAACAUAGAGGUCUUCCGCUUGCCUAUUCUUGUACGAGAUGGGACCAGGAAGAAAAGGAGAUGUAACUUCCUUCCCUUUACCAUAGCUCGCCUCAACAAACUUACGGAUAGCCUCAGGAACAGGUCGAGGAGUAUCACCAGCUCGUAUCACAGUAGGAGGGGGAACAACCUUGACAACACCAGACAACGACCUCUUUUUACCCUUAGAGCUCGCAGAAAACUUAGGAAUGGAAGGAGGAGGAGAAACAAUGCGCAGACUAUCAACUUCAACAACACGACUACUAGAACCAGCUUUACCCUUGUCAGCACCACGUUUUCUCACAUGAGCCAUGAAAUUUGACCUAAGAGCUUUCCUUCGUUCGAGCUCGUCAGCAACAGUCUUUGCACCACCCUUUGGAAUGAAAUACUCACGCAGAUGAGGAAGAAGCUUGAUUUUUUUCUCGUGACUCCAGGAACCAAAGAUGUUCAAACAAGACUCAACAACAGUACACCUCACAACAGAAUCGUCCUUAAUAGCUGCAAAACAAAACAAAACAAAACUGAGGUUAAAACCACAGAUCGCAAUACCAUAUCAAAACUAUAAGGAAGCGACCUAAGCACUUACGAUCAGGUGACGAAUUCCUACUGACAUACAUCAACAACACAUUAUCUUCAGUGACACGACCAGUACGCAACAUGCGCUCUUUCCACCAGGGCUCACUGCUGACCGAAUAGAUCAGAGGCAUACGUUCAGGUCGAACCUGCAUGUUAUAGCCUUCGCCCUCCAUCUUGGCAGAUAGCUUAAAGUAGAAAUGGCCAAGAACGUCAGAAAUAGUAAUGCCCCAUUUGUGCAACUUAUUCAGGUCGUCGAUCACCCUCAUAUUUCUCCAAAAAUUACCAUUCAUCUAGCAUGGAGCUCACUUAAUGGUAUUGAGGAGAUCAACGACCAAACGCGACAAAGGUAGACGGAGACCAACAUGAAAUUGAGCCAAUGUAAAGACAACAGAGAAGGGAUUACUAGGUCGAUACGCUUCAGUAAGUAAGCGAUCUCCCAAAAACCUAAUUUCAAGAUUACUUAUGGUGUCCAAAGCAUAAGUCGACCUAAAGGAAAUAUGCCUCUUCACAUAAGUAGGGUUCACAACACGAUGAAAACAUUGGUUAUCUCCCUCAAGCAUUUCAUCAUCAGAACUGUCCUCCCCAUGAGGACCACUACUAUCCGGACUAUCUCCCUCCUGCUCUUCAACUCGACCAGGAGUACUUGCAUCAUUCCUAGAUUGAGUCCUCUCAUCAUCAGACUCAUAACUACCAGCACUACCUCCACUCAAGUGAUCAUUUUGAGAAUUACUAGCCUUAGACAUCUCUCAAACGAAAGAAAAACAAGAAAAACGAAGCAAAAGAGUAUGUAAAAGUAAGGAAGAACUGUACUCACCUCAAAAGCUCUCAAGAUCUUCAGGUCGAUACGACAGAACGACAGCAAUUUGAGAGAGCAAAUGAAGAAAGUAAAAAUUCGACCAACAACCAGUGGUUUAAAUACAAGGAAAAUCCCAGCCAUCAAUGAAGUUCUAAUCAACGGACAAGAUCACAAGCAGACAACCACGAUCUUUGCAGUUAUUACACACUACUCCGACUAUCUACAUCCAUCGUUGGAUCAUUCCACGUGUCAAACAGAAUUACAUCAGACAAAGCGUACCUCAGUUGCCAAAUAAUUACAAUUUAACUGCUCGAGGAAACCACUCCACUUCCCCACGAAGCGCAAUGAUGGUGUCCAACAACACUGCAUGUGAGCCACGUGUACAAAUUCAAAAUGUCGAUUCAACCAGCUCGCCCGGUAAACAAAAGGUCUUUUCAGCCUGAUUUUCUAUCGACCUCAAAAGAGGAGGCUUAUGUAGGGGUACUACAUACAACAACCAAUCAAAACACGACACGUGGCUUGCCCAACAUUCCAUCAGGUCGCCCACUGCACGACCCAACUAAAGACCGACCAGAGCAACUCGACCAUAUGACCGUUGGCUACCUCUCUAUAAAGACAUGCCCUUAAUCAAUGCACAGAGAAUAUCUUUGCCUGUUACGUAAUCAAUGCCAGAUAUUGCGCAAUCAUUAAGAUGUCAGAGAAUCUGCAAGAUCCCAUGAUCUGCGCCCUUUCACCUUCUAUAAGAACAGAACUACGAUGGCUUGAUCUCUAAGUUCCACUCCCUCGAACUAGAGUACGUAGGCAAUCUCAAUCUCAUCGAGGUGUAGCCACCCCCAAUCUCAAAUCUCCACCUUGGUCAGUCAAACAGCGACCUGACCUAGUUAAUGCAUUAAUCUGGAAACAGGUUAAUACACAAGUACAACCUUAGUUACAAAUCUCUAUAUAAAGGUGAUAUCUCUUUCUCAAAUUCCAUCAUUCCCCAACUCUAAAAAACUCUCAUAUGGGAUUAAUCAAGCACUCGAUUACUCACAUCCAAAUUUCAUGAUUUUUAAAGGUACUAUGUGAAUGUGUACGCGUAUGCGUGCGAACAAAAAAUAGUCAAUAAUUAGAGAAAUAAUUAACUUAUUUGUGCCCAACAAAAUAAGAGAUAAAUUUGUUUUUUUGUUUGAAUGUUUAUUUGGGUUUAUAACCAUUAUAUAAAAACAAAAAUAUUUUUCCUGUAGGGUUUUUUUUUUUUUUGACAAAUUUUAUUGAUUUAUAAAUUAUAGUAGGUCCCAUUUUUUUAAAAUUAUCUUAUUUCCCUUUUCAUGUAGUUUACAACCCAUAAUACAUUAGGGGUAAAAUUGGAACUGUGCAAGUGGGUUUUUAAAUGUAACACGUCAGGCUUCGCAGGCGCCUCGGGAAUGAGGCGCCUUUAUAAAGUAGUAUAGAUGUAUUAGAUUUAAUUAACUUACAAUCAAUUGAUCAAUUGAAUUAUUUGUACUUUAAAUUACCUACUUUCAAUUAAAUUAAAAAAAAUAAAAAAUAAAAAAUAAAAACUACAAGGUUUUUACACAUCUAAAGUUCAGCUAUAAAGCAGAGUAUGUUCUAUAUGUCUACUUUCUUUUUCUUUGCUUGAUAACUUAAUUGCAUUGCUCCUAUUGAAAUAAAAAUUAUGGAUUUUGUAUUGCUCUGACAUUGCGAUAAUACAUAGAACAAUACAUCUAUCAACACCCCUUCCUGUUUGAAUCAUCUUUUACACUGUCUCAAAACAAUACAUGUUUCUUGGUGCUCUUUAUCUAAACAAGAAGAUUUUUAACCCUUUUAAUGCCAUAGAACUUCUUGUACUCAUUUAUGAUACACCCAAGAAACCUACCCUUCCCCAACUAUAGUGCUAUAUGCUAAUAUGGGAUCUCAAACUCAUGAAUAGCGCUCUUAUGAGCAAAUGGAUUGAAAGAUACAAUAAGGAGGACAAGGCAUUGUGGAGGCGUGUAAUAGAUGCGAAAUAUGGGGUGUGCACAAUAGGGGGGAAGCCAUCCUAUCAUCGCCAAGCUCAUUCUUGUAGCUUAUGGAAGGGCAUCUUAGCGUCUAGGGAAAAGUUCUAUGAGGGUUUCGUCAUAAAGUUGGCAAUGGCAUUAACAUACGGUUUUGGCACGAUGUAUGGCAAGGGGAUGCGUCUUUUGCACACAAGUUCAAGAGAUUGUAUAGAUUUGCGGCUUUGAAGAACGCGUCGGUUAGUGAUCAUUGUGAUGAGGAGGGAGGGUGGAAUCUCCAGUUGAGGAAAACUCUCUUUAAAGAUAGUGAGAGGCUAGAGCUUGAAAGCCUCAAUCACAUUCUUGAGGAGAUUUUUUUUGAAUGAAGAGAAGGAUGGAUGGGAGUGGAUAUGGUCCAAAAAGAAAAUCUUUUCGGUUAAGUUGUUUUAUUACCAACUGUGGGUCUCUAAUCAAAGCGAUGAUCGCCUCAGCUUGGAUUUUCCACAUGAGCUAGUAUGGGACGUUAAUAUCCCCACCAAUGUGAAGGUUUUCAUAUGGUAUGUAGCUUGGAACAAAAUUCUGACAGUUGACAGACUUAAGGGAAUGGGAUGGCAGCUAGCAAACAUGUGUGUUCUAUGCAACAGUGAAGAGGAGGAUAUACCUCACUUAUUUCUGCGGUGUGCACAGGCUAUGAAGGUGUGGCAGAGCCUGUCAGGUGGCUGUACUGAAGUUACUAGAUUGGUACAGGAACAACAUAACAUCAUGGCAGUGAUCAAGCAUUGGCCUAAGUUGAACACCACUGGUCUGGGAUCCUAUCUGUGGGGAUUGGUACCCUAUGGGAUUGUCUGGUGCCUCUGGACAAUGCGCAAUGAAGUAAUCUUCAAUGAUGCUGUUUUCUCGGCUGAUGAGGCAAUCAUUAGAAUAAAAACUAUGUUGUGGACAUGGAUGGCAUUACAGGUGGAGGGUCUGAAGGAGCGCAGAAAGCACAGGUUCCCUGAACUGUUGAGGAAUUGGACCAGCACAAUGGGUGUAUGCUAAACUGGUUCUGGUAAGUAGCUUUGUCUGGGUAUAAACUUAUAUGGGAGUUUGUAACAUGCUGUAGUAUGGUUAUGCCACCUGGCGGACUAUUACACUCGCUGAUCAGGCUUGCAAUUGUGUCUUGAAGAUUAAUAUAAUUCUACAUUCUAUCAAAAAAAUAAAAAAUGCUAAUAUGCAGCAUUGUAUAUCUAUAUUAAUUGUGAGGAUGGCACAAACAUAGUUUGUCUAAAUAAGACAAAGAAGAGUCUGGAUCAUCUAGAUAUCUGUGGAUGAGGGGAGAUCUGUGGGUGAGAUUAACUUGGGUUGGGUCCAAACUUAAGUUGUGUUCAAUGGUUAGGAUCGUCUUGAGAUCCGUAUAUAAAAGUUUGAUAUGAGAUUCAGAUUCUUCCUUUAAUAUAAAGCACAACUCCAAUGGGCAAAAAUUUCUUACAAACUGUUACAUAAUCCCGCAGCCACAUCAGCAAAAUGUGAGUAGAUUUCCAUGUUUAACCCCGAUUUAAUAGAAAAUUCUAUUUUAUUGUCCUUCCCAUCGAAAAGCCCUAUUGUCUUUUAGAUCGACAGUUAUGCAACCACAUCGGUUCGAGAAAUCUGUCACGAAAAGAUGCAUACUGUUUAGAUGUUUCUAACUUUCCUUUUGGUUUAUAUAUAGGGAAAGGAAACCCAUUGUUGAAUCCCUUUCUUUAAUUUUCCUCGCGACGACGGAAAUCGUAGGUAGUUCAGGUUUUACAAGGUAUGUAUGAUGUAUCACUUUUUUUUUCAUCGAUCACAAUCACAGUAAUUAACAAUCAAUGAAAGAUUGCGCCUUCUAUGAUUCCGGUUCAAGUUCUUUGUUAUGUUGGUUACAAUUUACUCUUACAUUGUGAGAAGAUUGUGACUAAAUUAAAGACAAAACUCUAUUUGAUUUAAAUUUACUACUAUUGUCUAAUCAUUAAAUUAACUCUUUUGUUUGUUUAUAUUAUAUGAUAUUACUGUGAUUGAUUAUAAUCAUAUGGAAUUUUGUCUUUAAUUUUAUGCAUUUAAUUUGAUUAUUUUUCCAUAACCACAAGUCAUUUUCGAUUGUAUAUUUAAGGGCCCGUUCGGCAACCUUUAAGAAAGGAGGAAGGAAUUUCGGGGAGAUGAGUUUUCUAAGAAAGGAAGAAAGACGGAAGGAGAAAGCUAAUCCCCGAUACUUGAGGAAUAAUGUAUUUCCUGACUUUCCAAAAUUACUUUCCAAAUCCGGUUUUACAAUUAGCCGAACUAACUUAUCUCUUUCCUACUUUUAGGAAGACAAGUAAUGCAUUCCUGGGCCUUUGCCGAACGGGCCCUAAAACUCAUAGAAACAUAGUAGAAAUAUAUACUCAUAUAUGUCUCUGUGCAGAUUGAUGAAUACAAGAAUUGGUGAUAUAACUAGCAAUUUGGGUCACUGGGUGAGGUCCUUUAGAACAUCAUUUACAAUUUAAAUUCACUACUUGCAGUCCAGGAUAGGAAUAUAGGAUUAGGAUGUCUGAGGAUCAGAAUACAAUAAUGAAGCAUUUCAGAAUGUUUCGCUUUUCUGUAGAAAGGACAAAUACAAAAGAUGACACUUUGAUGAUCAUGGUAGGUUACUUGGGAGUCUUCUUAAUGGUGUUCUUUAAUGAGAACUUGGUCCCCAAGUUAUAGAGAAGAUUCAACGAGUUACAAUCCUUAAUUGAAGUCACAUCAUCUUUCUUCAAUUCCAACUAAUCAAAUCAAACAUAUUGGAAAUGCUACAUUCAAACAUAUUACCCUCAUGUGUUUUUUUCCCUGAUUUGUUUUAAUGUUUUACUUCGAAUAAUGUUAAUUUUAGACUUGAGUAACAUAAAUUCUCUCCAAGGUGUUGUAUGCUAUGUUUAUUUUAUCUAUUUCACACUUAGUCUUCAAAUUUAUCUUACUUUCACAUUUGUUUAUAUCAUACCCCAUUACUAGGCAGAUUUGGAAGAAAUUUAUUUUUAAUGUUUUUAGCUAUAGCACCAGCACCAACAAUUCUAACAACGACACCACUAUUUCAGUUUCAGAUAUAUUAUAAUAAACAACAAUCGUCAUUACGAAACUACUACACAACCAGUGAUACGUAUACGAAGAAUGUCAACAAACAAUCGUGUACAUGCUCAUCAACAACUGAAAUUAAGGAGAAGAAGAGAAAUAACAACACUGCCACUUUUAUUGCAGCAAGCAUGAAUUGUUAUACACGUUGAUAAAAAAAAAAGUUUUGUGUCAUGAUGCUCCUGGACAUCAUUAAUUAAUUAACAACAUGAUUGCAAUUGUGUUGUCCUCAUCAUUGACUCUACCGGUGGAUUUGAAGCUGAUAUCUCCAAAGAGUGGGCAGGCUCAUGACCAUGCAUCCUUCCAUUUCACUGAGAGAGUAUAAUUGAUCUACUUGCAUUGUUUGCAGCUGUUAAAAGGGUUUGAAUUAUAGAAGUUAGCUACAGGUUACUGAGUCUGACUAUGGAUUCAUUGUAGCAGUGUUUUUGCAUGAUGGAUAAAUCAACCAUUGUCUUAUGUAUAAUAAACAAAAACCACCUUUGGUGCAUAACUCAUAUUCUUACCUUAAGUUCUAAAUUCAUGUACCAAAAUAUAUUUGUUAAAAUUAGGAAGGACAGAGUGGAAGUUGAGUAUUAUAAUGUAAUGUGCCAAGUAAUUAUGUGCACAACACUAUGUAGCAUUUAUAAAUUAUGGGUCAGUUGUUUACUAUGUUUAUAAAUUAUGGGUCAGUUGUUUACUAUGUCAAAAAUGUACUUGCCUCCACUCACACUUUUGCUACCCAACUUUUUUUUUUAUUUAGUUAAUAAUAAUAAUGUAUACAGUAAUAGUAUAACAUAAUUAACACUAAAGAACUGUUAUGAUUUAUAUCCUCUUUCUAAAAUAUAAAACCAAUAAAGUACAUCUUCAUUUAAAAAAAAAAUUAAAAUUAGCCGAUGUUCUAAAUACUUGCUUCCGUACCUUUUAACACACCUAACUUAGUAAACAUUAUUACUAAAACAAAAAUAAAUUAACAAAAUACUGUAGAAUCUAAAAUUGAGAUAAAUUGAAAAAACAAAAUUUUAUAUUGAAUGAUUAUUUCAAGCUCCCCGUCUAACGGACGGGCUAAAAAGCUAGUUAAAUCAUAGAGCAGGAAAACUUGGGUUUGAUAUUGGGCCACGUAAAUGGAUUUGACGUUGGGUCUUCCAAAGAGAUUGUAGUUAGUAUUACAAAGGGGGUUUCACAUAUAAUUCGUUUGACAUAUAAUUCUUACAAACGGAUCGUAGUUAGUAUUACAAACAGAUAGUAGUUAAUAUUACAAAAGGCAAAGAAAACCGAAGAAACCCAAAAAUCUCACUAUUUCAGAAGAGUUGACUCCAAAUAAACAUCAACAAACUCAACGUAAAAGGAGACUAAUAGAAUCAAUGAGCCAUACAAAUAAUACAACAUCAAAGAAACCCAAAAAUAAUGAAGUUUCUAAGGAGUUAGCUUCAAAUAAACGCAAAAUAGUGCAAUGUGAAAGAAGGAUAAGAAAAAGGGAACAUAUAUUGAAAAAUACAGUGAAUGAAGGAUUAAGGUUUGUUUUUCUAAAUAUUAUUUUCUAUUUCUUAUAUUCAGAUAUUGGCAAUACACAUUAUGUUUACGUGAAGACUAUUUCCCGUUCUUUUUUAAUCUUACUACAAUAUGUACAGUUCUUGAAUGAGUAUAGUAAACUUUCAUAAUAGAUUACAUUGUUCCCUAACACCUACCAGCUUUUAAAAUGAUGUUACUCUUCAUUAAUAAAAUGAUACAAAUUCAGUAGUAGUUCUCUAACUCUAUUGGCCUUCCUCAAAGCGUUAUUCCCUUUGAAGAUACGACCAUUCUCAAUGAUUCCUAGGCAUUUGCAAUGACAUCAUAUAAAAAUUGGUAAAUAAUGUUUUGAUGAUUAUUACUCAUUAAUCAUGAUCUUGAGUUUGACUUAGAUGAGUCCACACUAGACAAGACCAUUAUAACAAAAAAUUAGCUAAACAAGAUCUUGAUGAAUCAAUAUAAAAUAAAUUAAACAUGACCAUGUUAGAGAUUGUUUCACAAUUUUGUUUAAUUUUAGUGUCCAACUCCGCCAUUUUCUUCUUCGUUUGGCAACUUUGAUAACUAUAUACAGUGUAACAGCAGUUUUAGGUUCAAUACAAACCGGGUGAGAAACAAACCAACAAUCCAUAAAUAAAGCCCAACAAUAUUUUAAGUCUCUGAGUCCAAACCAGAAAACCCAUAAAAAAAAAUCCAAUAAAUUAAAACCAAAACGAUGAGGGCAUUGUGCUCACUGUUAGUGCUCACUCUCAGCUCGAUUCAGUUAACAAUGAGUGAAAGUGACGGUAUAUGUUCAAUCCAUACACAUAUCAAAUUUUUGAGGUCAAGACUAAAGAAAAAGAUAUAUAAUUCCAAAAAGGGAAUAAAUAAAUUUUGAAAGAAAGUACAACAGUCAUUCAUAUUAUUUAGUUGGUUUGCUAAAUUUUUGCUUUGAUUGCUAAUGCUUUCGUACAGUAAUUUCAAAAAAUGCAAUUUGUAAUUUGUAUACCUUCCAUGCAAUUUGUAAAAAAAAAAAACAAUUUCGUACAGUAAUUAUUUAGUUGGUUUGCUAAAUUUUUGCUUAGAUUGCCAAUGCUUUAAAAUUUAAUUAAAGAGAAAUUAUGAUAAUUUUGUAUUCUUCUGAGAUUUAGUGCAUGAAUAGAAAUUUUAAAUUAUAUUUUCAUUGGCAUUUUUAACAAUGUUAAAAGCUUUAGUACACUGUAUAGUAGAACUAACGUACACACAAUUAGAAUAUUAGAAAUUAAAAUUGAUUAGAAGGUAGUAGGGAGGACCACAUGGUGGUUUAAGGUAUAUGUUGAUUUCUUUUUAUUUUUCUUACAUGAAAGUAGAAUUUUUAUCACCUUAUGGUGUUGAGUAGCAUAAUUGGUUGUCUUUUAUUAAUUUCAAACAGUAUUUUCCAGAAUUGAGGUUGAAAUUUAUGUUUUACAAUCUCCAAUUGUUGUUUUGACGUGUUUUAGGUGGAUAUUAUUAUCAUGUUGUUUUUCAAUCUCCAAUUCUUAUUUUCUCUGCACCAAUAUAAUAGCAAACUUGAUUUGUAGGUUUAGUUCAAUCAAUUUUAAUUGCAACCUGUACAAUAGAAGUUAGAAUUUUAAUAGCAUUUCCCUCACUUUGCAAGUCAUGGAGCUGUGUGGUUAACACAAAGCGAACUAUUCUUUCGCAUUUUAGUAAAGAAUACCGUGUGCUCGCCACACAAAGCAUCAUACACCAUUUUUUGGAGGGUUUUUUUUCCACUUGUGGAGAAACCCAAACAAAUUAAUUGUUAAAUUUUCUACUCUUACAAGUCCGGCACAUUCUCUUGCUAGACAUUUAUAAACACAGGUCAGAUGAAUACAAAAGUGGAAAAGAUUAUUCUGUAAAUAAUCAUCAAAGCACAAAGUAAAAUGCACUUUAAGCCUAUUGACUAUGUAUGGAAUGAGCUGUGCACCACAGAUUUAUAAACAGUCCUCAAAUCUACUCUUUCAUUGAAGAUCUAUAUCACUAUAUUAGUUGUAUUUUAGAGGAUUUUCCAGUGUUGGUUCACAAAACAAAGUUUUGGUAGCUGUAUUUUAGGGGAUUUUUCAGUGUUGGUUCACAGAAUCUAAUAUUGAUGAGACGUCAAGUAGUGCCCACAAAUUCAGGCAGGCACAUCAUCAGUAGGAAGUUUCUCAUGUCCAAUGCAUCAUCGUAGCAUAGACAAUAAGGAUUACAUGAUCUGAUUUUAACUCUGACGAAGUUUAUUAUAUGUGCACUCUAAUAUUCCUUCAAUUUUGUUCAUCUUUACAGACAAUGCAAUAUACAACAAACUCUGAAGAACAUGGUAGAAGGUAAAGAAAACCAAAGAAACAAAAAAAUCUCACUAGCUAUUUCAGAAAAGUUGACUCCAAAUAAACGUCAACAAGCUCAACGUAAAAGGAGACUAAUAGAAUCAAUGAACCAUACAAAUAAUACAACAUUAAAGAGACCCAAAAAUAAUGAAGUUUCUAAGGAGUUAGCUCCUAAUAAACGCAAAAUAGCGCAACGUGAAAGGAGGUUAAGAGAAAGGGAACAAAUAUUGAAGAAUACAAUGAAUGAGGGAUUAAGGUUUGUUUUUCUAAAUAUUAUUUUCUAUUUCUUAUAUUCAGAUAUUGGCAAUACACAUUAUGUUUACGUGAACACUAUGUCCCGUUCUUUUUUAAUCUUGCUAUAAUAUGUACAGUUCUUGAAUGAGUAUAAUAAACUUUCAUAAUAGAUUACACUGUUCCCUAACACCUACCAACUUUUAAAAUGAUGUUACUCUUCAUUAAUAAAAUGAUACAAAUUCAGUAGUAGUUCUCUAACUCUACUGGCGUUCCUCAAAGAGUUAUUCCCUUUGAAGAUACGAAAUUCUCAAUGAUUCCUAGGCAUUUGCAAUGACAUCAUAUAAAAAUUGGUAAAUAAUGUUUUGAUGAUUAUUACUCAUUAAUCAUGAUCAUGAGUUUGAUGUAGAUGAGUCCACACUGGACAAGACCAUUAUAACAAAAAAUUAGCUAAACAAGAUCGUGAUGAAUCAAUAUAAAAUAAGCGUGACCAUGUCACAGAUUGUUUCACAAUUUCGUUUAAUUUCAGUGUCCAACUCCGCCAUUUUCUUUUUUUUUUUGGCUAUUGUGAUGACUAUAUACAGUGUAACAGCAGUUUUAGGUUCAAUACAAACCGGGUGAGAAACAAACAAACAAUCCAUAAAUAAAGCCCAACAAUAUUUUAAGUCUCUGAUUCUAAACCAAAAAACCCAUAAAAAUAAUAAAAUAAAUUAAAACCAAAACGUUGGGGGCACCGUGCUCACAGUUAGUGCUCGCUCUCAGCUCGACUCGUCAACAAUGAGUGAAAGUGACAAUAUAUGUUCAAUCCAUACACAUAUCAAAUUUUCGAGGAUAACACUAAAGAAAAGGAUAUAUAAUUCUAAAAAGGGAAUAAAUAUUUUUUUGUAAGAAAGUACAAUAGUCAUUCAUAUUAUUUAGUUGGUUUGCUAAAUUUUUGCUUUUAUUGCCAAUGCUUUCGUACAGUAGUUUCAAAAAAAUGCAAUUUGUAAUUUGAAUACCUUCCAUGCAAUUUGUGAAAAAAACAAUUUCGUACAGUAAUUAUUUAGUUGGUUUGCUAAAUUUUUUAUUAGAUUGCUAAUGUUUUAAAAUUUAAUUAAAGGAAAAUUAUGAUAAUUUUGUGUUCGUCUGAGAUUUAGUGUGUGAAUAAAAUUUUAAAUUAUAUUUUCAGUGGCAUUUUUAACAAUGUUAAAAACUUUAGUACACUGUAUUGUAGAAACUAGCGUGGCAAAGCCACGGGUUAAACUAGUCUAUAUUAUAAUCUACAAAGGUACAUAAAAUACACAAGUUGGGUUAUAAGCUAUGCUGUCAGGGGCGGAGCGGAGCGCCAGGCGCUCGGUUUCUGCCUCACCGCCUCGACCGCCUAGGCGCCGCCCAGGCGGCGCCCUGAUCAGACCCCUGACAGCAUGUCAGCAUCACAGCAAUACAGACCCCUGACAGCGGAGAAGAGAGAAGAGAGAAGAGAGAAGAGAGAAGAGAGAAGAGAGAAGAAGAGAGAAGAGAGAAGAGAGAAGAAGAGAGAAGAGAGAAGAGAGAAGAGAGGCAGCAGCGGAGAAGAGAGAAGAAGCAGCAGCAGCAGCGGAGAAGAGAGAAGAGAGAAGAGAGAAGAAGCAGCAGCGGGCAUGGGCUUUUUUUAAGUUUUUAUUUUGGGGCCCAAAAUUUGGGCCGCUUGAGCGCCUGUAUUUUGACUGCCCUGAGCAGAGCGCUGCGCCUGGGCGCCGCCCAGGCUGUUCGAAGCGUUUUAGGCGCUAUUUUACCUGAGCGAAGCGACCCCUUUCUGAAAUAGCGCCGCCCCUGACAGCAUAGGUUAUAAGUAGUGGUCCAGAUUCUCUCGAGUCCGAAGUUGUAGAUUAGAUCUGCGGUUGAGAUUGGAUUAGAGACAAACUGUUUAUUAGUCGUUGGAUUAGAUUGGGUCCAAACUUAAGUUAUAUUGGAUGGUUGAGAUCAAGAAACCAUUUUCCAUUGUUUUCUCUUCUCCCCUCUCUCUUCCUUUGCUUCAACAAAACCUUAAUUCCUCUCUCUAUCAUCUCAAAUCUAAUUAACUAGCAGCAGCAGCAGCAACAGCAGCACCAAAAUUCAAAAUCAUAUUCACAUCUCCAAUCACAUCUCGAAUCUAACUACCGGCAACAACAGCAGCAGCAGCAGCAGGUUCUUUUUCUUCUUCUUCAUUAGCAUUUGUUAAAAACCUAUUGACCAAAUCACCAACUCUCCUUAUUGUUGUUCUUCUUCUGCUAUUGAAUCAUUAUUAAAUUUUAAUGAUUGUGUUCAAUUUGUGGUGAGAAGCCAUUCAAAUUGACCUGAGAUCAACAUACAGUCAAGUGAUUUCCCAACGAAUUUUGUGUUCUUCUUCUUCUUCAGUAGCAUUUAGCUAUGGAAAAAUUAAAAUCAGCAUUCAAUUAAAGUUUUUAAAUUUAAUUUUGAUUGCUGCUGCUAUUCCGAAAUUUAUUCAAUUUGAUUUACAUAUAUAAUUUAAACUCAACAAAUCAUCAUCUUACGUCUCUGAAAUCAAUAAAAAAUCAUCAUCUUACAAUAUAUCCUCCAAAGGUAAGUAGUAAUGCAUUGGAUGAUCAAUUAGUCAUCCAUUUGAAAUUGCUUAUCAAGUGGAGUUCUCACAAUCAUCUCGCGCUUUGUCUUCUACAGGUCAGUUUGUAUCAACAUUCUCCACUAUCUGUUGCGCUUCGUCUUCAACAGGUCAGUUUGCAUCACAAAGUCUAGGUCUUCAAUAUCUAGACAAAAUUUAUAUAAUAUUGCUUUCACUUGCUUAAUUCAACUAUCCCUGUGAAUAUCGAAUCUCUUUAUAUUGCUUUACCUUUUGUUUUAAUCUCUGCAGAUUGUUGUUUGAUUGUGGGUUUUAUUUUAUUAAAAAACAACAAAUUAUAGUUUUUUGUUUUCUGUUGGAUGAAUUAUAGUGAAGCCUCAUGCAUGUGUUUAGUUCUAAGUUCUAUACAUUGUUCAACCAGAUCAUGGUGUUUAGUUUUGAAAGUUGAAAUUUUGAUUUUUGAUAAGGUUAAGCUUUCGAAUUUUGAUUUUUCUGUUUCAAUAAGCUGCAAUAUAUGUAAUAGUAUCGGUUUUGAUGGAACAUAUAAAUCUACUUUUGCAUCAGUUCUUUUACACGUUUCGAAGAAAAUAUAUGUAAUAGGGAUGAACUGCCAUUUUUUUUUUUCUGAUCGAUUAUGAUUCGAUUUUCUAACACCGGGAAUUGUUAUGGAUCUUAUAUUAGUAGGCAUAUUCUCUUUGUCCUACCAAUACAAAAAAGUUCUCUACAAAUAAUCAUAUUCUAAUUACACCAUGCUUCUAUUUAAUGAUCUACAACACCAGAUUAGAUUCCAACUUUAGAUUUCCUCAAACAGUUAUAUGUACAACUAUUGCUAGAGAUGGUUAACAAAAAUAUAUAUUGAUGGUUGUAUUUAUAUAGAUUUCUAUAACUGAAUUUGUGAAUAUUAUGUGUUCAUCAAAUCUGCUCUUCUCUUGCAGGUCCAUACUUAACUUCUGACCAUAUAAAAAUUUACCUCGAUUUCUUUUCUUCUCCCCCUCAUCUCUGUUGAUCAACAAUUGUAGGUUCUCUCAAAACUUUCUCAAGUAACUUUUUAUGGUCUUAAUCUCAUUUUGUCAUUUUGUCCUACAGUCUAUUUUCUGUUUGCAAUCUUCACAUUUUCUGUCAUUUAAAUGUAUUGUUACACCAUAUAUACCAGUCUUAACUUAUUGUUUUAUAGAUAUCUUCAUAUCUAUACAAAUCUUAUUUUUUUCUACCCAGCAAUUGUCUCUUUCAUUUUCACAAUCAUCUCUCUUUCAUUCUCCAGUAUCUGUUGUGCUUCUGCUUCAACAGGUGAGUUUGCAUCAAUCAAUUAUAGGUCUUCAAUUUGUAGACAAAAUUAUAAGUUCUUCAUCUGCAUAAGGUAAAUAACUUGCUAUAAUAGGUGUACAUUCUGCUCUUGAUUACCUCGAAAAUAGAAAAUAGCUUGCAAAUGAAUGAAUUCUCACUGCCAAUAGUAGUAAUGAAAAAUAAUAGCAGUAGCAGUAGAUGCAAGUCUUUACAGCUAAAAUGGGGUAGAUUUCAUGAUCAGACUACCAAAAAAAAAAAAAAAAAAAACCAAUGAAAUACAAUCAGUUUUAUAAAAACAGUUAAGGUUAUUCUAAAUUAUCAGCUACCUGUAGGGCAUAUUUUUUUUUACUUUGAAAAUAUAAAUAAAUGUUCUUUCCAUAUCUCUUAAUAGGCGAGAAUUAAUCAUGGUUUUAACUGAUACUCCUUCAUUGAUUUGUUUCACAGGUUUCACUGUUGUUAAAAAGGUUUAAAAUCUGGAAUAAAGCUGUUCAAACCAAGAUACUCUUAUCAAGUUGUUCCAGUCUUCCAGAGUAUCUUCUAUCCACAAGUAUGAUUUCUUCACCUUCUGCAAAUAUUAGUAGACAUUUUUUUAAUUUUGGGAUGCAAUGUUAGAAACCCAUAAAUAGUUUAAGUAUUCAUGCUAAGGUCAAACAAUUAAGUUUGAGCUUAGCCUUUUCGGAACCAUACAUCGCAUAGUGGGAAAUGUAUUUAUAAUAAUCAUCUUAAAUUGUUGUAUAUGGUAGAAAGGGGAUUGAUGUAUCUUAUUGAAACCAGGCUUUUUAUUGAACUCGAUUAUAGUAAGCCUUUAUUGUCAGUGUUUACGGUUCAUAUAUGGUUAUAUUUAUGUUAUAUUUAUGUAAAACACUUCUUCAGAUCGCCUGUAGACAUUUUAUUUACUGGAAAUUAGAAUUUGCGAUUUUUUCGCAUUUCAUAGCUUUUUAGAUGUUAUGGAGUAUAAACCUAGCAGAACAGUAGUAGGUUAUAUUGAAAGGGCACCGCUCGAUGUUUACUGUUGGUGUUAGCUGGGACGAGCCCCAUUGGCUUUCCAACCAGAUGUGCCUAUUAUAGCACAGCCAAUGGGCUUGCAUAAAAAAUGGAAACACAAAACCGGAGUUCAGAUCAACACAAACUUAUUCAACAUAUUCAAUAGCACAGCCCGCAUUUAUGUAAUAGAUGUUUCACCUUCAAUAUUAUCUAUUCAAUUCCAUUAAUUACUGUGUACGGAGCCCACAGUAACAUAAAUGUCGGUACCCUGUAUAACACUUUUUACAUUAGUAUUUAUGUCUGGUGUAUGUCCAAACAUCGGACGAGACCCAUUGGCUUUCCAAAAGUAGAGUCUUUCCAACCAGAACCUGGGUUUGCCUUGGACUUUAGUGUCAAGCCAAACCGAGUAAAAGUCUGCCCAGAGUCCAUAAGCCUAGCCAAGCCAAUGGCAAACCAGAGUUUCAUACCAUAUGGUAUAUCAAUGCCAUAGGUCAAUAUUUAAUAACUGGAUAUUCAUAUUAUCUUAUCUUUCGUUUUCGAUUUUUAAAUUUAUUUCUAUUUACAAUAGAUUUAAAUAAUACUUCCGCGUGCAUCUUGCAUUGUGUUUUUACCAAUAGCAAGUAAAUGUAAAAGUAUAUUUGUCAUUACCUUUUAAGACUCAACCAUUAUGUUAAUCUCUAUGUUUUAUUAAAUUGUUUGAUUUGCUACUAAAAUUGUUUGAGUAAUUUGACUUAAACUAUGUUAUGUUAAUGAACGCAGAUUGCGUCCUCGAAGGGUAUUUUUAAUACCUUCAAAUAUUAUGGUACUUCAAGUCCAACAUGAAAACUUGGAUGGAUUGCAAAGAACUGGAGUAAGUCAGGAUUGCUUAAUUACGACUUUGCAACCUCAACUCCACUUUUAUUUUUUGUUUCCCUCCUAUUUUAACACUUUUCACAUGUUCAAAUCUUAUAUUUUACAGGCAACAAACACUUCCAAUAAAAUUGCUUGAGACAUUGAUAUUUCGUUGAUAACAAAUGUUCUAAAUGAUAUGCCAGUAAGUAAACGGAAACAAGCUCAACAAAAAAGACGAGAGAGAGAAAUGAAUGAAAAGAAUCAAAUGGAACAUAUAUGCAAUGCAAAUGAAGGGAUAUCCAAGCGUUCUGAAAGUCAGCGAAAACGAAGAGAAAGAGAAAAGGAAAUAUCUGCCCUAAACAAGUAAGCUCAAUUCAUGUUAUAUUUUUCAAAUUUUUAAUUUCAAUUCAUAUGUCUCAAAAAAAAAACAACUAUUUGUUAUUGACGACAGUUCAUCAGUUACAAAGAAGCAGCGACAAAGAAAAGGUGAUGAACUCAGUGAAUCAACAUCAAAUAAGUAAGUUCAAUUAAUAUACACACCAUGAAUCAACAUUAAAUAAGUUCAAUAACUUACUAAUUUUGAUUUCUUUCCCCUUAACAGUUUAACAAUCACAAGGAAUAAUAGUCAAACAAACGAGGAUUGCUCAAAUAAAAAUAGCACACAAAGGCGAUGCCCUAUCAAGUAAGUAUUACUACUGUUACUUUAUAAAUAUUUUAAAUAUAAUUUAAGCAACUAAAUUUAUUACUUUAAAAAUGCAGGGAACCAGGUGCAAAGAAACAAAGACAAAUAAGGGAUGACUGCGCAGAGAAAACGAAUGAAAAAGUAACAAACUCUAAUGAACCUGUGUUAAGCAAGUAAGUACAUUCAAAGAAUUUCGUCUAUGGGAAAAAAUAACAAAUUCUAACAUAUAUUUUUUGACCAGUGUUCGAAGGCAAAACAAAAGAAGUUUAGCUCAAAGUGCUCGAAGAAAGAGUGAACGUUCUAAGCAAUGUGAGUUUUCGUAUACAAUGGAUGGAAUAAUGAAUGAAAAUUCACAACCAUUACAAGCUGGAGAAUAUCAAAGAGGCAAAGGAAAACAACCUAUUAUUGAAAAUGAUGAUGUGGAUGAACUUAUAGUUGAAGAUGAUGAAGAGGAUGAAGAUGAUGAGAUUACAUAUUAUUUGUAUGGUUUUUCAUCAACUGGAGAUUCGACCCGUGAAAACCAAGUUAUGAAACGAUACCCUAUCAAGUAAGUUAAUCCUACAUAUUAAUCGCAAAACACAUAUUCAGAUUAAUUAUAUAUUCAGGAAUACGUUAGUCUUAAUUUUUAUGCAACUACAGUUAUUUUAUGGUCUCACCAUUGGGUUAAAACCUACUACAGUCGUAAUCAAUUUAAUCAAUAAGGUUUUUUUUCCUGAAAUUAGAUUUACUGACUCCACAAUCAGAUCGCUUCCUUGCCUUAAUUUGUUGACCUCUCCCUCUUAAAGUAGUAAAGCACAAGUCUAAAAUAAGACCAAUUAAGGCCAGAAUUGACAGACACACUACUGCAUAAUAGUUUAAUAGCAAGUUCCCCUGAUUUGUAAGUCCAUGAGCCAAUCUUUUCCCUGUACAAGCGGAAAGUUCCAUCGAGUCUAAUGUUGACAGAAACAUUAAUUGUGAAGUAUGAUGUUCUGAAAUCAGCUAAUAGCUGCUAGGUUCAUUAGUCGAGUCCAAUCUUUAUUUUUUACACAAGUUUAUUUAUUAAACAUUAAUGUUGCUGCUGCUGCUAGGUUCAUUAAUCAAAUUGGUAUGGUAGAAAUGGUCUACACAAUCUCAUUUACAUUUCAUGAUCUGUUUCCCAGGAUCCUAUUUUUAUUUAUUAAACUUUUUCCCAUGGAGCAACAACAAACUAGACCUCCUCCCGGCCAAAGUUAGAUUUACUGGCUCCAUAAUAAGAUUGUUUCCUUCCAUGAGCCAAUUUUUUCCCUCUACAAGCAGAAAGUUCCACCGAGUCUAAUGUUGCAAGAAACAUUAAUUGUCAAGUCUAAUUUUUUUCUUAGACAAGUUUAUUUCUUAAACAUUAAUGCUGCUGCUGCUGUUCAUUAAUCGAGUCCAAUCUUUAAUCUUUAAACAUUAAUGCUGUAGCUGUUGUUGCUGAUAGGUUCAUUAAUCAAGUUUAUUUAAAUAUUUUUUAAACAUUAAUCGAGUCCAAUCUUAUAUUAAUAGUUAAUCUAAUGCUGCUGCUGCUACAACAGGAAAAAAGAACUAAUGUUUAUUUUCUUAGACAAGUUUAUUUCUUAGAUAAGCAGGUUCUUCUUCUUCUUGACCAGAAAAAUUAUUUCUUAGACAAGUUUAUUUUCUUUUAAUUUUUAAAUUUGAGAAUUAUGUUUAAGAACUAAUGUUUUUCUCCAUUUGAUUUUUCCAGAGAAAGGACAAAUAUGGAAGGAAAUGAUUGUACUACUGUUGUUCAUCCUGUAAGUGAUUCUCAUUACGAUACUAUAUUAGAAGAUGAAAUUCACAUACCAAUCGAUCCAGUAGAAAAUGUUCCAAAAGAAAGACAUUAUCUUGGGAAAAUGGAUGUCAUAUGUCCAUCAUGUUCUGCUUAUCAUUGGUUAGAUGAACGAUUGACUAAAUCCAUUAAAAAGAAGUCAUUCUUCGGUAUGUGUUGCCUGCAAGGAAAGAUAAAGUUGCCACUACUUACACCAUUGCCUUCUGCUAUUAAAUUGCUAUACGAAGGGAGAAAUUCACUGGCAAGGUCUUUCAGGAAAGAUAUUAGAUCCUAUAAUGCUGCUAAUGCCUUCUCCAGUUUGGGUGUUUCGAUGGACAAACGUAUUCUAAAAGGUCUAGGACCAACUUCUUUCAUAAUUCAUGGUCAGUUGUCCCAUCAAAUUGGAUCGUUGUUACCGGAAUCAGACAAAUCUCCAAGUUAUUCACAGCUAUAUAUUUAUGAUCCUCAUAUUGCAUUGGAAUGCCGACAGAAAAGGAACCUGCACUUAAAUCCAGCUAUUCUGAAAAUAAUUCAAGAAACUCUAUUGGAAUCAAAUGAGUUGUGCAAAAUAUACAAAGGUGCGUAUGAUGUUCUGAAAUCAGCUAGUAGCAAUGGCGGUGAAAGUAUACCUAUAAGGUUAGCUUAUACGCCCACUACUGAUCCUAGACGCUAUAAUCUCCCAACGUCUGAAGAUAUUGCUGUUAUUAUUCCUGGGGAUGAGACUGAACCGACUUGGAAGCGAGACAUAAUACUACACCUGAAGAAUAACAAUCUCGAAAGAAUAAGCGAGUGCCACCCACUGUAUUUGCCGUCACACUAUGUCUUACUAUUUCCAACUGGAGAUCUUGGUUGGUCUACAGAUAUGAAACAUUGGGAUGUCAAGAACGAACGGUAUUUUACAGUUACAGGUAAAGAAAAAAAGAAUAGAUUGACUCAGCUUCAUUAUUUCUGCUAUCGCUUAUUUGAGAGAACGACUGAAUAUUCUGCUUUAUUUCGAGCUGGCCUUUUGUUCCAACAAUUUAUUGUAGAUGCCUGGGCGUCCUAUGAACAAAAUCGAUUAUAUUGGAUUAGAACACACCAAGCUGAUCUGCGCUGCGAUGUAUAUAGUGGAUUGACAGAUAUUGUUACCAAUGGUCACAAUCCUAAUGACAUUGGGAAAAAAUUCAUUCUACCGUCCACUCAUUUAGGCAGUCCAAGGCAUAUGUAUGAAAUCUACCAGGAUUCUAUGGCGAUUACCAGAUACUACAAACAUCCAGAUAUAUUCAUGACAGUGACUUCUAAUCCAAAAUGGCCAGAAAUUCAGAAUGAGCUUAAGCCAGGUCAAGCUGCAUUAGAUCAUCCUGAUUUAGUUGCACGUGUGUUCGAGCUUAAAAGAAAAGCAAUUAUGCAUGAAAUAGAAAAUAAAAUAUUAUUUGGAAGAGUUGUUGCAAAGGUGUAUACAAUAGAAUUUCAAAAACGCAACCUUCCACAUAUGCAUGCAUUGCUUUUUCUUCACCCUGAAGACAAAAUCAGGACGACAGAUCAAGUGGACAGAAUUGUUAGUGCUGAGUUCCCUGAUCCUAUAAAACAUCCAGCUUUGUUCGAAACUAUUAAAAAAUGCAUGGUUCAUGGUCCCUGUGGUACUCGCAACAUGGAAUCAGUAUGUAUGGAGAACAAAGUUUGCAAAUCUAGAUAUCCAAGAGAAAAUGUAAAUGAUACCAGAAUAGAUGUGGAUGGCUACCCAAUCUAUAGGCGAAGAAAAAUUGGUAAAAGUUAUCAUGUUAGAGGACACCUGGUUGAUAACAAAGAUGUAGUCCCAUACAAUCCUCAUUUAUCAGAAAUGUUUGAUUGCCACAUUAAUGUGGAAAUUUGUGCAUCAGUAAGGGCAGUCAAAUAUAUUCACAAGUACAUUUACAAAGGCCAUGAUAGAACCACAAUGGUGGUUGGGGCGGAAGAUGAUGAAAUUCAACAGUAUCUUGAUGCUCGAUAUGUAGGUCCUACUGAAGCAGCAUGGAGAUUAUAUGGAUUUCGAAUACAUGAAGAACUACCAUGUGUCACUAGACUUGCGCUUCAUCUGAAAGGUAUGCAUGUGUGUGUCUUCAAUCCUAACGACACGCCAGAACAAGUAAGAGAAAAGGCUGAAAAUCAGAAAUCAUCUUUGACUGCAUAUUUCGAUUGGUAUGAAAAAAAUCCUACUACUAAAGCUUAUACUUACCAACAAUUCCCUGAACAUUUUAGAUGGUGCAAAGAUAACAAGAAAUGGACACCAAGAGUUACUUCAGCCUUUUCUAUUGGUCGGAUGUAUUUUGCCAAUCCGAAUUCUGGUGAAAGGUUUUACCUUAGGUUACUAUUAACCGUUGUGAAAGGACCAUCGUCAUUUGAAUCCUUAUAUAGUGUGGAUGGCAUCGAACAUAAGACAUACAGAGAAGCAUGCAUUGCUCGUGGUCUUCUAGAAGAUGACAAUGAAUGGGACAAAUGCCUAGAAGAAGCUGUAAUAAUGAAAACUGGUCAUCAGGUACUCGCAAUUUAUGUUUAAAUUCUUUUUAUAUGUCUAAAUAUUAAAACUGUUUUAUCUAAAUAUGGAAACUGUUUAUUGUUGCAUCUAUAGCUAUAAACACUGUUGCAUCUAUAUCUACAGUGUAGCAUCUGGACAUGUUUACCAAGUGCACCGAGCUACUUUAAGAUCUCGAUACCCAGAUAGACAACUCAAUCCCGUUGUUGUUGCUGUUAAAGCGCAUCCUGGUAUCAAGGAAUCAAUUAAGAGGGAUUUUAUUAUUAUCGAGUCCUUUGCCAACACACACCAUAACAGUCCCUAAUAAUUUACCCUUCCACCAACUGCACUGUAGCCUUCAGUUUCAUUGAAUAAUAUACUUACUGAUGUAUUCCCUUGCUGUUUUACUUUGCAGAAAAUAAUUAUUAAAUUCCAUAUAUUUUGUUUAUUGAAAAUCAGCCACUAAUUCAUAGUUUUUAUAUGGUAAGCAGGUACGGAGAUUAUUCUGUUUGAUCCUAACUGAAUGUAAUCCUUCUCGACCGGAAAUUCUAUGGGAGAAAAAUGCUUUAAAAAUAUGUGACGACUUGCCGUACCAACUGAAAACAAAAUUUGGCAUUCAAGAUCCCAGUGAUAGUGAUGUUUGUGACCAUGGGUUGUUCUUAAUGAACGACUACUUGCUGGAGAGUGGUAAGACAUUAUCAGAUUUCCCAAACAUGCCUUUAUCGUGUAAAACAUGGAAUGAAGUAGUUACCAACCGUCUCAUUACAGAGCAUCAGAAUUUCGUGUAUCAGGGAUUAUAUGAAAAGGCUCAAGAAAAAGUUGCAAGAUUUAAUACUGAACAACUAAAUGCCUAUACAGAGAUUACAAAUUCUGUUCGUAAUGAUAGUGGACAAGUAUUUUUCCUAAGUGGUCCGACUGGAACAGGAAAAACGUUCGUCUAUAAUACUGUAGCAGAUACAUUGAGAAGUGAAGGUCAUAUUGUGAUAAUGGUUGCUUCAUCAGGAAUUGCAUCUUUAUUAUUGACAGGAGGAAGAACAGCUCAUUCUACAUUCAAAAUUCCAUUUGAAGUUCUAGACGACUCUGUUUGUUCAGUCACAAAGCAAACAAUCCAUGCAGAAUUAUUCAAGAGAGCUAAACUGAUUAUAUGGGAUGAAGUACCAAUGCAACAUAGGUUCUGCGUGGAAGCUGUUGAUCGUACACUAAGGGAUAUUCGUGAAAUUAAAGAACCGUUUGGAGGAGUUACAGUUGUUCUGGGCGGUGACUUCAAACAGACUCUCCCUGUCAUUACUAAAGGAACUAGACAAGAAAUUGUUCGUGCAUGUCUAACAAAAUCACAUUUGUGGAGUGGUGUUAGACUCUUAACUUUGGUUAAAAAUAUGCGACUGAACAGUAAUGAUACUGAAAAUGUCAAGUUCGCAGAUUAUUUGAUUGAGGUAAUUUUUAAAUUUCAACAAUAUUUGUUAUUUUCAUAUCUAGGUAAUUUUUAAAUUUCAACAAUAGUUCUUAUGUUUAUAUCUACGUUUAAACCUUUGCUUAUUAUACCCUUAAUAUUAUAAUUUACAGAUAGGAACAAAUCCUAAAGAAGAUGUGGAAUUGCCUUCAGAGAUCAAAAGGUGUAAGAGUACCAUGGAUCUUUUGUUUAAAGUUUACCCCAAUCUGAAUGUGGAAGAGGUAGCUACCGAGACCUACUUACAUGAACGAUCUAUUCUCUCUGCUCGCAAUGAUGAUGUAGCUACUCUUAAUGAAUUAGCAAUAAAUCAUUUUCCCGGUGAAUUACAUGAGUACCUAGCUGCUGAUAAAGCCAUUGAAGAUGAUCAACCAAUCGAGAAUAGGGGAAACGGUAUAUCAAACGAGAAUAUGCAAGCACUGGAUCCACCGAGUCUUCCACCAUUCAAACUCCAACUUAAAGUUGGUUGUCCAAUAAUGUUACUACGGAACCUUCAACCGAGAGAUGGUUUAUGUAAUGGGACGCGUCUAAUGGUUGUCCAGUUUGCUACAAGAGUUAUAGAAGCAAAGAUACUUAAUGGUAGCCAUGCUGGAAAUUAUGUAUUCAUACCACGUAUAACUCUUCAACCAUCUGUUUCAGAAACGCCUUUCCAAAUGGCACGACGACAAUUCCCAGUUCGAUUGGCAUUUGCAAUGACUAUUAAUAAGUCACAAGGACAAUCAGUUAAGUAUGUGGGUAUAGACUUGCGAAACCAUGUCUUCAGUCAUGGCCAAUUAUAUGUGGCAUUAUCAAGGUGUACUUCUUCCAAUCGAAUAUCUGUUCUCCUAGGGAAUGAAGAUGAUGACAAAACAACCAAUGUUGUUUAUCCUGAAGUUCUUCUCUAAUUGAUUACAGGUAUGACCAGAUUACUCAUUCGUAAAGUUAGAUUUUUGCAAUGGCAUUAAAUGCUUGGUAACGGUGAGACCAUUUUGCAAACGUUUCGAAAGAUUUGGGACCAAAUUGACCAAUUUAAACUUUGGGGACUCAACUGAAAAUUUGGACAAAGUUAGGGGACCAAAAUAGCUAAUUUAUCGUUUUCAGUUGGAUUCUCAUUGUAUCAUCAUGAUUGUCCACUCUGGUAUGAUUAAUUGUUGUGACACACUAUUGGACUCCCAGACAAAUAUUGAAUUUUAAAUUCAAAAACUAUACUUUGGAGGUGCCCAACAUUAAACAAUCUGUAACGUGUUAUGUGCUUGGGUUUGAAUUUUAUUUAGCACAUACCCAAACCUCAGUUUAAACUCCUUCCAUUAUGUUGUUGACUGAAUUAUUUGCAUUUUGCCUUUUAUUUUUUCAGGUUGCAAAUUAUUUUAACAUUCCAGAUUGUGGCAAAGAUCAUCAAACAGUAGACUACAGAAUAAACUCAACAUCAAGAAUGAUUUCAGUCCAGAGCAAGAAAAGGUUAGGAAGGACAACCGGUGGGCCUUUGAAUGAAGGACCGAGAUAGAGUGUAAUUUGAGUGGACGGGAUCAUCAUUUUAUUUCCAUUGAAAAUAGUUACUUUUGUCUAGAGUUUUGGGCUAUUUGAUAGAUACUGGUUAGGGAAGAACUUUUAAUACUCUGCCAUUUGGUAAAUAUCUAAUACUAAUUUUAUUUAGUUUAUAUUAAUUGAUAUUGAUGUGAUAUGAUUCUGAUAUCAACUACCUAAUGAUAACUGCCCCUAUUUUGUUCAUACUUUUGUAAUGUCUGUUGGUGUUAGUACAGUUAAUAACUCCACAAGGGAUGUUUAUUAUAUGUUUGUUCCAUAUGUCCCUGAGGAAGUAUUUGUUUUGGUUUUGAAUAUAUAUGUUUAGUUUUAGUCAUUCCGAAUUUGGAUGUUGAUCUUCAGUUUUGUUCUCUGGCUUCGUUCUGGGAUGCAUAUUGUAUUCAUCAAUCAACCUCUUAUUAUAGAACCUGUUACUAUAUGAUCAUUGAGAUGUAAUUUCAAAAACCUGAAAAUAUACAAAUGAUGUUUUUUUUUUAAUCAAAAACAAAUUUUAUUGAUAAAAAUUUGAGAAAUUAUACAAAGUUAGAGGACAAACGAGCUACAAACUACGCUGUGAGCCUCUAUUAUUAUUAUUAGUAGUAGUAGUAGUAAGCGAGGUUAACUUAACGGGAGCCCUCCCCCUAAAUUGUUGGAAAUACUAAUUAUGGCUGCUCAAAAGCUACAUAGACGACCUUCAAUGCUUAGAGAAAAUCAAAAAACAUACAUACGACAAAAAUGCAAUGUUAUGUAAACUGUCAAUACAAACUACAAACAUGUUGCUCCGAGUUUGCGACUUGAUAUAGAAUAUUUUAAGUAUAAUAAUAUAUCCAAGAUUUAAUUAAGUUUUAAUGCUUUCUUUCUUAUUCUUUUAAAACAUCCUUGACAGUAGUAGAAUUCCCAGUACAAUUAUUACCAAGAGUGCAGACUACGGGAUUGCAACUUCAAGUUCAACCAACUCUAAAUCAUAUAUCAACUAAUCAAAAAAAAAAAAAAAUAUGAUCGUCAAAUUAAUCGAACAAACAAAAUAUUUUGAUCUAAAUUAAAAUUUACUAUGCAGUAUAAAAUUAAUUGACAAUCGUGGCAGCGCCACGGGUUUUACUAAUCUAUAUUAUAAUCUACAAAGGGUACAUAAAAUAGAUAAGUUGGGGUUAUAAGUAGCAUUCCAGAUUCUUUCUAGUUCGAAGUUGUAGAUUAGAUCUGCGGCUGUGAUUGGAUUGGAGAUAAACUCAUUUAGCAAUCGUUGGAUUAGAUUGGGUCCAAACUUAAGUUGUGUUGGAUGGUUAGGAUCACAUCAGGAAAACUAACUCUAUCGUUGCUCUAUUGAAACAAUGUAAUUCUUCUUCUCCUUUUCACAUGUUCUUCAUCAUCAUCUUCAUCAUUAAACCAAUAUCUUUGCUUCUCCUUCUCUCUAAUUCAAUUUCUCCACUCUUCAGCACUCUCUCUCUCUCUCUCUCUCUCUCUCUCUCUCUCUCUCUCUCUCUCUUUUCUACUUUGAUUAAGUGAUUUUUUGGGGUGAUUUGAUUGUAUUGACACCUUCAGCAGCAAUAGCAAGCUUUUUGAUACGAUUAAGGUGAACUUUAUUCUCAAUCUUUAACUGUAAUUUUACACCUUCAAUUUCGAAUACUAUUAAUUUCGAAUAGAUUGAGUUGAAUUAAGGGUAAUCCAAUCUUCGUUGGUAAAGCUUAAUUUUAGUCCCUGAAUAAAGAAACCUUUGGUUUCAUCAAUGGCACUGUCUUUUAUAGAUUAUUUUUGCCCAAAGUGUCGUCUCUCAAAAUAAACUUCACCACUAUGUUGUUAAAACCUUUUGUCUUCCUCCUCUCUCUCUCUGCUCUGCAUCAUCAAAGUAAGUUACUGAUUUUGUCUCUGCGAAGCCUCUUUCCAGACCCAAAACUGAAAAAAAAAUUGUUUUGUCUUAAAAUUUCAAUAUAAAUUAAACUAUUUUUUCAUGUCAGCGAUUCAAUUAUUUGAUCAAUAACAAAUAGAUUUUUCUUUAAUUGGCUAUAUUUUACUGUCUUAAACAAAUAAUUAUUUUGUCAAUCAGGUGAAGAGGUUUCAUGUUUCCAUGGAUUAAUUUUAAGUUUGUGGCAAUUUGUUCGGUUCAGUUUGUGCACGAGGUUUUGACAGGUAGAUUAAAUAUCUUGGUUUUUAUGUAAUUUCAUUCAAUGUGAAUCAUUUCAUCCCUAUCACCAAAUUAUUGUUGGCAGAAUUAUUAUUUCAGAUCAUCGUUUUAGAGAAAAUCGACCCAAACUCAAAAAAGUCGAAACACAGUGUUGUCCAAAUAAGUCGUGAGCCUAUUUUUUUUUCUUACACAAUCUAUUUCUAAUAUUCCUCCUUUUUGUUUAUUUUUAUUGUUAUGCUAAAUUGUAAUGCACUUUCAAUAUUGUGUGAUCUUUACUAAGUUCAAUCAAUCUCCUAUCUACUCGAUCAUGGUGUUAUAAUCCUUAAUCUAAUCACUAUUUUCCAUCAACCUGUAUGAUCAAAGAAUUUGAUAUUUAUAUGCAAUUAUCUAUUUCAAAGGACAUCUAUAAUGUGAGUAUUUAAUAUCAACACAGGUGAUAUUGAUAAUGGAGGCCUAUAUGUCCCGGUCACACUAUUUUAAUUCUCACAAACUCCGUUUCACACUUUACCUCUCUCUAUCUCACACGGUUUUUGAAGUUCUAAAAGUUUGUUAAUUUGCUUAUGCAGUUUUUGAUUUUGGAACAUAACUAAUUUAACACUAUUAACCACAGAUGACUGACCUUAAUACACUACUUCAUCAGAUAACUGUUGAGGAGGGUGAUGACUUAUGGACAUAGAGAUUAGUCGUGAACAGGUCAGUUUUCAGUCAAAUCUAUGUAUGGCAAAUUGUGCAAACUAAACACAGGCCCAUCUACUCAACUACAACACUUCCCAACUAAAAUUGUUUGAGACAGACCUUCCCCCCUCAAUAUCAAGAUACUUUUUUGUACAUUAAACUCAUUAAAAUGGGUAAAGCGCUGCCACCAGUCUGUUACAUGUGUGGGAUGUCAAAUGAAUCCACUACUCACUUUUCUGCAUUGUACAAAAAAUUUGUAGAUUUGGACGAUUUUAUUUCUCCCCAGACAUUUACUCAAAGAUUUUUUGUAUAGAGACAGUUCAGUUGGUAGCGUGGCCGGAGAAGCAAGGACCAGAAAUUACUUAGUGGAUUUUGAAUCUACUACCUGCGGCGGUUCUUUGGGUUAUAUGGAAAAAUACAGAAAUGAUCCUUUCUAGACCUUCACCAAAUUGUAUAAGCUGUCUAGACUUUGUAAUCCUUUUUACAAAUUAACAAGAUUUUUCCUUAUAAAGAAAAAAAAAAUACCAUUAACCAAGUUCCUUUAUCUUAAGUUAUCUCUAUACAGCUACAUCCGUUUGAUCACAAAGAGGUGGAUGAUCAACUGUUUUUAUCUUCGAUCAAUUCUCAUCUACAAUACUGGUAUGAAGUCAUAACAUUUUUUACCUUGAUAUAUUGUCCCUAUUUUGCUCACUGGAUAUCAAGAUACAUCCUAUAUCAGGUUAUAUUAAUUAGUGUGCUUUGAUUGGUAUCCUUACUACAAUAACAUAUUAGUUAAUAAUUAUUGGAAUUGAGUAGUGAAGAGAAUUUAGACCCUAGUAUUGGAGUUAAAUUUUGUCUAAAUACUGUAGAUGUUUUCGAGUACAUAGGCAUCACAUUAACAUGUUGCAAGUUAGGACAACUCUUUAGGUAAAAGUCCGCAAUCCAUUUUAUGGUAGUUUGUUUUCAUUGCGUUUCAGGAAGUAUCAGUUUUAUUCAUUGUUGUAUGGGAGUUUUAUUCAUUAUGUUUGCCUUCGGGUUAGUUUUAUUUCAGAGACCUGGAGAAUAUAAAUAUUGUGGUGCAAGUAAAGACUGUAAUUUAGAACUAGCUGAACAUAGGCCAGUUUGCAAUUAAGUUGAUACAAAGUAUAAGGGUUGCAUGUCUCCUCACUGGGUGGCACAAACUUAUGGAAGCAAGAUGAUAGGUGUACGACAACAGCAGGAAGCAACAACAGUAAAUUAAAGGUUUGAGCCUUCCAGGUAAUUACAGUAGCAGCAGUAGGAGUAGCAACGCACUGGCUUGCUGAGGUUUCUUCUUUACUUUUAUUUUUGUUAAAUUUCUUAAUGUAUUUGAUUUUAAUAUUCAGCAGCUUGAGAUCUUUGAAAAAGCGUAUGGAAGAAUGGUCGGAGUUGAACAAAGGAGAUUUUUGCGGGAAAGUCUGGUCCAUUCUUCCUUAUGCCGUGGUUUGGUUCAUUUGGAAUGAUGUUAUCUUUAGGGAAAGGACUGCAAGUUUACUGACAAUGCAGUUCUGAGUUAUGUUGUGACAGAGUUAGUCUGGAGCAAAGGGGUGACAUCAGAUUCAUGGAUCUGUUGAAUGACUUGGAACUAUGCAUGCUCAAGGGUAGACUUUGCAGUUUUCUGAUUGGCUGUGGAUGAAGUUUAUGGAAUGGUGUUGCUUGUUGGUUUUGUUUUUGGCUGCAUAAUGUAAUUUGUAUGCUUUGUAAGUGUGUUGUGUGUAAGCCUUUUGGGGGAUUCGAUCCCAUGGUGCGAGACCUGACGGUGUAAUACUUCAGUUGUACAUUCAAGUUCAAUGUCACUGAGCCAUGGUUCACAGAAGGUCUCAAUAUCAUUCAAAAACCUGUUAAAUUUAUUGGACUGUGUUGUUUGUGUUCAUGAGGAGUAUUUCUCCAAAUCAAACAGUUAAAACCUUCAAUGCCCCAUCAGGUCCCUCAAAACUACUAACCAAACAAACACAUAAGGUACCUUUGACAUUCAAGCUCAAACAUGUUGUAACCAACUAACCUGGGCAUGACCGUAGAAUUAUUAGGAACUCGAAGUUCAAUGUAACUGCCCCUGGUUCACAGAAGUGUGAAUGUGUGAUCAACUACAGAUAGCUCUUUCAGCGCUCAGAGCGAAAUAGUAUGCAUGCGUUGUUUAUGUUAAUGAAGAACAUCAUAUCAAUAUUACACAACCGACCAUGAACGUUUCAGAACCUGCCAACAGUAAAUGUUCUCUAUGAUGCCAUUUUGGUAUUUCACCAGUCCAUGGUUUACUAAUUUACUUCGUUGUCAACCUUCUAGGGGAGAAAAGCUAGGUAAAAUACAUGGUAUACCUAUUGUUAGUGUUAACACACAAAGAGAACCUAAGAAAGUGAAUCCUUAAGCUCCGCUACCUAAUCCUCAAAAACUGCUAGAUAUACUUAUUAUGGUUGCUAAAUAACUGAGCUAUAAUGUUAUGUAGGCUGAUAAUACAACUAGACUAAGAAAAGACUCUUAAGUUUAGCCUUUGAAUGUGUUUGCUUAUGACCCUUUCUUCAUCUGUAUACAUUAGACUUUGGAUCCUUCUACGUACAAGAUCAGGGAGUACCAUUCAUUACUUCUUUACAAAUACUACAACCUACUAUGUCAAUAGAUCAAAAACUAAAUUACAAUUUUAAAUAUACUUUACGUUGAAAUCAAAAUGCUUAGAAAGUGUUGUCGAUAUGUUAUCCUUUCUCAAGAGCUUUGUCUGGCAUUACGCUUGAAAACCCUUAUAUCCUUGGUGUACAGGGUAUAAUUGAUAUUAUAUUACUCCAAAACAUACUUGAUUAGUAUUCAGUUAUCGCAGAACUUCUUUUUACUACUGUUGUUAUUUUUUUAUUAUUGCCAAACUCUAAAGGUAACCAAAUUAAUUUAAAGUGGUACGCUUUCUAUUAUAUGUCAAUUUAUUAAUAAAUCUGUGUCAUUUUAUAAUUCAGAGGAAACUAAUGGUUUACUCUUACAAAGUGGUGGACACAAAUCGUAGAAAUCAGCAAAUUUCGAAAAAUAUCAAUAAUGGAUGGUAUCUAGCUGUUUUUUACGACAUACUUACUCAUCAUAAUAUAUAUUUACUGUAUCUAGACGAGUUUUUGGAUGCAGUUAGAAGGGAAAAUAUAACGAAAGUAAUACAAUCAAUAUUUGAAGAUAUAGAUGACGAUAAUAAAGAUUAGUUUGAGCUAUAUGGUUCACCUAAAUAUUUUAUUGGACUUAAGAUUGUAUGGUUUCUUCUUUUAUGUCACUUUUAUUACUUGGUAGCUUACAAUUUUACACCAAUAAUUUAGGAUCAUAGCGACUUCGAUUUAUUAAAAAUGAACUAUCCUAUAAUGUAGAAUUACAAUAGUUUUAAAUUAUUAUAUCGUAUUUUUGAAUUAUGCGAUAACAAUAGUGUGGGUGCAAAACUUUGAUCUACAAACUCGAGAUAUGUAUAGAUUAAUCGAACAGUUACAAUGAAAGUCUUGUAUAGACAGAGAUUAGAUGGGGGUAUAUAAUCAGACUAAACCUGACGAGGAUCAGGCUGCCUACGUACGUAUCCAAGAAGAUGAACUUGAGAUCAAGUCUCUGCUUCCACUAAGCUCUAAUGGAGUUGCUCCGAGAAAGACUCGUAGUUCAGGAGGUUAAGAACUCUUGUAUUUGUAGUAGGCUGGAGGAGGCUAGCUCAACCACCCCUCCGAUUUUGACUCCAUGAACUCAAGUAGUUCAAAUGUGAAGAUGUUUUACGUAGCGAUAGCUUGCACGUUGCUGAGCGGUUAUCCCUUUGUUUGAAUUCCCUUUGACCAGGAUGAUUGCCACGUGGCAUCCUCUGAUAGGCUCUAGUUCAAUCUGGGUCUUCCUUUAUCUUCUCCAGCGGGCUAGAAUAAUGGGUUCUAUUAGCCGGGAAUCUCGUUGGACUUAUCCAGUUGGUUGAGGCUUGGAUUGACCAAGCCUGGAAGCAAAGACUUGGGCUUGACUCCUCUGACCGGAGGCCCAAUCUUCAUUGCAUACACCCUGGCCAGGUCCUCUGGACUUCUAUGUUAAGCCAUUGGAUGAGCCUCUGUCGCUGUUGGACUUUACUGGGCCGGACCUGGCCUACUUGACUGAGGUGGGCUUGGUCGAUGUAUGGGAGCCCACGGUUCAACUUCUUAUACAGUAACCGGGGCUCCACCCAUUGAUCGUGGACUAUCUGGUGGAUCAAGGUCCACAAAGAGUAUGUGGACUGUAACGCCCCGGGAUUUCGUCCUCGCUCAUCCCGGUGCGUCGAGCACCAUACCGCUCGCUAAUGUCAAUAUUGUCCCCCUUUAGUCACUACGGAUAUCCAGCAGUAGAGGGCUUUGGAUCAGGGCCCACCCAUGUGGCUUACCCCAAAAGGCCUUGACAUUAGUUAGAGUAUGGUUAAGCUCUAUAUACUACCAAUAAAACCACUUCCUUGGCAAUGUGGGACUAACACCAACUCAUGGGUGUUACAAUCUCACCACCUUAGAAAUAGAGCCGUCCUCGGCUCUGCAGUACGCUCAGUACAGUCCCAAAAUCUCCGACGUUCCCUGCCAAGUGAGACAAGUACCUGGCGCUCCCUGGGCUUUUCCAGCGUACUUUCCCACUUGCAACAGGCGACCCGUCGUCGGCUUUGAUACCAACUGUAACGCCCCGGGAUUUCGUCCUCGCUCAUCCCGGUGCGUUGAGCACCAUACCGCUCGCUAAUGUCAAUAUUGUCCCCCUUUAGUCACUGCGGAUAUCCAGCAGUAGAGGGUUUUGGAUCAGGGCCCACCCAUGUGGUUUACCCCAAAAGGCCUUGACAUUAGUUAGAGUAUGGUUAAGCUCUAUAUACUAUCGAAACAACCACUUCCUUGGCAAUGUGGGACUAACACCAACUCAUGGGUGUUACAUGGACUCCUUGAGACCGGGUUGGGCCCUGAGGAUAGCCCAGGCCUGGAUGGCUAAUCCUCAGGUGCUCCUGGUUUAGCUUCUUAUACAGCCAUCGGUGACACAUGUCGGUUUUUUACCUGGGGUACACACAUUGCCCCCUCUUUGUCAAGUAGAAAAUCUGCUUGGGAAAUAUCUUCCCCGGCUGUUGAGAUUCGGAGGAUUCCUUCCUUGAUACGACUCCUGAUGACGAUUCCGCAUCUCUUAGAUCAAGGACUAGGGUUUAUUUCCUCCCCAAUAAAUAGCAAACCGGAGGUGUAGAAGGAUAUCCACUUCUCUUCCCCCGGUUUUUAUUGUUAUUGUUGUUGCUGAAGCUUCUACUGGAGAAUGGCUGACGACCGGGUUGCUGACUUAGCUCACCGUGCAUUCAACCUCAAAGUGGAACAUGUGUUCAACCGUGUGCAGGCCCAAGAAAAGAACCUUGAGAGGGUCGUGCGAUUGGAACAUGACAUGAAGUUGUCUCUCAAGAAGCGAUACGACAUUAUUGCAUACCUGCACCGAGAUCUCCGGCUUUCUGAAGAUUCGCUUAAACAGGUCGAAGACCAGAUUCAGAACUUGAAAGAGAAGGUUUGGAUCCUUGGCAAUGCUGCGGCCGGGGGUACUAGCUGGGAUCAAGCCACUAUUUCCCCUCCUACUACCUCGGACUUUCAAAUGGGGGGGGGGGGGGGUAUGUCCAAAAAUCUCUAUUAUAUAUGGCUGCAAUGACUAGUAACAUCUUAAUAGAUGUUAUCUUCGUGAUUAGUGAGUAGUUGUCAAGAUAGUUUAAACCUUCUUUUGACAACUCUUGUGCUAGUAAACUAGCUUUAUAUUUAUCAAUGGAACCAUUAGGUUUCAUUAUUCUCUUGAAAACUAGCUAUUUAUACCCGAUUGAUUUACUUCUUAAAAAAAGAUAAAUUAAUCCCAAAUAAUAUAAUAGUUUCAGUCUCACUAGCUGUCAAUUUCUCCAAAGUAAAGCUUUAAGAGAAGGCAUUGCCUUCAUGCUCAAUUUCUAUCAUAUAUGAUAGAAAAUCUAGACCAAAAGAGUUAGAGGUUCUAGCCCCUCUUAGUCUAUAUAAUUCAGUUUUAUCUGAAUCACAUUUUCAUUCAUUUGUCUCACAAGAUACCAAAAUAUUUAUUUUGGAGUAGUGUCAAUGUGAUCUUUCCUAUGUGGAAAGACAGUCUCACAAAAUGUGAUAUCACAUGACUUUAUUAUAGUAUUUGAUACUAUAUCUCUAUUUGUUCAAAUUUACCUACCCAAAAAUAUGAACAUGCUAAUUAUUUUGAGCAUAUUCCAACAAAUAGCAUUCACUCAUUUUAAUGUCUAAGUUUGGAUCUCUUUUUAUUGGAACCAUAACUUUGGGCAUAUACCCCCACACUUGAAGGUAUUUAUAAGCUGUCAUCCUUUUUCCAUAUUUUAUAUGGAACACAUCAUUUUUCUUAUAGGGUACUCCAUAUGUAAUUAAGCAUACGAAAUAUUUUGAUCAACAUAAAUUUGAACCAAUAAAGAUUCGUAUUCACCCCCUUUAUCAAGAUGUUAUGAUCUUAAUUUUCCAAACUGAGCUAUCCUCCCCCCCCCCCCCCCCCCCCCAUUUGAAAAAGAAUUGAGAUACCCCCCCAAUUCAAGAUGUUGUGUUAUCUUAGCCGUCCAUCAUAAAACUCACCUACGGCUGUAAAACUCUUCUCUCUUGAAUUGGGGGGGUAUCUUAAUUUUUUUUUCAAAUGGGGGGGGGAUUGGGGGGUAUCUCAAAUUUCUACUUUCAAAUGGUGGGGUAUGUCCAAAAAUCUCUAUAUAAUAUGGAAAUUCAUCAAGAGGACGAAUUAACUGAGAUGGAUCAACUAGAAAUGUUCCAAAUCCAAGGAUAAGGAAAUAAAAUGUGUAAACUGGUUAUAUUCUUAUAUGGUUUAAAAUAACUUCCAACACAAUGGCAUGUGACGCUAGUUGGAGUUAUAUUAAAGAAAGGGUUUUCACAUCAACUAAUUAGACAAGUGUUUCUAUUUCAAGCAAGUAUACGAGAAUUGUAUAAUUGGUUGUUUAAAUGUCGAGGACAUGCUUAUUUUCAAGACUAAUAAUGAAGUCAUUAAGUCUAUGAAAAUAUGUUUAACAAACAAUUUUGAUGUGAAAAAUCUAGAGAUUCUAGACGUUUAUCUUGAGAAUUAAGAUAAUAAGAUCUCCUAAUGUGCGAACUUUAUCUCAAUCAAUUACGUUGAGAAAAUGAUAGAUAUAGACUUAUGCAAUAUGGAAUUACUAAGGUGGGUACUCCUUGUAUUCCAUUUGUGGUGUUGCAUAAAAUAUUGGUCCUACCAUUUUUCAACUCGAGCAUUCUCGUAAUAUUGGUAGAUUAAUGUACAUUGUGACUUGUACAAGACCAUAUAUUGUUUAUUCUAUCAGUAAACUAAACACUGGGAUGUAUUACUACGAGUAUAAGUAUUUGAGGAAUGCAUAUUACAUAUUGCAUUAUGGAGAAUAUCCAAAUGUCCUUGAGGGAUACGUUAAUGCAAAUUGAUUUUCUUAUACAAGAAAAUCAAGAACAAUUAGUGGUUAUGUGUUUAUCAAAGCACAUAGUUGCAAUUUCAUGGAAAUCUUCUAAACAAAUGUGCAUUGCACAAUCCAUAUGGAAUUUGAGUUUAUAGCUAUAAGUAAAACAAGUGUAGAAGUUGAGUGACUUCAAGAAUUUUAGAAGAUAUUCCACUAUGGCCUAACAAUGUGGGGGUCAUGUGAUAACCAAGCAACAAUUUACAGAAUAGAAAUUUUUUUUGUACAACAGUUUGUUAUGACGUAUAAAUAAUACAUCGUAGACAUAAUACCGUGAGGCAGUUACUCUCAAAUGGAAUUAAAUCCAUUGAUUAUGUGAAAUCAAAAGAUAACCUAACGGAUCCAUUUAUUAAGGUUUAUCUAGAGAGAAAAAUAACUGUGCAUUGGGGGGACCUAAAGCCUAAACCAAUACGAGUUAUCCUAUACGGAAACCUAACCUAGCGACUGGAGAUCCCACUGACUAGGUUCAAUAGGACAACCAGUUCUGAGUAACUCACACGGGAGCACUUGGGAGUCCUACUGCAUCCUGAUUCCUAUGAUGCAACAAGUGCAACCUACAUGCGAUAAAGAGGUUAAGCUAUGCUUUUAAUGAUGUCUAUAUCUUGUGAAAUACAAGUGAGGUAUUGUAGGAUACCUUUUAUAGAAGCGGUCACCUAUGUUAGUGAGAGUUGGGUCGGCUCUAUGAGGAUUCUUAAAGGCAGAAUUUCUCUAAUAGCACUCGCAGAACCUAAGAUUGUUCAGUGCCAAAAUGAAGACAACCGAGAAUUGAAUUUGAAUCGGAACAAUGUUGUGCAUGAUUUAUUGUCUUGGUUUACACCAACAACUGACAGUUCAAGAUGAAAUAUUUCACUGAUUAGCUAAGUAAAUCCGAUAGGCUUAUGCUACGGAAGGUUCAAAGUGAAAUAUCUACCUAUCCCGAGGCAAUAUUGUUCCAACAUACUCUUCGAAAUUUUUGAGAUGUUGUAGAAUCGUUUUCAUUCAUGUGGGGGAUUGUUCAAGGAAAAUUCCAUUAUAUAUGAAUGAAACAAUGUUCUAUAGUCCCAUAAUGGGUUGUGGCCUUGUUUGGAUCUUAAACAUUGUAGAUAAUUGUCACUCAUGUGGGGGAUAGUUGGAAAUAUAUUUUUUAAUAAAAUAUUUUGUUAUGAGUGAAAAUUAAGGAGAAAAGGUGCAUCCAUUGGAUAAUACCUUUUAGGAAUUGUUGUGACCAGAUUCAGUGUAUUUUUCAUAAUUCUUUAUGAAAAGACAUGUCUUUUCCUUUAGUUUACAAUAGGUGCCUAUUUGUGAAAAGGUACUUUGAAACAACUUAUCACCUUUUUGUAAAAGGUGUAUGUAUGUGAAAAGACACUUAUGAAGAGACACUUGUGUAACUAUAAAUAGUGUGCUAAUUAUUGGUCAAUUAGUAUACAAUUAAUUAUACUAUAAAUAGUGUGUUAAUUGUUUGCUAGUACUCUACUAUUACAGUGCGGUUUAGUAGAGUGAAGAACGGUUGUAUCUUCGGAGACCAAUCGUCCAGUGACUGUUUGCACCAUAGCAGGGAUGUAAUAUUGUCUUAAGAAAAUUGCUUCGACAAGCCUCAGUUCAUUUCCUUCUCCAAAAUCCGUAUGAGCAAAGUGGAGUAAGUGUUUACUUUUAAUUUGAAUUUAUUGAGUGUAAAUUCAUUUGAGUUUAUUCUUUUAUUAGAAUUAUUUUUGUAAUGUGUAUUACUUUAUUUUAUCUUGGGUUAUUAUUAUGAGUUCACACAUAUCGUUACCAACAAUUACUUCUAUAUUUGUCAUGUUAUUUCCUUAUGUUGUUGUUGGUCACUGACAUAUUCUGUCGUCUACGUUUUAGAUAAAUAAAAGUUUUUAUUAAGCUAAAAAAAACUGUAUCAUAAAACUGCAAGUUCCGAAAUAGUAUAUAUGCUACUGCAUCUAAGCAUGUAAUUUAAUUGAUAUUUAAUUCAUAUAUUUUUGUACGGAAUAGGUUUAUAAACCUAAUCAUAGAGAAAGUAAACCAUUGUUGUUUCUUUGACCAGAUGGUGUUUCACAGGCACGCUCAUUAAGAAACUGUUUGACAAACUACUCAUAGAAAACUAAUACAUGAUUGACUAUCACUAUCAUAGAAAAUUAUAGAAGAUGGCCAUAGCAGUGUAUCACUGUAUGCUCUCUAAUUGUUAUCAAUUGGCAAGUACUUAGUUGCGACAAAUGGACGACUAUGAUAGAAAUAACAUAACCUGACAGUGGGCAACAACAAUGGCUUAAGAACACUUAUUUAGGGUGGUGAAAUGGUGAAUCGCCAGAAAUAACCAUUUACAAUGCUGAUGUAGACAUGCCAGCUGAUCUAGCUCUCUUUGCCAUUGUAUUCAAUAAGGCAAAGCACUUAACUCUUAUUUCUCCAAGGGCAAUGAUGUUGUACUUCAGGAAUGCAAUUUACUGAUUACUAACUUUGUUAUGGUGCUCGAUCUUUCAGGGAGAAAAAUGUGUUGCUGGAUUUCGUGUUUAUGUCCAGGAAGAGAUUUAUGAUAAUAUUGUACAAACAAUUCUACAAUGCCAAUAAAUGACCACCUGUAGAAUGCUUAUGCCAGUCCAGGAAUAAUCAGUUUGGUAAAUAAUUGAUGCUCUAAUAUAUGCCAGUCCAGGAAUAAUGUGGUCUGAAAGCUCAAAUAUAUGCCAGUCCAGUACAUAGAAAUAGUCGACAUUUUAUUGAGGAUGGAUUUGUGCACCUAGAAUGAAAGAAGAACGCACUACUGCAGACAAGUUUAAUCUAAUAGCCCGACUAUUGAAAACAAAUACUAGAGGUCAUAUUACUCAUAUGGUGCAUGGCAGAUUCUUGUAUAACAAAAACUAAUUUCAACAAACCACUAAAAGAACAACUCCAUCAUCUAGAAUAUCAAUCUCAGAGAGUUCAAUUAUUAUUUAUUUAUUUUUCCAAAACUCUAAUAUUUAGCAAGGGCAAAUUAGUGACAAAAAAUGAUUGGAAGUUAACAAACUAAUUUCCACAAGAUAUGGGGCCAUGUGUAACAAUCCUAGCGGGGUGGGUAGGGUGGUGAGCAAAAUAUUUAUCCUUCUUUUUGGCAAUCUUAUCUCUAGAUCAAAUUCAAACCACAAUUGCCACAUAUGCUAAGAUAAAACCCUUUAUAGAUGAAGAUUUCAAAUAAGAUAUUGUUGUUCCUAUUCUUAUAUAUCUGGGGAAAUAUGUUCAAUCAAUGUAAUGGUUUCAAAAAUUUCAAUACAAUGUUAAUAUUUAGUCUUUACUAAGUUCAAUCAAUCUCCUAUCUACUCUAUCAUGGUAAUAAGUCUUAAUCUAAUCUCAAUUUUCAAUCAACCUGUGUCAGAGUAUUAGAGGUGAUGAAAAUAUUUGAGUUUGUAUGAUAAAUAAGGAUUGAAUUACUCAUAGUUUGUAUCAUAAGCUUAUCAUAACAUCACUGACGUUCAUUAAAAUUGUUUGAAAUAAUCCGAGGUUAAUUAUUUUAGUUAAUGUUGAAGUGUAUGGUGUUGAAAUAGUCCUUGAAGACAUUCAUGUUCACUUUACUGUAUUAUCAACAUGGAUAAUGAUGAUAGAUGUUCUUAUGAACACUACAGAACACUUCUUCCGAGAAUGGAUGAAUGAAUAACAUGGCUGUUGUAUUGGAACCACUGAAGCCAAUAAUUUAUUUUUUUUUUAUUUUUUUUUUUUUGCAGAAGAGUCAAACUGUGGAUUCUCAUCUUCUAAGGCUGCAGGACUCCAUCUAUAAUAAGUCGGGUACGUUUAAUUUGUUUUAUCACAAUGAGUUGAAUAGGAUUGCCAGUCUUCCUUUGGCUCUGCUUUGUUAACCCUCCUGGUAGUCAGAUUUCAAACCUGAUGUCAACUUUCAGUCUUUCACUAUUUUCUACAGUCUGCUAAAAGAAACCGUAUUUGAUUUGUACCAUAUAUUCCAAGUACACCAAGCCUUGUGAUCAUGUGACGUAGAUAGAAGCAAUUGUGAUGCCUUAGGAUUACCACAGUGAAAGACUGAAAAUUGUCUGAAAGGCGCUUUCAGCAUUCUUAUGUUGUCUUUAAUUUUAAUUUUUAUUGUUCAGCGGCGACAUAUUUUAUUUCUAUUGGAUCCGUGUACAUUUAUAAAUGGUUGUGUUGUUAGCAAACAACUCAUGUUUGUAAUGGGAUUUUGUGAUUAAAAUUCUCAUUUUACGUGAUUAAAUUUUAUAAGUUGACAUAAAUGUGUAUUAGUUCAUAUUAAGCGAGAUAAGGAGACACCUUUAUGGCUUUAUUGAUUAGCUAUCUUUAGCAAUUUUCAGAAAGUUUGUAGCACUCAUUGGAAGCUAAAUCUUUCAAGAGUUAUAAUAGAUGUUGACAUGGUGUAUUCCACCGCGUAAAAUUCUCAUGUUGAACUCACUGUGGCUCUUCACUAUGUAUUUAAUCUUCCACAAGGCAAGAUACUUUGGGAUCUUGGACAUCAUGUCCCUUUCUUCCUUCUUUUUCCUUACCUGUCUACGUAGAGAGAUUUAUCGUUCUAAUUUGAUUGCAAUAUAAGAUACAGCUAAUCAAAAGAUUUAGGAAUAAUGGUUCGAGAACACUAAAAAGCUGAUCAGUGGUUCUAAUUCAUCACUAUUUGAGGAGCUGGGUCUCUAUUACAUUGGUCCAGUAGAGUACUCAUAUAACAGGUCCAGUUCUCAUUCAUGUUGUGACUGAUAAAGGCCGAGGAUACCCAUACGCAGAAAGAGCUGCAGACAAGUAUCAUGAUACACAAGUAUUAACUGCAAUUAGUAUACUACUAUUGGAAAUGUUAAGAUUUUAAAUCAAUGCUUUAUCAUUGCAGAUGUAACCAAGUUUGAUACCAGAAAAGAAUUCAAAGGCAGCAACAACACUCAGUCUUACACUACCUAUUUUGGAGAGGCUUUGAUUGCUGAAGCAGAAGUAGACAAGGCUAUUGUAGCCAUCCAUGCCGCAAUGGGAGAAGGUACAGGCAUUAAUCUCUUCUUUCGAUGCUUUCCUACUAGAUGCUUUGAUGUUGGAAUUGCGGAGCAGCAUGCUAUAACAUAUGCAGCAGGCCUUGCUUGUGAAGGCCUUAAACCUUUCUGUGCAAUAUAUUUGUAUUAACCUGUUUCCAGAUUAAUGCAUUAACGAGGUCAGGUCGUUGGACUGACCAAGGUGGGAGUUUUGAGAUCGGGGAUGGCUGCACCUCGAUGAGAUCGAGAUUGCCUACGUACUCUAGUUCGGGGGAGUGGAACUUAGAGACCAAGCCAUCGUAGUUCUGUUCUUAUAGAAGAUGAAAGGGCGCAGAUCAUGGGAUCUUGCAGAUUCUCCAACAUCUUGAUGAUUGCGUGAUAUCUGGCAUUGAUUACGUAACGGGCGAGGAUAUUCUCUGUGCAUGGAUUGCGCAACGGGCGAAGAUAUUAUGUGCAUUGAUUAAGGGCACGUGUAUAUGAAGAGGUCGCCAACGGUUGCAUAAUCGAGCUGCUCUGGUCGUGCAGUGAGCGACAUGGUGGAAUAUUGUGCAGGCCACGUAUCGUGUUUUGAUUGGCUGGUGUAUGUAGUACCCCUACAAUAUUCAUCCUUCUUACAGAGAGCUUAUGACCAGGCAAGUCAAAUAUUCUCAUCAUUAUUAUGUACAUUACAGAUUGAUUACAAAGUCCAAAUAAGUAGUUAUUGUUCGUCGUUCUUUUUGUGAACACUGGAUGCGAACACAAACAACACAGUUGGAUAGUUUUAUUCAUAGUAUUAAUUAUGUUUUACCUUAUUAAUAUACAAACAAAUUACCUUCUGUCAUGCUCAUAUUUCUUCAAUUGACCUUCUGCACAUUCUCUAAAUGACUAUAUUUAAUGCUUAAUAUUACGUUUUCCAUAGCCAGAAUAUUCGAACCAUAAGUAGCUUAUGUAAAUAGUUGGACCUGUUUUGUCUGCAGGAACUUAAGUUCUAAUCAUUGGAAGGUUCCAUCAAGGCGUCGUCAAAAGUCUCUUGUUUGUCUGUGAGUAUAUCUGAGCCUUUUCCAGCAAACAUCCUUAUCUCUACCAUUUUACCGUGAGCGUUUGGUCAUUUUUUGUAUUGCUUAUUGAUAAAUUAUCUUUGUGCUUAGGUGAUGUAGAACAGUGCUGACGUCAUCACAGCCAUGUUGACAUCAUUUUUAGAAAUUUAUUUAUUUAUAUUUUUUUUUUAUCUUAUUAUUUUAUGUAGUAAUUUAUAUUUUAGAGUCUAUAAGUUCUAGAAUAGCUGGUUUACUAUUAGUUUGAUAUUAGUAAUACAAUUCAAAGUAGGAUUUGUAUUUUGAUUUAUUUGUUUAGGAAGUCCUAGUGCUAGUUGGUCUAAGUCUUUAGUCUAUAUAAAGAGUCAUGCUUUUUAGAAUAAUUAUUCAAUUAUUCAAUCAAUACAAUUAAGAUUUGUCUCUACAAUUUAUUUUUUCUUUAGUUUUGUUUUAGUUCUUGUUUCAAGGCAAACCUCCCCUUGGGUUAUUCAAGGUUUGAUUUUUAAUCGCUUCCGCUACGUCAAUUGGUAUUAAGAGUUUCGUUUCGAUCCUACAAUGGUUAAUGACAGAGAUUCUUCACCCCUCUUCCAAGUCGGUAAUCUUGGAGAUUAUGUGACGAAGGUUGAAUUCAAUUCGGCUAUUAUUCGUCUCACCGCUUCAAUCGAUAAACUUACUCUUCGAUUUGAUAAGUUUAAAUGUAAGUAAUCUAUUGUUGAUGCUCCUACCCUCCCACCCUCUACUAUGACCAACAUAUCCCAACCACCCCAAUUUUCCACCACCACCCCAACUUUACCAUAAGGUUCCAAUAUUGACUUCACAUCUCUCCCUAUUCAUGGUUGCCCCCAAACACCACAAAACCUAUUUUCACAUCCCUACCCAUACAUACAACCCUAUAGUAACUCCCAACCAUCUCAACUCUCCAACACUCUACAAGUUCGCACCACUUAUACCACUAUUGUUUCUCCAUUUCAAUCUCACUACCAACUCCUACAUUCAACCAAUAAUGUCCCACCCACUAUACAAAAUUUCCAACCACCCCCCAAUCUUCCUAUUAAUCGUUUUCAACAAACUUAUCACCGUCGCGUCCCUCGAGCACCAAAUUCUUAUCUUGAUGAUCGUGAUAGUGAUGAUGACGCUGAAAAUUACUAUCAACAAGCAUGCCCUCAACCUCAACAACAACACAACAACAACUUUCAUACUUAAUCUGACCAGUUUCGCAUGAAAAUUGAUCUCCAUACUUUUACUGAUAAUAUAAAUAUUGAGGAGACUCUUGAUUGGAUUCAUGAAGUUGAGAAUUUCUUUGAGUACAUGGAUACUCCCAAACAUGCACAAUUUAAGCUCGUGGCAUAUAAACUCAAACAAGGUGUUUCUGUUUGGUGGGAACAACUCAAGGCUCAUCGUCGAAAGAAUAAUAAGCGGGAUAUUGUUUCUUGGGCACGUAUGAAAACUUUGAUUAUGGAGCGUUUCUUGCCUAAGGAUUAUGAGAAAAUUUUAUACAACUAAUUGUCAUCGUGUCGCCAAGGAUCUCAUAGUGUUGAUGACUAUGCUACUGAGUUUCAUCGCUUGGUGUCUCGAAAUAACAUUGUGGAAAGUGAAGAUCAAUUAGUUACUCGUUUUCGUAAUGGUUUGAAUAGGAAUAUCGUGGAGAAGAUUUUUCACUCAAUUCCUACCUUGGCCGAUGCAAUUCAAAUUGCACUCAACAUUGUGCAACAUAAUAGUUUUCGCACGAAUUCUAGUAAGUCAUACUCUUCUCCAUAUUCUUCUCAAUCUUAUCCAAAUCGUCGCAACAACUACAACCCUUCACCAUCAUCUACUGCACACCACAAUAAUCAAAAUUCUCCAAACACUAACUAUUCACCCAACACUCCUACAAACAAUCAAUCCACACUUGCUUUCAACGAUGAUCAACCUUCACCUACCAAAGCUUCACAAACCACCCAACCAAGCAAAACCAAUCCAUAUGCUUACCCUACCAUGCCCAAUUGUUACCCUCGCAGCCAAUCGGGACAUAAGCAACAUGAAUGUCCCAAAUGAGAUAAGUCUAGAGUUAACUUUAUUGAUCAUGAUGAAAAUGAUUGCGAUGAUGACUAUUGUGUGUACCCUAGGUAAAAAGCCCGACAGGUGUCACCGAUGGCUGUAUAAGAAGCUAAAUCGGAAGCACCUGAGCAUUAGCCAACCACGCCUGUGCUGUCGGGUAGGGCCCAACCCGGUUUCAAGAGAUCCGCAUACGCUCUGUGGACCGUGACUCACCGGAUACCACUAUCAAUGGGUGGAGCCCUGGUUAUUGUAUAAGAAGUCGAACCGUGGGCUCCCAUACAUCGACAAGGCCCACCUCAGUCAAGUAGGACAGGUCCGGCCCAGUAAGGUCCAGCAGCGCACAGCGGCUCAACCAAAAGCUUAGCACAAAAGUCCAGAGGACCUGGCCAGGGAGUAUGCAGUGUAGAUUGGGCCUCCGGUCAGAGGAGUCAAGCCCAAGUCUUUUCUUUCAGGCUUGGUCAAUCCAAGUGCCAACCAACUGGAUAAGUCUAGCGAGAUUCCAGGCCAACAGAACCCAUGGUUCUAGCCCGCUAGAGAAGAUAAAGGAAACCCAGGUUGAACCAUGACCUAUCAGAGGAUGCCAUAUGGCAGUCAUCCUGGUCAAAGGGGAUUCAAACCAAGGAGAUAACCGCUCGGCAGCAUGCAAGCUAUCUCCAUGGAAAGCAUCUUCACAGUUGAACAACCCGAGUUCGUGGAGUCAAAAUCGGAGGGGUGGUUGAGCCAGUCUCCUCUGGCCUACUACAAAUACAGGAGUUCUAAACCUCCUGAACUACGAGUAUUUCCCUGAGCAACUCCAUUAGAGCUUAGUGGAAGCAGAGACUUGAUUCCAAGUUCAUCUUCUUGGAUACGUAGGCAGCUUGAUUCCGACCAGGUCUAGUCUCACUGUAUUCUCACAUCCUAUCUCUGUCAAUACAAGGCUUUCAUUGUAACUGCGAUUAAUCUAUACAUAUCUCGAGUUUGUGGAUCAAACUUUUGCACCCACACCGUGGGGCUCAAUCUCCCAUCAGUUCCAGAGCCUUGCAAGGAAUCUCAUUCCAGUCAUACCGGAGUUGCUGCAGCAAUGGCCGGAAGUAAGAGACGCCCAACUCGUUCCAACAAUGGAAUGAGUCAAGUUAGUGAAAGUCAGACAGAGAACCUUUCUCCUUUGUCUUCGUUUCUUGAAGCAACAGAACCGGUGAAUCAAGAAUCAGUUCUCGGGAGUGAAGGCCAUGAUCAGGGCUCACAACACUCUGAAAGUGGACAGCCGGAGGUAGAACACUUAGUGGUACAAAUCACUAAUGAUCCUGGUGAUCCUAAUACAGUCAACCGAACCAUCAGGAUACCAGCAUCACAAGAUCCUGAACCUUCCAGGGCAGCCGCUACAAGAAGAAUCCAGAGAAUCUUUCCCCUGACAACGGGAGGAGGUUAUACUGAGCAGCAGAAAGGAAAGGACCAGCGGUCGAGUCCCCAACUACAAUCAUCAAGCGACUGACUAAGGAAAAUACGGAAUUAAGGAGAAAAAAAGAGAACCUGGGCCGGAGAUAGCCAGUUAUCUUCAGCCCUAUCUUCGUGUCCAUCUCUUCAGAAGAAGAUAAGGCCACGGUCAAGUAGUGACUGGAGUCUUACCCCUCAUAGCCAUGGUCCCCGUCCUGUCUGGGAUAGGCUAGCACCAGGGAGAGAUAGGAUGUCUAUCUCUCCAGUUCAGAGACAUCGCCGCAGACGUGCAAGCACCCGGGCUACGUCAUGGCUGCAGGAUUGCCCGCAACAAAUUUGUCGAAAAAACCACUCCUCCAGGGAGACUGCGCCGGAGGAGGCACCAGAGUACUCCCCCGACAUAUCACGGUCAUAGAUCAAGGAGCCCUCAAGGGAUCCACAUUCAUCAGAGACAACCGGAGUAGAAAGUGGAACAGAUGAAUCAACUCAAGCAACAUGAGAUGAUCGACUUAGCUGUAUCCAAUAAAGCCAACCGGGAUGAGCGAAUCAGAAAGCUUCCUCUUUCGAGACUAGCCGUAUCACCUCUAGAAGAAGAGGUCAGGAGCCAUAUGGUCCCGGCCAACUUCAAGCAGCCGGCCUUCGAACAGUAUGACGAGACUAGCGGUUGUCUAGUUCAGCAUGUUAUGAACUAUAAAAGCACCAUGGCCAUCUAAGACCAUGAUGACAAACUACUAACGUUGUUGCUUCACUCAAAGGCGAAGCAUAGACGUGGUAGCACAAUCUGCCACUCGCAUCCAUCAACACAUCCAUGGCCAUCUAAGACCAUGAUGACAAACUACUAACGUUGUUGCUUCACUCAAAGGCGAAGCACUGACGUGGUACCACAAUCUGCCACUCGCAUCCAUCAACACAUUCGUACAACUGGCUGAGUUGUUUGAAGAAAAGUACCGAUUCAAUGUGAAGACCAAGAAAGGAGCUGAAGUCUUGUUCUCCUUAUAGAUGUACCGGAGCGAAACACUCAGGAAUUUCGCCCGGAGGUUUCGAACCUUACUAUCUGUGGUACAGGAAGCAUCUGAUAGCGUCGUUAUUCAAGCUUUCAAGUAUGCCUUGAGUAGCAACCAUGAAGAAUUGUACCAGUCACUGGCAAGGAAGCCUCCCUCCUCUGUUUCGGCCUUGCUCGAGAAAGCGGAAAGGUAUACCCAGGAGGAGAACGACCUGUAGGCCAGAAGAAAGAGACUUGCCGGAGGCCAAACCUCCGAGAAGCCGCAGAAGGCAAAGGAAGAAAGCUCCGGCAGGAAUCGCAAGGAAAAAAAAGCCCCUGGCAGGAACAAAGACAAGAAGGUGAAAGCGCCAGCCCGACAACCCGACCGCCGAUCAGAGAAGCUACCGGGGGCGAACGCAAAGAAAGGGAAUUCACACCCUUGAGAUUCCCUCUCGAGGAAGUAUUUAAAAAGAUCAAGAACAGAGGGUUGCUUAACAAACAUGCCCCUCUUCCGGCAGACCAGGAGGCCAGGAGAGAUAAGGUCCAAGAAAUGUGAUCAUCACAAUGAUUACGGUCAUGAGUUGAAGAACUGCAGGUCUUUGAAAUACAAAAUGCAAUGCCUGGUCGAUGCUAGCUUCAUCCCAAACAUGGUCCAGACCGGAGCAGUCGAACAGGUGAAAACUAGAGAUCGAAUUGUAUAAGUCUGCCAUGUACAAACACCCGGUUCUUCUAAGACAGAAAAAAAAAUUGUGCUCAGGAAAAGCUCUGGUGGAUAGGGCAUGUCCAUGAAGUUGGACAGCUCAACUUCAACGAAGGGACGGACAUUGAGUGCAUUAUCCCCGGAGGUUUGACAUUCACCGAAGAAGACGAAAGAGGAGUGCAUUAUUGUAAAACCUCGGGUCGACAGGUGGUUUGCCGAGGGGGUGGGUCCUAGGACACCUAAGAGGAGGAUGUCCUGACAUUGGAAUAUAGGUAUAGAUCCGUCAAAUAUUAUCACCGAGGCAUUUUGGGCUCACUUGGCUUCAGAGUUUGAAAGAAUUCCGGAGUUAAACGUGCUCGGGUGGGAGUAGCCUCAGGAUGGGUGACCUCCUGGGAAGCAGGCUGCUGCCCAAUAAAACCCCACACUAUCGGACGUCCACAGUGGCUAAGUGGGGACAAUAUCGGUGGUGAUCUAUACCUAUAUUCCAAUGUCAGGACAUCCUCCUCUUAGGUGUCCUAGAACCCACCCCCUCGGCAAACCACCUGCCGACCCGGGGUGUUACAAUUAUCCACACAAUGAUGCCCUGGUCAUCAUAGCAUGGAUUGGAGUCUACCGGGUCCGGCGAGUCAUGGUCGAUGCCGGCAGCACCUCCAGUGUUAUGUUCUCAUGCGCCUACAAAGCUAUGGAGCUAUCUAAGGGUCUCAUCGAAUCUGAUGAGACUCCUAUCUAUGGGUUCAACGAGGAGCCAACACUGUCCUCCAGGCGAGUCCACCUGCCAAUCACGGUGGGGUUCAACACUGUCAGGAUAGACUUCCUGCUAGUCGACUCCCCCUCCUGCUACAACGUUAUUCUGGGAAGGGACUAGAUUCAUCAGAUGAAAGCCAUAUUGUCCACCUUCCACCAGAGCCUCAAAUUCCCGACUCCCAACGGAGUUUGCAGAGUCAAAGGGGACCAAGGGACGGCAUUCAAGUGCCAUCUCGAUGUUGUCAAAGGAAAGUCCAUCUCCGAAACCAAGGGGAACACUAUCUUCCUGACGGACUCUCAUCAAUAGCAACCAGCUCCCGGCAAGUCUGCCAAGGGGAAGCCAGACAUAAAGACCGGGAUAUUACCAGUGGUCGAAGAGCUAGAGGAAGUUAUUGUGGGAUCAGAGUCCAACAAGACGACUUACAUCUCUUCCGGUCUACCGGAGACAGAGAAGGAUUCUAUGAUCACUCUGCUCUGGCGGAAUCACCACGUCUUCACGUGGAGUGUGAAUGAGAUGCCAGGAAUAGACCCUGCGGUCGCCUGCCAUAAGCUAGACAUUAAUCCUCAGUACAAACCGGUUAAGCAGAAACCAAGGCGAAUGGCACUGGAUCGAAAACUGGCAGUCAACGAAGAGGUCGAUCGGCUACUUUCAGUCAACUUCAUCGAGCCAGUCAUCUACCCUACUUGGGUUUCCAGCAUCGUGGUCGUCCCGAAGAAGAAUGGUAAGAUUUGAGUUUGCAACGAUUUUACUAAUCUUAACAAAGCAUGUCCUGUGCACCCAUAUCCACUCCCCAGGAUCACAGACAUGGUAGACGCCACCACCGGAUAUCAAAGAUUGUCUUUCAUGGACGCAUACUCCGGUUACAACCAGAUUCCACUUCACGAAGAAGAUCAGAAACAUACCGUAUUCAUCACCAACCGGGGUUUUUACUAUUACUGGGUGAUGCCAUUUGGUCUGAAGAAUGUCGGAGCAACAUACCAGAAGCUGGUCAACACCAUCUUCAACGAGCUCAUAGGCCGGACCAUGGAAGUCUACAUAGACGACAUGGUGGUCAAAACCAUGGAGAAAGACAAUCAUUUACGAGAUCUAUAGUAGACAUUCGACAUCCUCACAAGGUACAACAUGAAGCUGAAUCCAGCCAAAUAUUCUUUUGGUUUUUCUUCCGGCAAGUUCCUUGGAUUUCUCAUGACCAACCGGGGCAUAGAAGCCAAUCCAGAUCAGAUCCGGGCAGUCCUUAAAAUGUUCGCCCCAAAGCCAGUAAAAGAAUUCCAGAGGCUAACCGGUCUUAGAACCAAGGAUGUCAUGGAUCAAACCCCAUCCAAUCCAGGAUGCCCGGACCUAGCUUCUGAUCCUGGCUAAGUCCUAAAUGCAGAGUUAUGCUCCUUUUAGGCCCAAGACGCCAGGACCUAGCUUCCGGUCUUGGAACCAAGGAUGUCAGGGAUCAAACCCCAUCCAAUCCAGGAUGCCCGGACCUAGCUUCCGAUCCUGGAUAAGUCCUAAAUGCAGAGUUAUGCUCCUUUUUGGCCCAAGACGUCUGGACCUAGCUUCUGGUCUUGGAACCAAGGAUGUCAGGAAUCAAACCCCAUCCAACCCAGGGUGCCAGGACCUAGCUUCCGAUCCUUGCUAAGUUCUAAAUAUGGAGCUACACUUCUUUUAGGCCCGAGAUGCCUGGACCUAGCUUCCGGUCUUGGAAAUCUAUCUUAAGAACGAGGCCAUCCACUCUUAGAACCGGGGCCGUUAGGCGAGCUAGCCUUCUCCCCGGUCGAAGCAUGCAACACAAAGAAAAACCCCCUUCUCAGUAGCAGACCAUGAAUCUCCAUGGAAUAAGCAAGAAAAAGAACUAUUAUCGUCCCAAGGAAAACUCCUUAAAACGAUAAGGGGGCGAGGGAGAUAGUCAGUUGUAAUAAACGUUGUAAACAAGGUAAAGAUAUCUAACAAGAUAUUUUUGCAUUACCAAAAUAUUAUUUUUAUUUUCUUCUUCAGAAAAGAAUAUGUACAAGAGGAAGUCCCCCGGCAACCGGGACAGGAACCUUUCUACAAAAUCUAAAGAAGUUAAGGUUGAGAAGAAGGACCGGGGCCAUUACCGCCCUUCUCCAUCUUCUCCUUCUCCAGCUGGUCGAGGACCUGCUGAUAGGCAGCCUUCGCCAACCGGAGCUCUUCAGCAGUCCGGUCGUACGCCGUCUCCUUGAGGAUGAGACGCCAAUCCAGCUCCAGCUUCUCUCGGGUCAGCUUCCCACAAGUGGCCUCCAAUUCUGGCAAGGAAGUCUUGGCAUCCUCGUCCCUCUGGAGAGCAGCGGUCAGAGUGAAGUCCAAGUUAUGGUAGUCUGUCGCCAUGGACCGCUUGUCCUCCUCCAGAGCCCACCAGUCACUGUUGGCCGCCGCCAGAUCUUUCUCGAGCUGACGAUUCUCAGCUUGCAGGUGCUCCAGAUCCUCCAAGGCAGAAGGUCGGGGUCUGACACUCAGCUCCAAGACCCGGGCCAUGGUAGCUUGGGUCUGACAGAAAAAAAAAACAAAGGUCAGAAAUGAACAUAUAGACAUCAACAAGUCUAAAGCCAGAAUUCAAGUCAAGGAACCGCGAUGAGAUUCUGAGCAGCCACCCUCAUCGUCCGGUCGUGAGAAAGGCGGCUGUAGUAUGUCUGGUCCUCCGAAAGCAGGUUCUGGAAGACGUAAUCAAAGGCAGUGUGGAGGUUCAUGAUGUCGGAGUCCCCAAUCGACAUCAGCUCCCCACCAAGGAAUGCAGGAUGAAUGGUGAACGCCGGCAGCGAGAACUCCGGGGUAGCCUCAAGCUGGUACUCCCCCGGUUCAGGCCGAGUUGCACAGUGGGGCCAAUGGGUAGGUCAGUAUAUGGGACCUGGUCACCCUACCCAUACACCGGGGCUUCAUCAUCGGCAAUGCCAGGAACAGUGAACUCCACCAGGGUCUGGACGUCCUCAACGGCCAAAGCAUCUUCAACAAGGACCUCCCUUCUUGGGGGCACAGGUUCCCCCUGGUCAGCAGGGGAGGCAUAAACAGCUCUCUUCGAGCCUCGGGCAGACUCAUCUACCACAGCCUUGCCCCUCGGAUCAACCAAGGCAGGGGACUGCACGGAAGCAACUUCAACCGAAGGAGGCUGGGAAGAUCUUACUUCCACCGGAGCCUCCACUCCAGCAUCUCCAACAUUGGGGGCGUCAACUUCAUUCAACGGACCCCCCGACACUACAGCUGGCUCGCCUCCCUCAGCAGUAGAGGCGACCUCUAUUUCCCCGGACACACCUCCCACCAUCUCCGGCUGGGCCAGGUUAUCCACCUCAGCAUAUACCUGCACUGGGGUAGGAAAAAAUCCCUCAGUAGAUGAUUCGCCAGAUCCACGGGAAAGAAGAAGUCCACUAUCCCUCGACAUCAGACUUAGAUAACCAGAGGAGUCAGAUGAGCAAUAAAAGACAUGUGGCCUCCUCCGGCAACCGAAGGGAGGGUUUGAAUGACAAGCAAAGCUAGCACAACUGACCUGAACAUCCUCGACAACUGGGAUGACCUCCGGCAGAACAUCCGACAUUGGCUCGUCAGGAGGAGAUCUUCCCCGAUUGAAAGAACCUCAUCGGGCCAGUCAUCCAUCUCCCCCCGCGGAUCAACAGCCUCACUCUCAACCGGAGGCUCCCCCUCAGCACUGGGGACCGUGCUCUCCACAGUAGCAGCACCUUCACCAGAGUUGGACUCUACCUCCACAACCUGCGAAGGGGCCGAUAGGGCAAGCCUCGCCGGAUAAAAGAUAUCUGUCACGAUCUGGUCAGGGAGCGUCAAUGUUCCCUUCAGCAGCAGAGGAAUCCACCCCCGCUGGCAGAGACACCUGAAGCUGACGUUUCCCCGCAAACACAAGCACAACAUUGUUCUUGAGCCGGAGCUCAACAAGCACACGAAGCAUAAGAGCAAAGAUGAAAGAAAUGCCAGGCGCAUGCUUACCUAUGAAGUCCCGCGGCACCGGUAUGCUGCAGUCAGACAACCACCCUGACCCUCGGUAGCAGGGCUAAAACCAAGUCCUAUAAUGGUUGGGAAGUCCAGACAACCUACGGGCAGUACGCCAAGAGAUAGCGUAGAAGCAGCGUUCCUUGGCCUCCCGGGGGACCGGCUUCAUGAGCAUGAACAGCUCGACCGGGCCAAAUGGAAUCUCGAAUUGGAAAGCGAUCAGCCCAAUCCGACGCAAGAUUAUCAAGAAGGACACGUGCAUCUGACUGGGCGGGAUCCCACACCACGACAGCAAUCUCAGAAUAGAAGAAUACAACAGAAAGUGCAUGCCAUAAAAAAGUUGGUAAAGACUUACCGCGAUCAGGUUGUCGGAACAAACCGUUUGAAAUAGAGGGGUAGGAAACAAACCGGACCCCUCUCCAGCCAAGCCGCUCCUGAACUUCUGCCGCUCUCAUCCGCUCAAGCUCAUGAUUUCGGGGGAGGUUGGAGGAAGCUUGCCACCUCCUCCUCGGCCUCUCAACAGGAAGCUCAGCAAAAUUCAGGUGAGUCACUUCCGCCACACCAGCAGGCGAAGGCGGACCCGAAGCCUGAAUACUGCUUGGUCCGCCCUCAUCAGCAGAGGGACAGGGAGCGAGACUCUGAGGCUCUUCGUCACUACUUGAGCUCAGGAUUAAGGUUCUCCUCAUCUUUGAAGAAAAAUUCGCACGAAAUCAUUGGAAUUCAGAAGAUCAGAACUUAGGGUUCCGGCGAAAUGAAGUGAGGGUGCAGAAGUGAGAUAUAUAUAUAUAUAUAUAUAUAUAUAUAUAUAUAUAUAUAUAUAUAUAUAUAUAUAGAGAGAGAGAGAGAGAGAGAGAGAGAGAGAGAGAGAGAGAGAGAGAGAGAGAGAGAGAGAGAGAGAGAGAAACCCUUCUCUCCUCUGAACUUCUCCUUUUCAUAAGGAGAGCCUAGGGUCCACUAGCUGAUGGUAUUCCAAGUUCUGUUAAUGAAAUCAUCAUUAAGGCCAUUAAACCAACUGGUUUUAAUGACUCGAUCAGCGAAGAGUCACAAGCUUUCACUGGAAGUUCAAGCCGUAUAUCUCCCCGCCAACAAAGGAAGAUUUAGAGAAGACGAAGUGGGGUCCACUUCACACAGUCUGCUGGGGCCCACACUGCACAGUCAUCUGGGAUCCACAUUAGAUGGGACCCACCUUGUACACUCAGCGAGAUCAAUCCAAUCUUUACAGGUGGGGUCCACAUGGACCAGGUCAGCAUCAUGUGGACCUCCGGUCUACAUCACCACGGUCAAGUGAAGAUCGAUCGUCAUGUGUUCCUGCACUCUACAAAAAAGUAACCGGUUCUACCUACCGGAGCUCAAGACAGUAAUAAAAGGGAACAUAAUUUUAUUACGAAAUGCAUUACACGGGGUGCACCAAAUCCCCUACAUAGUGCGACCGGAGCUAAAUUACAUCAACGGGGGAGAUAGAGGAUUUAGACCGGACCCCUCAGGCUAAUCAGGAAGGCCGUACCUAAUGUUUGCAGCGGCAUACCCAGCCUUCCAAGACGUAGCCACAGCGAAGUCUGCUCGCUCCUUGGCGACUGACAGCUCGCCCACCUUCUCCUCCAGCUUGUCCCGGUAGUAAUCUACUGUCUCCUUCAUACCCGCCAUCCGAGCAUCAUACAUAUCUUUAUGAAGAAGUUGGUCCUCACGAAGCUCGCCGAUUUUCUUCUUGAGGUCAUCCACCUGACACGACAGGUUCCGAACUAUCCCCGAUCGGUUGUCACUCAAUGCACUGGAGAGAGGUCUAGAAUCUUUCAUUAUAGAGAAAGCAAGGGGAAAGCCAGAGUAUUAAAGGGACUCCUUCAUCAAGAAGAAAGGGAGUCAUGAGUCAUUCUAAACAAGACUAACAAAGUUGGUGACUCAGCGGAACGAGGGAGACAAAAGACAAAAUAAAUAAAUGAAUUUAUUGACUUGACUCAAACUAGGCACUACUCCCCUACAUAGUGCGAGGGGCCGGGAAGGGACCGGUCAAGGGUUCUUCUCUUCCUUGACCGAAUGAUAUCCCAGCCUCUCCAACAGUACAUGUGCGGUAGCACGUUCCCACUGAAGAACCCGGAUCCAUUGAGUGGCAGCCUCAAGCCUCGGGCUCUUAUCAGCAAGCUGGCCAUUCAUGGCAAACAGGCUCAGGCGCACUUGCCGGAUGUCUUCCAAAUAGGCGGCCAUCAUCAACUCGAUACGGCGAUCCCGGUCCUCAAUUUCCAGCGCCAUGCUCUCCCGCAUGUCCAUGGUGUACUUCUGGAUGGUACUCCGGUCAUCGGCCAUUCUUCAGAAGCUUCAGCAACAACAUCAACAACAACGGUAGUAUUAACAAACAGGGAACGGAGAGAGAGAAGUGGACAUCCUUCUACACCUCCGACUCCCUAUUUAUAAAGGAGGAAAGAAACCCUAAACCUUGACCCAAGGGAUACAGAAUCGUCAUCAAGAAGCGUGUCAAGGAAGGAAUCCUUCGAAUCUCAACAGCCGGGGAAGAUAUUGCUAAGAUCUUUCCCAAUCAAAUUUUCUACUUGACAAAUAAGGGGCAAUGUGUGUACCCUAGCUAAAAAACACGACAGGUGUCACCGAUGGCUGUAUAAGAAGCUAAAUCGGGAGCAUCUGAGCAGUAGCCAGCCAAGCCUGGGCUGUCGGGUAGGACCCAACCAGGUUUCAAGAGAUCCGCAAACGCUCUAUGGACCUUGACUCACCGGAUAGUCCAUUAUCAAUUGGUGGAACCUCGGUUACUGUAUAAGAAGUUGAACCAUGGGCUCCAAUACAUUGACCAAGCCUACCUCAGUCAAGUAGGCCAGGUCCGGCCCAGUAAGGUCCAGCAGCGACAAGGGUCAUCCAAAGGCUUAGCAUAGAAGGCUAGAGGACUUGGCCAGGGAGUAUGCAGUGUAGAUUGGGCGUCCGGUCAGAGGAGUUAAACCCAAGUCUUUGUUUUCAGGCUUGGUCAAUCCAAGUCCCAACCAACUGGAUAAGUCUAGCGAGAUUCCAGGCCAACAGAACCCAUGGUUCUAGCCCACUGGAGAAGAUAAAGGAAACCCAGGUUGAACCAAGACCUGUCAGAGGAUGUUACGUGGGAGUCAUCCUGGUCAAAGGGGAUUCAAACCAAGGAGAUAACCGCUCGGCAGCAUGCAAGCUAUCUCCACGGAAAACAUCUUCACCGUUGAACAACCCGAGUUCGUGGAGUCAAAAUCGGAGGGGUGGUUGAGCCAGCCUCCUCCGGCCUACUACAAAUACAGGAGUUCUAAACUUCCUGAACUACGAGUCUUUCACUGAGCAACUCCAUUAGAGCUGAGUAGAAGCAUAGACUUGAUUCCAAGUUCAUCUUCUUGGAUACGUAGGCAGCCCGAUUCCGAUCAGGUCCAGUCUCAUUGUAUACCCCCCAUCCUAUCUCUGUUUAUACAAGGCUUUCAUUGUAACUGUACGAUUAAUCUAUACAUAUCUCGAGUUUGUGGAUCAAAAUUUUGCACCCACAACUAUGAUGAAGAUUACUAUGAUAACUGUGAACCUAGUAAUGAGAUACAAUAUGAAGUGGAUGCUCCAUUCUUGGGUGUUAUUCGAAGGCUUCUCUAUGCUUCUUCUCAACCGAUGAUUUUGAACGAAAAAGGAUCUUUCAGACUCGUUGUCAUGUUAAGGAUAAGGUUGUUAAUUUGAUUAUUGAUGGUGGUUCCCAUGAUAAUUAUGUUCCUUGAAACAAAACAAAAACUCAUCCAACCAUAAGGAUGUAUUAGGGAAGCUCAUAAUCAAGAGAAGAAUAUAGUUAUCCCAAACAUAACCCUAUAACUUAGUAAGGCAGAAAAUGAUUGCAACAAAAGCCAAACAAGAUAAGUAAUAGCCAAUCACUUAGAAGAAUCACUUAUCCAAACAUAUGAUAGACAAAAUAAAAAAAAAAAAAAAAAUCAUAGAUGAAAGCCAAGACCAAAAGAAAUCAACCACUCACAUAAAGUGCACACAAACUCACAAUUAAACAAGAGGAUUAUGAGUAUCAACAUGAUUAGGCAUGUAAGGAAAAGGAAAAUCUAAUCACGACUCUAAAUAGCCAUGUCCAAGAAAAACAAGAAAACAUGGAAAAACAAUUACAAGACAUGCAAAAUCAUAUAUAAGGCAUGAAUGUAAUAUGAAAGAAACAAUGAGUCUAGUAAAUGACUUCCCAUAAAACAAACUAGGCUCAAACUACUCAAUGAUCAGGAAUGCUUACCACCAAAAUAUCAACAUAUUUCGGAAUGCACCGAAAAACCUGAAAGUAUGUUAUGUCAGCAACAUACACCGCUACCAUCAUCCAUGAAUUGGAAAGAAGAAUUUCACCAACAGAUGAAAGAAUCACCUUCGGGUCUAAGAAACAAAGAACCCGACGACCUCUCAUUCAAAUGCCCCAAUUGACAAUGAAAGAGAAACCAAUAGCUUGUAGCAAGAAACAACAACCCAUAUAUGUUCCUGAAACAAUUCAUAACUCAUUCAAACCCAAAGAAUUGUUAGAGAUACUCAUAACCAAGGCGAAUACAAGGAUAUCUCAAACACAGUUAAUGAAAGACAUGAAUACAACCCAGAAACAUGUAGCUUAGUGGAAAUAAAAAUGAUGGUGAUAUAUGCCAAACAAGUGAAGUAAUAACCAAUCACACAGAAGAUCCCUAAUCUGGGCAAGCACCAUCACCCGAACAUAUCUCAUCACAAGAACCACAAAGUAGGAAGAGCAAAGGUCUUGUUCUGAGAGACAAAGCAGUCAUCAGCUACACCAACAAUUAUGAUAGACCUUUGAGAAAGAGCAAGAGUCGUCGAGGAGAUUUCGAAAUCAUCAUAGAUUAUUGAAUGAUCAUCAUUCAUCACUUUAUUAAAAAUUAAAAACUUACAUAUUCCGGCAAAAUACAACAAGAUUUCGACGACAGACAACGAAACUCCGCCGAGGAGAGAACUUAAAACUCACGAAUUCCGACGAAUGAGAGAGAGAGAUUCGAAAAGUGGAGUUCAAUCUCAAUCAACCAUUACUGGUCGGAAUCUCUAAAAGCGAAAGGAUAUUCGUAAUUUCCGUUUUACUGUCGGAUAUCCUUGAAUAUUCAGUAUUUCGGGUCGGCAAGGAUAGCUACAUGGACCAAAACAGAUCCGCCCUUUCAUACCGAUUCGAAUUCAGAAAAACCGGAUAUGUCGUCGGAAUUUCGCGGAUAUCAACAAAAUUUUGAACCAUGCUUACAAGUUCACUUCCAAUCAUAGUACAAAAUAUCGCGAUAUCUAUCGGUUUGGGAAGAAUACGAUACGACAUUCAAUCAAUUAUAUCGAUUUAAAGUAUCUGCCAUAUAUAGAAUCUAUCAUCUCGAUAUAUCACGAUAUAAUACGCUAUUUGGUGAUAUUAUACGAUAUUUUCUGGAAAAAAGAUUUCAGCUCUCUACUGUAUUAAUCUCUUUCAUUGUUUUAGCUCUCUCUCUCACAAUCUAUCUAGUCUCUACAUACAGAUUUGAUUUAGAAGAAGGAGAAGAACACGAGAGGAAGAAGACGAUCAUGAGAAAAUAUAAGAUCUGAUUUAGAAGAAGGAGAAGAACACCAGACGAAGAAGACGAUCAUGAGAAACUAUAAGAUCUUCAAUAUACAUUAGAUCUUUCAUUAAAAUUUUAAUUAGAUCUGUGAUUAUUAAAAGAUUUUGAAGAUAUCAUUUUUUGAGAAGAACCAUGUAAUAUCUUAGGUUUGUGUAACUUGAAAUCUUUGUUCUCAACUUUGCCGGAUCUGUAGCUCAUCCCUCCCUAAUUCAAUAUCUGUUUCUAUGAAUAUAAAUUUUUUUCCCAAAAGAAUAAAAACUUCCUAAUUUAUUUGUCUAAUUAAUGGAUGAUUAGUAAGUGAUUAUACACAAUUCCGGCAAGAUGAUCUGAUAUCUUUAAAAAAAAAUAAAAAUAAAAUAUUAUCUCUAGAUAUAUUUAGAUAUAUCCGGAUAUAUCGGAUUAUGGGAGAUACGAUAUAUUUGUAAAUAUCGACCUUUAGUUACUGGUUCUGAUUUCUCAUUAUAAAGAGUCACUGGUUUCUUCAUUGGUAAGAUCAGUGGACGACAAAAACAAGAACCAACACAAUCAGGCCCAAUAGUAAACAACUGAAUCAGGCCCAAUCCUCCAAACAUGUCAAUUCUCUCUCAUUCUCACUCUUCUUCUUCUUCCCCACUCUCUUACUUCAAACAUGUCAAUUCUCUCUCAUUCUCAAUCUCCUUCUUUAAUUGUCAAAGCCAAUCACUGGUUUCUUAAGAAGAAGAAGAAGAAGAAGAAGAAGAAGAAAACAUGUGCACUGGUAAAAACCACCUUUUUUCCAGUAAUUAUAAAUAAUCCAAUUUUUUUUUUUUAAUUAUGAUAAACAGUUGGUGUGUUUGGUUGUGAAAACAGGGGAUUGAGAUCAAUUUUAAGGUUAGUAUAUUGAUUUCUUUAUUACAUUUACUUUGUGUUUUGUUUAAUUUGAGAAUUACUAAAUCUUUUUAAGAUGAAAUCAUGAAAACAAAUAGUUUUAUAUAUGUUAAACUUGUUUGAAUAAAUUUAGGGCACAUACCAAUUGUUCGAUUUCAUAUAUACAUGUUAAAGAAGUAAUUUCCUUAUUAUCUAACCAAUUUGAUAGUCAUGUUUAACUCUAGUGAACAAGUUCUAGGUUAAAGAAGUGUCAAUAUUACACCACCCCACUUCCAUUGCAGUCCUGACUACGGUUGGUAUAAUAUCAAUAUCCCCAAAAUUGAAAAAGAAAAUAAAGAACAAUGUUAGCACCAUACAAUAAGUUAAGCAAACCACUUUAGGAAUCCAAUUUAUCUUUUUUCUUAUUGAGAACAAGGUUUCAAAUACUUUGCUUGAUUCAAAAAAACUAACGACUCCAACAUCAUUUCGCAGUUAUAAAUACAACAACAGUACCCUCCUGGGGUUGUGAUGAAUCCAAGUAUUCAUUUCUCCUUCUCGUGCUUUGACUAGCUGAGCUAUCCAAGGAGCAAUUCAGGUAUGUUUGGAAUGAAUGCUGGCAGCGUUGUUAAUUGUUCUCACUUAGUUCGGUCACACUGAAUCUACUUGGUAUACCUGAUAUAUUGCCAAUAAGAAAAUCCCUACCACUCUGUUUCCCAACCUUUGGCAAUAUAUUCUUCUACACUCUUACUAGUAUUCUAGACAAAACUUCUACUAUUUUACUUUCCGAGAUUCAUGAUCCAGUUAUAGCCCGUAGAUUAAAAUUAUCGAACCCACCUAAUUCGGCAAUCCACCCAAAUUACAAGAAAAGAAAAGGUUAAUCCAGCCCACCCCAUUAUAUUUAUGGGCACUGACGGGUUCUAUGUACCAAAUCCGUUAACUGCCCCUUCACCCGGAAAAAUUAUCUAAUACCAAUUUAACUCUUUUGCGCACCCAUUAUUUUUAUGUGUAAGUGUAAAUAGUAAUUUCCUUUCCUAACACUGAUUGAUCAAUUUGUUUAUUUGCAUUUUAUAUUUCGUGCACGUUAUAUGGAGUAUGUGAUAAUCUUAGUUUAAUAUGCACAUUAUAGCUAUGUAAAAAUUUAAUAAGACAUGAUAUUCAAUAGUAGUGAUGUAGUAGUAGUCACCAGAUACAUUUUUUAGUCAUUUUAACUUGUCAUCUUAUGUUAAUUUAAAAUUUUUUAUUUAGCACAUUUUUAAAUAAUGAGAUUUAAUUUAUCUAAAAAAUCGUUUAUGUUUUUUAAUUUCCUAGGUAAACAACAACAAGAAAAUUAGUUUAUAAGAAAAAUCAGAAAAAGUAAAAAAAAAAAAAAAAAAAAAAAAUAAUUGGAGAAAGGAGUUAUGAUGGAAAUUGUGGAAGAAUAAAACAAAAAUGAGAGAUUGAGAAGAAAGAUUACAAAACGAAAAAGAGGGCGAUUUUUCUUUCUUUUAUUUUUUUUAUUAUAAAAAUAGAUCAAGAAGAGUUUUAUUAAUUUUGGGUUUUUGACAUAGUAUGUGACUAUGUGAUGGAGUGUAAAAGGUCAUUUUAGUAACAAAUUUAUUAUUUGAUUGGGUUUUUUGAAGCAAAUUGGUCUGAUUGGGUUUUUGGCGACUUAGUUGGGUGGUAAUAAGAUCUCCUCAGAAAUACUCCACAACUUCUACUCAUGAGCAUACGGUAGAAGUGUAUAUAAAUAAAACUAGUGUUUAGGCCUGUGCAAUGCAUGGGCCGGACUUGAUUAUAUUAGGGAUUAGGUCCACUUUAAGUUGUUGGAUUGGGCUUGAUUAUGCCUGUGAUUUGGUUGUUCUAUAUUGGCCUUAAAACGCCCCGGCUAAGCCUUGUCGAUCUUGAGGUUUUAGAUUCCAAAACAAGUGGGUUUCGUCCAUAAACCUCGUUUUAACUGACGGAACGUUGUUUUUCGCCUUAGAACUCCCCGAGUUAAGCUAUUGAGUGGCUAGUCUCUUAGAUGUUAUUGUUUUCCAUGCGGAAACAUGUGUGUUUUGUCCACUUUUAAGUUCAGAACAAAAAUCGAGUAAAUACCAAGCCAAAUGUCCGGACAAAACCCCGUUCCCAUGGUCCAUAUGUUUUAUAUUAGCCUUAAAAGCCCCAGGUAAGCCUUGUCAAUCUUGACUUUUAGAUUCCAACACAAGUGGGUUUCGUCCAUUUCCAAGUUCGGACAAAAAACUGAGUAAAUACCCAUCAAACCGAUGGAUAUAAUCAAUUGGAAUUGAUUAUUUCCGUGAUGGGUGGUCCACUUUUGCGUAAUUAUAAAUAUACCCAAACUUAAUCAAAAUUCUCUUCAAAUUCUAAUUGAUAGCCUAAUUAAAAAGAUAUUUUCUUAGGGGUAUUUUCUGCUUUAAUCUAUAUUAUAAUCUACAAAGGGUGCAUAAUUUGACUAGGACUAAUUUCUAUGACUAGGAUUAAUUUCUAUGACGGGGAUUAAUAUUUAGUAUGACUAGGACUAAAUUAGUAUGACUAAGAUUAAUAUUUAGGGUGACUAGGAUUAAAACCCCAAUCUUCUUCCCCUUCUCUUCCCUAACUUCUAUCUUUCUCAAACUUCCCCCCUUCCGGCCGCCCCAAUCUCAUUCUCUUCUCUUCUCUUCUCAAAUUUUUAAAAUUUGUAAUAAAACAUCAUCAUAUCAGUCAUUUUCAAUCAGCAGCAAUAGCAAGCUUUUUGAUCGGAUAAAGGUGAACUCUAUUACUUCUGAAUUCAUCUCUGCAAUUAUUACUUUUUUAUUGAACACAAAAUUCGUUCAUAGAUACGUUCUGCCAUGUUUUUCCAUCUAUUUACAAAUCUGAAAAUUGGAUUUUCUACAAAGUAAUUGUAUUUUUUUUAUUGAACACAAAAUUCGUUUUGAUUAAUCAACAGACUCGACUGAAUUAGCUGUUGCAGACUCGACUGAAUUAGCUGUUGCGUCUAUAACUAUUAUACCAUACAAAAUUCGUUUUGAUUAAUCAACAGACUCGACUGAAUUAGCUGUUGCAGACUCGACUGAAUUAGCUGUUGCGUCUAUAACUAUGAUACCAUAGAAAGACACAAAUGUGGUAGCUUUCUAAAAUAACCUUCUAACAUGAUAAUUUCCCAUUCCAUAUGAAAUUAUUACAAGAUUCAAUACGUAAUUAGUUUAUAACUCAUGACAGCUAGAAUUAUAAGCCAGCUACAAAUCACAUGGCUCACGAAUGCUAAGAUUAUUCAGAGAACAAGUUAAUGAAAGUUUGAUUUAACAAAAUACACCUCUAUCUCCUGAGCAACAAUCGACCCCAUGCCAGACUUACCAGAGAAACUGGCAGUCCUUUCUAAUUCGAANNNNNNNNNNNNNNNNNNNNNNNNNNNNNNNNNNNNNNNNNNNNNNNNNNNNNNNNNNNNNNNNNNNNNNNNNNNNNNNNNNNNNNNNNNNNNNNNNNNNUAAAGGUAGACAUUAGCUGCAGUUAGUGGUAUUGAGGGUAAUUUACCCAAACACAACAUUCAUACUGUGGUUUUUUAUAGGCUACUGCUAAAUACCGCUGCCAGAUUUCUAUGUUAGGACCACAUGUUCUAGAAUUCUGGGUUUAGGUUUUAACUGUCUAGAGUCACGGCAUAAUGUUUUCAUCACUCUUCAGGACAUCAAUGCAUUUUUCCAUCUAUUUACAAAUCUAGAAAUUGGAUUUUCUCCAAAGUAAUUGUACUUUUUGAUUGAACACAAAAUUCGUUGGGAAAUCACUUGAUUAUAUUCCUUUAAUUUUUAUAUACAAUCAUCACUCCUGAAUCUAUUAGAUAUUGCUCUGGCAUGAAGUUAAGAAUAAUUGGAUAUUAAAUUUUUAUAGAAUAUUAUUAGGAGUAUUUUGUGUCUAGAGUUGCUUUGCUACAUCUCAAACUAAUAUGCUAUGCUGUCAUAUCAGUUAUUCGUGUUCAUGUAUUCAACAUUGGAUGUCUUACCGUGAUCUUCAUUCAUUAAGCAAAACUAAAAAUUCAUCGUAUUAGUAACCAAAAUCAUGUCGACACCUUCUUAGCGAAAUCACUUAUAUAGAAAACUAGAACUAAUGUUAUGGUAUUAUUAGGAGCCCCAAGGAAAAUGAUGUAGUAUGAAACCAUUUGAAUGGGGGAGUGUAUAAGACACAGGAUAUGCACACACAGUAGACUAACAAGGACCGAUACAUAUUAAGACUUUGUCCUAAUAUGGGAAGCUUCCAAAAUAUAUAUGAAGCAGGAGCCCAGAUAAGACCAGGAAAAUGCUAUAAAUCUCAAAAGGACAGGCAGCAAGAAUAAUACCAGCCCCUCCACAUAGGCACAAUCUUCCUUAAUUAGUUGCUGCAAUGGGGAUACAAAUGGUUAAGUCAUCAUCCUUGGCAGUGUAUUUACCAUCUAGGAUUUUUUUUGUAGUCUUAAUAUCUUCCCUGUAUUUGAAGCAAAUACGAUUGGUUCUAAAUUCUGCUGAAUUUUUUUUUUCAAUUUUUCUGAUUGGAUUUUGAAUUUUUAAUCCUUUUUAAUCUGUUUGAAUUCAAGCCCAACAGCAUCAAGUUCUUCUUAGUCGUCCUUCUUCUUCAACUGUAAGUACCCUAUUUGAUUCAGAACUGUUUACUGUUGCAGUCAAAUUUGUGCUUGAUUAUCUCAAAAUAGCCAGAAAUUUCCAAAUAACAUGCCUGUGACAGUAGCAUUGGUAUAGUGAAUUUUUAAUCUGCUCUACUAAAGUUAUUCUGUUUAUCUCAAAUAAUUGUUAAUUAAAUUCUAAAAAAAAUUGUUAUAUGGGAUUCAGAAGUACUAUACCUCCAAAAAAAAAACUUGGCCUUCCAGUCUUAUGUCGGCUUCUUCUGCCAUGCUCUAGGUUGUGAAUAUGAAGAGAAUAGACACUAUAGCUAACAUAGUGUGUUCAUAAUAAUAUAUUAGAGGUAGUGGUGUGCUCUAUUACGUAAACGCAAUGAAAAAGUUAAGCGUCAUGUUUUUUAGGUAAAAAUCUAAACGUCCAGUUCAACUCAUAAAAUGUUGAAAUCAAAAUGUAAGGAAUAUCAAUUUAUGUUAAUUGGGGCAAGUAAUCACCUUUUAUACAGUAUAGUCCUUCCAUAUAUAUAUUUUUUAUACAACUUAAAUUUCAGCAUUACUAUUAAACNNNNNNNNNNNNNNNNNNNNNNNNNNNNNNNNNNNNNNNNNNNNNNNNNNNNNNNNNNNNNNNNNNNNNNNNNNNNNNNNNNNNNNNNNNNNNNNNNNNNNNNNNNNNNNNNNNNNNNNNNNNNNNNNNNNNNNNNNNNNNNNNNNNNNNNNNNNNNNNNNNNNNNNNNNNNNNNNNNNNNNNNNNNNNNNNNNNNNNNNNNNNNNNNNNNNNNNNNNNNNNNNNNNNNNNNNNNNNNNNNNNNNNNNNNNNNNNNNNNCAUGUUCAAAUUUUAUAUUAAUCAAAAUUAACCCAAUUUAAUCCUGAAAUAAACCUAAAAAUCUAUAUAAUUUGGUGAAUUAAGAGGAUGCCUAACAAUUCUAGGUGAGCUUGGUUCUAUUUAUAAAUGAAAACGCCUCCACUUGCUAUUUUCAUGCACUGAUGGAACAAUGCGCAUUUCAGAUUUUGUAGUUUGUUCUAUCAAUUUAAUCUUUUGAUUUUGCUUAAAUUUCAAUGUUUAAAUAUGGUGUUUACGUAAAUUCAUCUGAGUUGCCCUGUUAAUUAUGCUUAAUUUAAUAAUUUAAUUGUUCGAAGAUUUACAUAGUACUGCCACAAUAAAAGAGUGGUCUGUUUUGGUGUACUUUUACACAAUGAAAAAGGGAUAUGCAUUGGUGUACUUUGUUAUUUUAAUUUUUUUUGAAAGUGUUUCUUCUAAAACCUUAAAAUUCAUGUGCAACCCUAUGUUGAAUUACUGUCAUUGUCCGCAUGUCUCUGCAAUUCAUUUUAGAUUAAGGCUAUUCACUAAGAGGACCUUUGGAAAGAAAGAGUUCCUUACAAAUAGUAGGAAGCACUUACAUAAGGGAGGAUGUAAACAAUACUACUAUUGACGCAAAUCGAUUCAAUAUUACCAUGAACAUAUUAUUUCUUGCAAUUUUCUUUUGUUUGCUCUCUGUAUAUGUGCUUCACAACUUUGGGGUUUCCUUUUUGUUUGUUUCACAACUUGACAUUGAAAACUCUGCAGUCCAUUUAAUACUAUACAUCCAGAAUCUAUUAACGUUAUGACCACUCAGGAAAAAAAAAAAUUUCUUUCCCCUUGGAUGAAGGAGCAACCAGUUCAAAGUUGUUAAUGGAAUGAAUCAAUUUGGUAUAAGGUAGAACCGACCUAGCCACCUAGGUAAUUCAGUUCUACUCUUCCAAUGUAUAAUAAGAAAGCAAGUGGAUGCAUUGAUGAUUUUCAUAUUUUUACCAACAAAUUAGUUGCGAACUGUAGUUAUAAUAGAUUGAUAACUAAUUGUAGAAUGUGAAUCAGUGAAUAUUAUAGAUUGAUAUGCUCUGUCUUGACUUCUCUGUUAUUUCUAUGAUAUUGAUGCAAUCAAUUUGAAUUCAAAUGUAGGUCGGUGAAUAUUGCAACCUUUAAAUGGAAGGUGUAUGCUUAUUUGUUUGAUUGAACAAAUGUAAUAGACAGUUUCAGUCCUUAUCAGUCCUUUUGUCGCAACACUUAAGGUAAACCUUUAAUAUUUAGAACUACUAUCAUAGCUUAGUUGGUUGCUCAAAGUGUUAACAUUGUUUUCAAUGUUUAGAACUACUACCCUAUCUUAGCGUUGAUUACGAAAUAUCAGGGGAGGCAAAAUCCAUAACCUAUGCUCUGUGAUGAGAGCAUGGUAAAAACCAUAAGCUUUGCUUUUGGAUUAAGAUCGAAGCUCUUUACAUAUACAUCUAUAAGUUGGUAAGGUUUAGUGGGUUGUGGUGGUUUUAUGAAUGGUUAUAACACACUUUACAUAUACAUCUAUAAGUUGCUGCAUUGCAACCAUUUUUAGGUUAGACUGAUCCUCCUUUAGGGAUGACUUUGAUAGCUUGUAUGAUUUUAAAAAAAGUUUCAUUGAUCAAUUUACUUAGUUAAAGAUUUCAGCAAUAAAAAUAUUUCUAUCAUACAUUCUAGCUGUUCAAGACUCAAUUUACAUAUUACAAUAUUUGGAAUAUGAUUUAUUUGAUUCAAAACUGGUCCCAUGUUUGAACAAAAACAUUGAAAGUUUAGAUCUAUGGGUUUACUUCGUUUGGGCAGAUUAUAAUUUUACAAAAAUAAUAAGCUAAAUUUGAAGUGAGAAAAAUGGUUUUAAUAAUUGGUCACAUUAUUUUUUCUACUGAGAAUGAGUAUUGGUUCUAGCAUACAGAUGCACUGUCUCUAUUUAAGCCAUCAAUCGAUAUAGUUUGUUCACGAGAAUAAGAGCAAAAAGUCAUUUAGAACAGGUAAAUACCAAUGCAUGUUUUAUGAGUUGAAUUCCAACAGUUAAUAUUUCUUAUCAUACGGAUAUUUUUGCGGGAAUAUUGCUAAACUUGCAGUUGUAAGAAGAGGUACAAGAGGAUGCUGCAGAGUUCAAAUCAGUGAGUUUUCUUUGUAUCUUUUAGCUUUCGAUCUUUAAUAUUCAAUUGACAAAUUGAGAGUUUGUCAUGAAUGAGUUUUCUUAUAACAAUUAGACAAUUCUUCUUUCAUUACUUAAUUGCAGCAUAGCUCAAAGGGUGUGGAGUCACUUCUUGCAGCCUAUACCUGCUUCUUACAAUAGAAUGUUCGUAGUGGGGAUAACCAGUGAAUUAUGUCCAGUGAUCAACGGAAUACCCAUUUGGAUGAAGUAUUGUUAACAAAAAGUAUGAGAAUUUACACAUUAUACAAUCACAUGAGCCCUGUGAGAGAGAGAGAGAGAGAGAGAGAUGAUGUGUGUACGAUCCAGGUUGAGUUCAUUGUUUAUGUUGUAACUUCAUGUAUUUAGUUGAUCAACCAUGGAGUGUGAAGUGAGCAUUUGAAAAAAGUAAUUGUAUGUUUCUUUUAUGUACAAAUUGAAAUUUAAAUCAUACAAUUAUUUGCUUGAUUUUUUCCAUACUUUUGCCAUCUCAUACAAGUCAGAAACGUUUUAAGCUUUUAACACAUAAAUCUUUAUUACAAAAUUAUUUUUCACGGUUGUAAUAAGGCAUUCAAUAUGUUAACAUGGGCAUUAUUAAUAUAUGUUAGAACUUGCAGUAGUAAAAAUUUAAUCCUAUGGGCAUAUAUUGUCCGAUGUUGUAAAUCAGUAAAAGUGAUGCUCAUUUAAAACUUUAUUUCAGCUUCUCAAUUAUGUGUCAAAGAGUAGUAUUAAACCACCCAUUCUAUUAUGAUUAUAGUCAUCUGAAAAAUACUAGAAGUACGAAAAUUUAAAUUCUAACUUGACAUUCCUUCCUUAAUUCUUCACCUAUAUAGGCACACACACAGUCCAAGAUCAAGACACGUACUCAAUGUCACAACAUCCAUCGAGCAAAAACUGUAACACAAUAUCUCUAAUGGGGUACAAAUCUACAGUGAAUACCAUACGCAUACCUUCUACAUUUAUAUGAAUAUCUACCUCUUAGUAUAUGUUUACUAUGAUCGGUUACAAUUUUUCGCUAAAAUUUGAUUCCUAAUUACCUGUUGUGCAAGUUUUAUUCUACUACUGUGAUGAUUAUAGUUACAAUUAAUGGCUCAAAAAUUCUUUUUAUGAUUGGUUGCUUUCAUCAACUUAUAAUUAAACAAACAAAAUCCACAAUACAUAUUUAUUUAUUUAUCUAAAUUUAUAUUUAGGGUACAAUUCUUUUUAUCAUAAGAUAUAAUUAAUUGGCAAUCGUGGCAGCGCCACGGGUAUUACUAGUAGAGUAUAAUAGAUUAUAGAUUUGAGUUGAUAGUGAUGAAUAUAUUGGUUCUAUUCAGACGGAGCCCAUAAAAAAAAUGGCCCAUAACUUUGAUUCAUUGGACUAAAGUACUAAACUAUAACCUAACCCAUUAAACAGAAUCAUGAUCCACCCAAUAGUCCAAUUUGUGGGCUUAUGGAUCGACUCACCCAACCUAGCUCGAAAAGUUGUUGCCAAUUUACCCAAAUUAUAACAUAGGUGGGUUUGAUCUAAUUAAGUUAGCCGGAUUAGAUUAGUUUUGUCAGUGUAACCUGAUUCACCCAAUUUUAACACACUUUCUUUUGAGUAGGUAACUUCCUUCUAAAUCAACUUUAGGCCUUUAGUCCAUAUAUCUAUAUUAUCUUAUAAGCGGCUUGCCAAAAAGCUGUCCAAUCCUAUUCACUACUAAUCAGGUUUCGCCACAUUAGACACCCAGAAAAAUCUGACAAACACAAUUUUGUAGUUUUCUCUUUCUUAUUCCAUGUCAUACAGUUCAUGGAUCCUACUAUUUAUGUAUAAUAGCAAGAUGGGGAACCAGUGAUACGCAUUAGGAUUUUAUAAAUUAAAUUUUGUGACUUAUUUAUACAAAAAAAUAAACUAUUUAUAUACAUGUAUAUUAAAUUAAUAUUUUUGGUUAUAUUUGACUAAUUAUAUUUUAUGUUGUAUUAUUUUGCUUUGAUUAUUAUUAUUUUUUCCUUGGAGAUGUUUGUGUUUAGUGAGAGUGGAGAAAGAGUUUAGAGAUAUUUUGGCUUAGUGAAAAAGCCAGAAUGUGUAGAGAGAAAUACAAAAAUAGUUAGGGGGCACAUAAAAUUCUAGCCAAUUAGAUUUUUUUCUGUUUUAUUUUAUUUUUUUUAAAUGAAAAAAAUAAAAUUGUGAGAACUUGGAGAUCAAAUUAUCAUGCCACCUAGGAAAGAAUAAGUGGGACCCAUUACUUAGAGGGUAUUAUGUUAAUUUACCAAAAUAAAAUUUGAACUUAAAUCACUUGUUGUAACCCUAUUGAGUAUGAAUGAAAUAAGAGAGAUUACUACAAAAGAACAGGACAAUUGCGAGAAAGGCCAAUCGCGACAGGAAAAAUCCAUCGCAAGUUAAACACAGUAGAUGUCGAUGCUAGUGGUGUGGCGUCAGACAUGAGCCGUUGCCAAUGGCCAUUUCUACUACUGACUGUUGCGAUGACUUUUGGUAGUCAAGAAGGGGCGACAGCUUGUGGCCGUCGCAAGUUCCGUCACAAAUUCCAAUAGAGAACAGAUCUAGUUUUGAAAUUGCGAUGGCUUAUGGCCGUUGUUACUCUUGCUAUUUUGUAAAAAAAAAAGAUUUUUGGCGCUUUAGUAAAUAUAUAAUUGUACGAUAAAUUUUUAAUAUCCAUGAUAAAAUUUUAUUAACUCCAACCAAAACAAACUUUACAACUCCUGAUCAGCUAGCCAAAGCUUUGUCAAGCCAUUUAGGAAAAAUUCACGGAGGACAUGCCCUCGUAGAAAAAAAAUCAAACAGAUAACAAUGUAUAUACCUUACAAAAAAACAAAAUAUGACUUUGUUACUAAGUCCCUAUCUUCAAACUCAUCUUCUAACCCUGUUGUAUAAACCUUCCAAAGAAGAAGAGAUAGAACUAGGGUUCUUCAUUAGAACGCGAAGAAGAGAAAACCAGAACAGAACAGAUUACAUAUGCACACAUAUUUGGCUUAUAAAACCCUAUGAACCAAAAUUACUAUACUACCCUUAUAGCUUAAAUACACAACUCUAAUAGUUUAGUCUUUAGUUUGACUAAUGCCUUAGCCGGUGCUACGCACCGGUUAAUUUUAAUUUAUCAGUGUUCAAUUAUCAUUCUGAGUUUUAAGUUAUUAUUUUUAUAAAAUAUUAUAAAUUACACUAAGAAUUUAUUAAAUCAUAUGCAAUAUUGUAAUUAUUUCUUAAGUAAAUUUAUUAUUCUUAUUAUAUUUUGUUAAUUUAAUUAUUUUUUUAAUUAUUAGACUUCUUGGUUAUAAAUAAAAAUUCAGCCUAUAAAUAAAAAUAUGUUAAAUUACAAUAAAACUAUUAUUUAAAAGGUAUUAUAUAAAUUUACCAAAAAACCAUGACUAAAACGUUAUUUUAGUCAGAAUUAGGUUACAAAAUUCUAAAGCUCAAUUCUCAUUAACCGGGACUUACCCCUGAAUUUUAUUCAGGUUUAUAAUAGUAGUAUAGAUUAAACUUGCAAGCUUCAACCAAUAUGAGCAUACAUGUGAACCCAAUCAUGGCUUUAAACUAGUCCUCCUUGUUCAGUUGUUCCAUGGUUAUACAAAAGUUUGAAAAACUAGCCAUCAAACCUGCUAGCUUCAUUCAUCCAUGGUUACUUCUGUUCAACCAUGGCUCUAAUUCCAACCCUUGGAUAUGCAGAGGUUUGAAAGUAAAAAGUACGUCCUGCACCUAAUUAAUCAAAUAUGUUAGCAACUCGGUCUAGUGAACUAAUUAAUUUAGGUACUUGUGCAACUAUGUACAUAAUUAUAAUUGAUCAGUAAGUUCUCUGUCUUGGCUUUUGGCCUUUGGAAAGCUCUACCAGAACAUGGGGUAAUCACAAACAAUUUCAAACAACAAGCAGUUAUGUCCGAGUUAGAAAAUAAAUAAAUUUAUUUUGAUGACAAUCAGUACUUCACGAAGAGACCAAGGAGGUAGAAAUUCAGAUUUGCAGCCACUAAAGAACUUUGAGAUCAUUUUAAUGAUAAAAAAAGAUAGAAAAUAAAAAGGUUUAGUAAAGUGUUGCAUAACUAAAGUUAUGUCCAAUUUACGGAAAAUAAAAGGUUUUAUCAUUGUUAUUUUCACUAUUAAGUAAGUCAUGUGAAAAAAGGUUUUAUCAUUGAAUACCAAGAAAUUUCAUAUCUUGGAGCAUAUUUAUAUGCGAAUGUGAGACUUAUCAAAAGAAAAAGUGAGUAAUUUGAACAAAUGUGUGUACCAUUGUUCUUUAUUCUCUGUGAAUUAAUCUGAAUGUAAAUGGAUUAAGUUUUUUUUUUUUUUUUUUAAAUUAUUAUUAUUUUUACAGCACAAAUAUUGUUGAGGAUUUGGAUGCAGAUAUGUGUACCACUGUUCUCUAUUCUCUAUGAAUUAUAAUCCAAAUGUAAUUGUUGUUGAGUUAAUAAAUAGGUGGAUACAGAACACGAGCACCACUUUAAGUACGGGGUUAACUUGCGAACAUACGCAAAGCGCGUGCAUUCACAUAGUAUAUAAAAAGAACACCAUUGAGAAUUUAAGAUAAUAAAAACAACGCAUACAACCACUAUAAAGUGUAAACAUAGCUUGGAAAGCCCAAAUAGCAUUUUUAAAUCAUCAAACUUUAUCUUUCUCUUUGAUGUAUACUGUAUGUACCCAUUACCGAGCUCUUUCUUACUUGGAACUCCCAAUAACCGACUCUCUGCACUUAUUUCAUCCGACUUCAAUCGAGUUACAUCACCCGAGCUCAAGCCCAUUUCCAACAACUUGGCCCAUCCGACAUGCAAUACUCCAACUCGAUGACUCAUGAGCUCGUGUGGCGCUUACGUGGCAAUGCAUGUUAAUGCCAACAAUUACAAGAUCAAGAUCAAAUAUAUUCUCUUUAUUAUAUGUCCGUUAUUUUCCGUUACAAAAUCAAUAUGAAUAUCAUACAUGUAAUUCCCUAUCUAUAUAAAUGGAUCUAUUUCAUGUAAAAGAGGACAAGCUCUCUCUAGCUCCUCACAAGCUCUCUAGUUUCUCUCAUCUCAUAUCAAUAAAAUACACUUAUCUCUCCCGUGGACGUAUGCACCAUUGCCGAACCACGUGAAAUUCAUGUAUCUAUUUACUUAUAUUUUGCAAUCUCCAUCACGACUUGUUCUUUUUUAUGUAAUGUAUUUACAUAUACAACCCUUCCAAGCAUUGAUAUGCAAUUGCUCCACGAGGGAUGUUGAAACAUAUUCAAAGUCUAUCCUGACCUCAUCGCGAGCAGUGAAAAUUAAAGUAGGAGCAAUGAACUUUAUGGGAUCAAAUGCAAUAAUAAAUGCUUCCAUCUACACCAUCAAUUUGGAAAAUAAAUCAAGAUAUAAUAGAAUUAAUUAUCUGUCUAUGGAGAAGGGUGGGCGUAGCAUUUUCAUUAUAUAUACUCCCUCUGUCCCGCUUUUAUAGGCUAAUUGGGGUUUUUCACACAUAUUAAGAAAGUGGUGAAAAAUUAUUUAUUUGCAUUUAAUAUAAAUAUUAUUUCUAAAAAUACCUUUUUUCAUUUGUUAUGUACAUUUAAUACUAUUGACUAUAUUUAAAGAAAUUUUCAUAAUUAAUAAGGGAUAAAUUUGUCACUUGUCUUAUUAAUUGUUUUGAAUAGUGUGAAAUGGACUAUAUAGUGGGACAGAAAAAACGGGCAAAUCAGCCUAUAGAGUAAUUCUAUGGGGACAACCCAUGAAGCCAGACUUUAUAACCAGCCUGACGUGUCUGCUUACAUGGCUAGUCCACAUCAGCCAAAAAAUAUUUGCCCUCCUCUCUACUUUGCGUCUCUCUCUCUCCAAAAUCAAAAAAACAAAAAAAAUCUGCACUGUUUUUCUACCUUUAGCCCUGUCCAACUUGCCCGCUCUCAAUUUUCUCAAGUUUUAACUUCGUUAACUUUCGAUCUUCUAUUAUCAGAGAAAACUUCUGAUCUGAUUUUUUUUUAGUUGAACAAUGAAGACAUUGGCAGUUGCUACUAAUGUAGUUUAUUCUUUUUACCACUUUCAUCAAUGGCUUUUGACAUAGGAUCAAAGUGUGCUCCAUUUACAAUUAUUUGGUAAUCAGAUUUUUUUUUUUUUUUUUAGUAUUAUCAUCCAAGUUUGUUAUUAGUUUAUCUUAUCACAGAAAAUUUUGAGAAGAAAAAACCCUCCACGUCAAGAUAAACCCAAGUUGUAUCCCAGUAAAAAUUGAAUGCACAUCAAAUAAUAUGAAGCUCAAAUAAUAUCUCUAAGACAAAUCAGAUGAGAAAUACCAUUAACCCAAACCUGAAUUAAUCCCCAUCAGAUUCCUUAAUAAAAUUAAAAGUAUAAAGAAGAUCAAUUACAAAAAUAUUAGGUACAAAAGACUUAGGGUUAUAUUGGUUUACAAAAGAGAAGAGAAGAUUGCGAAUAGAGAGAGCUAGAGAGAGAAAAGUCCAUAGAAAAUAGAAGAUAUCAAAUAUUCUUUAGCUAAUGUGGACUAGCCAUGUCAGCAGACACAUCAGGCUGGUUAUAAAGUCUGGCCACAUGGGUUGUCCCCAUAGAAUUACUCAUAUAUAUAUAUAUUAUAUGAGGCAUGUUGAAACAUAUGCAACUCUAAAGCCAAUAACACUCAUUUUCCCAAAACUGUGUUCAUACAUGGUGGAACUAUUUUUUUCCAAAACUGUUGGCUCUUGGAUGGACCUCACCUAACCCCAAAUAAGGUCAACAACAUACACCUAUACUUCAUUUCUAAAAUCGGAUGCACAAGGUAUUUCAAAAAAUAAUUAAAAAUAUUACAUAUCACCAACUCCACAGUCCACAGAAGAAAAUAAUAGUGCCAUGGUGGUUUCGUUGUGGAUUAUAAUAAAACUAAUCAAACCCCUACAGGCCCACUAAUUAAUUACAUAUGAGUGCCCACUAACAAUUAUAGUGCAAUAUUGAAUUUUGUUUCAUAGAAGAAUUAGGGUUAUAAAUCCAAAACAAUUAAAGUUCUUGAGGAAUGGAAUAUUGAAAGAUGAAAGGCAAAACUUAUAAAGAGAGUAAAGGUGUAAAGUAGGAAAUUUAUUCGAAUCUAUCAAUGGUCUUCAUUCCACUAGCUAGUAAUAGUGUAGGAAGUUUCCAAAAAGUAGAUUUAAAGCAGUCGUUUACUAUAAUGUAAACAGCCUAAAUCAUAUUAUAUGUUGUAGUGUGUGGGGCUUCCUCAGUUUUUCCUUUGUUUUGUGAUAUUAAGUGGUUGUCAUUCUACUACUUUAGUGAAAAACAAAUGGAAAUAAUGCAAUGGGUGGAACCUUGGUAAAUGGAAAUAGAAUUUUGUUUGCUUCCCAUGGAGAUGAACUAGCCUAGGGUUGCAUAAAAGAAAAGUGACUCAAUGAACUCUUGGUAAAUGGUAACUUACCUUGUGAUUUAUUGGUCUAUAAAAGAAAAGUAGGAUGAGGCUAUAUAUAUAAUUAGCUUCAUCAAGGAAGUUCUUAUUGGCUAUCCAGGAUAUAUAAGUUGGUUUGCUUCCCAUGGAGAUAGUCAAGUGCUGCCAGAUUCCUCUCCUGACUGCUGCAACGACUAUGGUCUCCUCUCAAGUCUGAUCGUUAUUUCUUAGAAAUUGUCGCUUUGAGCAUACAAAGAUAUAUAUCCUUCUUGAGAAAUUAGCUUGCUUCUCAUUCAGAUCUAAUUCAUAUAAAUUCUACUCGUAAAGUCUCAGGUAUGGUCACUUGCUUUGAAGAUACAUAGAUAGAUAUUUUCCUUCUUGCCCACAUUUUUUUUAUUUUUUUAUAUUUUUUAGAGAAGCAUUUUCUACAGCGUAUUUUUUACAUUCUCUACAUAUAUAUAUAUAUAUAGUAGUAAAGUCUAUAACAACUCAUUGUUUGAGUUUUUCUCAAAUGAAUUUAAUUUUUCUCUCUUUCAGAAGUGUUUUGAAUUAACUUCAAUUUUUUCUAAGAUUAUUUUUUAUCUUUCACUCUUUCAGAUCUGGUUCUGCUCAUUGUUUGGUUAGUGCUUAAGCAAAAAAACUUGCUUGGUACAUAAGGUAAAUACGUAAGAAAACCCCUUUGAGUUAAAGGCGACUGCUAUCUAAUUUUGAUAACUACUAAUCCAAGCUACUAGAUUUGAUAUUUUAUUUUUAUGAAGCGCUUUAUGUGGUUGUCAUCUUGGUAUUCAGUUCGCAACUUUACAUUGAUAACACUAUUCUAGUAAAUAUGGAUUUACUAUCUAUACUAUACUAUUAUAAGCUUGAAUAAAAUUCAGGGGUAUCUCCUGGUUGAUGAGAAUUGAGUUAAAAUACAAAUACUCUUUUAGUCAUGGUUUUAUCGUAAUUUAACAUACGAUUUUUUGUCGAAAGGCCCAAUAAUUUUAAAUAUAAUCAAAUUAACAAAUAUUAUGAGGAACUAACAAUUUUAACUGUGAAUUCCUAUAAAAGAAUAUUAAUAAAUUUGUUUCAAAAAUAAUUAUUUCAUAAAAUUCAAUAAAUUAGUCUAAUUGUAAUUUUUGCUAGCUUGCGAGUGUAAUUAAUAACUUAAAACUCGAAUGUUCAUCUUAAACUGAUAAAUUAAAAAUUAACCAGUGCGUAGUACCUACUAACACAUUAGUAAAAAUAAUUUCAGUAACUUGUUAGCGUUAGAUUGAAAUACAGUUUAGUAGAGUGCAUUCUAAACUAGUUCAUCACAAGCUAAGAGUACUUGCAACUUCUAGGUAUGACUGAACUUCUUUAUACCCAACCUUGACCUCCCUUUGUUGUAAACCACGCCAACUUGUGAUGUAUGUCAAUUCCACAAUAACAGAGCAAAAUUGUGAUAUUUUUUGUUCUCAUUCACAACCAUUUCGUAUAUGUUCUAGUAAAUUCUUAGGCAUAGUCACUUGCCCAUCUACAACUAUCAGACUUCCUUUUUGCCUUUUUUUCGUUUAUCAAAAGCACUUCUAAAUUCUAAUUGUAGAUUGAGAAAAUAAUUACAUUGCAUAUAUGCUAUUAAAGUCUCCUCCAGCUCUUGUACCUUUUGUUAUAGUGUUCAUUUUAAAAUUUUCUUAAAUAACAUGUUUUCUUUCUCUCAAACAAAACUGGCUUCUUAAUUGUGUAGUCAGUGUAAAGAUGGCUAAGGAAUUGCAGCAAAGGAACAAAGUUCGAACAUAAGGUAAAUAAAUAGAAAAAUACAAUUUUGAAUUUUAGGAGUCGAUUUUUCUUUGCAUUUAACUGGGUUUUUUUUUCUAUAGAUUCAUACUUUUCAAAUGUGUGUAGACAGAAUCCUAUUCUUUGCGUUAGAUUUGAUAUUUUUUAAUAAAAUAUUCUCGGGUUUGGUCGGGUAUUUGGGUAAAAUCUUGGGUUCAGGUUUAUUAUUUAAACCCAAUUCAGAUUCGGGUUUAGGCUGUUUUAUAUAAUUCGGGUUUGGGUUUGUAUGAACCCAACAAUACCUGACGUGUUUUCAGCCCUAGGUUUCUUUACUUUUGACGUAGAGGGAAGCAUGAUAAUUGAAUCUAACACUAUAAACUUGAAAGAAAAUUGCUAAAAAAGUAGAACUUUGAUAGUUGAAUGAAUAACUAAUUAAAUUUUUUGUUUUUAGACCUCUUUAUAUAGAUAACUCUUGAUAACUAAUUAGAAACUGAGUAAACCUCCAAAUACAUUUUCCUUAAGGAAUCCUAAAUAAAGUAGAACUCAAAUGACUCUUCUAGACUAUUAUAAAGACAACAAAAUAGCAAAAACAUAACUUAGAAACAAAGUUUAGCUUACAUAAGGAUUUCUAAACCAAUACACUCAAAGUAUGAAAUAGGAAACUGUCAGUCAACUCAAGUCAAGAUGCUCUACAUCGUCCUCGAGUUCUCGCAAACCAAAACUUCACGUGAAUCAUAAAUUGGAUAUAUGUUAUGUACGUUAAAGAUUGGAGAAAUGCGUAUAUCUUCUGAAAGAGCAACACCAUAUGCAUUACAUUCAUGAUCUAAUUAUAGCACGUACAUUAAAAUUAUCAAACCAACCAAAUCCGCUCAAAUUACAAGAAAAAAAAGGGUUAACCCAACCCACCCCAUUAUACUCUAUGAAUCGGCACAGGCAGGAUCUAUGUUCCAAAUCCUUUAAUUGCAAAAAAAAAAAAAAAAAAAAAAGGUAUCCAAUACAAAUUAAACUCUUUUUCCCACCCCCUAUUUAUACAUGUAAGUGUAAAUAAUAUAGAUCUGUACUGGUUAAGCUAACUAAAAAACCUAGCCGCUAGAGAAAAAAACCUAACCAAUUGAAAUCCCUCCCAUGAUGCCAGAUUUCAAUCGCUGGUGGUUAGCCUUCUUCUCUAUGUGAUCGUCCUUCUUGUUUUAUCGUUUCAAGCUUGGUUUAAAUCUGGAAUUUAUUCUAGAUCCAAGUUAUAGCUUUGAUGAGAAGGUUGCUUAAUUAUGGAAUCUGUUUUUCUUUCCUUGUUGUAUUUUAGGUCCUUGGCUUUGAUUGGUAUUUCUCACAAACCUUUAGGGAGUUAAGGUUUUAGGUAUAAGCCGCAAAGCCUAGGCGACAUUUAUUCAUCUUUAGGCUUUAGGAUUGGUUUUCCGCUUGUUUUAGUUUUGUUUUGCUUUAGUCUUGCUAGAGAUAAGCCUUGUUUUAGUGAGUUAUUCUCUUUUACCUUGUCCUCCAAAGGAUAAGCUUUGUUUCUAUAAGCUCUUUAAUGAUCAUACUCUUGGGGAUCCUGUUUGUUUUCUGAUUUCUAUCUACAUAAAAAAAAAUUAUCAAAAAAAUAAAAUAAAAGUGUAAAUAGUAAUAUCCUUGCCUAACGAUGGUUGAUUAAUUUGUAUUUUAUGCUUCAUGGAUGUUUGAUGGUAAUGUAGAUCUUGGAAGAAAGGGAUUAGGAAUUUCUAAAAGAAGAAGAGGAUACAAUGGUUAGGAAUCUUUUACGAAUGGAAGCUUGGAAUCUACCAAGUAAAAGAGAAGAAAAAGAUGAAUAAUCUAACAAGAAACAAAGGAUAACUCAAGAAACAAUUCUUCUAUUCAAUUCAAUAAUAAUUAACCUAUCUAUUACAAUAACCUAAAGCUUCUUUUAUAAAACAAAAAUCUUGUUUAAAAAAGGUUUCUAAACAAAAACGAUUUUUAAACACAUAGUGAAUGCGCGAAAUAGUCGUUAAUUAGAUCAGGUUUUCAAAACCUUGUUUUGACUACCUAAAAUGAGUAUAGCUUCAAGAACGGUUAUCGAAUCCACGUCUAAGAGAGAACCAAAUUAAAUGAAUAAGAGAAAUUCAUUUUUACUAAUCUAGAGAAUAAGGGAGCAAAUGAUUUUCCAAGGUAUUAAUGAUGAUUAACUACUACUAAUGAAAGAAAUAUUUUAAAAAGAUAAAUAAGGUGAGAGUUUCAAGAGAUUGAAUCCACCAAUUCAAACAUGUAUAAUAAUUAAUAUAUAGAUUUAUCAAGAUUAAUCCGUAGAUAAAUACUCAUUACACACUAAGAUGAUUCGAAAUGCAUAAUAAAAAGAUAUGAUAUUAAACACUUAUUGUAUUUACAUUAGAGUCUAUCAAUUCUAGAAAAUCAAUGAUACUUCUUAUCAUUAAAAUGUGAGGAAAUACUACAACACAAUAUACAACUAUUAUGUUGGUGGCAAGAAAGAGUACGUUCGUCUUUCUGAGCGUCACUCAAUGUGUCCCCAAAUAACUAUAGCAAAGUGUAUAUUCCACCUACUAAGAGAAUUUAAAGAACUAAGAAGAAAGUAAAUGAACAUCGUUAUAUAUUUCGUUUCACAAAUAAAACAUUGUAAUAACUUACCUCUAACCUUUUCUCGAAGUAUUAGAUCUUUAAUCUUCAGAAUUACUCUAAAGGAUUAAAACUUAACAAAUCAUAUACUAACCACUACAUAAAUGAAAAAGGUUUCAUCUCUCACUUGAAAAAUGGAGAUUAACCUAGCAUAAUACUAAACUAAAAUCUAUUAAAUAAAAUAACAUAGAAAUAAAAUUAACUAAACUAAAAGAAAAUGAUAAAAAGAAUUUUCAUGUCCAAAAGUGAGUUCUAACAUCAUACUAAUUAGGGAUAAAAAUUACGUUUUUGGAUACUUAUCAAUAAGUAGGAAAGAUAGAAUAUGCAAUAAACUCCUCAUCUUUAAAUAAGUCGGCUAGGUUAAAAUCAACAUUCUCCUCUUGAGAAAAAGCCGAAAUUGGUUGGAUGGUGGAGGCAACAAUAAGUGUAGAGUGGAGAGGGAUGAUGGUGGCUAGAAUAUUGGAUGUAGAGACGGGGAUCUUUUCAUCAUUUUGUCCUUACGUUUGAGUAUUUGAGAAAUUUGGCGGGUGAGUUGAUUAAUAGAAUCUUUCAACGAAAUUUGAGUAGCUUGAAAAAAAAUCUUGUGAAGAUUUCAUCUAUGUUUGAGUUUCUUUAAGAGAAUUGAUAGUUGCAUCAAAGUCUUUCCUUGAAAAAAAAUCUUGUUGAUUAGGUGACAUUGGAUCUUAAGAGAAAUGUUGUUGUAGUAAACAAACGAUUUAAAACACCUUGUAGUAGAACGUGUGAUUGUGAUAGAAAGACGACUCGAAGAUCUUUCCAACAAUAUAUCGCACCCAGACUGGGCCAUAAUAUUAUGUCCUGUAGAAGCCUACAAAGUUGACGAAUUUUCUGAAUCUGGAUGGACGAAAUCUGCUUGAAUGGAAGGUGAUGACAGACCACUUUAUAGAUAAGGAUCUAAAAAGUGAGGAUCUAAUACCACAAAAUGUGGAACUUGGAAGAAAGAUAUUAGGAAUCUCUCAAAGAAGAAGAGAAUAAAGGGUUGGGAAUCUUAGACGAAUAGAAGCUUGGAAUCCACCAAGUAAAAGAAAAGGAAAAGAUGAAUAAUCUAGCAAAAAACAAAGAUAACUCAAGAAGCAAUUCUUCUAUUCAAUUCAAUAAUAAUCAACACAUUUAUUAUAACAACUUAGAGCUUAUUCUAUAAAGCAAGAAGCUUGUUUAAGAAGUAAAGGGCUUGUAAACUAAAAUGACUUUUAAAAACAUAAUGAUUCUUAGUAGUUAAUAUAAUAUACUUAGAACUAAAAGAAUAUUUUUUCUUGAACCUACUUGGAACUUAGAAAAAAAAAAAAUAAUAUUCAAUAUAUCCUACAUCAGAUGGAAUACAUGAUAAUCUUACUUCAAUAUGCACAUUAUUGAUAUUGUCCCCACUUAGCCAUUGUGGAUGUCCAACAGUGUGGGGUUUUAUGGGCAGCAAUCUGCUUCCCGGGAGGUCACCCAUCCUGAGAUUACUCCCACCCAAGCACGCUUAACUCCGAGUUCUUUCGAACUCUAGAGCCAAGUGAGCCCAAAAGGCCUCGGUGAUAAUAAAUGAGGGAUGUAUACCAAUAUUCCAAUGUCAGGACAUCCCCCUCUUAAGUGUCGUAGGAACCACCCCAUCAGUAAACUACUGUCGACCCGGGGUAUUACAUUUGCAUUUUAUGUUUCAUGCAUGUUUGAUGGAGUCUUAGUUUAAUAUAUAUAUAUAUAUAUAUGCACAUUAUUGCAUCUAUUAUACUAUAUAAUAGUUGUAGACAACAAGUGCCACAUGGCGCUUUUUUAGAAACUUGAGAAUAAAGCUUGAAUUUGAUGAGAGCCCAAUUUAAAAAAAGAGCCCACCUUCUAUGUCAGCAUAGAUUUAUAGAAACCUUAAAACCCUUAGAAUUCACCGACUUCUGAAUCUCUUUUUCUACUAAAUUCUUUUUCUAUUUAAAUUCCUUAAUUUUUCUUUUAUAAAAACCAUACUAAAUACAAAAAAAAUAUUAAUUAUAAUUCUCUACAAAUCUAGGUUGAAAAGGGCAUUAAAAAAGCUUAGUUCCACCAUCAUACAAUUACAACAAUGUAAUAAGGUAAUAGAAAUCCUUUGGGAAUACCAUGCAUUAUAAGCGAUCCUCCAUUUAUCGGAUAACACAACUCCCGGUGCAUAAUAUGGGUUCAACAACUUGUGAUAUUCAAUAAUAGUUAGUGUACGUAUUAGACCCAAGGUACAUUUUAUAGUCAUUUUAACUUAAUUGUGAACUCAUGCAUGUUAAUACAAUUAUUUUUUUUAUUUAUUUCCCACACAUUAAAAUAACGCGAUUAUAAUUUAUUUAAAAGAAAAAAAACCCAUAACUUGAUUCAUUAGACUAACCCAUAACCAUCCCAUUAAACCAGAAUAUUAAUCCAAUUUGUGGGGUUAUAGGUGGAUUCUCAGCUUAUAAAUUCUACCCAAUUAGAUUUUUACUGCUUUAUUUUACAUUUUAAAAAAUGAGAAAAAGUGUGACAGUUGCAGAUCAAUUAUGAUGCCACCUAGAAAAGAGUAAGUGGGACCCCUUGGGUUCAACUAUUAUAUAGACUAUGUUAAUAUGCACGCACAGUUCAUAUGCGUGAUUCCCAUAUUUAUAAAGAUUCUAACUCUUGCCACAUGUCCUCAAAAACCCAGUUUGCCAUGAAUAAAUAACAUAAUACAGUUCCUUUUCAUAACUAAUAACAAGUCCAUUAAUUUUUCAAAAUAGAACGUGCACGACAAGUGCAAAUUCACUUAGUGUUCUAGUAAAGUCUCAAAUGUGGCCACUUGCCCAUCUACCACUAUCAAGCCUCCUUUCUUGCCAUUUUUUUUAGGGAGAUCUUAGUCACACCACACAAAUCUUUCAUACACCACACUUGUUUAGCUUACCACAAAUAUUCUUAAGAUUCUCUAGGCACACCACAAAUAAAAUUGAAAAAAAAAACUCUCAGUAUACCACAUUUUAUUUUAUUUUAUUAGUAGAAAAAUAUAUAUAGAAAUAAAUUUAAAUAAUCUAAAAGAUGAAAAUAAAUCUAAGCAACAACAUACAAUAAUGUAAGAAUGUCCAACUACUUCUAGAUAAGAGAGUACUUUCAUCUACAAUUGAAAUCAUAGAAAAAUAUUAAAAUCUUAGAUUUUGACUAUUGUUCUCCAUAUUUUAUUUUUCAUAGAAAAUCUAAAAUGAAGUAUUAGAAGAAGAUGGAGAGAUUUAAGGAAGAAUAAAAUUAGCUGAUUUUUUUAUUUUAGCAUAUUUUUAAUAAAAAAAUAAAAAUAUCUUUAUUUGCUAGAUUUAAUUUAGCAACGUUUCCUUAUUUACUAGAUUUUGUUUGGCAAGUAAAAAUUUUGAAAGAAACAAAACCAAAAUUAAUGUGUAGUGUGCCAAAUAAAAUAAUAAGGAUAAAUCUGUAAAAACACAAUUAUUCAAAAUUUAUCUAAAAAUGUGGUGUAUGAGAGAUAUAUGUGGUGUGACUAAGAUCUCCUUUUUUAUCGCAAAAAUAAGGACAAAUUACAAUGUUAUUAUAUAUAUUCCAUACAUAUUCUAGUAUAGUCUUCUCCAACUCUUCUUAUGCGUAAUUUCAAUUUGCUGAAAUAAAGUAACUUACUUUUCUUUCAAAACAAAUCAAAUGAUUGUUUGCCAAAAUUGUAAUUCUUUCAAAACAAAUCAAAUGAUUGUUUGCCAAAAUUGUAAUUCUUUCAAAAUAAAUCAAAUGAUUGUUUGCCAAAAUUGUAAAUAAAAAAGGGCAUGUUGUAAGGAAUUUAGUUACGAUAUUAUGAUAACGGGUCAUACAAAAUUACUUGAUAAAUAUUAUUGCCUCCGUCCCAAGAUAUCUCACUUUCCAUAUUUGACCACAUAUUAGUUAAGUUAGUUUGUUCUUUUGCCUAUAUUAUCCUUGCUUAACAUAAUUACUUUAAUGAGGAUAAUUAACGUAAUUUUAAUGAAUUAGGGUAAAUUUAAAAAUAUAAUUUAGUAGACAAACUAAUAAAUGAUGUUUCUUUAAUAAGUUGGAUCUUCUAUAAUGUACUUAUAAUUUGGGACGGAGGGAGUAUAAAUGAUAAUAAAAUAAUUUCACUAGAUAUCAGAAAAGCAAGGUAGUGUUUCUCUCAUCUAUCUUCUCACCUGAUCUCAGGCAGUUAUUCCCUUAUUGUCCUCCUAUUUCUCCAGAUAUUAUUGAGAAACUAAUUCUCCUCUCUAAUCAAAUACAUCCUAAAAUAUAAAAAAAAUCUAAUCAAACAUAUGUUCUUGUUAGGGUGGCGCUCAUCCUAAUUUUCUAUGUAAUCCCAUUAUAUGUUUAUAUACAAAGUGUUAGUGUAACUCAAUUUGCUCAUAUUUCAAAAAAUAAUAUCUUUACCAAAAGAUUUUUUGUUUUCCCUAGAAACCAAAAGAAUAAAAAUCACGACCCAAGGAAUAAACUUUUACUUUGAAUUUGACGGAUUGUUUUUUUUUUUUUUUUCUUUUUUUUUCUCUGUAGUAGAAUAUAUAUAUAAACCAUCAAACUUGUUCAAGUUCAUAUCCUGUUGUGUCAAUCACUUUAAAAGGUUUUCCUUAUGUUGUGUUAUAAUGGCAGGAUGGCUGAAAUAAUUGCUGCAAUCGGUACUCUUUUGAGUUGUUUUUGUCAACAGAAUUGUUUAAAUACCCAAAUUUUUGUACGAUGCAAGCAUAUGAUUAAUCCCAAGAAAGAAAUUAAGAAGUUGAAAAUACUGAAGACAGAAUUAAUUGCCUUGAAGGAUGAUGUAAAUGGCAAGUUACACACAGCAAGGAUUGACCGAGGGGAGGCUCCUACACAAGUUGUGGAAUUGUGGCUCAAAAAUGUCCAACGUAUUUUGGAAGACACAGAACUCAUUGAAGGAGAGUUCAAAACAUCAAAGAGGUGCUUAAAUCGUGUAUUGCCUAAAUGUUGUUCAAAUUUUAAUUUAGGACAACGUAUCUCAGUGUUGAUCAUGGAGGGGAAUAAACUUACUCUCAUAGGUAGUGAAUUAUUAAAGGACACUCUCACAUCACAAGUACCAAAGAUUGGAGUGGAACUACCUGCACAAAAAUUGGUUGGGAAAACUACGGCUCAAAAAUCUUUAGAGAAGGUUUGGGAACUUCUAAUGGAUGGCGAAAGUAGAGUGGUUGGAGUGUACGGAAUGGGUGGAAUUGGUAAAACCAAGAUGGCAAUGGUUAUAAAUAAUCGAAUCCUAGAAAAGUCUAAUCAGUUUGAUAAGAUUAUUUGGGUCACUCUAUCAAAAGCUAGAGAUAUUCAUGGAUUACAAAUUGAUAUUGCGAAAAAGGUUGACUUGGAUUUAUCAAAUGAACAAGAUGAAAUAGAAAGGAUGGGAAAGUUACAUGAGGCGUUGAAACGGAGGAAAAGGAUCCUAUUUAUUUUGGAUGACAUGUGGCAAGAAUUUCCUCUUGGCCAGAUAGGUAUACCUGAACCCACAACAGACAAUGGGUGCAAAGUAUUAUUAACUACCAGGAAGAAAGAAGUUUGCAAUAAGAUGGGAUGUCGUGCAGCCAAUGUGAAGGUAGAAAAUCUAACUGAAGAAGAAGCUUGGGAGCUGUUUUUAGAUAAAGUUGAUGAGCUUACUCCUGAAGUAAUGUCGACUGCAAAGUUGAUCGCUAAGGAAUGUUCUGGUUUGCCACUGGCGAUAAUCACAGUAGCUGCAGCUAUGAGAGGAAAUGGUGACCUUGGGGAUUGGACAGUUGCUUUGAAUGAUUUGAGGAACUUUAGCAACCAAAUCAUUGAUAGCGACGACAUUGUCUUUGAACGUUUAAAAUUCAGUUAUGACCGGUUGCCCAAUGAAAAACUAAAAAAAUCCUUCUUAUGUUGUGCAUUGUAUCCUGAGGAUUAUGAAAUUUUAGCAAGGGAAUUGGUUGACUUUUGGAUCAUGGAUGGUAUGGUCGAGGGAAGAAGUAGACAGGAUGAGCUUCUUGAAGGCCAAUUUAUAUUGAAAAAACUAAAAGACCAUUGCUUGCUUGAAAGUGUUGAAACCAAUGAUGUCUACUACAACGAAAUGUCUGAUGGUGUAAAAAUGCACGAUCUGAUCAGGGACAUGGCUCUUCGUAUCACACGUAAGCAUUUCAUGGUCAAAGCUGGUUCCCUAUUGCAAGUAUUACCAAGUGAAGUGGCAUGGGAAGAAGUUCUUGAGAGGGCUUCUUUUAUGAAUAAUAUGAUAUCAAAGGUUUCAAUCAGUCCAAGAUGCCCUAAGCUCUCUACCUUAUUUCUUGGAGGCAAUCUUUUCAUAAGCAGUAUAACACACGAUUUCUUUAUCCAUAUGCAGUGCCUCAGGGUACUUGAUUUGCGAUGUCAUUGGGACAAAGCAAAUCAUAAUUUAGAAUCGUUGCCAGAUUCCAUCUCUGAAUUGGUGAAUCUACAUGAUUUACGUUUAAGUUGGUGUACGAAGUUGAAGAAAGUUCCUUCACUAGCUAAACUCGUCCGAUUGAGAAGGUUGGAACUUAAUAAUACUGCCAUUGAAGAACUGCCUGAAGCUAUGGAAAUGUUGGGCAAACUGAAUUGCCUUAACCUCCACUGUGUAAGAUUGAGGGAGACAAUUCCACUAGGAUUAAUAUCAAAGUUGUCUGCAUUGCAAGAGUUGUACCUUGGUGGCAUAGAAGUGGAUAAACUGUAUGACGUUGGAAGCGGUGAAUCUUUUGCAAAUGAAUUGCUCAGCUUAAAAGAGUUGGAGAAUCUUAACACCAGUUUUCAUUGUUUGUCUGAUUAUGCAAGCUAUGUUGGAUCAUCCAAAUUUAAUGGGUUGAAAUGUUUUUAUCUAGCAGUUGGAGAAGAGUACAAUUUCCGUGAAUAUCAUCUAGGUGUUCCUCCAAAAGGCAACAGUUCAAUUAUCUUGCUCAGGCGAAGGUAGUGCUCAAAAUGCCCAUUUUUUCCCCCAAAACACUAAACGUGUUGCAAUAAAUUCGUUCAAUGAUUUGACAAGGUUAAAUGAGUUGGGAUGGUUAAUAAAGGAUGUAAGAGAGCUAGUAGCAUUUACAAUUAACCAGUGUAAUAAAAUAGAGUGUAUAUGGUGGUGGUCGUCGUCAGAAGAGGAAUUGAGUGGUACUGGUACUGGUACUUCUUCUACUUGUUGGCUACAAUGCCUGGAAAGAAUAGAUAUCCAUCGAUGCCCCAAAUUGUACACGCUUUUUAAGGGGAUUCCAAUUCCUCCUUCCUUCUUCUGCUUGAAGGACUUGAGAAUCUAUGGAUGUCAUAAUAUCAAGAAUGUCUUAUCAUCAUCUAGGUUGCUGCAGCUGCUCCAAAACCUUGAAGAGAUAUGGGUGAUUCGAUGUGAUGAAUUGGAGGAGUUGAUUGGAGAAAAAGAAGAAGAAAACAGAAGAAACGUUGGAACACCCAUCGCAGUUCAAUUCCCUAAGAUUAAAAUAUUUGUGUUUAGGAAUCUACCAAAAUUGAAGAGCAUUUGGAGGGGCGUGAUGAUUUGUGAUUCUCUGAAAGAAGUUUGGGUAGAUAAUUGUUCUGAAUUAAAGAAGCUCCCUCAAUUUAAAGGAGAAGAUCAAUCGAUACAACCGCCAGCAUCUCUAAAAGAAAUCCAAGGAAGCAGAAAAUGGUGGGAUUCACUUGAAUGGGAUCCUGCAUAUCCCCAAAAUAUCCUUCAACCCUUCUUCAUAGAACUUCAAGGUAUGUAUGGAUUGAUUUAUCACUCCAAAUGUGUUCAAAUUUUUUUCUGUUUUCUUUACAUUGUAGUAUAUUUUGAUUAAUUACUUCAAUUCUAUUUUGAUUUGUUCGUAGAAGAAUGAAUCAAAAAGCUUUCACCUUUUCACUCGUAAAAAAUGCCUAAAUUUGUUUUGUCAUCGUAAAAAAUGCCUAAAUUUGUUUUGUCUAUUAAAACAAACUAAAUUUUAUUACAACAUUGAAAUCUAUUGACCAUUCACUAGAGUAAAUUCGUUGGUCAAUUGCAUUAAUUAAAUUAUUUGUUCUUUUGUUAAGUAAUUCGUUGGUUACUUCUUCAAGUAUGCCUAUUUAUAUAUGUCAUCUGUUUUUUACUAAAACGAAAUAGAAAACCGCAUUGCCCAACGAUUAAUUAAGUUCCGACUUUAAUGGAGAUAUCUUUCAUUCAAAAACAAUUUCCAAAUUGAAGCUAAUUACCAUAUUACCAUAUUCAAACUCUUUGACAUAUAACGCAUUUUGUCAACAUCCCUACCAGAAGAUGCACACAUUUUACAUAUAUGCAUCACAUAUAGAGUUGGACUAUUAGACUACCCCUACCCAUUCUAUCAACACUGCACCUUGUCAGUUUCACUACAAACAAAAAAUGUCUUAUGACUUAUGAGGUGACACUGUCUGCCAUUCCGUUGGUUUUGAAUUUUUUCGAAGACAUCAUGCCACUGUCAUUAACAAAGUAAUCUAUUGUCUCAUGUGCAGGAAAUGUACAUUCUGGAGUUGCAUGUGAUAAUUGUCAGGUAACCUCCUUGCAUUUUCAUAUUGGGAUGCUAUUCUUUAAAAAUUCAAGUAAAAUUCAGGGGACUUUUAAUCAUGCAAGCCGCUAAUGGUCUGUUCCGAUUGAUAAUUUUGUUCUGAUAAUAGAUUGUAUGUUCUUGUCUGGCUUGUUUUUAUUUUUUGUUUUUUGAGGUUUUGCGAAACAAGGAAUAUGUACCUAGAGUUGUGAAAAUAUUGUUCUAUGAUAAGAAGAAGACAGUAGUCUGCUAAAAUGUCGGUAAUAAGCAAUAAAUUGUGGGAUUUAUUGCUCCCAUACUUCAUUCUCUAACUGCAUUCAGCAAGCCGAAGUUUGUGUAAAGUUUUAAGACAAGCAGUACUUUCCCUUUGUAGGUUUAUCCUUUAGUCUUCUCUUACCACCUUAAUUGAUCUUUACAGGUGAGGCCAAUAGUUGGGAAUCGAUACAAAUGCAAGGACUGUCCUGAUGAACGUGUUGUUGGGACAGGGGGAGUGAUAGGUUUUGAUCUGUGUGAAGAGUGUUAUAAUACUCCCUCGAAGCAUUCAGAUUUUGUCAAUCAGCAUAACACAAAAGGGCAUACCUUUGAGCUUAUUGCAAACCGUGGAGACAGUCCAGUUCCUGUACAUACUGUGGAAGAGCCAAACAGUGCAUAAAGUUGAGCUAGUUAAUAAGUUCAUAUGAAGGAGUGGUACAUCAUACUGAGGUUGUUACUGUACAUUAUUAAUGCAGUUCUUUCCCAGUGGUUUCUUAUGAUGCUGCAGAAGAUCUAUGGACUGUAGUUUUUCAUAUAUUCUCUGGGGCUCUUUUGAAGUCGCACUCUGCUAUUUUGCUCAUUGAAAGUUGUUGAUGAACAAUAUGGAGUAAUAUUUUUUGUAUUGAUUUGGUUUUGCCAAUAAGUUCCAAAAAUAUGAUUGUACAAAUUGUUAGAUCUGCCAAAUUUAAUGGGUUGAAAUGUGGUUUUGUAGCCAUUGAACGCCCCAAAUUGUACACACUUUUUAAGGGGAUUCCAACUCCUAACAGCUCCUUCUGCUUGAAGGAGUUGAAAAUCUGUGGUUGUCAUCAUCUCAAGAAUGUCUUCUCGUCAUCUAGGCUGCUGCAGCUGCUUCAAAACCUUGAAGUGCUAUAUAUCUUUGACUGUAAAGAAAUGGAGGAUUUGAUAGGAGAAUAAGAAAGAAGAAAAAAGAGGAAGCAUCAAAACACCAGAAUUACCAAGAUUGCAGAGCAUUUGAAGGGCGUUGAUAUUGCAACAGAAUUAGGUUAAAUGAAUUGUGUUUGUGGAAUUUACCUGGCAUUAUACAUGGAGUUACUUGUGAGAACCCAAUAUGUGCAAUAUAACAAUAGUAGAGCAAACAAUAAAGCAGUAAACAAGUAAAGAACACACGAUAUUUUUAACGUGGUAAAACCCAAUAUGGGAAACGUCCACGGUUGUCCUCGCGACAACAAAUAAAUCCACUAGAUGAAAAGAGAUUUACAAACCUAUCAACUACCUGCAAUCACUGCGAGUUGACACUCCUGGUUAUCUCUAACACCUUGACUUCACCGGAGCACCUUGAUAUACGCACAAGACACUCGACUUCUUGAUGAACACACAAGAAGACUCGAAGCCGAUCUAUGUAACAAGCUUACACCAGAGUUCCUUGAUGAACACACAAGAAGACUCGCAGCUAAAUCACUAUUCAAUAAGGAAGAAGAAGAUGAAUGGGGAAGAAGAAGAUGAGUUCAAUCACCAAAACAACCUAAACCAAAACCUAAACAAACUCCAAGACAAGAGAUGAAUUGGACGGCCAAAGAACUAGUUUGUUCUUUGGUAGAAAACCCUAUAUAUAGUUAGGGUUUGAAACAGGAGAAAAUGGGCAGAAAUUGACAGAUUUCAUAUUGGACGUACGUACGUCGAAACAGCGUACGUACGUCCUGAGACAUAAAUAGUUCGCUGCCUACUUGGACGUACGAACGCCCUAACUAGGUACGUACGUCCUGACCAAAACAUGUUUGCUGCCUAACAUGACGUACGUACGCCAACUAGGUACGUACAUCCUAAACCCAAAACUUACUUUUGACACAAGGACGCGAGGACACAGACUCGGGACGAUGCGCGUACAACUUGGUUUUCCUAACAAUGAACUCAAGGCGAGAUAACCAUGGACAUCCAAUGUCACAAAAUUAAUGUCAAACAGGAGUGCAGGUUUCAACUUGUAAACUACUUAUUACAUAAUAUAAAUAUGCCGAUAAAUUAGAUAUGCCUACAAAACAUCAAAAAGAGUAAACUCGAGAAACUUCAAAUUUAUAUAAACGUGCCAACAUUCUCAAUCCAGUUUACCUCUAGUUUUAUAAAUAACCAUUCUUAAUCAUUCAUCAAAACACUACGAAAAAUUAACAAAAAACCAACAUGUGAAUUUGUAAAACAAUAUCUUACAUAUGACUUAAAAAUAAGAAUUCAAUUCAAAAUUCCAAAAACUUUAAACAACUUACAUGCCAAUAAUCUCUAUCAAUAGUAAGCAACUUAGUAAUAGCAUAAGUCCCUGCAGCAAGAACAAUAACUGCAUUUAUAGCUCUAUCAAUCAACAUCUCAACAUCUUCUUCUUCAUUUCCAAUCACUUCUGAUACAACACUAGCCGAAGAUGACGACGACAAAGAAGAAGAAAACCCAUUAAUCUCUCCAGCUCCUUCAAAUAAAAACCUUCCUUCAUUAGCAAAUCCACCAACUUGAUGAACACUUUGUUCUUCAUUUCUUUCUAUUUCAAUUCUAACCAAAACCCCUUCUUGUUGAUCUAUUAAAUCAUUACUUUGAACUGGAAUUACAUCAAAUUCUUCUUUAAUAGACCCAAUAAUCCAAUUUCCAUUGUUUGUUCUCAAAAAUGUUGAAUUCUUUGAGAUACCCUUUAAUGGAAAGUUGGAUUUGCUUAGUUUUGAUUCCUUGUUAAUGGGUUUUGAUGAAAGUGGAUGAAGAAAUCUUUGAGGUGUUAGACUAUUUACAGAAGCAGCCAUUGUUGGACUACUCUGAAGUUGAGCAGAACCAGUGGUUUCAGUGUCUGAUUUGGCUUCAGAAAGUCAAAGAGAAAAUUGUGAAGAGAAAUAGAGUUUUAAAUAGGUCAAUGCUGACUCACUGACACGCUGGAAUUAGCAAAAAAAUAUAAAUAUGGAGAGAGAGAUUUUUAGAGACCUCCAUUUGAACCUGAAAAUUUGAGAUACCCUCGUUUAAUAUUUAAUUAGGGAUAACCAAAUUAAGAGACAAACUGGUAAAUUCACUGUUGACUAAAUUUUCGAUGAAAAAAUCGACAGCCGAAGGGUGGAAUUCGGACGAACAAUCGGAAAUGGUAGGUUCGGAAAAAAAAAUCGAAAAUCGAAAUUAAAAAAUUUCUUCUGAUUCUGUUCUAAAUUCGGAAUAUCGAAAAUAUUCUGAAUAUCAAAAAAAAAAAUUCGGAUCAAUCAGAAUUCCAACUUAAAAUAUAUCGGGAAAAAUGGUGGAUGUGAUCCGUUUUCGAAACUUGAAAAUCCUACCCUCUUUAUACUGAGUUGAGAUAGUAUAUUUGCAUAUUGGGGAAUUUUUAUCUAAUAUUAUUAACAUACCACCCCAAUAAUAGAUCAAAGUUCUUGAGUAUAACAUCUUAUAAAACAUAAUUAUACUGCACAAUUUAUAUAUUACUGAUAUACUUGCAUGAACAAGAAAUGAGCUAAUUUGACUAAUAAACGUGGACCUUCAAUCGAAAGUAUAAGGGUUAUUUAGGUUUUGGCCAUGAUUUUAUAGUGCUAUUUAGGCUUUAGCCAUUUUUUAUCUCGUAAUUAGGGUUUGCUCAUUUGGUUUAGUCUGACUAAAAAAAAAAAACGGGUUUAACCGGAUUAUUUUCUUAAAUGACAGUGUUGCCCCUACAGUUAGGUGUAAUUCAUCUGAAUUAACUUGAAAACAAACUUAAAACAAAUCACGUGUUUUAAUCUGACUUAAUCUUUCUUUUAUUUUUACUUUUGUUGAAGACUCAAUCUUUCUCAAAUUAGCAAAAAUCAAAACAAGAGCUAAGAGCUACCAUCAUCAAUCAAAACAUCAGGAGUAAUACCAAUAAAUUGCUAAAUCGAUCGAUUCUCUUUCUAAAUCAUCUGUUUCAGAUCCAAGAAUCUCUUCAUUAUUCUUUUUCUCAACUCUAUUGCAUCAAUAUCAAUCGAUUUCAUCGCUUUCUAUAAAGCAAUGAAGAGACAUCUCCAUUUUGAGAUAGCCGGAAUAUAGUCUUUGUAAAUACCGUUUUGUUUGUCUUCUGAACUACUAACGGUUUCCCAAGUGGUUUUGACUUCAAGAUCGACGAUUUCAAUGGAAGUUGGUAUUUUCGCCAUGGUAAAGCUGGUGGUGAAGCUUGAUAAUAAAUCAAUCAAUUAAGAUAUAACUCUUAACUGAUGCGUUCCUACCAAUAGCUCGAAUCGAGUUGGUAUUUUCUUUAAGAAAUUGUUUCUGUUCAGAAAAUUCCACAACUUUGAAGUUUGAAUUCGUUUUCGAGUUCUUCGUAACUGAACUUUGGGUAUGUCAUUAGAACUCGGAAAUUCUCAGCUUUGGGUAUGUCAUUGAACCUCAAGUUCAUAAGUUCUCAAUUUUCCUGCUAAGGUCUCUAUGGACAUUGUCUUUAAGUCAUUGCUUUCUUGAAUGGCAUCUUUCCUAGAACGGAAUCUAGAUGGCAAAGACCGAAGAACUUUACGUACUAUUUGAGUAUCGGUGUACACUAAACCUAAAGAUGCACUAAAGUUGAUAAUAUCCUGCAAACGAAUAAAGAAUUCAUCAAAAGAUUCAUUAUUAUCCAUUUUCAUAGUUUCAAAUUGAGUAAUAAGAAGUUCAAGAUUACUCUCUUUGACAGCAAUGUCACCCUCAUGAGUUCUUACCAACCUAUCCCAAGCCUCUUUGGAUGUUAUACAACCAUGAACUCUCCGAAAUUCACUAGCAUCCAAAGCCAUAAACAUAGCAUUAAGCCUUCUUUGUAACAACCUCAUCUGUACCACCUGUAGUAACUCUCGGUGGUGACCAACCAUCUUCCACAACGAUCCACACAUCCCCACUCAUAGCCUGCAAAUACGCAGCCAUACGAACUUUCCAAUAGGGAAAAUUAGUUCCAUCAAAUUUAGGAGGACAAAUUAGUGUUCCAAAUUUAUCAGAAUCUUAAAAUUGCACUAAGGAUCUACGCGUGAGCCUUUACGCUCCUUAACAAGCGCCCUGCGACUGAUACCAAUUGAGAACCCAAUAUGUGCAAUAUAACAAUAGUAGAGCAAACAAUAAAGCAGUAAACAAGUAAAGAACACACGAUAUUUUUAACGUGGUAAAACCCAAUAUGAGAAACGUCCACGGUUGUCCUCGCGACAACAAAUAAAUCCACUAGAUGAAAAAAGAUUUACAAACCUAUCAACUACCUGCAAUCACUGCGAGUUGACACUCCUGGUUAUCUCUAACACCUUGACUUCACCGGAGCACCUUGAUGUACGUACAAGACACUCGACUUCUUGAUGAACACACAAGAAGACUCGAAGCCGAUCUAUAUAACAAGCUUACACCAGAGUUCCUUGAUGAACACACAAGGAUACUCGACUUCUUGAUGAACACACAAGAAGACUCGAAGCUAAAUCACUAUUCAAUAAGGAAGAUGAAGAUGAAUGAGGAAGAAGGAAGAAGAAGAUGAAUGGGGAAAAAGAAGAUGAGUUCAAUCACCAAAACAACCUAAACCAAAACCUAAACAAACUCCAAGACAAGAGAUGAAUUGGACGGCCAAAGAACUAGUUUGUUCUUUGGUAGAAAACCCUAUAUAUAGUUAGGGUUUGAAACAAGAGAAAAUGGGCCAAAAUUGACAGAUUUCAUAUUGGACGUACGUACGUCGAAACAGCGUACGUACGUCCUGAGACGUAAAUAGUUCGCUGCCUACUUGGACGUACGAACGCCCUAACUAGGUACGUACGAGUGCCGGUUUCAACUUGUAAACUGUUUAUUACAUAAUAUAAAUAUGCCGAUAAAUUAGAUUAUUUAUUGAAUGCAAUUCAAUAGAGUAAAAAGGAAAUAGAUAUUUUUUUGCAAAAGAAGAGAAUUAACCAAAAUAUUUUCAUCCUUUUUGCUUUUGUCACAUUUGAAUCGUUAGCCUCAGAUGUGGUGGAGCUCCUCAAGAGAGUGCAGAAGAUAAUAGAUGGCAAUGUGAUGAUUGUUGGUUCGAACGAAUAUGUAUUUAGAAGAAUCAAAUUUGUUAUUCAAAAAAGAUUUGUAGCGCGUUUGUCCUCUAAUUUGGUGUGAUUUCUUGAGUAUGUCAAAGAAAAAGGGUAGUUGUACUUAAUUUAGACGGUGGUCAAAAAGGGAAAUAACAUUGUUGUAAUCAAUGAAUGGCCGCUUAAGCUGUUGACAUUUAAAAUGUACACCUAUUAGGAUGAUUUCUUAGAAUCCCAAAUUAGUAUCACUGUCAUCAUAACUCACCGUCAACAAUACUAUAAGAAUAACAACAAUACUCAAGCCUUAAUCAUCAUCACCAUAGGUGAAAAUAUCGUGCGUGCCGGGCGGAUAUUCGCGAUAUUUUCCGUUUUUUCAGAGAUCGGCACGGUACGGAUCACGGCAUAUAUUCGGAUAUUAAAACACCCCAUGCCGGUCGGCAUUUAUCGGAUAUUCGCGGCAUAAAUCGGCAAAAACCGAUAUUUAUCGAAAUUUUGGAAAUUUUCGAUUUUAAAAUUAACACAUUUAUUUUUAAUCCCCCCGAACUAGAAUUUUCGAUGAGAUUAUCAAAAAAAUGUCCAAAAGGCACUAGACGUUUGGAAACUUUCGCGACGAACUUGAUGGCCCUCCAAGAGCAAUAUAUCAGAAAGAAACGAAAAAAAAGCACGCUCAUGCCAAAGUGAAGUUCUCUCUCACUUUUGGCAAACCAGUAUACUGUUUGUAUCCAAGGUUUGUUUUUGUGUAAUGAAUAAUUGGUAUCGAAUUGGUAACAUAGGAACCUCCCAAAGUGAUGAUUUCAGUGUACCAUCCUACCAAACCCAACCAGAUGACAGUGGUUCUUGGUUUCCUAAUAUAGGGAGUUGGUUGGCCCCAAUGACAAGUGGGUCCGACGUGCAGUCAGCCGAUACAUUAAUGCCGGUUCAACAAUACUCGAGAUUUCCUAUAUUUGAAUCAUUUGCUCCGUAUUGUAUGGAUCAAGAUGCAUAUGAUAUGCAUAUUGACCAAUUCAGGUCGUACGAGCAAACAAUGUCAUGGGAAUAUUACUGUACUGAGUUCGUCCCCACUCAUCGGUUUGACAAGGGGCGUCUAUCAUUCUGGGGUUAGCAUGUCUUUUAUUUUGAUUAUUAAAAUAAAACUAUGGGUUGAGUUGUAAUGAGGUUGUUUGUGUUUAGUUCUUGUAUUGUAAACAUAUAAAAUUUCUAUGAAUAUCCGCCCGAUAUUUACGAUUUUUUCACCUAUGAGUAAAACUAUCUUGUGUAAUAGUUCCGUCUUAGCUUCCUUGUAUGAUUUGUCGUGUGUUUAAUUUGUAAUGUAUGUUUUUCUUUUAAUUAUAAGUUUAUAUAUCGAAAUCCGCGAAAAAACACGUAAAGUGCAGAAAACCUCCCAAUUUGCCGAAUUUUUCGCGAAUAUUCGCGAAUAUCCGCGGCAUAAACCGAUUUUUUCGAAUUUGCCAAACCAAUACAAUCCGACACAUGAGGUCGGAUAUCCGCGAUAUUUUCCGGUUUUUGGGGGAUCGGAUAUCCGCCCCUAAACGAUAUUUUAGCCUAUGAUCAUCACUACCUUGUUGUCCUUAUCAUGUUUCUUGUCAUGACCCAAUUUGCUUUCGCUGCCCGGGAAAUCCCAAGAACCAUUAAUAGCAAUGCUAAGAAUAAGCAUAAUCAAGAUGUCCCAUUAACCACUCAAACUUUUCCAGGCUUUGGUGUUCGAUAUAACAACCUACCAGGAAGACAAUACCACCAGUAUAUUCCAGGUUUUGAUGAUACCUUCAUUCCAAACCCAGGUUUCGAGGUCCCAUAUCCGGCAGCGGUCCAAGCUUCUGCUUCUCGUCCAUGAACACACAAUAUGUAGGGGCUUGAUUGUCAAGAGGUCUCUUGUCAAAACAGUAGUUUAGAAAUGGUGAAGAUCUCUAUUACUAGCUAGUGUUAUUUUCAUUGAGGAUUUGCGAAUGUGCAAGCCAGUUUUUAGUGAGCUUUGACAAAAAUGACAACUGAAAAUAUAUAUUCUUCGGACUACAUCAGGAUAGUGGCAUGUCUACCGACAGAUCACUCAUGUCUACAGAGUGCUACUUUGACUAGUACAAUGUUAGAGAUGCACAAGAAGCCACAUUCCAAAAUUUGAUGCCUAGAUCAGUAAAACCUACUUUGUACCAUAAUCUAAGACUGCAAAAGGAGCUCUAUUAAUAGGCUAUGGGACGACACAGUAAACGUAGACAGUAAUUAUCUCGUCGUUUUUCUUUCUAGGACCACUAGGUUUUUUUGGACCAAUCUUACUCUUAGUCAAUCAUCAUUUUUAUUGAAAGUAAAAAUACGAGUAUAUAUUCUGAAUAGAGAUUUGCAUACAUAUUAAUGCAUCAAAAGAGAGCAAUUGAUGAAAGUAAGAGUGCCAAAAACUGGUAACAUUGUCGGUAAAGACAUCCCUCUCCAAGUUGGGAGGCUGUGGGUUCAAUUCAUCUAGAAAAUAGUUAGAGGAAUUUUACUCAUGUAAUAUUAGGAGGAUCUCUCCAUGGUGGAUUAGCCUUUGGGGAUUGUUCAUUGUACGACUUACUGGCCUAGUUUCAGAUGUAACACCUUCGGGCCUUGUGAAGUAGCUUUCAGGUCUUGGAAUUUAAUGUAAAAAAUUAAAAUUAAAGAAAAAGAAAAAGAAAAAAGAAAAAAAGAUGAAAGUAAGAGGUUUGUUGAGCUCUAUUUUUUCUCCACUGUUUCAUUGAAUCAUGGAGAGGGUGGUUUUAUACAAAGUAAAUGCAAAUUUUGGAAUGAAUAUAAUCUACAGGUAACUUAUAUUGACAUAUGUUACAACAUUUAUGAUUUGAAGAACCACGACAAUGAUUCUUAAAUAGGGUCAAACAGGACUUACAUACACAUUAAUGUUUCGAUGGAAAGCCAGCAAGGAACCAUAAGCAGUAUGUCAAGCUUAUACAGUAUUUCCACCACUUCCGCAUCAAGUCGUAACAAUCUAUGCACAGAUUGAGGAAGUCACUCACUCUUUCUAGUAGGCGUCAAUCUCAUAGAAUCGAGUAAUCUUCUUUUACUGCAGAUUUACUUUGCUCUUCAUUUAUUCCUAAUAAUCACAACCAAAAUCAAUGGAGUAUGGUAGCAAAUAAAAUUCAGUAGAGUAUCUGCUAAUGUCAAAACACAAACAAAACCAGAUGUUACUGUAAAAUAUUUUUUGCAAAAUACCUCAGAGUUAAUUGAUAGGGUACUAGAGUUCACUUCCAAUGAUGCUUCAGAGGUUCUUGCUUCUGAUUUCUCAUUUGACAAUCUAACAAGCAAAUGAUAAACAUGUUAGAAAUACUGUACCAAGUAGAAGGCAUGAAAGUGGAUGACAUGUUCUUUGUGUUGUUGUUGAGUACUUACGUGGAGAGUAUUGUAACCCAAAUAAGCUCCACACAAUCAACCCAAAGAAGUCUUUGUUCUACUGGAACAACACCGUACGUAAUUAGAUGAGCAAAAGGCCAGAGCUUCCAUCCUGCCUGUCAAACAAACAACAUAGAGAUAAUGUUAAUAGAGAAUAUAGAAGCUCUAUGCAAAUACCAACUCAUAAAAAUCCAAGCUCAAAUACAGUGUUCCAACUUAGCCAAGAACCACACCAAUAGUUUGAUGAAGAAAACUUUAUUACUUUAAUCAAUAAAGCAGACUUUAGCUCUUUGUAGUUUUUAUUGUUCUUAUUUAAAUACUCGAUCAGAACCCCUUCAAUGCAUAAAUCAGCUUUCAAGUUAUAACAAGGUUGGAAUAUCCCAAAUGACUGAACAAGCAGUUGGACUCUAGGCUAAUGAUAUUUAACUCCGACCACGUUAUAGACCAUUUCCUACGUUUAAUAACUUACGUUAUUAAGGGCCAUGGUGCUAGUAUGUAAAUCCUUCAUUGACCAUGGACACAUUUACAUCAACUUACUGCCUGACAACUCUACAAAUGCAUUGAAAAUGAUCCACCAAAUAAAACACGAGUCAAUGAUGCAACCCUAGACAUAUACGUAAAGGACAAAGCUUUGAAAAUAUCAAUAUGGUUUGCCAGUGAUUUCAAGAUUUGCUCACUGCUCAAAGCGAAACACAAUGAAUUAUAAUUCAGCAAAGGAACAUAGCUUUUUAGUGUAUUUGAACUACAUGAUGCAAUCAGAAGAAAUUAUACACUAAUAUCAAGGAAAGAUAAAAAUUUCUUCUUUUUAAGAAAUAGUGCAUAUUUCUAGCCACAAUUUAGACCUUCAGGUCUAUGAAAACAGAGAAGGAGUCUGUAUAUAUAUAUGUAGAAUGAUACAAAACACUAAACACUAAACACUAAACAGAGAAGGAGUCUGUAUAUAUGUAGAAUGAUACAAAAGGCAUUAAACUUAUGAAAAGUAAAUUAUUUAAAGAAAGGAAGAUAUAUCUUACAGUCAGCAUGGGAAUAAAUGUUGCUUUUAGUUCAGUGAAAAUGCUGGCUGGGGAUUCGAAACGCAAUAACCCGAGUACUACAUAGUAUAUGCUGUUCCAUAAUGCUGCCCAUGCAGUUUGGUCAAAGACAACCUUAACAGGAACCACCCACCAGUCUUGGAAAGGGAAUAAAGCCUGCAGCGCCAACAACAACUUUCAGGCUUUCACGCAAAACCAACCAAUACGCUUAGUAGCUAAUAUCUUCGAAGAUUGAUCCUAAACAAUCACCUCACAGAACUGGUAAUAAUAAUGAGAAAGAGAGCCAUGAAGAGAGAAUCCAACAAGGCCUGAUCUGAACAUGCGCGUCCGAUCAAAAUCAAAAAGAGGUUUCCCUUCAUAGCACUACACAAUAAACAGAAUAUGAGAAAACAAAUAUAUGGAAACAAGAUUGAAGGAAUGAGAAACUAAAGUCUCCAGAAGGGUUACAUUAUAACCUGUGCAAUCCAAUCCCCCAGAGAGUAGACCACUCCACUUAUGACCAUUUUGGCUAAAACAGGAUUUUCUUUUAAAGCUUCUUCAUAAGCAGCCCAGUUGUGCAGGGGUGCGUAUCUUAAUAUCUCAAAAAUAGUCCAACCCUAAACUUACAAAAAACAAAUGGAAUAAAGAGAUAUGUCUACAAAUUAAUUACAGGAACACUAUUUUUGUUUACUUGAUGAAAUAGCCAUAAAUAGUAAUUCCGCGUGCAAACACCAUAUAUAUAUAUAUCCGAAUUGACGAUAUAUAAAAAAAAUUCAUGCUACCACAAAAAAAGGAUAUUUAUGGCUAGGAAGCUUACUUAAAGCAAAAUAUAGAAGAAAAUUGACAGUUUUUAGGUGAUACAUCAACAGAAAUAAAAAGUUUUAUAAAUAUUCCUGGCCCUUAAUAAAGCAUUUGAGAAGGUAUGCAACUGCAAACAGAAUUCACAUUGGAUUCUUUCAAUUCAUAAUUCUAAAGCAAUGCUCAUAAUUAUCGAUCAACAAAAACAGAUGAGUGCUAACUUCCAAAAUCACAGAUCCAUUGAUUCAUAGUAAGUAUAAAGAAAAAUCUAUUCAUAGAAUUCCGAUCACAACCAUAAUAACAAGUAAAAAGAAAUCUGUGGAAGGACUUUGAAAGAUGUAGUAAGUGAAGGUAUGGAGAAAAAUCUUAAGUAAUAGACAUUGUCACAUACUGUGAGGUUUGAAGUAGUUUAGGUUCCAUGCAAAGCCCCUUACAGCUUGUGUUUCCAUGUUGCCUCUUUCUCAGUUUUACAUUUUGGAACCUAAUUAUGUUGUUGUCAUUCUAUACAUAUCUUUAGCAUGACAGAUAAUCUUAUCGCUUUAAAACCUCUAACAGACCAUGUAGACAUCAAAGCAUCAACUACUCUGAACUCAGAACUGGAAAGACUAUCUAUUUUUUGCAUACCCUCUACUUUCAUGAAGAUUAUUCCCAAAUCUAACAAUUAAAAUCCAACUUAAUUUCUGCAAAUUAUACUCUAAUUAUAAAUAUAUUUAAGAAAACACAUCUUGAGCUUGUUACAUAUGCCUACAAAACAUCAAAAAGAGUAAACUCGAGAAACUUCAAAUUUAUAUAACUUAGGUGCCAACAUUCUCAAUCCAGUUUACCUCUAGUUUUACAAAUAACCAUUCUUAAUCAUUCAUCAAAAUUAACAAAAAACCAACAUGUGAAUUUGUAAAACAAUAUCUUACAUAUGACUUAAAAAUAAGAAUUCAAUUCAAAAUUCCAAAAACAUUAAAUAACUUACAUGCCAAUAAUCUCUAUCAAUAGUAAGCAACUUAGUAAUAGCAUAAGUCCCUGCAGCAAGAACAAUAACUGCAUUUAUAGCUCUAUCAAUCAACAUCUCAACAUCUUCUUCUUCAUUUCCAAUCACUUCUGAUACAACACUACCCGAAGAUGACGACGACGACGUCAAAGAAGAAGAAAACCCAUUAAUCUCUCCAGCUCCUUCAAAUAAAAAUCUUCCUUCAUUAGAAAAUCCACCAACUUGAUGAACACUUUGUUCUUCAUUUCUUUCUAUUUCAAUUCUAACCAAAACCCCUUCUUGUUGAUCUAUUAAAUCAUUACUUUGAACUGGAAUUACAUCAAAUUCUUCUUUAAUAGACCCAAUAAUCCAAUUUCUAUUGUUUGUUCUCAAAAAUGUUGAAUUCUUUGAGAUACCCUUUAAUGGAAAGUUGGAUUUGCUUAGUUUUGAUUCCUUGUUAAUGGGUUUUGAUGAAAGUGGAUGAAGAAAUCUUUGAGGUGUUAGACUAUUUACAGAAGCAGCCAUUGUUGGACUACUCUGAAGUUGAGGAGAACCAGUGGUUUCAGUGUCUGAUUGGCUUCAGAAAGUCAAAAGAGAAAUUUGUGAAGAGAAAGAAAGUUUUAAAUAGGUCAAUGCUGACUCAUUGACACGCUGGAAUUAGCAAAAAAAAAAAAAAUUAGAGAUUUUUUGGAUAUUUACCCCUAUUUGAACCUGGAAAUUUCAGAUACCCGUUUGAACUUUAAUUAGCCAUACCCCAAAUCGAGUCAAACUGGUCAACUCACUAUUGACCAAGUUUCUGAUAGGAGAAAUUCGACACUCGAAGCAUAAUGCUUAGUUGACAACUUGACAUGAAGUUUGAUAUUGUUAUAUUGACCACCAGAAAUUUGGUUAAUGGGGAGUUGAUCAUCUUGACUCUCCUAAUGAGGUUUAUUAAUUAAACAAGUUGUUAAAUCCGUGUUACGCAUUGGGAUUUGUGUCGGAUAAAUAAAUGAUUCUAUUAUUUUAUUAGAUCGUUGCAAUUGUCUGAUUGUCAGUUUUUAUAAUGAUUUUCUCAACCUAAAUUUGUAGAGAUUUAUAAUUAAUAUUUUUGUAUUUUAAUAUGGUUUUUAUAAAAGAUUUAAGGACUUUAAAUAGAAAAAGAAUUUAGUAGAAAAAAAAAAAUUUACAAGUUGGUGAGUUCUAAAGGAUUUUAAGGUUUUUAUAAAUCUUUGCUGACGUGCGAAGGUGGGUUCCCUUUUUAGAUUGGGCUCUCACCAAAUUUAAGUUUUAUUCUAAAGUCUCUAAAAAAACGUCGUGUUGCACUUGUUGUGUACGACUAUUAUAUAGUAUAAUAGAUUUUUAAAAUGGUGUAUCUCAAAUAUCCGAGUUCAGAUGGUAUGGGUGAGUCCGGAAAUCUCAAAAAUAUGAUUACUUGUUUAUGAUGGACAUGUGGGAUCCACAUGGACUAGUCACUAGUGUGAGUCAUCUUGCCGCGUCUUAAGUUUUGUGAUGGUUGAAUAUCCAUGUGGCAAAAGUGUUUAGCUGUGUGGAAAAUUUGGAGUGUGAGAAUAUUCAUCAAGAAGUUCAAGUAGGCUCCAUGACAUUGCCUUCUUGUGUAAUGGAAAUCCAAAAUCUUGUAUGUGGAGGAGGAACACUUUGUUUUGUAGAAAUAUUUGUUCCUGAUGUUUCUGGAUAAUACAUAUUUGAAAAAAAAAACUUGUAUGGUUGUCUCCAAUUUAUGUAGUCCAUUCAUACUUUGAUGUAAAAUUGGGUUGGAAGGUGGUGGAUCCCUCUGGAGUACUGUAUGAUUGUUGCAGCUGAAAAUUAGUAUAUUUUUUUUUCUGUCAAUUAUUGCCAUCGUUGGGCACUAGUCAGUAGUCUGCAAGCAGUCCAGCUAAAGACCCCUCUAGGACAUUAUUUAUAAAAACCAAGGAUUGUCGUUACAACCGCACCGCAAUUCGCUUUAUUGGAGCACAAAGAUUUCACAAUUCUUGUGGAAGUGUAAGGUGGAGUUUUUUUUUUAUCGAAGCUAUAAGCUACUAGUUAUAGAUUACAGGAUGGAGCGUAUAGUCACUGGGGGCAACUUUUCUCUAGCCAUUUUUCUACUAGAAAAUCUUAUAAGCUUCUAACUACCCGUAAAAACAAACAUCCUUUUGGGUUCUCUUGUAGCUUAUAAGCUGUCAGAACCUGAAGCUAGUAUAACCAAAAAACAAAUAACGAAACUUAAGUUUUAUUCGGGUUUGGUGAACUGAAUCAAAUGUGUUAACAGCUUCGACCGAGCCUGUUUGGUCAAGCUCUAUCCACACAACUUUUUGGCAUGUCAAUAAUCCAGAGGCACUAAACAAUAGAAACUUUAGAAUUUUGAUACUUUGACAUCAAGAAUCUGAACUCCAGUCAUUGUCACUCUGGAGUGUCCAAUAUUGUUUAGUAGUUUUCUGUCAAACACUCAAUCGACUCUACAAAGUCCUUGAGAAUUUUCCUAAACAGAAACAAUCAAGGUGCCGACAUGUCCUGAUUUGAAUAUGUUUUUUGGCAACCAUUGUGUGUUUACGCGCAACUACAAGCACCCAUGGCAUACAUACAUUCAAAAUUAUCAUGCAUGGCAUUCAGUCAUUGUUUGCCAAACACCUUUUCAAUUCCAAGUUGAAAGUUAUUGUACAUAUGUAGAAUCAAAAUAGCUAGAUAUCUAAUUUUCAGACAGGAGACUGUCCAAGACUUUAAUUACUUUCUUUCUUGAGGCAAAUUUACUUCAAUUCAUUCAGUUGUAUACAAAAAGAUUGACAAAAACAGAAUGCUACACCCUUUUGAAAAUGUCAUAUUUGUCAUGCCUUAAUGUCCCAUUCCCAUACCUUCAUCAACCUUUGGGUCUCAAAACUGUAACAAACGGUCGAUUUUGAGAAAUGAAUAUAAAUGAUUAGCAAAUCUUCAUUAAUUCCAAUAUGCUAGCUCAACAAAUGGACUAUAUAUUUCAGGGUGUUGAUCUUUCAAUGUCGCAAGCUCAAUGGUGUGUUUCAACUGCCAUUCUUGGCUAUUACUACUAUUUCGGUGGACACGUGUUAAGAUGAAGUUUGUCACCUUGGACGUACGUAAUUAUAAUACAAAGACCCUUCAGACUCCAACGAUAUAUCUUGAAAACUUUCUUCUUGAAUGAUGAGUCAGUUUUGUUUUCGCCUGGCAAUUAAGUUAACCUGAAAAAAUUAUUUGUAACAUGAUACAUCAACAUGUAAUCAUUUAACACCAAUAAAUCUUUUCGAUCUUUUCGGUAGAGGAGGCGGUAUAUGGUGCACGAUCGGUACCAUUGAACAUGUUGUACUUAUUGCAUAAGAUGGAGAAAUUGAGGAAUCUUGCUGUGUUUUUUUUUCCUUUCACUAGUAUCCGAUGAAAAGAUGUUGCAGUUCUCAGUAAUACUUUCCUUUUCUCUACAAAGAUUAAAAGAUACUACUAAAGCACGCAAAUUUUAUGUAUUUACACCUUAACAAUAUUCCGAUUCAAGGGGUAAAUAAACCUUGAGCUUCUGAUCGUAGAAGAAAUCCAUUUCAAUUAAAGUCGUACUUAGCCAAAAUUGUCCAUAUGUAUGAUCUGAUUAACUGCGUAAUUAAGGACUGUGGUAGGCUGGUAGCAACAAAACCAGGAAUGUAUACAUAGAACAGUUCAAUUUUAUUUUUGUUGGUGGAUCCACCUCCAUGUUUGAUUAGGACUGUGGGCCUAACUGUGUGUGCGGCCUGUGACCCAGUUGAGAGUGUGGCAACGUCCACUUCCGUGUGUUUGGUUAGGUAUGUACCUAGCAGUUUAUUCGGUAUUUCGGUUAAUUUACAUUGUGGUAGCCUCCCCAUACAAGUUCGAGCUUUUAGAGAAACUGGUUUACAACAAUUUUAUUAUUAUAUGUUUUAGUGAUCCGGCCGGGUUGGGGAUGAGUCAAUAUUUCUUCCCUGAUGAUGAACUGCUGACACCAGAAUUUACAUUAUCUAACUUCGUAGCUCAUCUACACAAUAAACCAACUAAGGUCCAGUUUCUCUGUUCUUCUUUCUUUACUACAAAAUAACACCUUGUCGAGCAACAUAUAUGGAAUGAGUGUUGCGCAUAUGACGUCAAUACGUUGAAUGUGUUGUCAGUGCAGAUCAUCUACUCACUCCAUCGAACUGCAAGUUAGUUUUUCCCGCUUGUCAAGUGUGUGUCUAUGUCUUUGUUUGAGAUUGUGUGCAUGAGCCAUGAGUAACAAGUUUAUUAGUCAUCCUGUCAUGUACCAUUGGUGUAUAUAUGACUAAUCUGUGUCAAAUUUAAGACCUCAAACAUGAAAAUACUCUGCUCCAAGUGAAGAAUAAACUUGUGGCAUUGGUAACUUUAAACUCCAAAACAACAUUUCAUUGGAUCUUCUAUCAUCCAAACAUUUCAAAUAAGAUAAGGUGAUAAGCCUACGUGGCAUUAAAUCACAUCACCUAGUUCCUUCCAUACAAAUGAACUAAUCUUCCCUCAUCUCAUUUUCUCUUUCACUCUUACAAAAAUAUGGCUUCUCCAACUCUCAUAACCCCAACAACUAAACCAAAAACUCUGGUUAUCACCAGUUUCAAAUCAACCUGCAGCAGCACUAGCACUACUACUAAUGCCGCGACAACAAUCCCACAACUGGCUCGACGACAAUUCAUGGCCUUAACAGCUGGAAUUUUGACCCCUACAUUGUUAGUUCCAGUCUACUCCGCAUUGGCUGCAUCGGAUGAAGAAUACAUUAAGGAAACAGAAGAAGUGAUCGGGAAAAUUAGAUCAACUAUUAACAUGGAUAAAAAAGAUCCUAAAGUAGCUGAGGCAGUUGCUGAACUAAGGGAGACAUCAAAUGCAUGGGUAGCUAAGUAUAGGAGGGAGAAGUCUUUACUGGGUCGAGCAUCUUUUCGCGAUAUGUAUUCUGCUUUGAAUGCUGUAUCAGGGCAUUAUAUUAGUUUUGGGCCAACUGCACCAAUUCCAGUUAAGCGUAAGCAAAGAAUCUUAGAAGAAAUGGAUACAGCUGAGAAGGCUUUAUUGAGGGGAAGAUAAAAAGCUGCAAUUUCAUGUGAAGUGUAACAUUUUUCUUUAACUCUUUGUGAAUUUUAAUUGUUGAAGUAUGAGAACACAUAAUAGUGAUCGAAUUACAUUUUGAAUUAUGAGGUUUGAGCUUUUGUUCAUGUAGUUCAAUGUUUUGUGUUGAAUUAUAUGAAAUUAGUUGUAUUUUUAUAUGGGAAUGGUAUAUAAAUUAGACCAUAGAACUGUUCUAGUAGAACAUCUCGCUAAAUCAGCAUAAAUAAUCCUCAAAAACAUGUCUAUGUCGCAUAAUUUUUUUUAUCAAGAUGAUCAAAUUACUGACACUGAAGUCUAGAAUCAGUCUUCUGGCCCCAUUGUGGUUGUUUUGAAACUGCCCUUUAAUGUAUAUCUUUAUCUUGCCUACAGUUUCUAUGGUAAUUGCCAUGCAUUUCAUGUAGCAUUUUCCAUUCAUACAUAUACCCAAUGAUCUCGUAUAGUAGUUUGCAUCAGUAGUCACAACCUGUCAUUCAAUAUUGCAGUUUCAAUACUCACCAUUGUAGAAGUAACACACUAACACUUGCACCAGAUGGGUCAUGGAUUUUGCCUGCUAGAAGAAUCAGUAUCCAUAAGCCAGACACUUACACUUUCUACACAGUUUCUGCAGCACUAGACCCCUGUGUUAAAGAUAGUGUUGUGGUGCAUAGGUACUUGAAACAAAACUGCAGUCUUAUUGGCAUUCGUUCAACUUGAUUGGGUCAUAAGCACAAAACUGUGAACUAUAAUUAACUUGAUGUGCACAUUGUAGUUACUGUUUAGGCUUGAAUGCUUGAUAUAUAAUUGUUUUCUAAGAUGAAACUCGGUUGGGCUAAGUCCUUGACCCAGCAGACCCUCAGUCGACAUGCAUUAUGGCUUAUUUCCAGACCUUAGAAAAUUUCAGGGAGGCCUCUCUAGUGCCCUGUGAGAUCUGAAACAAAAUGAAAAUCCCGGAUUAAGUUGUCCUAGACUCCCAGCUAUUGCUGAACAUGGAAUCUCAGAGAGCCAUCAGUAGUCUGUCUAACACGAAGACUUAGAACACCCACUAUAAUUCAUGUUUAAAUAUUGUUUUGAAGGCCUCAUCUAACAUGAACGCCAAAAGCACUCACAUUGCUUCAGUCUUCCGUAAUUACAAAAGUAAAUAUGUUAUAACGCAAUCGAGUGCUGAGAUCAGACUUGUGACCAUAAACCAGUGAGAGUACUGCACCGCGUCCUCCCAUUAAUUUGUUCUUAAUUAUCGUAUUAAAGCACAAACAUGGGGCUCACAUCACGAGAGCCAAAAGAGAUAAAUAUGGAAAUAGACAUGUAAGGAAGAAUAAUUCUAUUUAAGAAGGUUAGAACUGAUGACUAUCAAGGGAUUUUUAGACUUAACCCCCCUUUUAUGGUCACAAUUUGAGUAACCCCCCCCCCAUUUGUCCAAGUUUGGACUUUACCCCCUCUCCUUCUACUUUUGUCAAAUUUAAAGUCAAUUUUAUUUGUAACUCGGUGAUCCAUCCCAUCCAGAGGGCUAUUCNNNNNNNNNNNNNNNNNNNNNNNNNNNNNNNNNNNNNNNNNNNNNNNNNNNNNNNNNNNNNNNNNNNNNNNNNNNNNNNNNNNNNNNNNNNNNNNNNNNNUAUUGUGUUGAAUGUUCGACUAAGUACCUUAUUGCUUAUUUAUUCACUUGCAUUAUUGAGCUACCCACAGGUAGAUCAGGCAUAUGUUAGAUUGAAUAAAAUUAAGGGGUUGCACGUAUUUGUGAUUAAAUGAGUGUACGAUAUCCACAGAUACCAUGCUUAUUUUGAUCAUGUGAUAUGUCACCCAUUUAUAGUAUUACUAAAAAUCUUAGUCAUAUUGUUUAAUUAAUGUGUUGACUAAUGUUGUGAGCAUGUUUAUUUUUUCUCGUUCUAUUAUUCUUGUAUUUCGUAUAUUUUGUAUGUUUUAUCCUUAAUAAAACUAAUGAACUAGAAUGAAUAAGUCUAGUUGAUUUUAGUGGGAGUUCUAGAUCUUGGCAUAUAUUUCCUUAUUGUUGAAUCUACUGUUAUUUUAUAAAAGCAGUAAAAAGGAGAAAAUUAUGCAUUAUGCAUGAACUAGAUUGAACAUGCAAAUUAAACUCAAUAUUUAUGUGAAUAAUUGUUGAUGAAUAAUAUUAAGAAUCAUUUUCGCACUGCUAGCUGAAAAGUUAAUUGUUGAACUGAUUACUAUUCAUAGUACUCAUAGUAUGCAUGAUUGUAUCCUUGAGUUUCCCAAUUUAGUUGUUAAAUUAAAGAAUUUAGACAUGUUAGUGGAUGAUUACUUUGUCCUUCAAUUUGUUCUAAAUUUCUUGCCUACAUAGUAUGUUCAGUUUCACUAUUACACUAUUAAAGACACGUGGAAUGUUAAUUAAAUAGCGAGACUACUAGUUCAAGUAUAGGCAAGACUUAAACAACAUUAUAAUCAUGUCACUCAAGUUUAAUUCAUGUUUCAAGAAGUUGAAUGAACAAUUCUCUAAUUGUGUUUGGAUAUACACUAUGUGUGUGCCAAUGCCAUUUAUGUGAAUAUGGCGUUUGUUUGAUAUAAAAGGUAAGCUUUUGGUUUUAGUAUGGUUCGAUCAAACUUAAUUGGUAUUCCUAACCCUUAGUGAAUUGAUUAUGAUUAAUGUUUAUCUUUAUUAUGGCAUAAAAGACUGGAUUAUACAUCUAGAUGAAAAAUAGACUAGUAAAAGAAGGGGUUUUCCCGAACCUUAACUUUACUAAUUUUGGUGUGUGUGUGUGUGUGGAAUGCAUUAAGUCAAGCAAACCAAACACACUAAGAAGAGCCAUAGGAAGUACGCUUCUUGAAAUAAUUCAAAUAGACAUAUGUGGACUUUUGAUGUUCCAUCUUUUGGUGGAGAAAAAUAUUUCAUUACAUUUAUUGAUGAUUUUUUCCCGUUAUUGUAUCUAUCUAUAACAUAAUAAGUCUCAUAUGUAAAUGUUAUUGAAAUUUACAUAACUGAAGUUAAGAGACAAUUAAAUAGAAAGGUGGAAACUAUACAUUUUGAUAGAGGUAGUGAAUUUCUUGGAAAGUAUGAUCUAUGACACGGGACAACAUCCCGGUUGCCAAACUUCUAGAACGGUUAGGAAUUUGUGCCUAAUACACAAUGUCUGGUUUUCCAUGACAGAAUGGUGUAGCUCAAAGGCAUAAUCAAACCCUUAUGAAUAUGGUUUGAAGUAUGAUGUGUAAUUCUAAUUUACCCAUAUCAUUGUGGAUGUAUACUUUAUAAACCGAAGUGUAUAUAUUGAAUUGGGUUCCUAUUAAGGCAGUUACAAAAACACCUUUUGAAAUGUGGAAAAGAUGAAACCUAGUUUAAGACAUUUACACAUUUAGGGUUUAUCUAGAAAAGUCUAAAGGGUAUAGAUUUUACUAUCCUAACCAUACCACUAGAAUUAUUGAAACUGGAAAUUAUUGAUUCAUUAUGAAUGACAAAAUAAGUGGGAGUGAUCAUAUCAAAGAGGUAAUCAUUAAAGAAAUUAUGGUACCAAUUUUGUUACCUCAAUUUUGUAAUGAUAUUAUUGUUACUUCUGUUGUUCCUCAUGUUGUUGCACCGCUUAACAACAAUAAACAACAAGUUGAUCCUCAACCACUUAAUGAAAUUAAUGUCAUUGAACUGAAUGUAAACACACACAAGAAAUAGCAUUAAAAAGAUCUUAAAGAUCACGACCAGCUAUUUGGAUGACCACGUGUUGUAUUUACAAGAAUUUGAAUUUAAUGAUCUAGUUACAUUUUCACAAGCCAUUACUUAUAGUAAUUCUGAUAAAAAGAUUCAUGCCAUGAAUGAAGAGAUAAAUUAAGUGUGGAUUUUAACUAAGUCUGGGGUUAGUAGAAUUGACUCAAAAGGUUCUAUUGAAUGUCAUAAAGCAAGACUUGUAUCCAAACAGUUUACUCAAUAUGGUGGCAUUACUUUCUCGUGCGUGAAACCUUCACUUAUGUGUUAAAGAAGAAUUAUCUUAGAAUCAUUAUGGCAUUGGUGACUCAUUUCGAUUUAGAGUUACACCAAAUGAAUGUGAAAAUGAUAUUUUGAAUGAAAGUUUGGAUAAAGUCUACAUGGUUUAAUUAGCCACACAACUUCAUAAAGGAAGAACAAGAACACAUAAUCUAUUUGUUAAAGAAGUCAAUAUACAGACUUAAAACAAGCUUCUCGAAAAUGGUACCUAAUGAUUAAUAGUAUCAAACGUUUGGGUUUAAUGUACAUACCCAAAGUUCAGUGGGAGUAAGUUUAUUAUUUUGAUUAUGUAUGUUGAUGAUUUAUUGUUUCGCAGCAGUGAUUUUCGUUUAUGUAAACAUUUUUUCUGUCUAAACACUUUACAAUGAAAGUUAUGGUGAUGCGUCAUAUGUGAUAGAAAUAAAAAAAAAAAAAAAUAUUUCGGGAUUGAUCACAAUAAUUGUUGGAACGUCUUAGAAAGAUUUCAUUAAUAAAGUUUUGGAUAGAUUUAAUGUGUUAAGGCAUAAUUGUAAUGAUGUUCCAAUUCAGAGGGGGAAUAUUUGAAUUAAAUCAAGAUCCUAUGAAUGAAUUUGAACAAGAACGAAUGAAAGAGAAACCGUAUGCUCAUAUUUUAAGAGAUCUAAUCACCUUGAGGUGAUUGGUUUUACAAAUUCGGAAUUUAAUGGGUGUGUGGAUAGUUGAUAAAACAUUAUUGUUUCACCCACCAUAGAAGCCGAAUUUGUAGCAUGUUGUAAAAUAACUACAUGCAAUGUUGUAUAGUUGCAAAACUUUAUAUCAUGUCUUAGAGUUAUUAAUUUCUAAGUCGUUUGAAUUUUAUUGUAAUAAUGUUGCAACUAUAUGCCUUUGUAAGAAUGAUAGGUAUUCUAAUGUUUAGCACAUGAUAUAAAAUACCUAUCGAUUAUGGCUUAAGUUUAGAACAAGUGAGUGUCAAUGGAACACAUUAGUACACGUGUUAGUAAAUCCACUAACUUAAGAACUAGAAAUAAUGAUAUUCUAGAAUCAUGUUAACAAGUUGGGUUUUGAAUGUAACCCAUAACUUAAUGAUUUGUGGAUUACUUAGUGCUUAUUAUUUGACAUUAUUUUGAGCUCAUUAUUAUUGAUUAAGUUCUGAAUUUUCUGUUUUCCAUUGUUUAUGUACAUGUAUGUGAAUGGAUAAUUGUUGACAGAAAUAGUCUUUUACGAAGACAUUACUGGACCAUUAUUGUUACUUCCACUUAUAGACCUAGUUAAUUAAAUUGUUGAUAUCGUAGUACAUGGAAGGAACCAUGUCAUUUACGCGAUGUGGAACCGCCAUGACUCAUAUUAGUGGUUUAAUUAAUGACGGUAUUAUGAUAACCAUUUCGGAAACUAAUUUAGCUCUUAUUGCGCGCCUUAUGUAUUCUACGUUAAACUGUAUGUGAGAUUUUACUAUGGACCAAGUGGGAGACUGUUGGAAUUUCCACAUAUAAAGCCCAACCCAUAAUGUGGUCCAUGUACUUUUAACCUUGGUUUAAUAUAGAAAUAAGCUAAUUAGUAAUAGGUUAUGUGGAAGUCAUAUUUACCGUAGAUCUUAACUAUGAUGGACGGUCUAGAUCUAAUGGGCUUAAGUUUGUAGAUUUAGGUCCUCUCUCCACCUCUAUAAAUUGGUGUAUGAUUUCCAUCCUCAUACACUUACUAUUACAACACAUAUUAGGGUUUAAGAGGCAAGGAGAGUGAAACCUAGAUCUUGUGCAGCUUUUCGGAUCAUCAAUGGCUAUGGACAAGGUAUGUGUAUUUGUUAGUGAUUAAUUACAUGAUUCAUGAUCUUAUUGUUUAUUGAUAAUGUUAUUAUGCUUAUAUCGACAAAUAGUAACAAAAGGAUUUAUUUCCAAUGCUAAUUGAAUAAUUGAAAUUUGACCAUUUAUAAGUGAAAGGAUGGAAUCAAACUUUUUUUUUUUGUAAGAAUGAUCCUACAAAUAAUAGUCACAUUGUAAUCAUGGUUAGGAAAUUGUGAAGAUUUGCUACUUGAAACUGCAAAAGUAACAAAAGGAUUGAAGGAAUGAUUUUUAGAAACAAAAAACUAAAAAACAGAAAAUGAACUUAUUUCCAAUGCUAAUGGAAAAAUUGAAAUUUACCCAUUUGUGAGUGAAAAGAUGGAAGCUUCUUAACCAGCUCAAACUUAUGCUCUGGUAAGUGCUGCUGAUUGACUCCUGCAGUAUAACACUUCCCACACAAAUCAAAACUAAAGCCCUCCGCGGUGAUGAUAUGUUCACAGUCGUUGCAUUUGUAUUGCUUCCCAACGAUUGGAUUCAUCUGUAGGAAUCAUCCGUUAAAGUGGUUAGAGCAUGACUAAAUAAACGAUAAAGAGUUGAACCAUUGGGUGAGAACAAUGAAAUCGAUGGUAAUCUUGUUGAUGACAAUGAUAAAGUUAUGAAUGCAAUAGUUAUGAAAAUUAGUUAUCAAUCAUAAAUUUGAAAUAGUAAUUUAUUUCAAAUUUAUGAUUGAUAACUAAUUUUCAUAACUAUUGCAUUGAUUCAAAUUUCAUAUAAUCGAGAUACAUGAUUCAUGACUGCCCUUGCACUCAUGUAGUCAGAUUUGCAACUAGAUGAAACUUCAGAAGAAGCAAUUCAACAUUUCCAAUUGGAUCAAUUCUGAAUGGACCUAUCCAAAACAACAAGAGUGAAUCCACCUGCAUACCACCUAAAAACCAAAACUACAAGAUCAAGGUUAUAAUCUCAUUCACAGAUUUAGACUCCAGUAUUGCGACGGUUAUGUACUAAGAAUAUACAAUGUGGAAAUUUAUGUUGAAGGAAUGAAAUCUAGAUGCUUAGGGACCUCUAAAGAAGCUGAAUGCAGCCGAAGCAUUCUGGCUGCUGUUCAGUGUGCCUAAAAAAGGGAGCAAGUUCCCUAUAGUUUUACCAAAACUAAGUACCCAACUAGAAAAAUAAUAUUUCAUAUGACAAAAAUGUUACCUCACAAAAUUCACAAGAAAAUCCAAAAUGUGUAUACCCAAUAUUUUCUCCUGCACAAUAACCGAAUAGAUUGGGCCGGUAAAUAAUAGUAGCACAUUGUAAUACAAAAUAUUACAAAAGAAAAAUUUACACAAGUGUUACAAAAGAAAAAUUCCCAAGUUUUUCUGUUUAAGGGAUGAUUUACACAAGCAAAUCAAAGAGUUACAUAGCCUUGAAAUGAGAUUAAAACCUAAAUAUUUGUCCCUAUAUUUCCAAAUAAUGCAUUAGAUCAUCAUAUCAGUGUUUUAAAUAGCAGCUAGCACUCUUGAUAAUAAUGCUUCCUGGUGUCUUUUCAAAGAGAGGAGAUUAUUGAUUAUGAUGAUGAUAGUGAUGAAAUCAAUCAAGCUAGCCACAUCAAAAACUAAAACUAAUCGAAUUUAUCACAUGAAUAAAUUAUAGAAACCAAAAACUAAGAAAUCGGAUACCAAGAAAAACAAAAAAACUAAUAAAAAGAAAAGAAAACACACUGGGAAUUAUAUUAGGGUGUAUUUACUAGUGUCGAUUUCUAGUACCUGCUCGUUCUGACAUUAAACUGUCCUCACUAUCACACUGGGAAUUAAACUGGAACUCUCCUUUCCUUCUGACAUUAAACUGUCCUCACCAUCACAUUGGGAAUUCAAAUCUCCUGCACAUGAAAGAAUAGAUUGGAAUAGUUAAUGAAAGUAGAACAACGAAAAGUGUGAAAUUCAAAUCAUGGUGAAAACUUUGGAGUAAUAAUUCAUUCUACAUACCUUUUUCUUCUUCUGAUUCAUAUCUCUCUUUAAAAACGGGUUGAAGGAUAUUUUUGGGAUAGGCAGGAUCUCACUCCAGUGAAUCCCACCAUUUUCUGGUUCCUAAGAUUUCUUUCAGACAUGCUGGUGGUUGUAUCGAUUGAUCUUCUCCCUUAAAUUGAGGGAGCUUCUUUAAUUCAGAACAAUUGUAUACCCGAACAAUUUCAAGAGAGUCACAAAUCAUCACGCCUCUCCAAAUGCUCUUCAAUUUCGGUAGAUUAUCAAACACCAAUUUUUUAAACCUAGGGAAUUGAACUGCGAUGGGUGUUUCAACGAUUCUUGUAUUUUCUUCUCCUAUCAACUCCUCUAAUUCAUCACAUUCAUUCACCCAUAUAUCUUCAAGGUUUGGAAAAAGCUGCAGCAACCUAGAUGAUGAGAAGACAUUCUUCAGACUAUGACAAUAAUAGAUUUCCAGCACUUUCAAGCAGAAGGAAAGAACGCUAAUAGGAGCAGUUGGAAUCCCCUUAAAAAAUGUGUACAAUUUGGGGCAUCGAAAAAUAUUUAUCCUUUCCAGGGUUUGUAGCACUCAACUCUUCUGAUGAAAUAUUAUCGGCGGAAGCAAACAAUAAUAAGAACACCAAUUGAAGGUGUUUGUCCCUCUAUGGAGAAAAUCCAUUCUCAUCUUGGAAUAGAUAAUGAUCAACAUAACCACCAAACAAAUUACCAAUUACUUUUAUGGGACGGAAUUUGUGGGGAUGAUAAAAAUCAUCAAUUUGUCCGUCGGAAUCAAUGCAAUUCAUCGAUUCAUGGGAGUGAUGAGCGAAAUUUCGAGAACGUUCAUCCUCUUUACCAUUGUCAUGGACAACAACCAGGUUUCCUUGCUUGGGCAACAAAUAGAACUUCUUAUUUAUCUCCCUUGCAGAUUUUUCAAUCAAAUCUUCUACUUGAUCCACACAUGCAACUUCUAACUCAAGAAACACAAAACUAGAUGUAUCAUCACUAUCAUCACCAAAAACGGAAAAGAAAUCAACACGAUCGUAACUUUGUAAACCACCAAUUCGAGUACGAGUGACGUAUUUUUCUUCUUCAAACAUGUUGAGUAAGAAAUUAAUCUCCGCUUCUUUGUCAAGUCGUUUCUCUUCUUCAACAAAUUCUUCCUUAAAAGUCGCAAAUUGACUUUUUAAUUUAGUAAAACAAUUUAAAAGUUCCUUCAAAUUUUUUUGUAUGCUUGGUGACUUCAUGGAGGCAUCAUCCGGAUAAUGAGGCUGCUGCAGCAGUAAAAUCUGCUGGUUGUCGCUAUUAGAAACUUGUGAUGGGUGAACAACUGAGGUUGAUGUGUAGAGGUUUGACGGUGCAAGGGCUGCAACCAAACUCUUGUUAGUGGGGGCAUCACCAAACUCAAAUUCUGCACCAGUUUCAUCAUCAGAAUAUUCAACACACAAAGAAUCAUUAUCAUAGCAACUUUAAUUCCUCGUCAGAAAACUCAUCUUUUUCAUACUCAAUCAUGGACUCAUCCUUUUAGAAUCGAUUUCAAUUUCAAUAUAGUGUAGGUAUUCUCCAUACGAAGUAACCUUAGAAUUGCGACUACGAAGACCAUCGUGAUCAUAAGUCUUUGGACGAUUUCCAUGGGAAUAUUUAGCACCAUAAGCAACAUAUUGCUGCUGAAAACCACAUCGAGGAGGGUGCGUGUCCUGCUGGUGGUGGGAAUAAUAUCCAUCGUCAUAAUAACUAUGACGUCGCCUGUGUGGGGGAGAAGGGGAACGAGGGCAAGAUGGAGGUUCAUAUCUUUUGGAAAGAGAAAAACGGCGGCUAGGAUCAAAGUUGGGAGAUUUAUAUUCAGAAUCGGUAUAACGCUUCGAUUCUUGUAAACUCCAAAGAUCCGAUGGCGGUGAAAACUCUCUUUGACCUCUUUUACGAUAACCCAUCUUCAAAUCACCAACAUGAACGCGGCUUUUGUAAAAGAAAUCAGGUUUUUAUCUUUUAAACCCAGAAAAAAACAAGCUUUGAUACCAAUUUUGAUGUAAUAUUAUCGGCGGAAGCAAACAAUAAUAAGAACACCAAUUAAAUAAAUGGUUUGAACACCCAAAAACUAGGGUUCUUCACAAAAACGAAUUUAAUGUCUCAAGACAUAAACAAAUCUUCAAUCUAACCUACUUAAUAGGGUUUGCAAUCCCCUAUUUAUAAUAACCUAAACCUAAUCCUAACUACACUAGAAAGCUAAGUAAAUAGAAACUACUACUAGGGAUGUUCUAAUCCAUAUAGGAAUCUGCAGGAACUAUGAGGCAUGUGCCUUGCACAUGUUCUCUUUAUGCAUAUGCAUCAUCUUCUUCCUUUUCUUCUUCUUCUGAGGACCACGACCAUAUACACUCUAUUUUUUCACACUUAUUGAUUGCAAAUGCUCGCUUACAUCCUUCGUUAACCAACACAACUCAUUUAACUUUCUCAAAUUGUUGAACUGUUGCCCUGGGAGGACUACCUAGAAGGAGUGUAUAACGAUCGUAGCAAAAUCCAAUUGCUAUAUAAAAACAUUUUAACCCAAUAAAAUUUGAUGAUUGUACAUAGCUAGCAUAAUCAGACAAGUAAUGAAACCCGACAUUAAGAUUUUCCAACUCUUUCAAACUUGCCAAUUCAUUUGCAAAAGAUUCACCACUUCCAACAUCAUACACUUUAUCAAUGUGUAUGUAACCAAGGUACAACUCUUGCAGUGCAGACAACUUGGAUACUAAUCCCAUUGGAAUUUUCUCCCUCAAUUUUUUUAGGUGAUUGAGGUUAAGGCAUCUAAGGUUUACCAACAUUUCAAUCCCUUCAGGUAGUUUUUUAAUGGCAAUAUGAUCAAGUUCCAACCUUCUUAGUAAUACUAGUUUAGCUAGGGAAGGCACUUUCUUUAACCCCACACACCAACUUAAGCGUAGAUCACGAAGAUUCAACAGGUCAGAGAUGGAAUCAGGCAGAAAUUUUAAUUUAGAAUUUGGCAUUUCAAAGUCACAUCGCAAGUCAAGUAUCCUGAGGUAUUGCAUGUUGAUGAAGAAACCGUGUGUUAUACUACUUAAGAAAGGAUUGUUUCUAAGAAACAAGGUGGAGAGGUUAGGGCAACUUGGACUGAUUGAAACCUUUCCAACAACUUCUUCCCAUUCAUUUUCAUUUGGUAGUUCUCUCAAAUAUGCACCAGCUUUAACCAUGAAACACUUGUUUGUGAUACGAAGGGCCAUUUCCCUGACCGAAUCGUGCAUUCUUACUGCAUCGGAUGUUUCCUCGUAAUCUGUAUCAAAAAUAUCAGCAACACUUUCAAGCAAACACUGAUCUCUUAGUUUUCCCACUAUAGACCAGCCCUGAUGAAUGUCAGCUUCCCUAUUUUUUCUCUCAAUCAGACCCUCCGUGAUCCAAAACCCAAUUCUCUUGUUAGAAUUGGGUAAUCAUCAGGAUACAAUGCACAAUAUAUAUAAGAAACAGUUUCUUAGUUUCUCAUUUGGCAACUGCUCGUAACUGAAUUUCAAACAUUGAAAAACAUCAUCGUCUAUAUUUGUGGUUCGGUUACCAAAGUCUUUCAAGUCAUUCAUAGCAUUUUCCCAUUAGUGAAUGUCAGAAUGUCCUUUCAUUGCUGCACCUACUGUGAUAAUUGCAAGUGGCAAACCAUGGCAUUUCUUAGCAACCUGCUCCGCAGUUGACCUUACUUCUGGAGUGAGCCCAUGAUUAACUUUAUUCUUGAACAACUCCCAAGCUUAAUCUUCUGGAAGAUAUUCUACUUUAAUAAUACUAUCACCGUGACAUCCCAUUCGAUCUUCUGCACACAUCUAAUAACCUUGUACUAAAUAUUAGUUUGCAUCCAUUUUCUUGAGUAGGUUGAGGAAUACCUAUUUGGUCAAGAGAAAUUUCUUUCCACAUGUCGUCAAAGAAAAACCAAAACCCUCUUCCUCUUCUCCAAUGCUUGGAACAAGAAUCUUGACCUUCCGAGUACAUCAUCUUCAUUUGAUAAUUUUAAUUUAAGCUCUUUUGCAAUGUCGUUUUGUAGUUUGGUAAUAUUACCUCUUUGGAUACAGUUACCCAAAUAAUCUCAUAAAAACCAUUUGUUCCCGUGAGUUGAUUAUAAACAUGCUUCAAGAUAGUUGUUUUACCAACACCACCCAUCCCGUGGACACCAAUUAUAUCUGCUUUAUCCUUUGCUAUCCAUUGCAAAAUUAUCUCUUUGUAUUUUAGAGAGGUCUUUUUACCAACUAGAUUCGUUGGAGGUAGUUUCAUGCGCUUAUUUGGUGGCAAUAUGGCCAAAUCCUCAUCUCUGUCAAAAAGAAAAAAAAAGGUUGGUUUGAUUAGUCUUACAGUAGUGAAACUAAUAAAUUCCAUUCAUAUAUGAUAUAACUUUACCAAAAAAAUAAAAUAAAUUCAUAUAUGAUAAAAUGAGAGCCGGUAUCAAAACCCCACUGUUUAGUAAUUAGAUCCCAAAUAGUAAACACACCCCACCGAUGUUUGACAAGUUGGUAAAUAUGCCCCAUAUAGUAAUACACCAUAAUAUAAUUUAAACGGAUAUUUUAAUUACAACCUUGUUUUUCUAUUGAAAUGGAUUCUUUCAAAUCUAUCACUAAAACUCUUUUGAUUGGAUUUGUUUCUCUAUUUAAACUAUCUAGAAUCAUCAUAUAACGUCUUAACUCUUAAUGGAAACAAAAUAUGAUCAAAACUUACAAUUAAACGUAGUUUCAAGUUUUUGAAUAAAUAACAAAUAGUUAAACAAAACCGUCAAAGAUAAUAUCAAACAGUUUAAAGUGACCAUCAAAAUAAUUCAAAAAUGGUUUAUCUCUACUGUAUGGUAAAUAGUACAUGAAAUCGUAAAGUGGCAACAUAUUCGGUCAAGUCUAACCGUACGUAAGACUUUAAUUCGGCCAUCGUAUACCGCGUAGACUACAUAAAAAUGGUUUGCUUCAACCGUUUAAGUUAGGGCUCGUGAAAUAAAAAAAAUGUGUUAUAUUAGUCGUUUAGUAAGUAAAAGUGAACAUAAUAGUAAGAUAGAUUGUUAUUUUUAAUAGUUAAAGUUUGACAAUUUUUUAUAUCAAACAUUUUUAUCAAGUUUGGAUUGGGUAUUAUUUUUACAUUCCAACCAAAGUUUUUCUAAAAUAAUCUUCCAAAGAAAGUAAUUUGUUUUAUGUCUUUCAAUACACAAGAUGAUUAUAGUUUAUUAAAAAACAAAAUGAAAGGAAAGGAAAAAAUGCGUAAAGAGAAGAAAUGACAAAGAAAAAGAAUGUUUAUUUUAGUGUAUAUAAAAAUGUGUAUUUUAUGUGGGGGUGUAUCUACUAAUAUUGUUGGGAUAUAUUAGGUAUUAUUUAAUUUAUUUAGUGGUGGAUAAUUACUAAUUUAUGGGGCUUGGAUACCGGCUCUCUAUAAAAUUUACAAGUAGCUCAUUAUGUCUUAAAAAGGGGAGACGUAUUGUAUGGAAUAAAAGCACACGAGAAGCAGACACCUGUAUGUGCAACAAGGGCUAAAAUUCGGAGUGAGAUCUUGGCAUUUUACCCCCCCCCCCCCCCCAAUUUGAAAGUCCCCCAUAUAAAAAAAAUAUUAACAGUUACCCCCAACUGGCAGAAAACAGAGACAACGUUAUAAAAAUUAAUUUUUUUUAUUAAAUAAAAUAUUUUUAUAAUAUCAAAACUACCACUUCUUGAAUCUGAUGAUAAUUAGCAAUACCCUCCAACUGAAACAUACAUAAUUAGCAAAAUCCUACCAAAUCGAUUUACAAAAAAAUAAAAUGAUAGUGAAAAUAAAAUUUGAAAAAGGAAGAUAAAAUCUAAGGAAAAAAUACUAGAUACAUGUUUCCCUCGCUUACCUAUAAUCUUUCUUGUUCUUGUUUGCUUCAAUUGUAAAAAAAAAAUUUACUUGAAUAGUUGAAUAGAAAGUUACAUCUAGGUUUAUUGAAUAUGACCAAGUAGAUUGCUUACUUUGACAUAAAUCUAAAAGAUUAUUUUUUUGAAACAAGAUCAAGUUUAUUUUGAAACAUAAAUGCACCAAGUUUCAAAUUCAUGUUGAAACAAGAGAUCACUUAAACUAUUAUGUUAUGAAGGGUAGUAUGAAGGUUCUUCUUCAAAUUCAAACCGUUGGAUUAUAAUAUAAAUGGAUAAGAUGUUGACAUGUGUGGUAUUAUGAAAUUUUUUAAACUUAAAAAAAAAAAAAAAGAAUUUUGAUAAUCUUGUUGUUUUUUUCCAUUCAAUUGGGGGUAAGUGAUAUAUUUUUUCAAAUGGGGGAUAAUGCAAAUAUCGGCUUUCAAAUAUGAAAAAAAGAGACAUUAAAUUUGGGACAACUAAAAGUUGAAUAAGGUACUUGUAAUUUUGGACGGAGGGAGUACAGCAUGUUCACCUUUAUUUGAUAAACUCACAUUUUCUUGAAAAAAAUAAAAAAUAAAUAAAUUUAUCAAUAAAAUAUUUUCUCUAAAAGAAAAACGUUGUGGGCUGUGGAUCUAAAUUGGAUCCAAAGAACAUAUUUUGGCUUUUUUACUUGAUUUUAAAACCCAAACAAACAAACAAUCUUUCAACCACACUUCUAUUUGUUCAGUUGCAACCCUUUCGCUGGAAUCUCAAACACACACACUCAUUCACAGGUUUCUCUCUCUAAAAGUUUCUUCUUUCCACGAUCUUAUUUACAUAUUUCUAAAGAUCUUGAAUGUUAAAUAUUGGCCCCUACUACCAAAGGCCUUUAUUUUAAAUUAUAUGAAUUAAACUAGUUUAGUUUAAGUGGGUAAUUGAUUUAGUAAAUGAUUGAGGAGCUUAUUAAAAAACAGAUUGUCUUCUUUGUAAAAAGCCUAGGCGGUAAAACAUGAUUAAUGUUGAUUUAGGUUUACAGUACAAAAAUUAUCUCAUUCAAGUUAAAUUAGUUUGGUUGUAAAUAUAUGAUGAUUUAACAUCUAGGAGGCUUAUAGUUCAGUGGUAUCUCAAUUAGAGUUUUAAGUAUGGUACUAUGAUCCAAUGUGAUUUCAAGGCAAGACUAAUACAAAAACUAGUGUAAAUUCAACCAUGUGUGGCCCUUAAAAUAUAGAAAACUCACUUGGCCCAAAGCAGUUGCUGAACCUGCUUGUGCUCAGGGCCGGCCCUGUUAUUAUUAAUAACUCUUUUAAUUUGCAAGUAAAAUUUUUAAAAGAAACAAACAAAAUUUAAUGUAUGGAGUACUGGUGCACCAAAUAAAAUAAUAGAGAUAAACUCGUAAAAACACAAUUAUUCAAAAUAAUCUAAAAAUGUGUGGUGUAUGAGAGAUUUGUGUGGUUUGAGAUUUCCCUUUAUUUUUCUUCAAUUUAAAGAAGCUUACAAUAGAUUUGGAGACCGCUUUUUAGACACAUUUGACAUCAUGUGUGGCAGUGUGACUUUGCAAUCACCUCCUGGUCCAUUGUUUCCAUCAUCUACAAAUUCAGAUUGUAUGAUUUUGAGAAAUAAGAAAUUGCAUGAUAAUAUAAGGAACAAAAACUCAAAAUAAAUUGCAUAAUAAAUAAUUUGAAAAGAAAAAACAAAGUGAAUUUUGCCGACUAUAGUAACACCCUUACAAUGACUCAUAUCUGACUUUACAUCCUCCGCAUUAUCAAAAACACAUGUUCUUAUCUUACGAACUCAAACUAUAGAAGGAUAAAGUUGGAAUCAACUAAUCUUAUUUGUCGAACUCUUUCUUCUCGUACUACACAACAAAAUUCAAUAGCCAACUCUUUCUUCUCCGAAGACCAAACACUCCAGUAACUUUUCUCCAACAAGAACCGAGUCUAGACUUUUUUUUGUCUGACAAGUUAGGUUGAGGGACCUUACCCAUUUAAAUUAACAAUCAAUUGUUGACAUGUUUCGAACCCACGACCUCUCCACUGUGAAGGGGUGAUACCAUUGAACCACUGGCUCAUUCACUCUUUAUUAAUAAAUAGAAAAAUACACAUUCUCAAAAUUUCUGAUUGAACACAUUCAAACUAGGCGACCAACAAAAUAUGAAGAAAUCAAUGAGACAAUAAGUUAAAGGGGGGACCCAAACUGUGAUUAUGAAUAUAAUUUUUUCUUGUUUAUUGUUGAAAUGACUGUUGCAAAAAAAAAUCAAUUAGAUGUUCCGUAAUUUUCAACCAAUUCUUAAAUUAUAACUAUUGGACAGAAGUAGCUCUAAAUCCAUUAACGAUUGUGGCAAUAUGUUCUUGAAAUUUAAUCAUUUCAACUGAAGAACAUGAUUUUGUCUUCUGAGAUGGUUUGGGAAUUGGAUAUUUAUUUUUCCAGAAGAUUAAACUUUUAAGACUUUAAGAGAGAUAAAAUAGUUUUUCAUCUUAUUUUUAUAGAGAAGGUUGUGACGACGGUUUGAAUUUUUGAGAGAGUGCAUUGAACCAUGGUCCGUGGAGAAAUUGUGUAAGUUCACAAAGAAUGGAAGAAGAUACCCCCAAUGAAUAAUUGGGCACAGUUUGGUUCGGAUAAUGGAAGAUACAACCAAAUUGGAACUAAAUUGUGUAUAAUGAUAUAGGACCGUCAGAGGUGGGGGACCUACUACAGAAGAUAAGGACUUUGAGAGAGAUAGAGAACUAGAGUGUAGAAUUUAUUUUUCUGUUGAAAGUGGAAGGAUGGACACUGUUUUCUUGCUACUCGAACUCGAACUGGUCUCGAUUCGUUUUGGUUGGACGAACUGAAAAAUCUAUAUACUAUAUAAUAGUGGAGCCUAACAAGUGCCAUGUGGCGUGUUCUCAACAAUUUGAGAAUAGAACUAAAGUCCAACUUUAAGCCCAAUUAAAACCCAAUUAUAGUCAAAAAGGAAAUCCACCUUCUUUGUCAACAGAGAUUUAUAGAAAUCUUAACACCCUUUAAAACUUGAUUCUAAAUCUCCUUUUUCCUACUAAAUUCUUCUUCUAUUUAAAAUCCUUAAUUCAUAUAUAAAAACCAUACUAAAUACAAAAAAUAUUAAUUAUAAAUCUCUACAAAUUUAGCUUAAGAAUACAAAUUUAGGUUGAGAAGGGCAUUAAAAAAAGCUUGGUGAUUUUUUAUUUUAUUAAAUAACACAAAUCCCGGUGCGUAGCACGGGUUCAACAACUUGUAUAAAUUAAAAUUGGAUUAGACUGGACGUCUCGACCGAAUCAUUUUGGCUCAGUUUGGAUUUUGGUUUGGGCUUUAAUUUGGUCCUCUCUUUUGGGCCUCUUCAAUUUUCAUAUUAUUAUCAUCACCAUUUUUAUCAAAAAUCUCUUUUCUACUCUCAUCAACAGGAGAAUCAAAAUCCAAUCUUCUCACAACUUUAAUAACAUCUUCGUUGUAUACUCUAUUAUGAUGUUGAGGUGUUCGAGGAUAUAAUAUGAAGAUCAUAAUCUGAUCUGGACAUAAUCUUUCGGCGUUUGAGGAUUUAAUAUCAAGAUCAUUUAAAACAACAUCUUCUACUUCUGAAAAAUCUAAUGUUACAAAAACCAAUAAAUAAAUAACCUUGGAGAAAGAUAUAUUAUCUAAGCAAAGUUAUUCAUUUAUCGAACAUUAAUUUAGUACAAAAGCUGGAAUUGGGACUGAAAAAAUUUAGUACUUAAGCAAGGAUAUUCACUUAUUGGACAUUCAUUUAUCGAGGUUUAACUAUAAUUAAUAUUAAUGUUGAUUCAAUAACUUCAUUGUUUUUCUUUGGUUUAAUUCUAGCUCUAUUAAUUAUUUUUAAUGGUUUAGAAUUAGCCUCCAAGAAGGAAGCUUUUGAUGAUUAACAACAAUAUCGUCAAUGUAUUCUUGACUCUUCUUUGAAUUCUUAGAGGAAAUUUCAAAUUCCACUAUAAAUAAUUUGAGAGAGGGGUAUGAAGUAGAAGAAGAAGAAGAGAGAAAGAGAGAGACAAACCCUAGUUUUCUCUAUAAAUAACAAAAGGUAAACUUACUUUUUGUUUUCAAUCACCCCCUUAGAUAUAUUGGCUGUCUUUGGUUCGAAUGAAUUCAGUUUCCCCAGAAGGUAGCAAAAGUCAUACGAAAAUAACUGAUAUUUGAGAAAAAUUAGGAAAGUAGAUUCCGGCUAAAGAGUAACUCGAUGGAAUUUGGUUUCCUUACUUAUAAAAUAUGGAAACCAAUUUCCAAAACUGACUAGACAUAUGAGUCCAGAGUCUGAGUUCGAUCAGAAUUUCUUCCAACUCACAAUCAUUCUCCAUCUUAUCUGCGCACAAUAUAUCUCUGUACUGUUCUUUCUUACACUAUCACCCUCUGUUUUCCUGGAAUUCGGAUUCCGUGAACCAAACACAACCAUUGAUUAUAUUUUUUAUUUUAUUUUAUAAAGGACUAUUAUAUUAUUAUUUUAAAAUUGAUUAAAAUAAUAAUAACACAUAUAUAAAAUAUCUUCUCGAUAUAUCUAGUUUUGUUCGGUUACAAUUUUGUUUUAACCAGUUUUAGGUUAACUCGGUUUUGACAAAAAAAAAUUUGAUUUUUUCAAUUUAGGUUUGUUUGGAAACCUAGAAUUGAGGCUGGAAUUGAAAAUCAUUUUCCAAAACAUGCAACAUUGUGCAUUUGGAAGGACUUUACUCCAUGAAUUUAAAACGAAAAUCCUUAAAUUCAAUGAAUCACACAUUUCUUAUAGGGGUAAACUCUUGAUUCUAGGCUUGAUUGAAAAUUUAUUUUUAAUAUAAGGAAACUUUAAUACUGCCAUCUAUAUUAUUUUUCUAUUAUAUCACUUCUUUAAUUUCUUUUCUUCUUUCAAUCGAUGUAUCCAAAAUAGUAAAAAUUAACAUUAAAAAUGUUAGUUCUCUAAAAUCAUAAGUUUUGGACUAAUAAACUCAAUUCCAAUUCCCAGAAAAUUUUUCAAAUAGACCUUUGGUUUUUUAGUUUUCAGUUAUUUUGGCCAUCGCUACUUAUUGUUACUUACAUUCCAAGUAUUGUCAGCUCUUGUAUUUGGAUAUGCUAAGAUGAAGGGUUUGGAAUUGGACUCUAGUUGAGUCAACGUAAAGGGGUCACUAUAGCGCAGAGAAUUUUGUAUGUGUAGCCUACUUACAUGUGGGUGUGUACGCCCGAUCACAAAACGUCAUGUAAAAAUUAUAAUAUAACCUAUGUAUGGGUUUAGUUAACCCUAGUGGGCUUAUCAGUUACCCAACCACUUUAUAAACAUGUUGAGCCUUAUAAUUGGAUGUACACACCCACAUACAAGUAGGCCACACAUGUAAAUUUUUUGGACCAUAGCGGAUGUUCGUGUAACUUAUAUAAAUAUAUUUUCUUUUUUUCAGGAAAACUUAUAUAAAUAGUUCAGAUAAAUUAUUCUACGAACCUGCUAGUGAUGCAUAGAUAUUUUGGGGAAAGGUAGGAACAAGAUCCGAUUGAUUCGAGGAUUCUCUGUUUCCAACAAAUUAAAAUAAAGAUUUCCAUUAAUUUUGAUCCACAUAUCAAUGUAUCAUAAAAACUAGUAGGAUCCAAAGCUUAAUAAUGCAUCGACUUCAAAGUAUUUAUUUUAACAUCAGACAUGCAUUAAUGUGAUAUUACCUUUUAUUGUCUGGAUAAUAGUCCUCUGGAUCGACCUGUGGAGUGGAGACCUUCCAGUGCGGAAAUAAUGGGUAGGGAGGAUCCUCAAUUAGUUUUUUCCCCUCUAGCAUUAACACCACAUCUUUCAUGGAAGGUUUUUGUUCUGGUGUACACUGAACACACCAUAGUGCGACCUUGGAUAAUAUAAUUGCCUUAUCUUUGUCCUUCUCUGUAAUGCCACAAUCUUUUAUAAGUUGUUCAAAUUUUCCACUAUUAAAGUGGUUCCAAACUAUUCCUGGAAAACAAUUUUUUCCUACGCCAUUGCUUCUUUUCCGCAAAAUUUCAAAUAACAUCAUGCCAAAGCUGUAAACAUCACAUCUCCAAGUUACUUGUGAAUCUCCAAGCUGUAACAUCCAUGAUGUCUCGGAGGCCAUAUAACCUACGGUUCCUUUCUCUCUUGACAAGGGUGAGAACCCAAUAUAUGUGCAAUAUAACAAUAGUAAAGCAAACAAUAAAGCAAUAAGCAAAUAAAGAACACACGAUAUUUUUAACGUGGUAAAACCCAAUAUGGGAAACGUCCACGGUUGUCCUCUCGACAACAAAUAAAUCCACUAGAUGAAAAGAGAUGUACAAACCUAUCAACUACCUGCAAUCCCUGCGAGUUGACACUCGAGGUUAUCUCUAACACCUUGACUUCACCAGAGCACCUUGAUGUACGCACAAGACACUCGACUUCUUGAUGAACACACAAGAAGACUCGAAGCCGAACUAUGAAACAAGCUUACACCAGAGUUCCUUGAUGAACACACAAGGAUACUCGACUUCUUGAUGAACACACAAGAAGACUCGAAGCUAAAUCAAUAUAUAAACAAUAAUGAAGAAGACGAUGAAUGGGGAAGAAGAAGAUGAGUUCAAUCACCAAAACAACCUAAAACCAAAACCUAAACAAACUCCAAGACUAGAGAUGAAUUGGACGGCCAAAGAACUCACUUGUUCUUUGGAAGAGAAACCCUAUUUAUACUUAGGGUUGGAAACCAAGGAAAAUGGGCCGAAAUAGAGAAAAUCCAUAUUGGACGUACGUACGUCGAUAUGACGUUCGUACGUCCCCAUACGAUAAACACUUGCUGACUGCUUGGACGUACGAACGUUCUAACUAGGUACGUACGUCCUGACCAAAACAAGUUUACUGCCUACCAUUACGUACGUACGCCCUAACUAGGUACGUACGUCCUAAAUCCAAAACUUACUUUUGACACAUGGACGCGAGGACACAGACUCGGGACGAUGUGCGCACAACUUGGUUUUCCUAACAAUGAACUCAAGGCGAGAUAACCAUGGACACUUUGUCACAAAAUUGAUGUCAAACCACUUCGUGCCGGUUUCAAAGGGAACACGACUUACAUUCCUGUUAAUAGACUUUGCUAAUCCAAAAUCUGCAAUUUUAGCUGAAAAGUUCUGGUCGAGGAGAACAUUACUAGGUUUAAUGUCAUGGUGAAUUAUCUGCUCUACCAAACCAUCAUGCAAAUAAUUGAGCCCAUUUGCUAUCUCAAUUGCAAUACCAUACAACUUCACCCACUCUAUACUACUGUGGUGGUUCUCAUUCAAAAUUUUAUCUAAUGAUCCAUUCUCCAUAUAUUCAAACACAAGUGCUUUCAUGUUGACCUCAAAGCAAUAGCCAUGGAGUUUAACAAGGUUACGAUGGUUAGCCUUUCCCACUGUGCGGACCUCCGACAAAAAUGUGUCUUCCUUGACAUCCUUAUUUUUCAGUAGCUUAACAGCGACAAGAACACCACUAGGGAACUGACCUUUGUACACCUCUGCAAACCCACCAACGCCUAUUUUAUUUGAUUCUGAGAAAUUUGAUGUAUAGCUUCUAAGUUCGACACUUGAAUAUGGCUUUGGUCCUAGUUCAUCUUUUAACUGCAGUUUAACUAAGCCUAAGCGUAUUUCUUCAAGUCUGCUAGGCUCAGUCAUAUCCAUGCUAUCAGUAAUUAGCUGUGCACAAGGCGGACGACAGUGUGAUGAUUUAGGAUAACUUGAUCAUGUCUGUAAUGAAAAGAAAAAAGUCAACAUGGGUUCCAAUCAAUAAUAGAAUGAAAAGCAAAGAUAGCAUUUAAUAAUCGACUUUCUAUCAAUAAUAGAAUAUACUAUAUUUAGUAAUUGAUGUCCAAUCAAUAAUAGAAUCUAUUAUAUUAUAUGGUUUAUCUGAUUGGGUUAUCAGCAAUUUUAAUUUCAUUCAAUUUGUGUAACACCACCAUUAUAAUUUGUUGGCAAGGAAAAUUGUUCGUUUAGAAACCUCAAGCUGGUGCGAAAAUAGAGAAGACCCAGCUAGCAAAUAAACGUUUAAAGAUCGGAAUGACUCACUGGUUUCAUGAGAGUAUCAAUAAUAUGUACUUUAGUCCCAACAAAGGAUGGGGAUAUAAUACCAGAACGAACCUUCGCUCUCAAGAAAUGCACAUUGACAUCUGCGUGCUUAGUCUUCUUAUAAAAGACAGAAUCUGAAGCUAAGUAAAUGGCAGAUUUAUUAUCAUAGUGAAAAGCAAAGGAUCCAAUCCAUGUAAAACCCAAUGCUAAAACACGAACCGUAGUGACCGUUAAUAUGAUAAGAUUAAUUGUUUCUUCCUCUUCCAUGUGAUAAUACGAUUUCCACGAAAAGCAUAGAAGCCAGUAGUAGAAUGACCGUCAAUGGAGCGACCAUAACUGGAGUCAGUGUAACACUCUUGGGGACCCUGCGGUCCUGAUAGAUAAAACAAACCUAACCCAGAGAACAAUUUUAGGUACAUGAGAAUGUUAUCAACCACAUCCAUGUGAGACUGACAAGGUGCAUGCAUAAACCGACUGACUCUACUCACGACAAAGACUAUGUUUGGUCUGUUAUAUUAAACAAGUAGAUAAAGCGUCCAACAAUACGUUGGUGGAUUGAUGGAUCUGGUAAUGGCGCUCCUGUAUUGGCAACUAACCUGUUGUCGGGAACUAGAGGAGUAGAAGCUGACCGACAACCCAACAUCUUAGUGUCAUUCAAGAGAUCUAGAACACACUUCCGCUGAGAUAAAAAAAAAAAACCCUUACAGGACCUCAUUAGCCAAGAAACACCGUAGCGGAUUUAGGUUUUUAACUUAAAUGAUUUAAUUUCCCUAAGGAUUCCUUUAAGUUCUAUAAUCUCUAAAAUGUCAUCUCUUGUGAGAAUAAUGUCAUCCACAUACACAAGAAAUAUAUAUGACUACCUGAAUUAUUCCUGACAAAUAUCGUAUGAUCAGAAUGACACUUGAUAAAUCCAUGCUAAAGGACAACCACAAAAAAUCAACAAAACAGGGCAUGUGGUGACUAUUUAAGCCCAUAUAAAGAUAUGCGAAGGUGACAACCCUUCCCAAAUACUCCCCAACAGAACAUAAACUUGGAGGAGGAUCCAUAUAAAUAACCUCAACCUCAUCAAGAUUUCCAUUAAGGAAAACAAUCUUCAUAGCUAACUAAUGAAGGGGUCAAGGAAAUAAUGAAUCGAACGGAGUUCAACUUUGCUACAAGGGCAAAUGUAAUGCCAUAGUCAAGAAAAAAAACCUUUGGCAACAAGGCGUUCUUUAUAUCGUUCAACUGUACCAUCGGCUAAGAGCUUAACAUUAAAGACCCAUUUACACCCAACGGUACGUGUGGUCCUUCGAAGGUAAAGGAACCAAAUCCCAAAUCUAAUUAUGCUCAAGUGCAACCAACUCAACGUACAUAUAUAGUUUUUAUCCAAUGAAUAGGAUCCUCCAUAACCUCACCUACAAUUCUAGGAAUCCGGAUCGAUGAAGUAGAAGUACCAUAUGUCUUAUUACUAGCAGACAAGCUCUGAUAAAAAACACACUGGGCGAGGAUGGUUAGUAGAAAAACCAAACCUAUCUAGAGAAUUUCUGACCUUCGGAGGAUAACGGGGUUCCAGAUCACAGGAGUUCUUGGGGGACAUAACAUCGAUCAAUAUUAUCAGGGAACAACAGGGAAAAUCAAAAGAAAUAACAUAAGUAACAUUGAAAGCGGUAUCACUAUUAGGAUGUGGAAUACAACCUGAAGCGAGUGGCAAGGUGUGAGGAUGAGCGUGUAAGCGACGAGUAUAAACCAGCUAGAAGGGUUUGGAAAAUAGGGACCACCGGAGGAGUAUGAAAAACUGGUAUAGAGGGAACAGAGAAAUACCCCUCCUCUGAUGGUAAAAAGUUUUCCUGCAAAGACAUAGAAUCUUCAAAAAAAAAAAAAAAAAAAAAAAACAAAACAUGCUCGACAAAAGUAAAGUACAAGGUAUGAUAACACACAAUGACUAUAGGGAUUAUAUCAUCACUUUCCCUUAGAAAGGGGAGAGUACCCCCCCAAAAAAACAUACACCAGAUGGACUCUUAUCAUUAACAUAACAAACACACCCAACAUCAUGGGAAUAAUUGAAAAAAUAGCACGACUAGGGUAGACAAGCUGGUGAGGGGUUUGACAAUGGAGAAUCUUACUAGUAGUGCGAUUUAAAAUAUACGCAAUGGUAAGAUCAAUAAAAUGCCAAUAUGACUGAGGGACAUGAAUUCCCCUCAACAUGCAAAAACGACACCCAUGAGACUCAUAUUUUUUCUCUCAACAACAUUGUUCUAUUAAGGUCUGUAAGGACAAGUGAGUUACUGAAGGAUACCCUACUGGUUCAGACGUCUGACGAAUUCAUUAGACACAUACUCCUUAGCAUUGUCUGAGCAAAGAGCUUUAACCACUACAUUAAAUUGAGUUUGGAUGAGUUGGAGAACCUAGGUAAACAAGGGAAAAACAUCUGACUUUUGGCAAAGUAAAUAGACUGCCGGGCAAACACUUUCUUGAGAAGCUUGUGUUGACCCCCGUUAACGGGCUCAAGCCCAAGUCAAUUACAAGUCAAAGCCAAAUACCUUAAUCAAUAAGAGCCUAAGCCUAAUUAAAUUAGUAAUAUGGCUUAGGCCCUUUUUACAUUCAAUAUCAAUCAUGGGCUCUAUCUAUUUAAGUUUAUUAUAUGCAAUAAGGGUAAGAUGGUAAUUCUAUAUUUUUAUAGAGAUUUUCUUAACCUAAUCCAACUACAACUCUAAUAUCUCUACAACUCCUAAUCCAAUUACAAUUUCAAUAUCUCUAUAACUCGUGUCUUCAAGAUAAUAGGACAUGAGGUACAUUAUCUUGUCAAUAUAUGGUCUAAAUACAUGAGACUAGAACAUUACAAUAUAUUAGGGAUCAUUGGAUCACAUCCUAAUCCUAAUCAAACUCUACAAUUGAAUUACGUUAUAAAAGGCUUGAUUUCAUCUCUCGUAUGGAUAUGUAGCUUAGGCAACUAAGAAGCGACUUAGUGCAACCAUUAUUAAUCAUCAAAACCCUAUUCCUUCAUCUUCUCCAAUACCUAGAUCAUAACAUUAGGGGUUUCCUCUUGAUUAAACUCACUUCCAUUUUCUCUUUAAAACUUUCAAUCUUCGCCCUUAUUUUAUAUUACUAGAUCCUCGAACUACGUACUCUGACUCUAAUAUCACCCUCUAAACAUUUAGCUUAAACAUAUGAUGACACAGCUAGGGAUCUUUGAGAUUCCUCUUUAAGAUUGUAGAGUAUUUGAAGGAAAAAGUAAGUGAGAAAUGGCAGUCUUGCAAGACGACUCUACAAAGAACAAAACCAAACACUUCACCAAAACUUCCAAUUAUAAUCGCAUCCAAUACCACCCAAUUGCUGCGACUCCACUGAGUACGCCUUCUUGCUAGACACCCAAAAGCAAUUACAAGAAGAUCCAACUUGCAUACUCGAAGAACUUGAAGCUGUUAAUUUGGGCACCACCACAUAAGUUUGAAAUGUGUUAACUUGCAUACUUCUUUAGUUUUGAAAACGUAGAUUUUGAGUUUUCUCUCAGUACCUACUCUACAUAUCUAGGAAUUCCUAUCAAGUACGAAGCUUAUCAAAGUUCUAUUCUUAAACUCUAUUAUUUGGUGAGGGCAAAUCAGGAACAAAGAAUAAUGAAAGUUUAAAAACCGAUUCUAGCCAAAUGUUUGUGCGACAUGGAAGCAUCUUAUGUGGGGUGGAAAGCGUGGUGAGCAAAAAUAGGGGUGAGCAAAAAAUUUCUCUAAGAACAGAUGGCAACAACUUUGUUACUGCGGUCUCCCCUCUUUAAAGAGUAGUUUAGACCAGUGAACUACAUGUGCAAAAGUUUAGAAAUGGAAUUGGAUCGAAAUUACAUAACUAGUACAAAUUCCAUUCCAAUUAUUUUCACGAAAACAAAAAUCAGAAAUAAUAGGAAUUUGGAUAUUUUGUUCCAAAAUCCAGCAAAAAAGAUCACCCCUAAAUAUGAUAUGAGGGUUUUUUAUUUUUGUGACAAAGAGUAAUCCUUGUUUAAGCCUUGAAGGAGUUGAUUGAGGGAGGGUAAAAAAAAUCAUGUCCUAUACAAAUGAUCCAUAAUAAAGUAUAUAUGGACAAGACAACUACUAUCAACCAUACGAAGUAGAACGACUUUGUUAUUCAUGGUCUAUCUAGCCUACUUGUUUCUAUCAAGAUAUUGAGAGAAGUUGUUUUUGACGCAAAAGUUCCACAUGAUGUUGGGCCACUGAUCUUGUUGUUAUGUAGAUUUAAACAAUUCAAUGUUCAAUACCUUUAUUUAUUAAUUUCAAAUAUUUAGGGCGAAUCUGUCAAAACCCAAGGAAAGAUGGCCGAAUUUGCAGAUAACGGAGACUUUCUACUUUUCUUUUACGCUAGGAUGACAUGUACAUUAACUAAAAUAUCUUUCUGAUGUGAAAACAAAUUUCACCAAGAAUCUUUUUGUGCCGAAGAUCUAAACUCACAAUAAUCGGGAAUUUCCUCCUCCCAAAAAAACACGCAAAAAAUCAGGAAAAGACCCAUCGAAGACUUGAAGUGAUUUGAAGAUAAAUCAAGUUGAUUUAAUGAUUUAAUGAAUUGAACCAUGCGAGAGUUAUGCGCGACAAAGAGAGAUUUAAAGAGACGAGAAAAGAAUGAGUUUAGUAAAAGAUGUAUAAGUGCUGAAGAAUGUAUAUUAGGAAGGAAGAUUUGAGUAGCUUGUGUAAGCCCCAAACAAGUGUAAUUCAACACUAACCAACCAACAAACAAAAACAAUAUAGAAUAAUAGAGAUACGAGAUUUAAUGUGGUAAAACCCAAUCACUGGGAAACAUCCACGACCAUCCUCGUGACGAUAAAUAAUCCAUUAUAUCAAUAAAAGUAUUACACACACAGUUACAAACUUUGGUUAAAUAAAUCCUGGAUAUUAACACCUACAACUGCACUAUAGGUAGUGUUCUACUUGAUAUAACUGUAGUAAACACUUCGUAAAUUCACUCUGGAAGCAACAUCAAUUAUCUGUUAUUGUUGUUGAUGAUGACAUGGGAUGAUGAAGAAUAAUAGAAGAAAGAAGAUGAAUGAUUCUCACACAGAGAAACAAUCUCUCUAAUGGUGAGAGGCUAGAGAGAUGGUGAAUCCUUAAGGUUUUCUGUUGAAGAGAAGACCCUCAUAUAUUCCACAUUGGGCCUCAUAUCCACUAUUCUCGCUUGUGUUUGAAUGAACUUCGUUCCUUAGAGCGGCAACGGCUCCAUUUUGAUGUGUGGUAAAAGGAUCACCACAAUUAAAAGAUUUGAUUUUUAACUUGAAGUUCCUUCUUGUGCCUAUAUAAAUUGAAGAUCAAAGUAGAGAAGUACAACAAGCAAGGGUCGUACCCACCUCAGAGGGGGAGAUCUUAGCUCAAACACAAUUGACAAUAAUAAUUAAUAAACACCAAGGGAAUCAAUAAUAAUAUGGAUGAUUGAUUCUACAUCCUAUAAACAAUAAAUAAUAGUAAAUCCUAACUUAAGAAUAUUGAAGAUAUGAAAAGAUGAUAUAUGAUGACAUAGGGGGAAUAAUUGGUAUCCACAAACUAGAUCAUGCAAUCAUAUCAUAUUGUUCCUUCAUAUUCAAUCUAUAAUAAUAAAUUAGUAACCUCUCAGCUAAUCCAAUUAAUCAUUAAUGCCUAUAAUAAUCAAGUAGUCACCUCUCAGCUAUUCUACCUAAUUAAAACGGGAUUCUCUUAUGCAUGCUAUUGAAUAUGUCUUAUUAAUCAAACCGUCACCUCUCAGCUAUUCAAUCUAAUUAACUUAACAUAUUAUUGAAUAAAUAAGUAAUUCACAAAACAUCAUAAUGGAAUAAUGGAUUGAUAUUGAAUAUGAGUUAAAUACAAUGAAGAAGAAGAUCAACUCUUCUUCAAUGAAAGUUGAUCUUAAAGUGGAUGUUAAAAGAUAAGCUAAAAGAUAAAUAAACACUAGUUACAACUUCUCUUAAUACAAAAUAUAAUACUUCCAUGAAAAAACUUUCAAACUUGGUGAAAGUCGUGGCUGUUGUUGUUGGUCUCCUAGCGGGAUUAAGAAUUCUAAACUCACGAAAUUUUAAAAAACCAUAAAUCCUUCUUCUUCUAAAUCCUGAUCUCUUCUCUGUUAGAUCUCUCCUGCUUCCACAACGAUCAAGAUAUAUUCCUUUAAGAUAUACCAGAUGAUUUUUUAUUACCAAUACGAACAAGUCGAAGAACCAAUGAAGAAACAUAGCACGAGAGAGAGAAAAUACGAUGGAGGAAGAAGAAGAAACAAGAAGAACAACAUCAAUAGAAACAAAAGUAGCUAUUCGAUCUUCAACCUGAUUUCAAACCCAACACAUAACAGAUGAUCAACUUAACAACAACUUCAAGGUACCCCUAUUCGUUCCCAUUGUAUCAAUUUUUUCUUUUCUCUAUUACUCACAACAAAGUAAAAAAUUGAUGUUGAAAGCUACAAUUAAGAUUGCUAGGAUUGAUUUUGAUGGUUUUUUUUUAGUUGGAUUGUUGUUUUUUGUGCAAAUUAUGUCGAUUCUAUGGAGUUUUAGGAUUGGAUGGAUUGAAAAAACUGCAAUUGAGCUUUCGGUUCAAGUAGUUCUUUGGGGGAUGAUUGAAAAUUUUAAUUAUUGUUUCCUUAAACCAAGAUGAUUGAAUAACUUUUAUGCAGUUAUGCUAGCUUAACAACCGAUUGAUAUUAGAAACACAGAGCCGCAGACACGCAUAUAUUAAUAUAGUGAUACAUAGAUAAUGUUUUCUUAAGGUUGAAACUUGAGAGUCGAGAGCAUAAUUCUAAGAUCGUAACACAACUACAUCUUCCUAACUAAGCAUUAGGUACAUGGUGACUGUACUUAACUCUAUAAGCAAAGGUUAUUUAAUCCGUGUAAUAUAGUUUGGAUGUGCUCUAAUUCAAGCAAUAAUGUGAAAUCUUCUUCCAAAUUUUUACAAUCUUUUAAGCCAAAAAAACGCAUUAGAAAUCUUAAGCAAAGCUUAUUUUAAAAUCUUAAUUAUUGUACAAGGUGGGCAAUUCUACAAUCUCUUAAGCCAAAGCAAUGCAUUAGAAAUCUUCUUCCAUUCAUUGCGAUCACAGUAUUUCAACUUUACUGUAAGUAUGCAUUGGCUAUUCUUAGCAACAACUCUGGAAUUCAAUAGAGGUAUCGUCUGCAAUACAAAAGGAUUAUCGAAAAAAUUCACAACAAUAUUUUUGUAGAUCGAAAUCUCACUCAUAUUCCAUAAGGGAGAUUAAUAUUUACUAAUAUUUGUAGAUCGUUCCCACUAUUAACAGAAGACCAAAGGCUAAAACUCUUCGAUAGCCUAAAACGCUAAAACCUUAAUUAAGUGAAAGACUUCUCUUUGGAUCAAAUCAAACACAGAGGUAACUUCUCUUCUUCCACCUUCGUUUUCUACUACUUGGUAAUCCGAAUUUUGUUCUCUUUAUGUUGUUUACACAAUAAAGUUUAUUUUCCUAAUUGUUUUAUUGUUUGUUAAAUUAGGAUGUCCCAGCUUCUCUUGCCAACCAUCUUUCAGUAUUGAAAGGUAUGAUUUUUAAAUUGUUCAUUGACAUCCAUGAUACAGUGACAAACCAUCUUCCUCUAAAUACAUAUUCUCAUAUGUCAAUUGAUACUAACGUAAUUUCGUAGAAUAGAAGAUAUGAAAUUAUUCAGCCUAUGUGAGAUUAUAGAACAUGUAAAUUGAACUUACAGUGAUUUUCUAAUAUCGUACAGAUGCAUUAAUGGGUAUAUCACAUUGAAAUAAGCGAAGAAAUUUUAUAUAUAUUUUUCUGCACUAUUCUUAGUUUAUAUUUUCUUAGUACUUAAUUUUGCUUCUUCUUUAUGCAUAUUUGUCUUUCUUCGGUUGUUGCAUAUUAUAGACUCACUGUAGGUGUUUAAAGCGACAAAUCAACAAAGUUUGAUACCGUGAAUAAAAUCAAUUGGUCCUAUAAAGGUUUGCAUAUCUUCAUGUUUAUUGCUUUUAACUCAGUUAUUCAACAGUUUGAUCUGGAUGAUUGAUGUUAUUUGUAACCAUUUUUCUUAAGCUUUGUCUAGAUAAACAUUUCUCCUAUUGACUCUUCAGUGCUAGAGAUGAUGUUCUGGCAACUAGAUACUGGACACUAUUAAUUUUUCUUUUUUGAUAGUUACAAUUAUUUCACCUAAAUCCCCAUUAACCCAUGAAGCUUUUUUUUUUUUUUUGGUAAGGUAUAAAUUUUAUUAAAACACCAAUCAUUAAAGGUUACAACUCCUGAUCAGCAGGUGUUAGCCACCCCGUCAGAUCUCAUUAGACAGAACCUAACAUAAAAGGGACACUACAUUAGUAAUAAGAGACAUGCCCUGUGAUAUGUCCCUGCCCCUAUCCAUGCCCAUCAAUCAGAACAUGUUUUGCCAGUUUUGUAGCAGUUCAGGGAACUUGUGGUCCUUUCGAAACUGCAGAUUUUCCUGGCUCACUUCCAACCACUUUCAAAUUGUCAUCUUGGUUCGUUGAACUGCUCCUCAGACAGUAAAUUUUCACUGCUGGAAAUUUCAGCAUUGCAUGUGUCCCAGAUGAUCCAGAUGGCCGCAUACGGCAAGAUUGACCAUAUGCCCUUGCUGAAGCCAUCUCUACUGAGCUUUGGGCAGUUCCUAAACAAUUGUGUGAUAGUGUUCUAUGCCUGCAGCAAGUUCCAGACCUGAGCAUAGGUUCCCACCAGCACUUUCCAUAUUUCUGAGGUCUUAAGGCACUUGAGAAAGAGAUGGGUCAUGUCUUCCUCACUUUCCUUUCACAGUGUACACCUAUUUGGAAGGGUUAUACACUUAUACCUCGCCUUUGUAAGACAUCCACGGUUAGGAUUUCACCCCAUCAACCCAUGAAGCUAGGUGGGACUUGAUCCCAAGACCUUGGGCUUAACCUCUCAAGCCCAAAUUUGAAGGUAACUCUUCUUCCGGAUCACCAACCAUUUCCCACAGUAGCUAAUAACAACAUUUUGCAUGUCCUCUAUAGACUAUAUGGUAGUGGCAGAACGUUUUCUUCUUGCUCCUUUGGUUGGUUUUGUAGAUAAAGUAUUCUUCCUACAAUAACUAACAAUCAAUAAUGAGUGUUUAAUGCUCUAAGACCAUCUCCAAUGGUAAUAGUGAAAAAAAACUCAAAUACCUAUAAUAUUCCGUAGGACCCAGUGAAUAGUGUAUACAUAUGGUGGUGUUAUCUCCAAUGGUUUAUACCUAUAUUUUGAUGUAAAACUAUUAAAAGUAAUAAUUAAUAACAUAUACAAUGAUUAAUUAUUAUUAUUUUAUCUUAUAUGUAUUGUACAAUUCCAUUUGUGCCCUUCAACCAUUAAAAUAGGUCAUUUAGGUAUGCAUAUAUUUUUUUUCGGUUAAGUAUGUUGUAUAUAAUUCUACAUUCAAAUUCAAAAUUAUAUUAAUUAAACUUUUAAUUAAAAUUUCAUUUGAAAAUAAACAUUUCAUAAGAUAAUUGCAAUAAAAAACAUAACCAAAUACUCGCGUACAUAAUUAAUUACAUGUCCAUUUCAUUCCUCUCCUUGACCAUGCCAAUUCCACAAAUGUUGAACUAAUCUGUUUCUGAGUUCAAAGUGUUCACCUCUAUUCUCCGAACGUCGAUAAUUCUGAAGAAAGUUGGCAAAAGUUUGAUUUUCAUGAUCUCUUCUUAGAUACUGUAUCUACAGUUGACGGACUAUCAUAUACAGGAAGGAUCGGUGGUGGUUCAUUAAAAACAAAAUGAUUUAUAUAUGAAGCUCUUCUUCUUCCACAAUCAUGUUAUGCAUGAUAAUGCACGCUGCCAUGAUAUCAUGUAGUGUAUCUUUACCCCAAAAUCGUGCAACACCUCUUACGAUAGCGAAACGAGCCUGAAGUACCCCAAAUGCGCAUUCAACAUCUUUACGGUACGAUUCUUGUUUUUUUGUAAAAAAACGUUCUUUUGCAUCCUUCGGAGUUUUAAUUGCCCUAACCAAAGUUGACCACUUCGGAUAUAUUCCAUCAGCUAAAUAAUAACCAAUAUCAUAAGUUCUACCACAUACUAAGUAGUUUGCAGGUGGUGAUAUACCUCUAUGUAGGUCAUAAAAUAGGUUUGAUCGAUUAAGUACGUUCACAUCAUUAUUUGAACCUGGAAUGCCAAAGAAGGCAUGCCAGAUCCAAGUAUCGUAUGAUGCAACAGCCUCAAGUAUAAUUGUGCACUUUUUUGUUCGACUCCGAUACAUACCUGCCCAUUGUGUUGGACAAUUCUUCCACUGCCAAUGCAUGCAAUCUACACUCCCUAACAUUCCUGGCAUUACGCGAGCCUCUGCAACCUGUAGCAAUUGAUUAAUAUCAUGUUUGUUUGGAUCCCUUAAGUAUUCUGCACCAAAUACCUCAACAAUAUCUCGACAAAAUUUUUUAGUACAAGCCAAAACUGUUGACUCUCCCAUUCGAAAGUAUUGAUCUUGUGCAUUACCAGCACAACCGUAUCCUAAUAAUUGUAUAGAUGCUGCCAUUUUCUGAUAUGAGGAUGCUCCUACUUUGCGAGUAACAUCUACCUUUUUUGCCCAGAAAGUAUUGUGGUUCUUUAAGGAUCUUCUAAUGCGAAGGAAUAAAAGACGACUCAUUCUAAAGCGUCUACGAAAGUAUUCUUCUGGAAAUAUUGGAUUGAGCCCAAAAUAAUCACUUUUUAAUUGAAUGUUACCGUUGAGUCUUCCCCGAUUAAUGACGUUGUGUCCUGGUAAUGAUCCACCCCAUUGGACCGAAUUGUUCCUUUGUAUCAUUAGGUAUUGCCGCAUUUGUAUCUCGUCUUGGUCCAUAAUGAAAUUGUUUUGCACAAUUUGUCGAUUUCGCAUUUCAUCUUCAUAGUUAGCUUCCUCAGAAUCGAAAGAGUUUCCAUUCAAAGCUGUUGAAUGUGAAGAACUUGCAUAAUAUGGGUUUGGGUGAUAAUUCAUAGCAAUUAAAGGUUUGCAAUUGUAGGAUAUUUCACGUAUAUCAAACUUCUUUUAAUAAGUUUGUCAAAGAUAAGAUAACACCCAAAAAUCCAUAGUUGAUAAGAUUUCUCAAUUAUUUGGAUUGAAUGAUAGACAAAGUGACAUCACAAGUUUGGAUUUUUAGAUAGACAAAGUGACAUCACAAAUGUUUACAUCAUGUGAAAUCAUUUUUAUGGCAAUUUUCAUUUGUCUUGUUCAAUUCUUUUCACCCAAUACGAUAAAAAUGAGAAUCUUGAUAAUUAACUUUCAUUUGUCUUAUUCAUAUUUUUUUUCGCACAAUAAGAUAAAAAUGAAAAUCUUGAUAAGAUUUUUACAAAGAUAACAAAGAUGUGGAUGCGGUGGCAAAGUGACAUCACAAAUGCUUACAUCAUAUCAUCAUAUGGGUUACUUUUGUGAUAAUUUUCAUUUGUCUUGUUCAAUUUUUUUCAUCCAAUAUGAUAAAAAUGAGAAUCUUGAUAAUUAACUUCCAUUUGUCUUAUUCAGAUUUUUUUUCACAUAAUAAGAUAAAAAUGAGAAUCUUGAUAAGAUUUUUACAAAGAUAACAAAGCUAUUGAUGUGGUGGCAAAGUGACAUCACAAGUAGUUACACCAUCAUACCCACGUCUCUGCUCCAGAACAAAUUAAAUGCCUAUAAAAUCUAAAUUUCAAUACACCAAAACCAUCAUACCCACAAUUCCGACUAAAAAUAACCUAAAUAAUCAUGCCAAGAAACAACUCUCAACCACGAGCUUCUUCAGCGCGAGGAGCUAGUUUUUCCCAUGCUGAAGAUAUAAUUCUUGUGAAUUCAUACUUGGAACAUUCCCAAGAUGGUGAAAUAGGUGCAUUUCAAACAAAAGAUCUAAUGUGGUCCAAGAUAGAGUGCACUUAUAAUGGCCAAGCAGCUGACCAACAUAAUUACGCCCAACGAACAAUUGUUUCACUACGCGGUCGUUGGGUAAUCCUUAAUACAGCAUGUCUCAAGUUUGGAGGAUGUAUUAAACAAGUUUUGAGCUUUAAUGAAAGUGGUAGCUCUGAAAUGGACAUUGUAAGUAAAAUAUCUGUCAUUUUAAAUUGUUUGUUUUAUUGAUUAUUUGUUGCUAUUGAAAAAAAAAACUAAAUAUUGUUUCAUAUCAUUUUUUUUCCUUCUAACAGAUAGAAAAAGCAAAACAAUGUUAUGCUAAUUCACAUGAAAAGAACAAGUUAUUCACAUAUGAGCAUGCUAGGAAUAUCUUAAAAUACCAUGACAAAUGGUCUCUUAGCACCGAAGAAAGUUCUCCCAUGGGUAAUAACUCUCCUGGAAUUAAUCACUCUCCUGGGAUCACCCAAAUUGAAGAAGAAGGGAAUGAUAUUCGACAAACAUGAGAAGCUUAUUCAGGAAGGCCACAACAUGGACGAAAUGCAACAAAAAGUAAACGUAGAGUUGUUGACGAUAACGAUCCAAUGUGGGUUGAAUUGCGAGAAAACUCUCGAAUGAACAGAGAGUUCAUGGAGAAACAACAUAUGGACACACUGCAAAUUGCCGAAGCCAGGGAUACCCGCGCGAAAGAGAGGAAUGAGUUAGAAAGGCAACGAUUGGCUAUGUUGCAAGACGAUAAGGAUACUAUGAUCAUGAACACUGAUAUGAGCAAUUUCACUCCUGGGAAGAAAAUGUUUUAUUCUAAUUUACGGUUGGACAUCCUAACUAGGCAAUGCCAAAAGACUGCUGCAAGAAAUCUGUUUUCCGGUGGUGAAGGAAGCUCUAGUCAACAAGAUCAAUCUAACGAUGAUGUUUAUGACCAGUACAACAACAAUGAAGAAACUGGAUAUCGGUACAAUCAUGAUUGAUAAGCUUUAAUUUAAUUUUAUUGCAUGUAUUGUAUUUUUUUUUUGUAUUGUGGGUGUGAUGGUGUUUUUAUGUUAUUUGUAUUGUAUUUCUUAUUUUGUAUUGUAUUUCAUCUUUUGUAUUGUUGUUGUAUUUCCUUCUUAUAUUAAGUUAAUUUUAGCCCUUUUUAAUUAGUGCACAUUUUUCAUUAUUUAUUUUAUAAUUUUAAUUAUUGUUUUAUUUAAUUUUAAUUAUUAUUUAGUUUAGUUAAUUUAAUUUUAAUUUUAAUUAUUGGUUAAUUUAAUUUUAAUUGUUUUUUUUUUAAUUAGUGCACAUUUUAAUUUAAUUAGCCCAAUACGAAUAUCGGCCCUUUCUUUGGGCUUGGGCUUGAGUUAAUAAUGAUUCUGUGGAAAAACAAAUAAUUGAUGAGGCCAAUAUGGGAAAGUUAUUUUUUGAAUGUGGGGUUAGGUAGGUCCCAAAGUUUGAUUACACAUGAGAUAAAAAAUACUUAAAACUCAAAUAUUUACUUAUAUAUAAGUAAAUAUAUGAGUAUUUGAGUAUUUGAGUUUUGAGUUUUGAGUUUUGAGUAUGGGUUGGAGAUGAAUUUUGGUGAAUAGUACCAAAUUUAUAAGUUUUAGCUUUACCAUUGGAGAUGGUCUAAGGUUUGAUCCCCAUUUCUUCUUCUUCUUCUUCUUCUUCUGUUUCUUAAUAUCUUUUUUAUUCAUUACUUCAUCUAUUUACUAUACGUUGAUGUGUUGUUAAUUGUGGGCAAGGCACUCUUUAUUUGUAUGUUUAAAAACUUGGCAUUAUAAUUCACAUCAAGCCAAAUUAGUUAAUAGAUGAACUAAUCUGCUUAUGAAUUAAUGAAAAUAUUAAACACUAAUGAUGUAAGUUUUUCAUUCUAUUGUAUUGGUGUAUUUUCAACAAUAGGACCUGUUGCAUAACUCUUUAAUAAUAGGGAAUUUCUUACAGUAUCCACAUGUAUAUAGUAUGAAACAACAUACUAUUCAAAAUAUUGGACUGAGACAUCUAGAGUAUAACAGAUUGACAAUAAUUAUUAGAGUAGAAUUAUGACUAUGAUAAUAUAAUAAUAUCUUUUCUGCUUCUUAAAUCAUAUGCUGUAAUUCUUUCUUUGAACUCUAUGGACAACAAAAGGGUAUCUUUCAUCUUCUCUGCUCCCAGUUACAAUACUAUCCCAAACAUAGACAAGAAGGUGUGUUUGCUACUUCUACUCUGCUUUAUGGUUUUGUGUUUAGAUCAAAAUUAUUUUAUGUUGGUAGUAACAUGUUUACUAUUUUUUACUUAAUUCCACUCCAGGAUUUCGUCCUCGCUCAUCCCGGUGCGUCGAGCACCAUACCGCUCGCUAAUGUCAAUAUUGUCCCCCUUUAGUCACUGCGGAUAUCCAGCAGUAGAGGGUUUUGAAUCAAGGCCCACCCAUGUGGCUUACCCCAAAAGGCCUUGACAUUAGUUAGAGUAUGGUUAAGCUCUAUAUACUACCAAUACAACCACUUCCUUGGCAAUGUGGGACUAACACCAACUCAUGGGUGUUACAAUCUCACCACCUUAGAAAUAGAGCCGUCCUCGGCUCUGCAGUACACUCAGUACAGUCCCAAAAUCUCCGACGUUCCCUGCCAAGUGAGACAGGUACCUGGCGCUCCCUAGGCCUUUCCAGCGUACUUCCCACCUGCAACAGGCGACCCGUCGUCGGCUUUGAUACCAUCUGUAACGCCCCGGGAUUUCGUCCUCGCUCAUCCCGGUGCGUCGAGCACCAUACCGCUCGCUAAUGUCAAUAUUGUCCCCCUUUAGUCACUGCGGAUAUCCAACAGUAGAGGGUUUUGGAUCAAGGCCCACCCAUGUGGCUUACCUCAAAAGGCCUUGACAUUAGUUAGAGUAUGGUUAAGCUCUAUAUACUACCAAUACAACCACUUCCUUGGCAAUGUGGGACUAACACCAACUCAUGGGUGUUACACUCCCACUCUGAUAAUUGGCCUCCUUACUAUCUCUUAUUAGUUUUUUGUUAGGUGUGUGGUUAAUGUUAGGGAAAUCAGGAACCUGUCUCAUCAAGAAAAGGGAAAAAAGUAAUGUUUGGAAGAGAUGAAACACAAGAGAAAAAAAAAAAUAGGUGCCAAUCUCAACUAUUUACUUUAUUAGCAUGGGACAAUGAUACCUAUACCUUUAAGAAAAUCUCCAAAGACAAGUAGCCUGAGAAGUGUAUAAAACAAGCAAUCAGUCACUAAGAGAGUCUUUUUGAUUGUCACAAGUAAUUUUCUGUAUUAUUUAUUUCUCAAGAAAACAUUUGAUUCUCUAUGUAUCUCACAUUUUAGUCUUAGAUCCAUACUCAUACAAUCAUAUUCUUUGUGUAUAAGUCCUUAAUCGUGUACUUUUGGGUUUAUAAUACGUUGUUCCAAAUUUAUGUAUGUCCUCUCUUUUGGUCUUCAUCAAAAGUUUUGGUGGGUGGGGUCAUAUUUUUUUUUUGGGUAAACGGUUAGGGUCAUAUCAGUAGCUUAGAUUUAAGUUAUUGUUUCCUUUGGUUCCUCACAAUACUUAGAUGGCUCACAGGUAGACAAUGUUGUACCUUUUGUUCUUAUAGCCAAUUUUUUAAACUGAAUCAACAAUGUUUCAUGCUGCACUUUUUCUAAUACCUAGAUAUUUAAGUUGUUUUUAUUAUGUCUUUACACCUUUAGAUUCAAUUUUGAAAAGUCUAAUGUCGAAAUCACUUAUACCAUGAACUACAAAGCAUGCACUAAGAUUCUUGGAUACAGAAUGAUGUGCACAUGUAUGCAAUUAGAAUCUAGGUGCACCCCUUCUUUAUUUUCAUUGCAAAAGCGCAGCAGUCUGCCAAGAUUAUGUAAAAUUGUUGCCAUAAGAAUGGACAAGGAAACUCCAGAGCAUUCCCUUUCGUUGUAGGUAGUAAUUGGUCUUGAAACAAGUCUGUUGUAAAAGAAAGUUGUAUAAAUUUAUGUUGCGAAGAAAACAAUCAACUACAUAGCAACGUCGUUCUGAAUAAGUAUCCUCUUUUUUCUACGACAGUCCUCCUUGCCACUUAUGAGUUGUUCGGUGUGAAAGAGUUCACGACUAUUCCAAUUCUUAGUUCAUCAAAGACAAUGGGCUCAACAUCAACAAGGAUAGGACUCAUACUUCCAGCACCAGUUUCACUAAAAAAAUGUGUUGAGUAACAACCACAUCAAGGAAUAGCUCAUUCUUUUUCCGUGUUAAUUAUGUUUUGUUCUGUGAUAAGUCAUUCAUGCAUCCUACUUAUAAUCAGUUUUGUUCAGCUGCAGUAUAGAUUCAUCAAUAUAAGACAAACAAACUUUAUGAGAUAUGGUUUUAAACUCCUAUUUAUUGAGGUUUCUACUACAUUAAAUAUAUAUUCAAUCUUAGAUCCAUUGCAUCUACUUGCUACUAUCACAUCAUAUUGUUGUAGAUAAAUUAGUGUAAACCUUAAAUUGUAGCUUUUCAUUGUUGUUAUAACUAUGAUUAAUUAGAGAAGUAUAAUUAAUUUGAGAAGGCAAUACCGUACUUUGCAUCUUCUGCAGAUCUCAUCUCAGACCAUAUACUGUAUACAUCUACUUUGCAUUUUUUGUAGUUGUCAAAAUUCUUCCCAUAUAGUUCCACACAAAUCCUGGUGCGUAGCACGGGUUCAACAACUAGUCCAUAGAUAUAAUACAAUAAUAUAAGCUAAGUGCUAGACAAACAAGGUGUUAUUCGGGGGAUAAAUAUACACUUUUGAGGUCCGAUCAAAUACCCCCAAACAACACUUUGCUUGUCCUCAAACAAAGAUGAGAAGAAAGAAUAAGAAACUCAAAAGAGAAGUAUAACUAAGGUGAUUGCAUUAACCAUAUGCAUCAAGGUUUUUAACCACAAUGGUUUCCUAGGUGGAGGAGUUAUAGUCUCCUGAGGGUUUUCCAGAUAAGAUACCCACAAACUUACUACAAUGAUUAAUUCAAGAAUUGAAUUUUCUACCAUGUACCUCAGAAAUGGUCAUAUCAAGGAUAAAGAUAAGUAUUGUAAAACCGUUCAUAUGAGAUAAUAUAUUACCAAUGCAUGAAUAAAAUAUGAAAUAUAAACUAAGCAUAACGGUCUCAAAUGCAUUGAAUACAGGCAUGUCCCAUACUACCACGGGUCUUAAGUCACCUUUGGAAAUGUCGUUUUGACUUAUGCCUCACAGACAUAUAUACACUCAGAAAUAAAGUCACUCAGAGAUGGUGUUUAUCAUUUUACCUCUAUGUGAGGAAAGAAGAUGGACAAUCAUCUCACAUAUACCAAUAAGAACGGACUGGUGUAAUGGAAUGAACUUAGUCUCAAAGAAUGGAAAAAUUAGCCUUGCUUGAGAUGUCGGAUUUUUCACCUCAGCACCUUCUCACUUACUUGCCACAUCCUACCAUAUCAGCUUAAAUCUACAAAAAACUAUAAUGGGUUGUAACUUGGCUUAGGACUGGGCUAGAAAUGGCAAAGGCUUUUGUGAAACAUUUUAGGAAAUUCGGGCCUUCAAUACUUGUGAUUUGUAAUAAUAGCACAUGGAGAAAUUUUUGGAAUUUUUCUUUUGGAAGAAGUAUUUCUCAUCUUGUUUUGGGAAAAUUUCAAUGAAGCGAUUUGGGAAUCUUCCUUUCUUUUUGGAUUUGGAAUGGUUUGGAAGAUUCUGGCUUUUUCUGGAAUUUCUUCAAACUUUUUGAUUUUCAAUAUUUGGUUCGUCUCACUAGUUUGAAGAUUUCUUUGUAUUUCUCCUUUCUUCUUGUAACCACAUAAACAACCAUCCUCAUGUUCCAAAAACAUGGGUAAAAGGACCUAAAACAUUCUAAGGGUAUUUACUCCUACAAUGGAGUUGGGUAAGGAUAAUGGGCUCAAGAAAAAGGCUAAGUAACAAGAAAAGGCUCAGAAUGGUUAAUCUAAGGGAUACAGUAACAUCAGGGUAAGCUAACGUAAGCAAGGUUUAUCUAAAUGUCUUUGUAUCAUUUCUAAGUACUGAUAUGGUGAUCAUAUGUUGAAUAAGCUACAAGACCCAAGUUUAUAUUACACCCACUUGAUGUCAUCUCAAGGCUAACUAUAAAAAUGAAUAUGAGACUAAAAACAAACAAAACUGAGAGGUUGAGUCUUUUGACUCCAGAUGUACAUAAUAACUCUCCAAGAAAAGGACGGGGGCUCAAAAGCUUACUGGGUUAAGUCUCUACACCUAUUCCUCAAGUUUUUCAAGGUGUAGUUGUAUUUGCACAUUUAAUCAAUAAUAAAUGCAGAUGAAUGUCAUGUUUAUUCUCAUGCAAAUGUAGUAUAAGACUCAACUACUUGGUGAAGCAAUAAAUGUCCUUAAACUUGAAAAGGAAAGAAUUCAACCAUUAUGUUCAUCAUUGAUGGUGUACUUAUCAUAUUUUUGAAAAAAUAUUUAUAAGAAAGAGUUUUGUUGAUUUUUCUCAAAUUUUUUGAAUUUUUACACAAGUAUGGAUAAAGAAGUUUGAAAAUCCUUUGCUAAAAUGAUUGAAAUACUUUCCCACCCCCAAACAAAGAGAUUGCCUUAUCCUCAAGGCUCAUACUAAGCAUAGGAAAGACAGAGAGAAAGAUAUUAAAAUGAGUCUGCUAAAAAUUCAAACCGCUUUAUAGAUUCUUGUCAAACAAAAUUAUCUCCAUAUAGAGAUUAAAAGGGAUUCCAUACUAUGACACAACUGAAAUAAAAUAUACUGAAAUAAAGGACUGGCUUAACAGAAAGGGAAAUCCUAACUUAAAAUAAUGCAUUUUGUAACCGCAAUAAUUAUCAACCGGCAAAUAGAGAGUGGGUGGGCCGGCCGCCCCCACCCCCAAACAGAAUUGAGCACAGAUGGUAGAACAUGCGGUUUAACAGCCAAAAUGCAACUAAACUUGACAACAAAAAGAAGCAAUAAAGCACGAUCAGGGUUUAGAAGAUACACAAGGCUGUCUCCCAAUAGCGCUAAGUUUAACUUCUUUAGCCAGAUAGGAGGACAAACAUUAAAUUCACUUCCUAGAUAAACGCUAGUCAAAACAAAUAUACAGGAGAGAUAAAACACUAGAGUGGAAUGCACGAGAUCUUGAUGUCUAAGAUACAACAAAGAGUCAGAUACUCGAGACUUAAUAGAAGAUGGGAAAUAACUUCCCCACCCCCAAACAGAGCGAGAAAGAUGUUUGUUUGGUGGUGACACUCAAGAGACAAGCGUGCACUGGAUCAAUUAUACUCAGCCAGUAAGAGUUCAUGGACUAAUGGUCCCGGCACUUUCAACCACACCUCUCAACAGACAAAGAGAGGGUCCAGAUACCAGCAGCUCAAAGGUCAAUCUACAUAGGUAGGAUCCUCUAAGAGAGUUUCAGGAGGCCUUAACUCAUGAAAAUGCUUAAGACAUUGACCAUUGACGUGAAAUUCAGAACCGUCUACAAGAUUAACAAAUGUAAUAACAUUAUAAGGAUUUACUGCAGACACAACAAAGGGGCCUGACCAACAAGACAUAAGUUUGACAAAAAAUAAAUGCAAACGAGGAUUAUAAAGCAAAACUUUAUCUCCAAUUUGAAAAUAAAGCUGAUUUUUCUGUUCGAUCGUAAGAGAUGAAGAGAUGAUAACAGGAUGACUAUCGUUUGACGCUAAUUGGGCACAUUUCAGCUCGGGAGGAAGAGGAUCAGGAGAUAAAGGGAUGGUCUCGACUUGGAACUCAAAAUCAAUGCAACAAACCGAAUCAAGGGCCUCAAGGUCUUUGGGGUUAAACAUAGGCACGGAAUCAAGAAGAGUAUUGGUUUGGGCAAUACAUUGGUCGAUGUUGAAGUUAACAUUAUGCAUGGUAGGGCAAUUAACAAUCGGAUCUUUAGGGUAACAACUAGGUACUAUCUCAUAAGGUAGAGAAUCGAGAAGGCACAUAUCAUUAGAUAAAGAAAGAUCAGGGGGUUGUUGGCCAAGAUUAAAGAUAUUAACUUUAACGGUCAUAAAUCCAAAAGUGAGAACUAUAGAGCCAUUUCGACAGUUUAUGAGAGCAUUAGAGGUUGCUAGAAAUGGACGACGAAAGGAUGAUAGGAACCGUGUCAUCGGCAGUAGGCUCAGUAUCCAACACCACAAAAUCAACAUGAUAGUAAAAGUCGGACACCUUGACUAAUAGAUUCUCAACUAUUCCUCUAGGUAUUUUUAAUGAUUUGUCGGCCAGUUGUAAAGACAUGUUCGUGGGUUUCAUGUAUUUUAGACCCAGGCUGAGGUACAAGGAAUAAGGCAAGAGAUUAACACUCGCUCUUAAGUCUACCAAAGCUCUACCCAUGAACGUAUCACCAAGCUUGCAGAGUAUGGUCGGUUUUCCAGGGUCCUUAUAUUUUACCACACCGUUAAGUUAGACAAGUGCAGCGAAUUCUUCAGCCACAAACGCGUUAUUAGACACAUUUGUGUUUCUUUUGGCGGUGCACAAGUCCUUCAAAACCUUAGCAUAGGAAGGUAUCUUCUUAGUAGCUUUGAGGAAAGGUAUGUUAAUAUUUAUAUGUUUAAGCACAUCAAGUACCUCCUCAGUUUGUACUUCCUGUAGAGACCUUGUGAGUCUCUGGGGGUAAGGUACAGGCAGGUUGUAAGUUUGUGGAGGAUCCACAAUCUCACGGGCAGUCUUCUUCGACUUAGAGGUGGUCACCUCGUUAGCCGGAGGUUUGGGUGGGGCAACAGGUGCAGAGGUAACCAGGGUCUCAAUGUGAGGACUCAGUGUAUCACUAAUUUGAUUAUCAACUUGUUUACGUGACCUAAGGGUGGAGAGCGAGUUAAACCCUAAAUCUACUAAAGGCACCCCACGGUCAACUCUGGUCAACCCUGUUAAAAUGACUUUUCGACCAAUUUUGAAUUAGGGUUGACUUUUUGGUCAACUGUUGACUUCUGAUGACUUUGGGUCAAUUCUGUUGACUUGUGGACCGGACUUCCUAUUUUGGGUCUUGAUCUUAUAAAGGCUCUACAGGAAGAACCAGAAGUCCGAUUUGGGUCCAUGAGCUAUCAAACUGAAGGUCUUGGCCCAAGCUACAAUUCCAGCCCAAGACAAUUAGGUUUUACUCAUUGCUUAAUCCUGUAGGAGACUAACAGCAGCAGCCACGAAUUUCACCAAGUUUGGAAGUCUUUGCAUGCAAGUAUUCCAUUAUGUAAUGUCUAUAUAUGAGAAGUUGUAACUAGGGUUUACUAUCUUUUAGCCUUUUAGCCUCCACUUUAAGAUCAACUUUCAUUGAAGAAGAGUUGAUCUUCUUCUUCAUUUUAUUCAAUAUUCAAUAUCAAUCCAUUAAAUUCCAUUAUGAUGUUUUAUGAUUUAUUUAUUUAUUCCUUUGAUAUGAGUAGCUAAAUCUUCAUGGGGGGAUGGUGGAAGCUUUCUACGUGAUGUAAAAGUAUUAUGUUUGUUUCUCUUGUUCAUUGUGAUUUAAAUGUCUUCAUGCUUAUUUACUUCUAUCUGCAGUAUGAGGUAAGUAUGAUUAUUUGUAUGCUAUUGUUAUCCAUGGAAUUAAAAUAUUAUUGUUAGGGUUUAGGGAGACCUAGCUUUUAAUGGUACUAUUUAUAUUUAUUGUAGAUGUGUAGUGAAAUAACUGAGAGAUGAUUAUUACAUGUUUAUAAUAUUUAUCUUUUAUUGGAACUCUUUUAUGAUUAAAUCAAAUAGCUGAGAGGUGAUGAUUUAGUUAUGAAUAAUAUGUUGAGUUAAUUAGAUUCAAUAGCUGAGAGGUGAGGGUUUAAUUAAUGAAACAUAUUCAAUAGUAUGCAUAAGAAAAUCCCGUUUUAAUUAGGUGGAAUAGCUAAGAAGUAACUACUUGGUUAUUAUAGGUAUUAAUAACUAGUUGGAAUAACUCAGAGGUGACUUAUUAGUUAUUAUAGAUUGAACAAGAAGAACAACAUGAUAUGAUUGCAUGAUUUAGUUUGUGAAAGCCAAUUAUUCCCUCUAUAUCAUCAUAUAUCUUCUUUUCCAUAUCUUCCAUAUUCUUAAGUUAGGAUUUAUUAUUUUUUAUUGUAUGUACGAAGUAGAAUCAAUCAUCCAAUUUAUUGCUGAUUCCUUUGGUGUUUCUUAAUUAUUAUUCUUAAUUGGGUUUGAGUUAAGAUCUCCCCCUUUGAGGUGGGUAAGACCCUUGCUUGUUACUUGUCUACUUUGAUCUUCAAUUUAUACAGGCACAAGAAGUAACUUCAACAUAAAAAUCUAAUCUUUUGAUAGAAGGUGAGACAAAAUUGCCUAUAUCAGGGCUCGGGAUGGACUGUCCCGAAAAUUUGCCAUUUUCAUCAAGUUUUUGUUCAAUCCUUUGGAUGGCUUGGGUAUUUGAUUCAAUAGACGCUUGCGUCUGUUGAAUGAAACAUGCAAACACAUCCUCAAGGGAGGUCUUAAGAAGGGCAGAUUGAUUGGUAGACACCUGGUCCCUGGAACUACUCAUGAAAUGAGCAUUGUUCGAAUAAGGGAGGACAGUUACCCUGUUCUGAUUUUCAUUAUUACCAACAUACGUCGCAUUGCUACUUUGCCCAUUAAAACAAGGUGGAGCCGCAUAAUGAUUAUUUGAGUAAGACAGAUUAGAGCGGUCCAUGUAUGGGUAUGUGGCAUUGCCCUUAGUAAAGUUGGUUUGCCUGGUGUAGCUGAAUACACGGGCUUCCUCAGUUUCUAAUGAAUUAUAAAGGAGAGGGCAAAACUUGGCAGUAUGGGUCUGUUCAUGACAAACAUCACAUUUGAGAGUGGAGGCACUCAUAACAUGUGAUGUGGGCUUUAAGGACACCUCAAGUGCUUCCACCUUUUUUUACUAAACCAUGGAGUAAAGUUUUAAGCUCGAGGUCGGGUUUGACCUCAUAUAUGCUUCUAGGUUUAUCAUAUGAGUCCAGGGUAGUGUUUCUCAGGGUUGGUCCAGGUAAGUCCCAAUUUUGGCUAUUAUUAGCUGAUUUUUCAAAGAAUGCAAUAGCCUUGGCGGUGGACAUAUCAAGAAAUUCUCCACUGCUCAUGCUUUUAACCAUGUUUCUAGUUGUGCAAUUAAGGCCUCUAUAUAUGAUCCUAACUUUUUCGGUGUCAUUAACUCUGUGGUGUGGACACUGAAGAAAUAGGUCUUGAUACCUCUCCCAUGCAUCAAAGAAUUCCUCACCCUCUUUCUGCCAGAAAUUCCUUAUGGCAUCAACUAUGUCAUUAGUUCUAGUAAUAGGAAAGAAUUUGGUCAAAAACUUUUUACUUAGUUGAGCACAAGUGGUAAUAGAAUUGGAAGGAAGGCCCUGUAGCCAAUGAGAUGCUCUAUCCUCAAAAGAGAAAAGGGGAACAAUCUCAAGCUAACUUCCUCCUCAGAUAAAUCCUUCUCCCUAAAAGUAUGGAGAACAGUCAGAAACUUAUUGAGGUGUUGAUAUGGAUCUUCCUGUGGAAGUCCAUGGAACUUAGGCAACAUGCCCAAAAUCUGUGGGAGAAUGCCAUAGCUAUCUGCAUGUGUCUCUGGUAAGACAAUGCAAGUAGGUGGCCCAGUGGCCAAAGGUGAAAAGUAAUCUCGAAGGGUAGCUUCUUGAGCCAUAAGUGCAGGAUGUACUUCAGGAAGUGAAGUUGAGUCGUUGAACUCUUCUUCGGAAGGUAUGGAGGUUGAGUUGUGAAACUCUUCCUCAGGGGGAGUAUAAAGGUCUGUGAUUGUGCUCUUUGUGUAGAUUAUAGGUUUGGACAAGAUUUUACCUGAUCUAAGAUGCAUGCAACAUGCGCAUUACAUAUGCCACAGAAGUCCUAACCAUUCAAAAGCAUCUAACAAGGGGCUUAAAAACUGACUCAAUUUUGUGUUCACCCAAGUCAAUGAGUUCUUUCCAAGCUUCGUGAGUGAAUUUUUCCUAUAUUUCGAGAGUCAAGCAGCGAAUAACCAAUGUGGGAGGUUAACCGUGCCUAAACACGUUCCUUAAUUAAAUAACCACACUGAUUCUACAGAUGAAUCCUUAGGGGUUCCAGAUCCAAUUCCUAACUUGUGCUCCAAUAAAAAACAAAUCAAACAGUACUAGUUGAAUAUCUGAUUCUACAGAUGUGGGAGGUUAACCGUGCCUAAAUACGUUCCUUAAUUAAAUAACCACACUGAUUCUACAGAUGAAUCCUUAGGGGUUCCAGACCCAAUUCCUAACUUGUGCUCCAAUAAAAAAAAAAUGAAGCAGUACUCGUUGAAUAUCUGCUCAAGGUCUCAAAUGAACAUCGUGAUAGCUUGGUUUUAGUUGAUUCAAUUUUAAGGCUUAGGAUAUUGCAAUCAAUCGUAAUUAGGUUUCACUUAUGGGCCAGGUCCGCCUUGCAGUCCCGGUUUAACAAGUAAAAAAAGAAAUUAAAAUCAAGCAACAAUCAAGGUCAUGUUAAUCAAUACAGAAACUCCUCUUGCAAGGGUUUCAAGGAGAGUUAGGAGAAUGCCUACCUCCCACUUUGUGCUAAAAAGUAAAAAUUGCCAAACAAGCGCACAAAAGUUAGGAGAAGACAAGUAGAAAUCGACUAAGGGGAAAUCGCUCCUUUGGUUUCAAUCGUCCUUAGGAGUCGUUUGGUAGUAGACUCAAGGCUAGCUCCACAACCUCGCUCUACUAUCCUCCUCGAACACACAAUAAAAUAAAUCCUAACAACACCUACUUUAAAAAUAUUAUAACCGCGACCUCUUCGUGGAUCGAAUAAUUAAAUAACUUACAAGUCCUUAAAAAUGCUGAAAAAAUAGGCUACUUAGUUCACCUCACGAUCUCUCAGUUCCUUAAAUAGCUAAAUUGGAGUUCUAGAACGUCCUGGAAAAAUCACGCAAAACGAGCAAAUUCCCUGCCUGGAACUGUCGAAUCAGUAAUUUUCUGGAAAAUCCCGAUCUUUGAUCGAAUAAUUAGGAGUGUAGAUCACCCCAAACUCUCUCAACAGUAGAAAAUUCAGCUCAAAAGGAGUCCGGAUCACCCUGGAAAAAUCACGCAAAAACGAGAAAAUUCCCUGCCUAGAACUCGACUCGAGAUUGCUACAAGCCAAACUGAACUCUACUCGAGGUCGGGCCUAAUUCGAACCAGUAACCUUCAAGAAAUUUUCCUGAAUGCGCAUUUUUCUUAAAACCUUGAUAUUGACUCCGUUUUUCAAGCUUUUAACAGUCUGUCUUCGCUGCAAGAUCAAUAAGAGGACUAAGUAACAAGACACUUAAAAAUACUAAUUAAAAGAAAUAACAAUUGAAGGAUGGGAGGGAUACAAGUGGGAUGAUGUCCCGAAACAACUAGUCUCGCUUGUGUUUGAAUGAACUUCGUUCCUUAGAGCGGCAACGGCUCCAUUUUGAUGUGUGCUAAAAGGAUCACCACAAUCAAAAGAUUUGAUUUUUAACUUGAAGUUCCUUCUUGUGCCUCUAUAAAUUGAAAAUCAAAGUAGACAAGUAACAAGCAAGGGUCGUACCCACCUUAGAGGGGGAGAUCUUAGCUCAAACACAAUUGAAAAUAAUAAUUAAGAAACACCAAGGGAAUCAAUAAUAAGAUGGAUGACUGAUUCUACUUCCUACAAGCAAUAAAAAAUAGUAAAUCUUAACUUAAGAAUAUGGAAGAUAUGAAAAGAAGAUAUAUGAUGACAUCGGGGGAAUAAUUGGUAUCCACAAACUAGAUCAUGCAAUCAUAUCAUAUUGUUCCUUCAUGUUCAAUCUAUAAUAAUUAAUUAGUCACCUCUCAGCUAUUCCAAUUAAUCAUUAAUGCCUAUAAUAAUCAAGUAGUCACCUCUCAGCUAUUCCACCUAAUUACAACAGGAUUCUCUUUUGCAUGCUAUUGAAUAUGUCUUAUUAAUUAAACUGUCACCUCUCAGCUAUUCAAUCUAAUUAAUUUAAUAUAUUAUUCAUAACUAAAUCAUCACCUCUCAGUUAUUUGAUUUAAUUUGAAAAGGGUUCCAAUAAAAGAUUUAAACUGUAGAUAUAUAAUAAUCACCUCUCAGCUAUUUUACUACACAUCUUCAAUUAAUAUAAAUUAAACCAUUAAAGUUAGGUCUCCGCAAACCCAAACAAUAGUAUUUUAAUAACAUGGAUAACAAUAACAUGCAAAUAAUCAUACUUUGAAUCACAAUGAACAUGAAGAACAAACAUGAUACUUUUACGUCACCCAGAAAGCUUCCACCAUCCCCUCAUGGAGAUUUAGCUACUCAUCCUCAAGGAAUAAAUAAGUAAUUCACAAAACAUCAUAAUAGAAUAAUGGAUUGAUAUUGAAUAUGAGUUGAAUACAAUGAAGAAGAAGAUCAACUCUUCGUCAAUGAAAGUUGAUCUUAAAGUGGAUGCUAAAAGAUAAGCUAAAAGAUAAAUAAACCCUAAUUACAACUUCUCUUAGGGUCUGUUUGAUUGGAGUCCGGGAAAUAGAUUUUUCGGGAAAUUUCAAUUACCCAUGUUUGAUUAAAUGGAAAAUAAGCGGUAAAUAUUUAAAACGACACGAUAAGUUAAAACGUUGGGACAAAUUGGAGCAUUUGGAGCUCAAUUUUGGCGAACUCUCACUACAAACAUAUUUAAAUGAUUUUCCACAAAAUUCAUGAUCAAUGUAGCAUUAUAACUAUUUUAUUAAAAUUUUAUUUCCCGAAUAUUUGCACAUGGUAAAUCUAUUUCCCGGUAAACUCUUUUCCCGCCCGAAUCAAACAGACCCCAAGGUGAAAUUUGUGGCUGUUGCUGUUGGUCUCGUAGCGGGAUCAGGCAAUCAGCAAAACCUAAUUCUUUUGGGCUUGAAUUGUAUCUUGGGCCAAGACCUUCAGUUUGAUAGCUCAUGGACCCAAAUCAAACUUCUGGAUCUUCUUGUGGAGCCUUUUUAAGUUUAAGGCCCAAAAUAGAAAGUCAGGUUAACAAAAGUCAACAGAGUUGACCGAAGUCAGCAGAGUUCAACAGUUGACCGAACUCAAAAGAAGUCAACAGUUGACCGAAGUCAACAAAAGUCAACAGUUGACCGAAGUCAAUAAAAGUCAACAGUUGAUCGUGGGUGUAAAUAUCCAUUUUUUCCCUUGUGCCAAUAACACCCUUUUGCUUGUUUUUCUUGACUUUUCACAGGCUUUUACACAAUAUUCGCAUUUCGACUCCUAAAACUUACAUAAAAGACAAGAAAAUACUAAUCAAGGUGUUAUUCGGGGGAUAAAUAUACACUUUUGAGGUCCGAUCAGGCUUGUAGCUUCAGCCUCAGUCCACGAAUUGUCAACCUGGUAACCUUGGGGGGGUUACAAUCUCUCCCUAAAUCAGUAUCCCAAACUCAAGGAAUAAAAUAUUUGGGUCAUAAAGCCAUUACAUACACACAUAUUCUCAUCUAAACACAUUUGAAGACAUACACACAUACUCUCAUUUAAAAACAUUUGAAGAACCUGAAGAACACAACAGAAGCCAAUGCAGUAAAGUCUUCAAGAAGAACUCCACCUCAAUUAUUGACUUGUAAAAUCCUCGAAUUUUUUCUCUUCCCCAAUUGUUGCAUACGUGAAACCAUAAACAACAAAGAAAGAACACUUAGAGAAAAAAAUUGGAUUCAUAUAUACAUCUCCCACUUUUUGUCACAAAUGGACAACGGUAGGAACCAACACCGAAGAUAGAGAGUGAAAGAGAUAACGCACAGUGAACAAAAAGAUAAUAAUAAUCAUCAAGAAUACUAUAUAAGAGAAGCAUGAGAUGUUAUCAUUAAACUUAAAACAACCUAAAAGAUAACAAACAUACAAAAAAAAAUAUCUUAAUUUGUAACCACAGAGACAACUGACUAAGUAAGAAAGUAGAACACACAGUAUACUUCUUCCAUCAAUAAUGACCAAACAAUGCUAACACCAAAAGAUGAGCAUAACCAAAGCUCAAGAACUCUUCCAGCUAUUCACCAACAAUCAUGUACUCACUAAAGCCAAACCAAACAUGAACCAAGAGGAUCAUCAUAAGUGUAUCAAAGAUACGGUGUCCCUACAAUACAAAACCUCGACAUUUGUAUAAAUACAAGUUGCAAAGAACUCAUUGAAGCCAAGAAAUUGGACAUGACCAAGAUGAGGAUGUAACGCCCCAAGAUUUCGUCCUCGCUCAUCCCGGAGUGUCGAGAUCCACACCGCUGGUUAAUUUCAAUAUUGUCUUAGUCACUGCGGAUAUCCAGCAGUUGGGGGUUUUGGAUCAGGGUCCACUCAUCUGGGUUUUUCCCCAAAAGGCCUUGACAUUAGUUAGAGUAUAUUUAAACUCUAUAUACUACCAAUAUAACCACUUCUUUGGAAAGGACUAACACCAACUCAUGGGGUGUUACAAUCUCACCACCUUAGAAUAGAGCCGUCCUCGGAUUUGCAAUACACUCAGUACAGUCCUAAAAUCUUUGACGUUCCCUGCCAAGUGAGACAAUACUUGGUGUUCCCUGGGCCUUUCCAACGUACUUCCCACAUGCAAUAGGCGACCCGUCGUUAGCUCUGAUACCAACUGUAAUGCCCCGAGAUUUUAUCUUCGCUCAUCCCAGUGCGUCGAGCACCAUACCGCCCAUUAAUAUCAAUAUUGUCCCCCUUUAGUCACUGCGGAUAUAAUCCCACAACCACUUCUUUUCACACAGAAAAGAAAUGUGUACUUACACUCGCACGCUAAAUCAUAAUGGCACUGAGCGAAAGGUGCCUGGGCAUAAUAACACACAUGGAGCACACACAGUUUCUCAUAAUAUUUGCCACAUAGACAUUCCAUAGUCAAAUAUUUAUCACACAGACAUAUCCAUAAUUAACUUGUAUCACACAGAUACUCAGCCCAAAACGGAACUCAAAUCCAAAAUCGGAAUUGUGUGGCAACUACGGAUUUUCUAAUUUAUUUACCAUUUUAUCUCAUCGGCACACAUCCAUAACCCUAUCGUUUUAUCAUGUCAGCACACAACUAUUACAUUAGCUUUUUAAUUCACCGGCACACAUCAAUGAAUUAAUUAAUAUCAAAGAAACAAUGCAAACGAAGAGUUCAUCAAAAGAACCAAAUCCAAUAUAAACAUGUUGCAUAACCCUCCCAUUUAAUACCACUUUCAUUAUUCCAAUUAAUAUAAACAAAAUCGUGUUGAACUAUAUGUAGUGAUUAAGUAAAUCCUAACAACGCCAACAACCCGCAACCUAGAUAUUCGUGAGAACACCUCCUUUGCAAUACAUGAUCCGUUUUGUCAAUGAAGUCAAAGAUUACCAAACAAUAAACAAUAGUUUAAGAAGAGCAAAAUAAUAAAGAACAAUAAUACUAAGAUAUACGUGGUUCGGCAAUGCCUACCUCCACGGGGAACAAUGAGAAGAUUUCAUUAUAAGAAAAGAAACACCGAUUACAAUAAUCUCCCUAGUAUCUUUCUCAAGAUCUUAAUCUCUCACCUUAAACCCAAUACACCCUUGGCUCCCAAAGUUCUCUCUCACUUACUCUAUCUAUCUCUAUGUUUCUAUUGUUUUCUACUCUCUUGUCUUCUCUUGUUUUCUUGUCUUACAAAUACCAAGUUACUUGGAUAUUUAUAGGCCAUGGGUAGAAAUCAAAUCCAUAUAGAAUUACUAAUUCAAACUAGAGAUAAAUAGGAAACCGAGUCCAAAUAGAACUCCUGCACAUAUAUGGUUUCCUUAACCAAUAUAAGAAACUGAUCCUAUGGAUCACACCUCUUAUAAGGUAUGAUCCUGUGCACUCAACUUAUGGCGAGCCAAUAUACAACAAUCUCCACCUUGGCGAGCCAUCGACCAAAAAACAAGAUCAUUGCAGCUUGAAUUUCUUCAAGCACUGUCACAUUGGCAAGAAUCCUCUUGCCUCAACGCACCUCAAGUGAGAAGGUGCUCCACCCAAUCUUUAGCAUGUAGAAAGAUUGAGCAAGUUCAAACAAUGUCUGAACUUCUCAACUGAAACCGGCUUAGUAAGACAAUCUGAAGCAUUCUCAUCUGUGUGAACCUUCUUAACUAUAAUUUCACCUGAGUCCAACCAAUCCCGAAUCCGAUGAUAGCGAAUAUCAAUAUGUUUCGUUCUUGCAUGAAACAUUUGAUUCUUCGCAAGGCAAAUAGCACUCUGACUGUCACAUCUUAUCAUCAUAGAAUUUUGAUCUAACCCGAAUGUGCUUACUAAUCCCUUCAGCCAAACAGCUUCCUUGCAAGCUUCUGUUAUUGCCAUAUACUCCGCCUCAGUAGUGGAUAAAGCAGUAACCGUUUGGAGCAUUGAUCUCCAACUAACCGGUCCUCCACCAUAAGUGAAGACGUACCCUGUGGUGGAUCUUCGCUUAUCUAAAUCUCCUGCAUAAUCAACAUCCACAUAACCCGAAACACAUGCUUUCCCUUGUUGUCUUUCAAACAAGAUACCCAACGUCUUGGUGCCCUUCAGAUACUUGAGAAUCCAUGUCACAGCUUUCCAGUGUGGCUUUCCUGGAUUCGCCAUGUAUCUCGAUACUAUACUUAGUGUUUGAGCUAAAUCAGGUCUUGUGCAUACCAUUGAGUACAUGAGACACCCUACUGCGCUUGCAUACGGCUUCUUCUUCAUCUCUUCCACUUCAGCAUCUGUGGAAGGACAUUGACUUUUGUUUAAAACAAAACUGUUGUUCAAAGGAGUUGACACAGGAUCUGCAUCAAUCAUAUUGAAGCGCUCAAGUACCUUUUGAAUGUACUUGACUUGUGACAGCCAUAUCUUUCCAGCUUUCCUGUCUCUCCUUAUCUCCAUACCUAGGAUCUUCUAUGCAGGACCAAGAUCCUUCAUGUCGAAUUCUUUGCUUAACAACGUCUUCAGCUCCUUAAUUCUAGACAUAUCCCGACAAGCAAUAAGCAUGUCAUCUACAUAAAGUAGCAAUAAGAUCACCAUCCCAUCAUCAAACACAUGAGUGUACACACAACAAUCAUAGUCACAUCUUCUAUACCCAAUGUUCAGCAUAUAAGAGUCGAAACGUUUGUACCACUGUCUUGAAGAUUGCUUGAGCCCGUAAAGAGACUUCUUCAACCUACAAACCAGAUUUUCCUUACCAGCUUCAACAAAACCCUGAGGCUGAGCCAUGUAGAUGACUUCCUCUAAUUCACCAUGGAGAAAACCAGUUUUGACAUCUAACUGCUCAAGCUCCAUAUCCUGCUGAGCAACCAGUGAUAGUAACACUCUAAUAGAAGUAUGUUUCACUACCGGAGAGAAAAUUUCAUCAUAAUCAACUCCUUCCUUCUGUGAGUACCCCUUCGCCACCAAACGUGCUUUGAACUUUGGUGGUUCUUUCUCAUGCAUUCCUUCCUUCUUCCUGUAAACCCACUUACAGCCAACAAUUUUUCUUUCUGCAGGUUUAGGAACCAACUCCCAAACGGAGUUCUUGUAUAGAGAUUCCAUCUCUUCAGCCAUAGCUUCAAUCCACUCUUCUCUUUCGUUACUUUCAACUGCUUCACGAUAAGAAGUAGGAUCACCUUCACUAAUGCUUAAAGCAUAAUGAACUUCUUCCUCGAACCCAAGUCUAAUAGGUGGUUUGACUUGUCUUUGGCCCCGGUUCUUUGCUAUGCUGUAAGGUUGUUGCUUAUCUUUAUUAGAUUCAACCUCCUUUUCACACUGUUGUUGUUCUGGCCCAUCCUCUUCAACCUCUGCAUCUGACUCCUCCACCUGAAUAGGAGUCUUCCCGUUGGAUACCUUGGUAAGAGGAGAUAUCUCUGUAGUUGCUUUCUUAACAAUAGUGUUUUUCUCACCAUUCUUCAUGUCUUGAUUCAUAGGCAUAGUUUUCUCAUCAAACACAACAUCUCUACUAAGGAUUUUCUUUCGUUUCACUGGAUCCCAUAACUUAUAACCCUUCACUCCCUUCUCGAAGCCGAUGAAAAUGCAUUCAUGAGAUUUGGGUUUAAGUUUAGUUCUCUCAUCACUAGGAAUAAGAGCAUAUGCGCUACAUCCAAAUACCUUCAAAGUAGAGUAGUCUACCGGUUUACCUGACCAUACCUCUUCUGCACAUCUGAAAUCAAGCAUCUUGGAUGGUGAACGAUUAACCAAGUGACAAGCAUGGUUAAGUGACUCUGCCCAAAACAUCUCUGGCAGACCUGCAUGAAACCUCAUGCACCUCUCUUUAUUCAUAAGAGUUCUAUUCAUCCUUUCUGCAGCUCCAUUCUGUUAGGGAUUCUUCUUCACAGUAAAAUGCCUGGCAAUACCUUCAUCUUUGCAGUACUGUAGAAACUUCCUAUCCUUAUAUUCACCGCCAUUGUCAGUUCUUAGGUACUUGAUUUUUCUGCCUGUUUGAUUCUCUACCUCUGCCUUCCACUCCUUGAAUUUAGUGAAAACUUUGGAUUUCUCCUUCAUGAAGUAGACCCAAACUUUCCUUGAAAAAUCAUCCAUGAAAGUGAUAAAGUAGCGAGCUCCACCUUUUGAUUGAGUAGGUGAAGGCCCCCACACAUCUGAGUGAAUAUAGUUAAGUACUUCUGUACUUCUGUUCUUUGUAUCUGCAGCUUCGAAGUGUACUUUAGUUUGUUUUCCCAUAAUACAAUACUUGCAGAACUCAAGUUUACACUCUCCUACACCCUUCAACAAUUGUCGCUUGUGUAGUUCUUCCAUGGCUCUUUCACUCAUAUGCCCUAGCCUCAAGUGCCAAAGCUGAGUGUGAUCUUCUUGUGUAAAAACUGCAGCUCCACCAAUUACUGUAUUUCCUACAAGCUUGUAUAAAUUGUUAGAAAUUCUUACUCCUCUCAUAACCACAAGUGAACCCUUUGAGACUAUGAGAUUCCCAUCUUUGGAUUUGUAUGUGUACCCAUUCUUAUCCAAAUAACCCAGGGAAAUAAGAUUCUUCCUUAGUGCAGGAACGUAUUUCACGUUACCUAGAGUCCUAACAAUUCCAUCAUGCAUCUUCAACUUUACUGUACCGAUUCCACAAACUUUACAACUAGAAUUAUUCCCCAUAAAAACUACGUCGCCUUUUCUUUUCUCAAACGUGUCAAACCAGUCUUCGUUUGAACACAUAUGAUAAGAAGCGCCACAAUCUAAAAUCCAAGGCGAAGAAAUAUCAUUACCUGAAGAAGUCGCCAAAAUUUCUCCGUCGCUAUCAUCUGUAACAACGCUGGCUGAAUUUGAAUUUUCGGCCUUCUUCUUCUUUUCCUUAUAUUUCUUACAAUCUUGUUUCCAGUGGUCUGUCGCACCACAUUCAAAGCAACCUUCUUUAUCCCUGGAUUUAGAUCUGCCCCUGCCUUUUGAUUUGCUACUUCUCUUAUUUGUUCGGCCCCUCUCAUUAGAAUUCCUGACAUAUAGUCCUUCUGCUUGAGAGUCUUCACCUGUGUUCUUAUUCAUCUUCACAUGAGAGAUUAUAUCUUGAACAACUUCAUCAUACUUUAAAGUAUCCUUGCCGAACAUCAAUGUGGUCCUGAAGUGCUUGAAAGAUGGAGGCAAAGAUCUGAGCAGGUACAGAGACUUGUCUUCAUCGUCAUACUUCACAUCCACCCGUAACAAAUUUGUGAUGCACUUAUUGAACACGCUUAGAUGUUCCAUAAGAUCACCACCUUCUUCCAUCCGAAGAUUCAAGAGUUCAUCUUUCAAGAAAAGUUUAUUUGAUAAAGACUUACCCAUAUACAACUUCUCGAGCUUUUCCCAUGUUCCUUUGGCACAAGUUUCCUCCAUCACAUUAAACAUCACCUCGUCCGAGAUAUGUAGUUCGAUGGAACUCAUGGCUUUGAGAUCUGCUUUGUUCCACUCGUCAUCUGACAUGUCCUUUGGCUUCUUGUCUUUCCCGUCAAGAACCACAUGAAGAUCUUGUUGGAUCAAAACGUUUCUCAUCUUCCUUUGCCAUAGUGUAAAGUUAUCUCUACCGUCAAACGGUUUAAUCUCAACUUUUACACCGCCGCCAAGAGUAGUAACCGAUGGUUUCUUACCGUCACUAUUUGCAGGAACACCUGUAGUCUCCGUCAUCUUUGACAAAACCUUAAAUCCAACCUAAGCUCUUGAUACCACUUGUUGAACUAUAUGCAGUAAUUAAGUAAAUCCUACCAACGCCAACAACCCGCAACCUAGAUAUUCGUGAGAACAUCUCCUUUGCAAUACAGGAUCCGUUUUGUCAAUGAAGUCAAAGAUUACCAAACAAUAAACAAUAGUAUAAGAAGAACAAAAUAAUAAAGAACAAUAAUACCAAGAUAUACGUGGUUCGGCAAUGCCUACCUCCACGGGGAACAAUGAGAAGAUUUCACUAUAAGAAAAGAAACACCGAUUACAAUAAUCUCCCUAGUAUCUUUCUCAAGAUCUUAAUCUCUCAUCUUAAACCCAAUACACCCUUGGCUCCCAAAGUUCUCUCUCACUUACUCUAUCUAUCUCUAUGUUUCUAUUGUUUUCUACUCUCUUGUCUUCUCUUGUUUUCUUGUCUUACAAAUACCAAGUUACUUGGGUAUUUAUAGGCCAUGGGUAGAAAUCAAAUCCAUAUAGAAUUACUAAUUCAAACUAGAGAUAAAUAGGAAACCGAGUCCAAAUAGAACUCCUGCACAUAUAUGGUUUCCUUAACCAAUAUAAGAAACUGAUCCUAUGGAUCACACCUCUUAUAAGGUAUAAUCCUGUGCACCCAACUUAUGGCGAGCCAAAAUACAACAAAUCGAGACCACAACUGUGUAUACACAAUACAUUUAAACUUAUGUAUUUUAAAAUCCAAUUAAUCAUAACUACAUGUAUCCAACAAAAUAUUAGAUAUCAUUUAAUGAAUUUAUACAUUUCAAUUUCAUAUGAGACAAGAACCAACAAAUUUGUGAUCUAAGAAAGAAUAGCAGAACCUACACAAUGUGUUUCAACCGGAUUUCACACCAAUGUGACGUAAGAUCAAGAAAAAACCCCUAAUGUUAUGAUCCAAAGUAUUGGAGAAGAUGAAGAUGAAGGAAUAGGGUUUGAUUGAUAAUGGUUGCACUAAGUUGCUUCUUAUUUGCCUACGUAUCCAUAAGAGAGAUGGAAUCAGGCCUUUUAUAACGUAAUUCAAAUGUAAAGUUUGAUUGGGAUUAGGAUAUGAUCCCAUGAUCCCUAAUGUAUUGUAGUAUUGUAGUCCCAUGUAUUUAAACCAUAUAAUAACAUAAUAAUGUACCUCAUGUCCUAUUGGGAACAUGAGUUGUAAAGAUAUUGAAAUUGUUAUUGAAUUAAGAGUUGUAAAGAUAUUAGUUGUAGUUGGAUUAGGCAAAGAAAAUCUCUACAAAGAUGUAGAAUUACCAUACCCUCAGACCGGAGUCCUUAGCUGUUAAAUGAGUUAGUCCUUUUUGUUAGGAGGCUUGAGAUGUUACCCCUUGGAGAUUUAAGUCAGAACAUGCUCGCACAUACGUCUUUAAGUUUUGAAGCAUACAAGAUGAAAAGAGAGUCGUUUGGUAAUCUUAAAAAAUCGGUGUUAAAACAGUUGCUUUUUCAAACCAAAAAAAGCCGGAAGUCCAAGUCCGAGUAGCAGUCCCGGUUGAUUCACUUGAUGAUUAAGCGAUUGAUCCAUAUAGAUUUUCUUUAGGAAACCUCAGAUUCAUACUAGACCACGAUGAUUGAAUAAAGCCCCCAUCCGAGCUCAAAGAUUCUCUGAGUAAGAACCCUUUGACUUAGGUCGGAAGCCAUCCCAGCCCGGGCGAAUUGGGUCUUUGCAUUAACUCAAAAGGAGAACUUAACCUUAUUGAAUAUAAUGGACUUAAAUAGAUAAACCCCAUGAUUGAUAUUGAAUGUAGUAACGGGCCUAAGCCUUAUUACUAAUUGAAUUGGGCUUAGGCCCUUAUUGAUUAAAGUCUGGGCUUUGACUUGUAAAAUUGGGCUUGGACCCGUUAAAGGAGGUCAACACACAGUACAUACACAUGUAAAUCUAAUAAUGCCCAAGGUCGUAUGAUAAAUAAGUUUUUAUGAAUAAAACAAUUAAUAGUAUAUUGUUCAUUGUUGUAUCUUUUAUUAAUUACAUCUUGUCGAAUAAAAACAAUUCCAAUUAUUGUCCCACCAAAAGCAAAUCGAAAGCAAUUACUACCUCUACUGUACCAUUACAAUAUAGAGUACCUAAAGAAGGAAAAAAAUAUUACUCCCUACGUCCCGCUUUUCCACAAUUUACUUUCAAGUUAUUUAAAUUUCAACUUUUACUUAUUGCAACUCCUUUUCAGUAUUUCAAUUCCUUGUUAUUUUAAUUCUUACAUUAAGUUUAUUUUAGCUUCCGCUGCAUCAAUUGGUGUUGAACCCCACCAUUAAUUGGCAGGUGGAUUCGUCCGGAGGACUGUGCUGGCUCCCCAUUGAAUCCAUAGAUAGGAAUCUCAUCAGAUUCGAUGAGACCCAUAGAUAGCUCCAUAGCUUUAUAGGUGCAUGUGAACAUGACGCUGGAGGUUCUGCCGGCGUCGACCAUGACUUGCCAGACCCGGUAAACACCAAUCCAUGCUGUGAUGACCACAGCAUCAUUGUGUGGAUAAUGCACGCACCUUUCGUCUUCCUCUGUGAAUGUCAAACCUCCAGGGACAAUGGACUCAGUGUUAGUAACUUCCUUGAAGUUGAGCUAUCCAACCUCAUGGACAUGCCCUAUCCACCACCUCCAAAUUUGUUUUCAACCAUGGCCAUUAGUGAUGAGACUAAAACUUUCUUCAAGGACAUUUUAAACAAGUUAUUUGUUGACCAAGAUGCAAAAUUUGAAGACAAAUUCAAUGCUAAAUUCGCUCAAGACAACCCUUGUUAUUCAUGAAGCAUCAACCAACAAGAAAAUUGAUGAUCUUAAGGUUUCUACGGAGGCGCGCAUGGAUAGCAAAAUAAAUAAGGUCGAGACACAAGUAAAAACCCUUCCUAAGGAGUUCAAUGAUUAUGCGAAAAUCCAAGGUAAACGUCCUAUCGAAGAACCAAUCACCACAUUUUCUACCAACUCACCACCACUCAUAUUUCCUAAUUCCACCUCUUCAUCUUUUAGUUUUCCACCACCUUCAUCCCAACCGUCUUUUACUCUACUGUGUGUACCCUAGGUAAAAAACCCGACAUAUGUAACCGAUGGUUGUAUAAGAAGUUAGACCGAGAGCACCUGACCAUUAGCCAGCCAAGCCUAGGCUAUCGGGUAGGCCAGGCCACACCCAGUUUUGCGGGAUCUACAUACGCUCUGUGGACCUUAACUCACCGGAUAGUCCACGAUCAAUGGGUGGAGCCCCGGUUACUGUAUAAGAAGUUGAACCAUGGGCUCCAAUAAUAUAUCGACUAGGCCCACCACAGUCAAGUAGGCCAGGUCUGGCCUAGUAAAUUCCAGCAACGACAGAGGCUCAUCCAAAGGUUUAACACAGAAGUCCAGAGGACCUGGCCAGUGUGUAUGCAAUGAAGAUUCGGCCUCAAGUCAGAGGAGUCAAGCCCAAGUCUUUGCUUUCAGGCUUGGUCAAUCCAUGUCCCAACAACCUGGAUAAGUCCAGCUAGAUUCCAGGCUAAAAGAACCCAUGGUUCUAGCCCGUUGGGGAAGAUAAAGGAAAACCCAGGUUGAACCAAGAUCUUUCAGAGGAUGCCACGUGGCAGUCAUCCUGGUCAAAGGGAAUUUAAACCGAGGAGAUAACCACUCGGCAGCAUGCAAGUUAUCCACUACUAGAGAAAUGAUAUUUCUUGACAUUUUUUAAAAUAAAAGCUUGAUGGUUCUUUUAAAAAAUGUCAAAGGAUGUAAUUUUUUGAAGAAUUAUGACGGUUUUUGUAAAUACUAUCAAAGGGUUUCUAUUUAAAAAUAAUAUAUUGUGGGUUUUUAUAAAACUGUCAUAAUAUUAUAAAAACUUAAUGGCGGUUUUAAAGUAAUUGUCAACGGGUGUAGAUUUAACUCUUGAUAGCUAUAAUUAAAACUGUCAAAGGGUGUAAGAGCAUGAUAGUUCUUUAGAACCGUCAUUACAUUUAAUUAAACUCUUGAUGGUUUUAUAAGGGUGUGUCAUUGUAGUAAAAGACCAUGACGUUUUUUGUAUUCUUGGAGAAAAAAUUUGAGUUAUUUAAAAACCGUCAUCAAGUAAAACCCCAAAAUAUACCAAACCUUAAUAAAAAUACCCGUGUUUCGAUUUUCUUUUCCCUUUCAAACUCUACUACUGGCCGAGAAAAGAGGCAAAAAACCGUCUCUCCCCUCUACUUGUAUUCUCUCUCUUCGCUUUUCUCUCUCUCACUAAAAACUUGAAAUCGCAGCAGCAACAUUAGAGUUUUAAGCUCUCUUCGUUUCAAGCAUCAAUUUUUGAGCACAACACCUUUUUUCUCCUUUUCUCAGAGCAGCAAGGUUAGAUUUUUAAGCUUUAAUUUUCUCCUUUUCUCACUCUAUCUUUUGUUUGUAUUGUGAUUGUUUGAUUUUUUCUUUUUUCUUUUUUGUCAUCUUUAACACGACCCUAGUUAACUAGAUAAUCCCAAAUUCUACCUAUACGUACAUAGCGAUUUAAUUACUUCAAUUGUUGAAUUCAACGAUAAUCUAUUGGGAAUUUUGUCAAACAUUUGAUGGUGAUACAUAAUUUUAGUAAUCAUCGACUUAAAGGGGAUGAUAUUAAUCCAUAGUUUGAAGAGAUGUCAAUUCAGAGAUGGGAAUAGAUGUUCCCCAAUAAGUACUAGAUGGUGUGUUUUCUGGAAAAAAAGAACAAAAAACUCACAACAAUUUUGAGAACACUUGUACACAUAGAUUGAAUCUGAUUGACAAACUUAAGUACGUGAACUCUCCUGAAUCCAUCAAUAAACUCUUUCUUAUAAAAUUAGGGGUUUCAAUAAAUUAGUUGUAUUGUAGUUGUGUUUGUGCUACCUCACGGCUCACGUACCUCAGAUCAAAGCCUAAUGGCAGACACAUCAAAGCCCAUACUAGUUGAACAAUUAAGAUGUAAGAACAUACAUUCUCGGCUCCAUCCUGCUAACUAAGGCUCAGAUUACUUCCAACCAUCACAAUACUUCUAAUAUCUUUAUUUACAAGUCAUUGCACUACAGCCAAAUCCAUUGAAGCCUAAUUAACAAUCGCAUAUUCCCAACACCCCCACAGAUUGCUAAAUGAACAUCAGCAAAUUAAAGGAUAUGGAUAAUCUGUUUGCAUUGUCAUUGAACCAUAGUGGGUGAUCAUCACUCGUACAUGUACUUGCAUGCCACUUUAUUUUUAAUCUUGUAUUCAUUAACCCAUUGUUCCCAUAUCUUUUGAUGGUUUAUUGAUUCUGAUGGUGUCAUACUUAUGGAUCUGCUGUCCUGGAGCUUGAAGAUACAAGUAUCUUCAAGGUUCUUCUACCAUUUAACUAUAGUUAAUAGAGUAAAUUAUUUGCAUCAUAGUGCCUAGUUUACAAAGUCAAUAUUACCCUGACAAAAUUCCUAGCUUCCUUAUUAACUUGUUAGUAGUCCAACUGAUCCAAGUAUGGAAGCAUGUAAUUUUUUUUAUAUAACUCUGUCUCAUUCUUUUAUAUCUUAUGGUUAGUUUAUCAAAAUGUUAGUUUUUGUUUUGUUUUUUAUUUUUUUUAUCGGAAGAUGAUAUUUCUAUUUUAAUCAGAGUACGUAGCAAAAUACAUACUUUAUCCCUUAGUAUACCCACAAGAUAUGUUAUCUACCGAUCCUCGCUAUUUCCCUGUAGCGAUCUCUUGGCUAACAUGUCUGCCACCUGAUUGGCCUUUUAUAGCAUGAGUGAACUGCACUAUUAUUUCAUGACAGUCACAAGAUGUGUCUAUAUUAGAUAGCUUUUUUUUCUGAGAUUUCCUAGUAGGUGUUUUGUUUUGUAGUAAAGACCACCAAUAUUUAUAACUACUUGUCAUGAAAAUGGUUGAGAUUAUUAUAUUAAUUAUUGUUUGGUUAGAUUUAAUUUAUGGUACUAAGGCUAAUUGUUACUAAGGCUCAAGAAUGUAGCUUGGUUUUGGGUGAUAAAGGUAACAUUGUGGCUAAAGAAACUGUAUUUGAGAGGAUGGGAGCAGACAAUAAACUUCACUCUGUUCCUUUGGAAGAAGCAAAUGUAUGUGUAUCGAUUCAUUCCAUUGUUGAAAAAAAACAUAAAAAGCGUCUUCCAAUACCUGUUAAUGAGGUUAUCAUGACAAUUGCAAGUGUUAUUGAUGCAUUUGUUGCUUGGCAGGAGUGGGUGAUAAUAGGAUAUAAGAACUUGAAUAUUUGCGAAAAGAAUGAGGUAAAUUACUAUCUUUAAUGAGUUAAUAUUACCAAAUUUACAAGUAUUGAUUUAGUAUUACCUUAUUAUUGUUUUAGGUAGUUGAUGUUGGAGAAAAUGCAAGGGCUGAAACUUCUGAAACUGAAUUGAAUGAUUUUGGUGAAAUGAUAGAUGAUAUUAUGUAUGAUCCUAUGCAUCAAGAACAGAUGCUUUCAAUGGAUAGAGGUGUUUUUGAGCGUGAAGUUGAUUUUUAUAUUGCACUGGAUGAAAUAAAGGAUGUAUGCAAGAAUGACAAGUUAAAUUGCCAUGUUAUAGUUGCAUAUAUGAGGUUAGAAAUUGCUUUUGAUAGCCGAUUUGUUACUUAUGUGAAAUGUUAUUUAUCAUAACUAUUUCUUUUGUGUAAUUUGUUUUAGAUAUUUGUACGAAACAUAUGAGAGCUCUCGAGAAAGGUAUGGUUUUUGCUAUCCUGGUGAUGUGAAACAGUUUGAUGAUGCAAACAUUAUUAGUAGUCAGAUGCAUCAUACUAUUGCGGAUAGACUGAAGGCUCGUCAAGGGAACCAAAUUAUUUUACUUCCUUACUCCAAAGGGUAAGUGUGUUGGUUAAUAUAUAUAUUCACAAACAUUUAAUUUUUAAUUUUAUAAUAAUUUACUUUGAUUUAAAAAUGCAGGUUUCAUUGGUCUUUGAUUAUGAUUGAUAUAAAUUCAAAAGAUGUUUAUUAUCUAGAUUCUUCACAUCGUGGACCUAGUGGGGGGAACAAGGGCACUUGUGAACACGUAAGUUCAUAAAUGUGUUUCUAAGUGUGUGUGUGUGUUUUGUAAAGUUUUAUGACUUGAUUAUUUUUUAUGAAGAGGGAUUACAUCACAUCUUAUGGUGAAUGGAGGAAAAAAAAUUCAACUUACAUGGCAUUACCCUAAGGUAAAUAAAUAAUUCUUAACAACUUCCUAUUAAUACUAUUAGUAUUGGUGAAUGUGUAUGAUAUUUUGGCAUUUUUGUAUGUAGGGCCCGAAACAAGCUGGGGAGUUUGAAUGUGGAUAUUUUGUAAUGCGGUUCAUGCGACAUUUCAUGAAAGAUCCUUCUAAAUCCCUAGAGGAGAAGGUGAUUAAUAUUUUCUCAUUUUUUUUGUUCCAUAUAUUUCUAGGUUUAAAUUAAACUAUUGUUCAUUUUCUUUCCCAUUGACCUGUUUAGAUGACGGAGCUAAAAAUGAAGGCAACAUACACCAAAGCUGAACUGAAUGAAGUUCGUCUUGAGUUUAUCGGUUACGUUGAACGAUUUCUAUAAUGUUAAAGGUAUGUUGAUUAAUAUUACGUAUACAUUAUACCAAUAACAUCAUCACUUAUAAUGUUGAGGAGUACUACUUAUUGACCAAUGUGUAACCAAUGAAAGCUUUACUUUGCUGAUUAGUAGAAUAUAAUUUUUUUGUAUAAAAUCAAUUUGUUUCAUUACUCUAUCAAAUUGUUUGUUUGAGCUGAGCAAUUACAAAGUUUCCUCCCUAAAAUUGCCUCCUUGCUCAUCUUAUUUCAGCGGUUUUAGAGAGUAAAAACACAACCAAAAGAAAACCCAUAUACAAGUUGUAGUACCCUUACAGUGUGAAACUAUGGAUCUGCUGUCCUGGAGCUUUUAGGACCAACACCACACCAUACAAUUAAUAUCAAUCUAAUAGAGCCCUAACUAGCUAACAACAGUAUAUCACUGCACAAAGAUUACCUGAGCAGUCUGACAGCCCCUGUGCAAGAUCAAAAAUAUUCUAGUACUGUUUCAACUGUGCACCAUUGGAAGUAAUAUCCAGUCUUGACCAGAUCAAAACCCAAAUUUCUUGUGACCAGUAGAAUAUAAUUAAUACUUGGGAUAUAUAUGAUUAGAUACUAAUUAAAUGGGUUAGUAUUGGUUUUUGGAUCAUUACUAUGUUGUUAUUCCAUUUUGAAACAAGGUUGAGAUGGUCUAUGUUGUAUUUUCAGGUUUUUUCUUAGCUGCACAAAUAAAGUAAAUUAUGCUAAAAAUAUUACUAACUUUUUCCUUGGAUUGCGUGUAAUAUAUUUGUGUUUGAUGUGUGUCAUCUCCUUGUCUGCCAAAAACAUUAUAUGUCGAACUAUGAAUUGUGUGUGUACUAAUCCAUAUGUUUAGAUACUCUAAAAAAUAUUGCUAUAUUAUAUCUUAAUUAUUCUUUUAUUCUGAUUUUCUUACAGAUAACAUCUUGUUGAGAUAUGGAGUAUUCUUACGGAGGUGUUGUUAGGCUCAUUAUGGUUACAUGGAUGACAUUACAUAACAUUGUUUUUCACAAGGAUGAGAUGAUAUUUUUUGCAUAAUUUCUUCAAUGUUGUUAUGAUGAGAUAUUGGUGAUCGAACGAUUGGCAAUUAUAUGGAAUCUUUUUUUUUAUUUUUUCGGGGGGGGGGGGGGGGGGGGAAUAGUUGUUUAGUGAUGAAUGAUUGUCACUUGAUGUAAUCUUUUGGAAGAUUUUCGUUUGAAAUAUUGCAUUUGUUUUUGUAAUAUUUCAUUUAUUGAUUAAUUUUUUAAAAACAAAAUUUUUUAUUUAGCUUGACAGUUUUAACCUGUCAUAAUACAUAAAUUUUGACGGUUUUAGAUUCAUCAGAUGACGGUUUUAUAACAUUAGAUGACAAUUUUAGAUUGAUCAGAUGACGGUUUUAGAUUGAUCAGAUGACGGUUUUAGAUUAAUCAGAUCACGGUUUUAUAACCUCUUAUGACGGUUUUAGAUUGAUCAGAUGACGGUUUUUAAUUAAACCGUCGUCCAUAAUGAUAAAAUUAUGACGGUUUUUGUCACUAAAAUGAUGGUUUUUCUUGCUUAAACUGUCAAGAGUACUUGGUAACUCUUGACAUUUAUUGUUAUAACUGUCAAGAGUACUUAGUAACUCUUGACAGUUUUUUGAAAAUUUCUUGACAGUACAUAUCUUGACGGUUUUUGAAAAACUUGAAAACCGUCAUAAUCAACGUUUUAUGACAGUUUUUAACCAUCAUAAAAUUGUUUUUUUCUAGUAGUGAUCUCUACGGGAAACAUCUUCACAGUUGAACUACCUGAGUUCAUGGAGUCAAAACCGAAGGGGCGGUUCAUCCAGCCUUCUCCGACCUACUACAAAUAUAGGAGUUCUGAACCUCCUGAACUACAAGUCUUUCACUGAGCAACUCCAUUAGAGCUUAGUGGAAGCAGAGACUUGAUUCCAAGUUCAUCUUCUUGGAUACGUAGGUAGCCUGAUCCUGAUCAGGUCCAGUCUCAUUGUAUACCCCCAUCUCAUCCUUGUCUAUACAAGGCUUUCAUUGUAACUGUUCGAUCAAAGUUUUGCACCCACACUCUUUGGCACUCACCGUGGGGCUGAAUCUCCCUUCAGUUCCAGAGCCUUGCAAGGAAUCUCAAUCCAGUCAUACCGAAGUUGCUACAACAAUGGCUAGAAGUAAGAGACGCCCGACUCGUUCCAACAAUGGAAUGAGCCAAGUUACUGAAUGCCAGAUAGAUAACCUUUCUCCUUUGUCUUCGGUUCUUUAAGCAACUAAACCGGUGAAUCAAGAAUCAGUUCUCGGGAGUGAGGGCCAUGAUCAGGGCUCACAACACUCUGAAAGUGGGCAGCCGGAGUCAGAAAACUUAGUGGUACAAAUCACUAAUGAUCCUGGUAAUCCUAACGCAGUUAGCCGGACCGUCAGGAUACCAACUUCACAAGAUCCUUAACCCUCCAGGGUAGCCGCUGCAAGAAGAGACCAGAGAACCUCUCCUCUGACAACGGGAGGAGGUUAUACUGAGCAACAAAAGGGGAAAGGACCAGGGGUGGAUCGAGUCUCCAACUGCAAUCAUCAAGCGGCAGAUCAAAGAGAAUGCAGAACUGAGAAGAAGGAAGAGAACCAGGACAGGGGAUAACUAGUCAUCUUUAGCCCCAUCCUCAAGUCCAUCUUCUCAGAAGAAGAUAAGGUAGUGACCAAAGUCUUACCCCUCAUGGUCGGGUAGUGACCAAAGUCUUACCCCUCAUAGCCAUGGGACCCGUCCUGAUUGGGAUAGACUAACACCAGGGAGAGAUAGGAUGUCUAUCUCCCCAGUUCAAAAACAUCGUCGCGGACGUGCAAGAACCCCUGGGCUAUAUCAUGGUCGUAGGGUUACCCGCAAUAGGUCCGUCGAAGAAGUCACUCCACCAGAAGGACUGCGCCGGAGGAGGCACCAGAGCACUCCCCUAGCACACCAUGGUCAGAGAGCAAGGAACCCUUAAGGGGCCCACACUAAUUAGGUACAACCGGAGCUGAAUGUAGAACAAAUCGAUGAAUCAACUCAAGCUGCAAGAGAUUAUCAACUUGGCUAUUUCCAACAAAGCCAACCAGGACGAACGAAUUAGGAAACUUACUCUCUCAAGGUUAGCCGUAUCAUCUUUGGCCGAAGAGGUCAGGAGUCAUAUAGUCCCGGCCAGUUUCAAGCAGCUACCCUUCGAACAAUAUGAUGAGACAAGCGGUUGUCCGGUUCAACACGUUAUGAACUAGAAAAACACCAUGGCCAUCUAGGACUAUGAUGACAAGUGACUUGAAAAAAUGUUUGUUGCUUCACUCAAAGGCAAAACACAAAUGUGGUAUCACAAUCUGCCGCUUGCAUCCAUCCACACAUUCCUACAACUGGUUGAGAUGUUCGAAGAAAAAUACCGGUUCAAUGUGAAGACUAAGAAGGGAGGUGAAGCCUUAUUCUCCCUGCAGAUGGACUGGAGUGAAACACUCAAGAAUUUCGCCCGAAGAUUUCAAACCUUAAUGUCAGAAGUGCAGGACGCCUCUGAUAGCUCAUCAUUCAAGCCUUCAAGUAUGUUUUGAACAGGAACCAUGAAGAAUUGUACCGAUCACUAGCAAGAAAGCCUCUUUGUUUCAGCCUUGCUUGAGAAAGUAGAAACAUAUGCUCAGGAGGAGGACAACCUGAAAGCCAGGAGAAAGAGACUUGUCGGAGGCCAAACCUCUGAGAUGCCGUAAAAGGAAAAGGAAGAAAGCUCCGACAGGGAUCAGACAGGGGAAAAGGCCCCUGUCAGAAACAAAGACAGGAAGAGGAAAAAAAGUCUGCUCGCCAGCCUGACCACCGGGGGCGAACGCAAAGAAAGGGAAUUCACUCCCCUGAGGUUCCCGAUCGAGGAAGUCUUUAAGAAGAUCAAGAACAAAGGGCUACUCAACAAACCUGCCCCUCUUCCGACAGACGCGGAAAGGCAUGAGAGAUAAGUCCAAGAAGUGUGAUCAUCACAAUGAUUACGGUCACGAACUGAAAAACUGCAGGUCAUUGAAGUAUGAAAUGUAGCUCCUAGUCGAUGUCGGCCUCAUCCCUGACAUGGUGCAGACCGGAGCACUCGAACAAGAAAAAACCAGAGCUCGAAUUGUAUACGUUUGUCAUGUGCAAGCACCCUCCAAGACAGAAAGGAAGAAUUGCGCCCGGGAAAAGCUCUGGUAGAUAGGACAUGUCCAUGAAGUUGGACAGCUCAACUUCAACGAAGGGACGAACACCGAGUCUAUUGUCCUUGGAGGGUUGACAUUCACAGAAGAAGACGAAAUGGGCGUGCCUUACCCACAUAAUGACACCCUGGUCAUCAUAGCAUGGAUUGGUGUCUAUCGGGUCGGGCGACUCAUGGUCGACGCCGGUAGCACCUCCAGUGUCAUGUUCUUAUGCGCCUACAAAACUAUGGAGCUAUCUAAGGGUCUAAUCGAAUCUGAUGAAACUCCUAUCUAUGGAUUUAACGGGGAGCCAACACAGUCCUUCGGGCGAGUCCACCUACCAAUUACGGUGGGAUUCGACACCGUCAGGAUAGACUUUAUGAUAGUCGACUCCCCCUCCUGCUACAACGUUAUUCUGGGAAGGGACUGGAUUUAUCAGAUGAAAGCUAUAAUUUUCACCUUCCACCAGAUCCUCAAAAUCUCAACUCUGAAUGGAAUUUGCAGGGUCAAAGGAGACCAAGGGAUGGCAUUCAAGUACCAUCUCAAAGCUGUCAAAGGGAAGUCCAUCUCCGAGACCAAGAGGAACAUUGUCUUCCUGACAGACUCUCAUCAAUAGCAACCAGUUCUCGGCAAGUAUGUCUAGGGGAAACCAUACAUGAGUGCCGAGAUAUCACCAACGGUCGAUGAGCUGGAAGAAGUUAUAGUGGGACCGGAGUCCCACAAGACAACUUACAUCUCUUCCGGUCUACCGGAGGUAGAGAAGGAUUUCAUGAUCACUCUGCUCCGGCAGAAUCACCACGUCUUCGCGUGGAGUGUCAAUGAGAUGGCAGGAAUAGACCCUGCGAUCGCCUGCCAUAAGCUGGACAUUGAUCCUCAGUUCAAGCCGGUCAACCAGCCAAGGCGAAUGGCACCGGAUCGAAAGCUGGCGAUCAAUGAAGAAGUCGAUCGGCUACUUUCAUUCAACUUCAUCAAACCAGUUAUCUACCCUACCUGGGUUUCCAACAUCGUGGUUGUCCCAAAGAAAAAUGGUAAGAUUCGAGUUUGCAUCGAUUUUACUAACCUUAAUAAAGCAUGUCCAGUACACCCAUAUCCACUCCUCAGGAUCACAGACAUGGUGGACGUCACCGCUGGAUAUCAAAGAUUGUCCUUCAUGGACGCCUACUCCGGGUACAAUCAGAUUCCACUUAACAAAUAAGAUCAGGAACAUACCGCAUUCAUCACCGACCAGGGGCUUUACUGCUACCGGGUGAUGCCAUUUGGUCGGAAGAAUGUCGGAGCAACAUACCUGAAGCUGGUCAAUACUAUCUUCAACGAACUCAUAGGCCGGACCAUGGAAGUCUACAUAAACGACAUGGUGGUUAAGACCAAGGAGAAAGACAAUCAUUUGCGACAUCUGCAGCAGACAUUAGACAUCGUGACACGGUACAAGAUGAAGUUGAAUCCAGCCAAAUGUUCUUUUGGUCUCUCUUCCAGCAAGUUCCUUGGGUUUAUCAUGACCAACCGGGGCAUAAAAGCCAACCCAGAUCAGAUCCGAGCAGUCCUGGAGAUGCUCGCCCAAAAGAUAGUGAAGGAGCUCCAAAGACUAACCUGGAGGUUAGCUGCUCUCAACAAGUUCAUCUCCCGGUACUCAGACUGAUGCAAGUCAUUCUUCAACGCAAUCAAAGCUAAUGCAGAAUGGAAUCCUACUUGUCAGCAAGCCUUUGAUGAGAUCAAAGCAUAUCUCACUCAACCUCCGGUUCUUACAACACCACAAAUCGGGCAACCAGUCGGCAUCUAUCUGGUUGCAUCUGAUAGCCGUUAGUGCGAUUAUAUUUGUGAAAGAAUCGGAGGAGAAGCCAGUUUACUUCAUCAGCAAAGUGUUACAGAGAGCUGAGACAAGAUAUUCAAAAAUCGAAAAGAUAGCUUUAGCUUUGGUACAUGCAGCCAGGAGGCUAAAGUCGUAUUUUUAAGGGAGAACAGUCAAAGUCAAUACAGAGUUCCCGCUUAGAAAAGCUUUUGGAAAGCAACAAGAGUCUAAUCGGCUAAUCGAAUGGUCUAGUUACCUCAGCACAUACCACAUCUGGUAUGACCCCAGAACCGCGGAGAAAGGGUGUAACGCCCAAAACCAUAUAACGAAUCCCCAUGACUCAAUGUCAGAUCUCGAGGCAUUAGAAUAACCUAACCCAUGUUAAAUAUAUAAUAAUACCAGAUUUUGAAUGAUAUUCAUAUAUAUAAUUGGCUUUAAAAAUACACAACUUAACAUAAUACAUAAUAAUACAAAGUUCUUUAAUCACUUCUAUACAAAAGAAACUAAGUACAUCUACCGCACGGACACUUAUAACAAUACCCUCUGUAACCUCCGCACAACCAUAUAUGCCGAAUCGAUCUAUCCUCGAGCAACUGUUUAACUAAAAAGGGGUUAAUGAUAGGGUGAGCAUUUCUACUUGCUCACUAGUGACUCACAUUUUCAAAAUACUAUCUAAUCAUGCAUGACGAUUAACCAUACGAAACAAUUGAAAUAAUGCAGGUUUUAACUUUAAUAAUAAAAUACAUAAGUAAUUUGAUUAGUAAAUAUUUUUAAACCAAAACUUUUACCUUUUAUAGUAAUCAUACUAACCAUGAAUCCAUACAAAAGUCGGGUAGCUGCAUCCUAUUAGAAUGAUGAGGUACGACCGCUAUACCGCCCUGGUCGCAGACAAUCUCUUGGUUCAGUACUUACCAAUGUGAACCUACAUCGUUAUUUCCUGAUUUUCGGUAGGGUGGGUGACUGUAUUACCGUUGUUGUGUUCCCAGAACACUAAACCUGUCCACUUAGGCUCAGGUGUCAGUACAAGAAAACAUGAAUUUUGGCACGAUUAAGAACCGUGGCAAAUUAAAGAGGUUUGCCACGGACCCGGACCGUGGCAAACAAUUUAGCUACCCCUUAAACCACCACGGUCAUGCCACGGAUUUGGACAGUGGCUAAUCACGUUUUGCCAUCGUUCCGGUCCAUGGCGAAUUUACAGUAUUCUUGUAGUGUGGGCCUUUGACCACGAUUCCUGAUAUAAGGAAUCCCUGAAUUACUGUGGUCAACUGUUCGACGACUGCAGACUGCACAGGAUCCUGACACACGUCCAGGAGUGGACUAACUCUCACACCUUGCGUCUAAACCUCAUCGAAGUAACAUGUAGCCUCAUCUGAACUAAUAGAUCAACAACGUACCACUACAUGAAUGAUGGUCUGGAAUGGAGAAAAGGAAUUCCCGGAUACAUCUCUAAUGUAUCUCUCUAGAAGACGGCCCAUUCGCCUUCUAAAGGUGAACACCAUAGAUGUCAUCCUAGAAUGAACAGCCAUCUCCGGAAUAUGACAACAACUCAUUCUUUAUAGGAAUUCAUAGGUCCCUCUCCAAACGACUUCAUUAUAUAAAUAUAUAUAAUUUCUUUUUAUUUUAAUUAACUAUAUAUACCAUAUAUUUAAAUUUGUGGUGAGUCCCCAGAUUUAAACAAUAUCUAUGGCUACCCUAACCGGGCCACAGCCAUAAUCGUGACAACAUACCAGAUCAAUAUUUCCAUCAAUCUAGGGACCCCACACAUCCCAGUUAUACAUUACAAUCGGGUUUCCUUGCCCCACAUUAUAAAACCAAAUCAUUCCACCAUUGGAAAGAGAUUGAUCGAGAAAUAUACAUAUACUGCUUUAAUAACUCCAGUUUAAAACAUGAUAUGUAUAACUAAUCACUUUAAUAAAACCAACCAUGCAUCUUUGUCAUCAAUAAUAUAUCAAUUAAUUUGCAACAUUAAAAUAUGACACACGAAAAGACAGUAUAAAAGAAAUGUAAGUCCCUACCUCUUGGCUUUUGCUCGCUAGCUCCUUAACUUCCUUUUUAAGUUUGAAGCACUCAAUUAGAAACACUGAUAUCCGAGAGCAUCUAUCAUUUCGCACUAAUAGGUGGCUACCAACUUAAUUAAUCAAUCCACAUGCUAAACAUUUCACCGGCCAAUUGUCGAGAUUCAUAAGCUCAUUUCACCCCAUCUUUGUGUUGAAACAAUAUUCAAUUGCAUAUCCCAAAUAAACCUUGACCCAGUUCACCCUAGUUUUGUCCCCUUGGAAGUUCCUACAGACUGUACACAGUUCACCCUAGCUGAAGCUGCUCAAGUGGGCUUCAACCUGCCAAUCUUUAACACUGGCACUCAAAUGCAAUUACAGGAAGAAUUCCAUCUCCUCAAGACUGACUCUCAAGAAGAUCACAAGAUUUGGCCUCACCCUAGCAAGGUUCUGAACUGGGCUCACCUAUUCUUAGGAAGAUAUGGCAACCAUUCAUUCCCACCAAGAUUUCUUUCUUCAUGUGGAAGUUACUUCAUGGUGUAAUACCUGUAGAUGCUGCAAUUGCUAGAUGUCAUAUCCCAAUGGUAUCUAAAUGCAUAUGUUGCACCAAUGCUAAAGAGGAAUCCAACAUGCAUCUGUUUCUACAGAAUGAUCUGGCAGGUCCAGUCUGGGCACAUUUCAAUGUUAUUUUUGGUCUCCAUAUGCCUAGGUUCUUCAACCUAGGGGUUAUUCUAUGGGAAUGGUUCAAAGUGGGAAAGAUGGGAUCAAUGGAACAACUAUGUCAUUGCCUCACUCCUAUGGCAAUCUUGUGGGAAGUAUGGAAAGAGAGGUGUGCUAGAAGAUAUGAUGAUAAACAUCAUUGGAACUACAACCAAUGCAGUUUACUCAUCCUCAAAGUUGGGUACUGGCUGGUUAAACUCUAUCAACAUUUUGUCCCAAAAUGUAGGUCCAACAAUGGUUUUGGUCAGAUAGCCUUGCAAUUGGGGGUAACUGCCAAAAACCCACCUCUUAAGCCCCCUGUCAUUGUUUUCUGGACUAGGUCUCCAGAGGGAUUUGUGGCCCUUAAUACAGAUGGUGCUGCAUGUAAUGGGACUGCAGCUGGUGGAGGGGUUAUUAGAGAUGUUGCAGGACAUCAUGUUUCUAACUUCUACUCCUACUAUGGGCCAGGUACCAACAAUGUUGCAGAGACAAAGGCUACUCUAGAUGGCAUUGCCCUUUGUUCUAUUUUGUGCUUCAAUAGGGUGCAAAUUCAAACAGACUCCAUGAUGGCAGCCAGGUGGUAUAACUCAGAGAUUCCAAUUCCUUGGCAUCUAAGGGUUUGGUGGAACCAUAUUAAGGGACGACCAAAAACAUGCAAGUGAUGGUUACUCAUGUGUACAGGGAAGGAAAUAGUUUGACGGAUUACCUAUCUAAACAAGGUACGAAACAUAGAAGCAUGGGAGCAAUCAACAACAAUGUGGAUAUUAAAUUCAAGCAAAUUCAAGCAGGAGACAUAACAGGAAUUCCAUAUAUCAGACAUGCAAACUAACAAGUCUACAAAAGCCCACUUCAAGCAAGUCACUAGCAAGUGGUUCUGGGAAGUCUCCACAUUACAGAAAAUGAAAACUCACAUUUCAAUUCUAGGCUUUUUGGCCUUGCUGGCUACUUCCUCUCCAUCAGAUUCAGAAGGUCCAGAGUCAUCAAUCUCCACUGCUGGUUCAUCAGGUGCAUGAACUUGGUCCUCUUCUGCAGCUAUAUGAUCUUCACCAACAUUAUCAUCUUCAGCAACUUCCUCUUCAUCAUCACUGAGAACUAUAAUAACCCCUGCAUUGGGGUACGGUCAUUCACAAGGACGGCUUGCUCAUUGCCAUUAACAUCACCAGGCAGAGGUUCAUCAUCCCAGCCAAGGUUAGAAGAUUUCACCCUGCAAGUAUCGCAAGUUCUAAUGGUAAACCUACCGUAAAAGCUCCAAUCAGAACACAUAUCUUGGAGGGAUUUUCCUCCUGCACUAAGCCAAGUAUCAAAAUGAAUUCAGUCAUCUCUCCUAACCUUCUCUGGAGGGUGGGGGAAAAAGUUAGAAAGAUGAUCUUGAUUAAGAUCCAGAGCAUUCACUGCAGUCAUGCAAACAAUCCUCAAGUUGUUGUGGAAGGAUUCAAAUCCGGAGAAAUGAAGAAGGCACAUGGAUCUACGUACAGAGAGGUAAAUCUGAUCAUACAUUGUAGCAGCAUCUUGACGACGAUUGACAGAAGAAUCAGAACUAGAAGAAGGAGAGGGAGAGGCAGCCAUGGUUUCUCGAGAAAACCUCUGAACAACAGAAGGGUAUUGAAUGAAAAGGUAGCUCCUUUUGGCGCUUCAUGUUCCAAGCAACUGACCUUGUACUGGGCCUCUUUAGGGCUUUUCCUUUGUGUAUUAUUUUUCUUGGGCUUGGAUCACUAUUCUGUAUUGAGGAAGGCCUAUAUCCCCCUCCUUGGUAUCAUUUACUAUCUCUAUUUACAGGUAGGGGUCCAGCCAAACCCCAUUUUAUAACAAAUAAAAAUAAAAAAAAAAAAAAAAAAAACCUUGACAUACAUCCUAUUCAUUUAGGUUGAUCCAUAUCACCUUAUAAACUGACUAGGUAUGACCCGUCCCUUCGGGACGCUUAUUCUUAAUUAUAUUUAAAUUACUAAUUUUUAUAUUUGGACACAAAUCUAAAAUCUAAAUGAUUAAAAUAGGCAAUUGAUAGUUAACUUGAUUAAAAUAGUUAAUUUGAAUUUAUUUUAUACUUGUAUUGAGUAACUCAAUGAUAAUAAACGUCAAAAAAUUGUGAUUGCUCUAAUAUAAUUUGUGAAGUCCUCUAUAUGUAAAUUAUAGAGAUAAUUAAACAUUUUUAUUACUAAAAAAUAAAUCGUAUACUAUUAUUUGUUGUAUACAGAAAUAAAUUUAACAGAGAUAAAUAAAGAAUAUAUUAAAUUUUCAUAGCUUUAUUUUCACGACUUCUGAAUUGAUAUUUUCAGUUGUAGUUGCACGAAUCUUUUCUAUUAGUUUCACAUAUUCCAUUCUUUCUUGAAAAUAGUUGUUAGACCAUUUUUGGGCUUCAUUUUUUGUCAAGAAAAUCCCUGAGAAACCAUAGCAUAGGAUAUAUGUGGAUCACCUUCUUUUGAUGAUGUACCUACCUUUACACCAUUUGCAACGUCUUUAUUGUGAUGUUUGCAUAGUUAUUCCAUUUCUUGGAUGCAUUUUGAAGUUAAUUUUCUAUGCCAUAAUUAAUGAAGGAAUGUGUAGAUGUUAUCUUCUUUGAAAAAUCUGAAAAAUAUGCCUCCAAGUAUGGCUUGUACAACUGUUUGAUAGAAUAAUCUUUAUGUCAUAUUGCAUAUAUGAAGGUUCAUUAACUUGCAACCCUCAUCACAUUGUACGAUAGAAUAGUCCUCAUAUCGUGGUUUAAUGAUCUAAAAGUUCGAAUAAGAAGAAUAGUGGAUAUCAUUCUUUGCAAGGUGUCAGCUACCCUGUUGGAUUCUCUGUAUAUUUUUUAGUCCCACCUUUUGUAAUUUCCUAAACCAUGGCUAGAAGCCUAACUGAAAUGAUUGAGUUUCCCAUAAACUAUCUUCACAUUGCACAACAAAAUUAAAAUUGGUAUUUGUCAUUCUGACGAAGUUGAAUUCAAGGUUCUAAUGCCAUGUUUCUAUUAUUCCAAAUCUCCAUCAUAAUUUCCAUUAGAUGUGAGAUAUUUAGUACCUACUUGCUUUGGUUGCUCGGUUAGGUUAUUCUCUUGCUUUAUCUAUUAUUGUACAUGUAGGCAUUCAACACAUACAGUCUUAGACUGCUACUUUGUCUACUUUUAGGCUUGCUCUGAAUCAUCAUAAUACCAUUGUAUCAUAAACCCAUGAAGUACGGAUUUAACUUACUCUUACAAAUUUUGUGCUAAAGAAGUUUACUGUCACUUAUAUUAAGGAGCAUAAUCAUAUCUCUACAAACUCAGAAGCACCUAUCUAUAAUUAUCAUCAGUCUCAACUUUACAUUAAUGGUAUGUAUAACAUUAAUUUCAUCAAAGCAUGAUGUAGUUCUUGGUCAGCAUGGUUGACGCACCAUCAAGUAUGACCCAAUGACUGCAAAAUACAAAGGAAAAUAACAACCGUAAACCAACUUUAGUAAACUAUUUACGUUUUGCCCGCCCUAUUAUUCGUUCUUCCCUAUAAUACAAUUUGCUCUACGGUAUUAUUUCUAUAUCGGAUCUAUCUGUAGAAUAUACUUUUACCACCUAAUCAUUUUGAAAGAUACAAUCAUUCUGUCAUAAUUUAGUAUGCAUCCCUUAAACCAGUAUAUUUUCAGAGCCUAUGAACUUUCAGAACAAUGCCACACAAUUCCUUGGAUUUGUUUGACAGUACGUCAAUACCACCCACCCCUUGCUACAUACGCUGGAAUAUAAUAUUUGAUUAAAUAACAAAUUGAUAGUAAUCAAGCCAAAUGGCCGGUAAUUCUGGGACUUAUAGUAAAGGGAUAGUAAAAUGGAGGUGUUCUUUGAUUAAAUUGUAUAAACAACAAAGUAAAAUUUGUAGACACUAAAUUCAAAAUCAAUCUCAGUUAGCUAGUUCCUUUGGUUGAUCCUCGUAUUCCCAAAGGAUAAAAUAAAUACUUUUGCAAUUGACUACUGGUUCCUAUGAGAGAAUAAUUUUGGUGCAUCCAAAUUCAAGAAAUUGCAAUUCUAGAAAUAUAUAUAUAUAUAUAUAUAUAUAUAUAUAGAAAGAGAGAACUUGAAUGAUGGAGGGUCAUGUCAAAGACUGGAACUCGAAAGUUUUUGAUGUUUGAUAGUAAUAUAAAAAACUACAUGGUAACCUGAUAGAUUUAAUGUCACUUACAAAAUAAUAAAUUCAAAAAAUUGAAACUAAUAAUUAUGCAGUUAAGAUGAACAACCAGUGAGGCCUUUAAUCAGAUACAAUGUUCUAGUGAAAUUCUUGCUUAUUAAAUGUACACAUAUUGGCCCUAAAAUUAGUUUAAUAGAAGUUAUCACGCACAAUUAACCUUGGGCAAGAAUUAUGUGUUAUUGUUGGGGAUAAAAUAGGCUGGUAAGAUGCAGUAGAUUAAUUCAGGAAUGUAUCCAAGGCCCAACAUACAAAUUUAAGUGUAACCAAACAUUGCCUGAACCAUAGAUCACCAAACACGGUGACGAAAAUUGUGUUUUCUCAUGAAUUUUUUUUUCCAGAAGAUCAGUUUGAAUAUUAAUGAUAGACCUUGCAGACAUCGCACAACCUAAGAAUGGAAAUGUGUCUCGCGUGCAAAAAUUUGUCAACCAACCCUUUGCAUGAAUUCUUUAUCCUAUAAGAACGUAUUUACAUGUAGACCCAACCAACCUGUGACACUGAAAGUAUUCAAUUAAUCAUAUUCUGAUAAAACUUUGUAGAGGUUGUGAAAGACUAUUUAUACUAUGGGCAAAAGUGAACUGGCUGACGUUUGUGCUUCAUUAUUUAUUAGAUUCAUAGCUAUAGUCAGAAAUUUCCAAGGUCGCUUUCAAAGAGCUUGAAAGAUUCCUUGGUAAAUCUGAUGGUUCAUUUAUCAUUUAGAAUAGUUGUUCUGCUGAUCUCAUAAACUCCUUUGAAUUCCUAAAUAUCAGUUUUAUUACUUCCUGAUUUUGUGUGGCUGCAACAAAGAAGUUACGACAUUCAUUCAACCAUUUGUAUAUAAAGAAAAAAUAUAUUUAAGUAAUCAAUCAACAUUUACCACUGGUGAAGACAUGAUUUUCAAAUUGAAACUUGGCUUUGUUAGGUGAUAAUCCAUAGUAGUUUUUCUUCGAUGGAAACACCCAGUUCCACAAUAGAUUUGUCCUUGAAUUUCCAGCAAUUCAACACAAAAAAUAUUGUUGAAAAGUAAGUACUUACAUUAGUGAUAGUCCUUGUUAUCACCUCAACACACCAUUAUAUCUAUAAAACAAAAUUUUUGUUUGCGAAAAUUUUGAUUUUUCUAGAAAUGUAUAAAUGAAGUUAAAACUAUUCAUUUAUAAAUAAAAUUUGAAGCAUUGACAUGAAAGCAACAACGAUAGUAUUAGGUUGAAAUCACUAAAAGAAUCGUUAGUCAAAUAUCAAAUUAAAAAUAGAAAUAUUAAUUAAUUGUAUAAAGCUCAUAUAGUCCAGGUUUAAGGAUGAGUUGUAUGUAUUAUUUGUAUAAUUGACUUUGGCUAUAGAUACUGAAAAUUAAAAUAAAAUUAAACACAAAAAAACUUGAAUUUCAAAUUUUUCUUUAUUGAAAAGGAGAGAAAAAAAUAAAGUGUCCAUUGAUGAAAAUAUGAGAGUAAAGAGGUGAUAGAGGUUUGAUGAUAACCUAGAACUGAUUGAUAACAUGGAGAGACGUAUGAAACAGAUAGAGUUGUAUGAUAGAAUCUAUACUCUCUAUUAAAGUUAGGCAUGCCCUUAAGCAAGCAAUAGUUAAUUAGUAAGUAUAUUUAAGUAAUUUCACACCAAAUUAAAUAUUUAACGUUAACCAAUAUAAGAUAAACACUAAUUUGUAAACAUCAAAAGUUGAUCCAUAUGAAAAAAUUGAUGCUUUAAUUGAAGAGAAUUUUGUUAAACCAAAAUUAAAAAUUUAUUAAAAUCACAUAACUAAAAUUUAUCCAAAAUAUGUUCAAAAAUCAAAAGAAAUAAACAUUAUAACUUGGUUAAAUCAAUAUGUUUACAAAUCAAAUCAAUUGAACAUCUUAUCCAAAAUAUUGGUAUUUUGUCAAAAGUUAAAAUUAAAUCUUUUGUUAAAAAAAAUAAAAAUAUAGUAACAUAAGCAAGUUAAUGUCAAGAAUUUGGAUUGUGAGCUUGGAGAUGUAAUUUACAAUCCAAAUUAAAAACUUCAAUCAUAUAAUUUAAAUUGCUAAGAAAAUUAUAUAAGUAAACAAAUACAAUAAAUAAAUCCUCAAAAAACAUUAUAAAAUAAUAAUAAUUUAUUAAUAUUAAUAUUAAUAUUAUUAUUAUUAUUAUUAUUAUUAUUAUUAUUUCAUAUUACAUCUUCGAUAACUACACAAAAAAUGAGAAUACAAUUAAAAUUAAUUUGAUCUAAAACUUAAAAAUAAAACCUUUAAAUCAAGAUACAACAAUAAUGUUAUGGAGGAAUUAGAAAAUAAAUAUACACAUACGUAAUAAAAUUCUACUUUCAAUCAAUUUCAUUAGCAAAAAUCAAAACCAAAAUCAAAUUAUAACAUGUAAAACUUACAUAUAAAAUAACACCUGUGUAUUGCACGGGUUAAAUAACUCAAUCUCUAUAAUCUCAUUAAAACCCAAUCUCUAUAAUCUCAUGUGCAAAUCUUGACCGUCCUUUGUCUCUUUAGCAAGUUUUAUAAGUGCCGGUUAUAAUAUAGAUUUCACAUUUUUGUACCCGAAUUACCAAAUCACCAACCGUAGCCAAUGAUAUCACAUUACGACGUCGCACUCGAUCAAGAGUUUCUCAACCCACACGGUAAAAACACAAAGUUAAUUAAGUGGGUAAUCCAAUUUCAUUCAAUGAUCCAAGGAAUUGGUGGUUCUCUUUACUGCAAAAUAUGGAAAUGAAAUUACCUUUUCUCUAAGAAAUCAAUGAACAUGGCAUACAUAUCUUUCUCCUCGCCACUGUCACCACCUCCCUUCUUCUACUCAUUCCUUUUUCAACCAUGGAACUACUACCAAGCUCAUAAAUAAACCAGCCCCUUCCACUUCCUCUUAUUCUUUUUUUUUCUCAGACAUUAAUAUGACCACUUUAGUGAAUUAGUCAGUAGUAAUCUUCCCUAACUCCCUUCCUUAUUCUAUUUAGGGGUAUUUUGUAUUUGGUCCCUCUAGAAUAUAUGGGUAAUUAGCAUUUGGUUCAAUUUUUAUCGUUUAUUAGCAAAUAGUCCCUUUUUCGUCACUUGAGUGCUAGUCAACCCAGUUGACCAGAGUCAAGGCAUCCAUAUUUUUUAAUGACCAAACUACCCUUUCACGUGAGUACAAAACACAAUUUAGUUGUUUGUAAACAUACAAAAUUAGUUUAUGGUCAUUCUUUUUCAUAUUUCGUUUCAAAUAUAGUCCCUGUAAAAAAUAAUGGAAAUAGCCAUGGAAGUCAUUUUACCUUAGUUAGAGUGAAGUAAAACAUGUAACCACCACCCAUGGAACCUCUAGAACUUUAUUCUCCUGUGUUUACAAAUGAAGAUGACAAUCAAGUGAAGGAAAAUUCUAGACAUUCCAUGGGUCGUGGUUACAUAUUCAAGUUCAAUCCGGUAAGAUAACUUUCAUGGAUAUUUCUAUUACUGUUUACAGGGACUAUAUAUAAAACGAAAUAUGAAAAAAGGGGACUAUAAACUAAUUUUGCAUGUUUACAAACAACUAAAUUGUGUUUUUUGAGUUUUGAAUUUUGCCACGUGCUAGUCACGUGAAAGGGUAGUUUGGUCAUUAAGAAAAUAUAGAUGACUUGACUCUGGUCAACUGGGUUGACUGACAGUCAACUGACGAAAAAAGAAUCAUUUACUAAUAAACAAUAAAGAUUUGACCAAAUACUAAUUACCCAUCUCUAAAGGUGAAACCGGCACGAAGUGGUUUGACAUCAAUUUUGUGACAAAGUGUCUUUGGUUAUCUCGCCUUGAAUUCAUUGUUAGGAAAAUCAAGAUGUACGCAUGGUCGUCUCGUGUCCUUGUGUCUCUUAGGUCUGUCUAGGGAAAGUUAUUGGGUUCUGGACGUACGUACCGAGUUAGGACGUACGUACGUUCACUGAAGCAGCAAACUUCUUUUGGUCAGGACGUACGUACUUGUUUAGGACGUUCGUACGUCCAGGUAGUCAGCAGACAUGUUUUCGUAUGGAGACGUACGUACCUGUUUAGAGCGUUCGUACGUCAUGUUAGGCAGCAGGCUUAUUUUUGUGUGGCGACGUUCGAACGUCAUAUCGACGUACGAACGUCCAAAGUCGGUUUGCACAGUUUCGGCCCAUUUUCCUAGGUUUUCAACCCUAAGUAUAAAUAGGGUUUCUCUUCUACAGAACAAGACAGUUCUUUGGCCGUCCAUCCUUCUUCUUGUUCAUGUGUUUUGGUUAGGUUUUUGAUAUUAAACUUGUUUGUGGCUAUUGAACUCAAUUCCCUUUCUUCCCCCUUUUCCCAAUUCAUAUCUUUGUGAUCUUCAAAUGUUAUUGUGAAUUCGGCUUCGAGUCUUCUUGUGUGUUCAUCAAGAAGUCGAGUGUCUUGUGCGUACUUCAAGGUGCUCUGGUGAAGUCAAGGUGUUAGAGAUAACCAGGAGUAUCAACUCGCAGUGAGUGCAGGUAGUUGAUAGGUUUGUACAUCUCUUUUCAUCUAGUGGAUUAUUUUGUUGUCGCGAGGACAACCGUGGACGUUUCCCUGUUUGGGUUUUACCACGUUAAAAAUCUCUGUGUGUUAUUUACUUUCUGCGUAUUGUUUGUUUGCUUGUUUGAAUUCACAUUUGUUAUACUAGCACUAUUUGUAGUUUCUCAAUUGGUAUCAGUCGCUGGGGGCUGGUUAAGGAGCGUAAAGGCUCACGCUAACGAUCAAUAGUGCUUUAUGGAAUCUCACAAGUCUGCUACUUCAAGUCUCCCUCCACAAUUCAGUGGAAAGGACUUUGGUCAUUGGAAAGUACGAAUGCGAGCUUAUCUCCAAGCAUUAGGAGAAGAAGUCUGGCUUUCUGUUGUCACAGGGUGGAAAGAACCUCUGACUACUACAGGUACUGAUGAUACUGCUGUUACAUCACUGACGCCACGUGAAAAGUGGACGCCUGAACAGAAGUUGUUGGCAAAUUAUAACAACAAGGCACUCAAUGCUAUUUUCAUGGCAUUAAAUGCUAGUGAGUUUCGUAGGGUGCAGGGCUGUGAAGAGGCUAAAGAUGCAUGGAACAGGCUUAUCUGUACACAUGAAGGUGACGAAACAGUCAAAGAAAGUAAGCUGGAACUGUUAACAUCUCAGUUUGAGAAUCUACGGAUGGAUAAUUCUGAGACCUUUGAUGAUUUCUUUAUUCGUCUCCAAGACAUCAUCAACUGCAGUGCAGCUAUUGGUCAGGCAUAUACUGACACACAGGUGGUACGCAAGAUAUUGCGUGCUUUGCCUCCUCGGUUUCGUUCACGAAAGGAUGCCAUCACUGAAAGUAAUGUAAUUAAGAACAUGUCCAUCGAGACACUUGCUGGCAAACUAAGGACAUGUGAGAUGGAACAGGCUUUGGAAGAACCUUUGAAGAACAAAUCUGUUGCAUUCAGAGCUACAUCGUCUAAAGAACCUUCCACAGGACAUUCUGAUGAUGAAGAACAGGAUGUAGAUGAUAACUAUGCGUUUCUGUCACGUAGCUUUCAGAAGAUUCUGAAAUAUCAACAGAAUCGAGAUCCUCGAAAGCGAUUUCCUGAUUCCUCAAAUGCUCCUAGAAGUCGUGGUUUUGAGCGGUUCUCUGUGGAUGGGAGGAGAGCUCGGGUUGACCGUAAAGAUGUCCAAUGUUACAAGUGUCGUGAGUAUGGACACUUUGCAAAUGAAUGUGAUAAGAAGGUUGAUCGCAAACCUGGUGAUAAUUCCAAAGCGAAUCUCACAGUCACAUGGGAUGAUUCAGAUGAAGAUGAUGAUGGGAAUCUCUCGAAUGUUGUCUCUAAUUAUGUGGUCUUCAGUGCAUCCCUGGAUGAACAUCCAGGAGGUAUUGUAUCCUCUUCUACUGAUAUUAAUGUUUCUGAUUCUGGUGUUCAUGCUACUACUAGUGAAUUAUGUGACAUGUAUAAGUUUUCUAUGCAACAAGUAAAGUUGCUUGAAAAAACUAACACCGUCUUGCAGGAUCAGGUAGAGAGUCUUGGACAGGAUAUAUGCAACCUUACAGGUGAUUCCAACAUGUUGAAGGAAGAAUUUGUGAAGGAAAAGGAGGACUUCCAAGUGCGUAUUGUCACUCUGGAAAAACUGAAUAAUGAUCUUGAAACACGGUAUCGAUCCCUUGUACUGGAGCAUGAGAGAGUAAAGGCCGAGUUGUUUGCUGCUAACAAACAAUUGGUUGGGUUUGGUAAAGCAAGUACUAAUCUAAACUCUCUGUUGGGAAUCGGUAAAUCCCAUUCAGAUAAAUCUGGUUUAGGUUAUGACACCUCUGUUCCCCUUGCUACUGCUAGCACUUCCCGCACUACCUUUGUGCGACCAACAAGUGUCACUAUUCCUGCUCCUGUGCAGGUGUCUAGUGUGGUAUCACCACCCAAGGUUACUCAUGUGAAGCAAGUUCGGAAAAAGAACUCAAGACACAAAGGCUUUAAAUGUCUAACAUGUGGUCGCAUGGGUCACACUUCUGCCUUUUGUUGGAAUAAUUUGUAUCCUGCUCAUCAUCCUUCUUUUGCAGGUAACUCAUAUUGGAACAAGUCUUCCACCUUCUCCAUGCAGGCUCCAUACAUGUGGAAUGGCUAUGCUCCGUGGGGUUUACCCAGAACUUCUCCCUAUGGAAACCGUGCUCAAGCAACACCCAUGCCUACUCCACCACCACAUUUCUGGGAUAGGAGUAUGGAUGCAUCCAGGAAAAUGGUGUCUCACAUGGCUCGUUUGGUUGAACCAUUGCCUUCAUCAUGGUAUCUUGACAGCGGUUGUUCGCGUCAUAUGACAGGUGAUAAGACUCUGAUUGAUAACCUGACUCUUGGUUAUGGAGGUAAGGUUAGGUUUGGUAAUGGUAAAUUGCUUCCGGUUGAAGGAAAAGGUAUCUUUUCUGAGGUUGAAUCGCUCAAUAGUCAUGAGCUUCUUUUUGUUAAGGGUCUUAGGUCAAAUCUAUUGAGUAUUAGUCAGUUAUGUGAUGCUAAAUUUAAGGUUGUGUUUGAGGAUGAUAGGUGUGAUGUUUUUGAUUCCAAUAAUAUCUUGGUGUUAUCUGGUAGUCGCUCAUCUGAUAACUGCUUCAUUGUUACUACACCUCUUCUGCAUUCAUAUGUCUAAUGUGUUCCUUGGAACUGUCUGUGUUUAGGAUGUUUAGGGUUGGUCAUUUAUUGUUGUUAUUGGUAUUGAGAACAUACUACAUUCUCUAUUGUGUGGAUUUCAUUUUACAAAUGUUUCUAGUUUGGCGUUCUCAACUGUCUUUGUGUCAUGCAUAGGUGUAGGGUUACAUUAUACUCUCUUCGUAUUGGUAGUUUCUUGCAUGAUGCAUUUCAAUGUGGUGGGCUUGACAUUUUCAAUACAUGUUUAACUCCAGUCUUCCAUGGGUGAUUUUUCAUGAUCGUUGUUUCUUUUUAUUUUUUUUUUUUUUCUCACCUCUUGUAAGUGGUCAAUGACUCACAAAAUCCCCAGCCAUUUGAAUGUCUUGAGAGCAUACUCAUUUGGCUAAGAACCCGUUGGGGCUGUGAGGGUCAUGCUCUGACGGUUGCACUCAAGAGAUGUUAGUUCUUGUGUUGCACAUUAUCAUGGUAUUGCACUUCUUGAGUGUGUUUUGCCGAAAAGAUGUAGGCUACACCCUACCCUCGUGUUCUGGUAAAAGAUGGAGAUAUUUCAUACUCCCACACGGGAAUGGCAUCUGUUUCAGUGGUUUACAAAAAAAAAAAAAAAAAAAAAAAAAAAAACUGAAUGAAUAGUGGCUUUCGCAUUUGUCUAGUUGAAGGACUAGAAGAAAAACAAUAGUGUGUGUUUUUGGGCUAGUUGCAAGUGACCUUCAAUAUUCUCUAUGAUCAUGUCUUUAGUUUGUUUUUCGGAGGUUGGUAUUGGUCUAUCAGGUUCUUCUACAUACUUGCAUCAUUCUAGUAACUACCAUGUCAUGGUGUAUGAUGUCGUUCUUCGAUUUUGCAUUCUCUUGUAGUUGAGGUUUGUUUAAACUAUAUUCGGUUGUAAUUGGAAUUCGUAUGAUACGUAGAAGUGUUUUCUUGUGAUGUCUCUCAAUAUAUGUUUCUUUUUCGGGUUAUGUGGUUUAUUUUCAAAAAAAAAAAAAAAAAAAAAAAAAAAAAAAUGUGUGGUCGUACGAACGCUGUUAUGACGUUCGAACGUUGAGGUGGGCAGAUCUUUUUCCAACGCACGAACGUUUUCAGAACGUACGAACGUAGGGUCUGACAGAUGUUUUUUUUGGGUCCCGACGUACGAACGUUAUUAGAACGUACGAACGUCCCUGAAACAGUCCGGCCCAUUUGCUGUUUAAAAAACCAAAUUUUUUUUUAAACACAAAGCCUACUGUUAUAUAAAUCGUGUUUCCCUCCUUGUUACACUACAAGCUGUUAGUUUUUGGUCGUUUCUCCUCAUUGUCUUAGGUGAUUCUCUUCUCUCUCAACUUGUUUGCAAUUUGUUCAUCUUCUCUUCUCCUUGUUUUGGUCCGGUGUGUUGGUCGGGAGAUUUGUUCGUCAUUCUCACUCACAAUCACUUGUAAGUUUUCUUUUGUUCCUUCUUCUCUUCUCUAUUGUCAUGUUCUUGUUGAUAUUUUGGGUUUGCUUUAUCAUAUAUUGUUAGUUAAGGUUGUAUGCUUGUUUGUUGUCUUCAUGGGACUUGGUGUUUCUAUACUCGCUCUUGCCGCCAUUUUAGUUGGUAAUGACCUUGGGAAGUGGUUUGUUCUUGGUCUCUAUUGUGUCUUUCUGUUUUGCUAUGUGUUUUGGGUGCUUGCGAUUCUUUCAUUGUUGUCGAUAGCACAUGCUUAGGUUUCUGCACACCAAGUGUUUGAUGAAAUGCCUCUAUGGGCUUGAAUUUGGUUAUUUUGUCCAUUUUCUUACAUUUUUGGUUUGUGUACUGGUGUGUUUGUGUAGGAAAUGUCUUCAAAGCGUGCACGCACCUCCACGGCAUCCGCAUCUAAGGGUGCAUCUUCUUCUCGCGCUCCGAGGAGUCGUGGUUCCACUCCGGGUUUGUCUCAUCCAUCAUCCCUUGGCGCUCAUCCUCGAGCCAAGGCCAUUGUUCCCGAGCGGUUCUUCGACUUGGGAGACAUUGCUGCCACCCCUCUAGGGGCAUCUCAACUUGGCAAUAUCGCAUUGUUCUUUGAGACUCGGAAUUGGCUAAGGGUGGCUCAACCAAUCACCAAGUACUCGGUUGAGCAUACGAUAGCUUUCUAUGAGACAAAGACACCCUCGCAAAAUCGAUCGAGUUUUUCGGUUUUGAUUGAAGGUCGGCGAUACACCAUUUCUCCUAAGGUGAUACGCGAGGCGUUGGGUAUUGAUGGUGACUUUAUUCCUGAGGAUGCUGUCUCUGUUAGAUGGCCCGUUCCGGAGACAAUUCAAAUUGACUUUGUCAAUCAAGUUCAGCAGAUGUUUAUUGAUGGUGUCACGGAAAGGUAUCAUGCCAAGCACUACAGCGCCAUCCUCCUGCACAUGGUUGCUCACUCCAACAUCUACCCCACCAAGGGCAACAAGAUAAUUAUGACCGACGACAUGGUCAAAUUGGUGGUUUGUAUGUCGGUGCACCAUAUUCAUCUCUCUGAGGUCAUCUACAAUCGGAUGCUUCAAAUUGAUGCAGCUAAGGGUACUCUUCCUUUCCCUAGCUUUAUUAUGACAAUUCUCAGGCACUUGGGUUUUCAGGGACAGUAUUUGGGGGUGAGCCCCCCAAAGUUUGUUGGCCACGACUGGGUCAACGCUAUUAAAAAGGGCUGUCAGUCUCGAAAGUUGGCUUUCGAGUCCGUGGGUGCGCGUCUGACGCACCACCUCAUUUGGGGAGGCAGGGCACUUGUGCGUAAUGAUGAUUUCGAUCGGGCCUUGACCACUGGACGCCCCAUCCCUGCUUCUGCUAGGGGAAAUCGGGCUGUUGCAGCCAUUGAUGCUCGGGUUUCCUCUCUCCGACGUCAUCAGGACCAUAUGGAUGCUCGGUUGGAUCGUUUUGGGGUCAUUCUCUCUCGUCAUGAUGUCAUGAUCAGUGAUAUUCAUGCGAUGACCGUUGCUCAGAUGCAUCAUCUACAGCUGGACUUCACUCCCACAGACUUGCCUCCGUUUCCGGAAGAGGUGCCUCCAGCUCAAGGUGCGAGUGAUGGUGAUGACUCAGAGAGUGAGGACGAGGGUGAUGGUGAACCGAGUGAUGGUGACUCGGACUCCGAGUAGUUGUUUUUUUCUGGUUUACUCUUCACAUUUUUGUACUUAUUUUGUUUUUGCUAUAUCGGUUUAUUUCUAUUCUUUUAGUAUUGUACAUGUUCUUGGAUAUUGCUAUUUUCAUAUUAGUUCAAGUUGGUUUCCUUGUUUUGCAGUAAAUUUUUCUGAGGUAAUGGACCUUUCUUUUGGGUCCAUGAUAUGUUUACUCCUAUUUUUCUUAUAAAUAGGGAGUCUUCUUCUCUUUCACUCCUAUUGUGUCUUUUUCCCUCUUGCUAAUUCUCUCUUUGUUCUUCAGAAUUCUCUAUGGCAGAAUAUGAACUUCAUGGAAUUUUUGUUCCGAAUGUUGGUUAUGUGUCGUUCAUGGUAAUGGAGUACAAGAACAAUGCUAAGGUUUGUCGUUUGUGUCGCGUUCCCCAUGGAUAUGACUAUAUUCAUCGUCCUUUCCUUAAUCCUUGUUUGGUUCGUGUCAAUCAUUGGGAGAGAUUACCGGGACAUCUUCAAAAUCACAUCUUGGAGUUAGUUGGUUAUCCGAAGGUUCCAGGACUUGCUGCUCCACUUACCGACUGUGGCUUGGACAGCAGAAUUGAGGAGUUGUUUUGUACGAGUGAAUGGUUGGAGGAUUAUGAUGAUCAUGUGAUUGCUCGGUGGAAUCGACCUUCGGCUCGUGCGGAAGCUUACUUCUCCAAGCUUCCUCUAGGUCAUUGGGAACGGGUUUUUCGAAUUCGUUAACUCAGGCCUUAUGUUUUUGUCGUUUUUGUUUUUCUAUUUAUGGAUUUCUCUAUUUGGUCAUUAGUUGACUUUCUGAACUUUUAAUAGUUGGAUUAGUUUUAUAUUUUUAUCUGUUUUGUAUUCUUUGUUUGGUACUUUUUGGUUAUUGGCUUCUUAUUGUUCUUUUCCUUUGUUGGUUGGUUAUUUUGUUCACUUGUUGUGACAAAAAGGGGGAGAUUUAUGACUCUAUUUACUAACAAUCGUCUUCUUGUUGUUAGGUUAUUUUUGGGUCAUGUUUCAGGUAUGCUACACGUAUGGGGGAGUUGCUCAUGAAGUUUGGAGCUCAUGAAGUAUAGGGGAGUCGCUCAUGAAGUUUGGAGCUCAUGAAGUAUGGGGGAGUUGCUCGAAGGAACUUCUCUUCCUAAAACUGGAUAACAAGAAUUGGUGACUUGUUAUGUGGUUCUAUUUUGAGUGUUUUUGUAGGCAUGUUUUAUAAAUGCCAUGGUUUGGGAUUGUAAGCACGUUUUAUAAGUGCUAUUAGAGUCAUAGGUUUUUUUCACAAAAUCAAUGUCAAAGGGGGAGAUUGAAACCGGCACGAAGUGGUUUGACAUCAAUUUUGUGACAAAGUGUCUUUGGUUAUCUCGCCUUGAAUUCAUUGUUAGGAAAAUCAAGAUGUACGCAUGGUCGUCUCGUGUCCUUGUGUCUCUUAGGUCUGUCUAGGGAAAGUUAUUGGGUUCUGGACGUACGUACCGAGUUAGGACGUACGUACGUUCACUGAAGCAGCGAACUUCUUUUGGUCAGGACGUACGUACUUGUUUAGGACGUUCGUACGUCCAGGUAGUCAGCAGACAUGUUUUCGUAUGGAGACGUACGUACCUGUUUAGAGCGUUCGUACGUCAUGUUAGGCAGCAGGCUUAUUUUUGUGUGGCGACGUUCGAACGUCAUAUCGACGUACGAACGUCCAAAGUCGGUUUGCACAGUUUCGGCCCAUUUUCCUAGGUUUUCAACCCUAAGUAUAAAUAGGGUUUCUCUUCUACAGAACAAGACAGUUCUUUGGCCGUCCAUCCUUCUUCUUGUUCAUGUGUUUUGGUUAGGUUUUUGAUAUUAAACUUGUUUGUGGCUAUUGAACUCAAUUCCCUUUCUUCCCCCUUUUCCCAAUUCAUAUCUUUGUGAUCUUCAAAUGUUAUUGUGAAUUCGGCUUCGAGUCUUCUUGUGUGUUCAUCAAGAAGUCGAGUGUCUUGUGCGUACAUCAAGGUGCUCUGGUGAAGUCAAGGUGUUAGAGAUAACCAGGAGUAUCAACUCGCAGUGAGUGCAGGUAGUUGAUAGGUUUGUACAUCUCUUUUCAUCUAGUGGAUUAUUUUGUUGUCGCGAGGACAACCGUGGACGUUUCCCUGUUUGGGUUUUACCACGUUAAAAAUCUCUGUGUGUUAUUUACUUUCUGCGUAUUGUUUGUUUGCUUGUUUGAAUUCACAUUUGUUAUACUAGCACUAUUUGUAGUUUCUCAAAAGGGACCAAAUACAAAAUAACCCUUCUAUUUAUUUGGUUAAGAUGAGUUAUUGAAAACCAAUUAACAUCAUCUGGUUUAUAUCUAUCUUCUUCUACUUAAUACAAUUAGUGAACCCAAGAGAUCACCAUACUGCCGUUUGUUAUUAAGAGAGAACAUUUGCAAUGCUAAUUAUCGUUGCAAUAAUAUAUUUAUCUAAAAAUAGGUUAUUAACUAAUCUUAUUAUUUAUUUGCAACGUGGGUUGUCGUUGCUAUUACUUUUUCAUUAGCAAGGUUAUGUCGUUUUAAUUAAUUAGGGACUUUUUGCAACGUUCCAAACGUUGCAACAAUACUUUUAUUAAAAAAAUAUUUUCAAAUAACAUUAAAACUUAGUCGGCUCGUAUUCCUUCGUUGCAAUUAUUAUAGAAUUUGCAACGUUGGAUGUCGUUACAAUUGAGUAAGAAUUAUUAGCAACGCUAACUUAAUGUUGCAACUUGGGUAGUAGGCUAGUAGCAACCGAAAGUUAAUCAUAACUUGGGUAGUAGCAACGCUAGAAAAAAGUUGCAACUAGUGAGAGUAUUAGCAACUAGUGAGAGUAUUAGCAACAGUAAUUGUAGUAGACUGCAGCUUUUCAAAACAAGUACUUCAAAGGAUUCAUUUUUGCCAAGAGCUUGUCGUACCGAAGCCUUUGUGCGGCCCAAGCUACUGUCGGGCUCCUUUUUCUCCCAAGCUACCACUCAAAUCAUUGAUUUAAAUGUUUAAGUUCAGAUUAAAAUCUUAUUUCAUCUUUUGAACCUAUUGUUGGCUUAAUGAAAUGAAUAUACUUAGACUUGAUUGUUUAAGUUGAAAGUAAAUAAAAAUAUAAAUUACUGACAUUUUUUUAACCGAAUUUACUUUAAAAUUGAUCCACCGCUAACUUGAUGACCACUUUGACUUGUUUAUAAUAAUGUUCAAGUAACAGAUCAAUUUCAAUUUCGAUUUACCAUGUUCAAAAAAAUUUCCAAGUUAGUCCAAGUAUAUAUUCUUAUAUAAGUUAGUCCAAGUAACAGAUCAAAGUAGCGGCUAAGAUCAUCAAUAAUUUGAGUCAUAAUUGAUUCAGUGUCUCCUGCUGAGUCAUAACCGAUUAACGAUCUUUUGGCUAGAUUUGAUGGAUUUCUGGCGUAUCUUUACUUUGUGAUUUGAGUUUAGAUGUUCUGAGUGAUUUCUUACCUCGAUUGUGCUCAUUUUUCUUGUCUUUUUUCGUUAGAUUAGGAGUUGUUUAGGGUCUGUUUGAUUCGAGCGGGAAAAGAGUUUACCGGGAAUAGAUUUACCAUGUGCAAGUAUUCGAAAAAUAAAAUUUUGAUAAAAUAGUUAUAAUGUUACAUUGAUCAUAGAUUCACAGCUUCAGAAGGUUUUAAAAAUGACUUGGAAACUGAACCUACCAUACAAAGUGAAAUUCUUUAUGUGGCAGUGUUUAGAUGGUGUCGUCCCGGCUUCGGAUUUAUUGGCAUCACAUCAUUUUCAUGUCAAUCAUUUAUGUUUUUUCUGCAACUCUGUUGAAGACUCCCAAAAGCAUAUUUUCUUUGAAUGUGGUUUUGGUCGAGCUCUUUGGCUCAACAUGGGGUGCCACCAGUUCAUCACAUACCUCCUGCGACAAGACUUAUCUUUUGCCAAUAUUUAUACGGAGCUACUACUCUUAUUUCAAACCCUCUAGCAGAAUUACUUGAACAGAUUUGUGUGACUCUCUAGUUUGUAUGGUUAACAAGAAACGAGGCAUGUUUUAAUCACAUUGUCCCAAAACCGAAAGUUUGUAUCUUAAUCAAAGCUUAAGAAAUGGACCGAGUUAUGAAUCUCUUCGAAAAGGAUGUCAGGACGCCAAGCUCUGAAAUUAUUAUGGUUAAAUGGGUACCUCCUUCUCCACCUUGGGUCAAGCUCAACAAUAAUGAAUCGUCACUGGGGAAUGCAGGACCAGCUGGUGCAGGCUGUCUUCUGAGAAUUGUUGAUGCUUGCUUCAUUUUUUGCCUUGCCUCACCUAUUCCUCAUGCUACAAACAAUGCUGCCGAGCUCUUUGGUCUUCUCCUUGGAAUUCAAGUUUGUGUUGAACUGAAAUUAUCACAUGUCAUGGUGGAAACUGACUCCCAGUUACUCCAUAAUACAGUGACUAAGAGAAAUUUGGAUGUCCACUGGACUCUAAAAAACAUGUUCAUUUGAAAAGGUUCAAGAAUUGAAAAUAGCUUGGAUUUAGAGCAUUCACAAUGGUAGGUUUUAAAAUACUUUUAGAAACUUUUAGUAAAAAAGUCUUGUCAAUGGUGGGUUUUAACACACUUUUCAAGCAAAACACUUUGCCAAGGAGUUAAAAGUGCCACAUAGGAUCACUUAACUUAAUUUUAAAUUAAAUUUUAUGAUAUUUUAUACAUAAAACCUUCUCCCUCUCUCCUACGUGGCAUCCCUAAAACCCUUUUACCAUUGGGAAUGCUCUUAUAGAGAAGCAAAUGCUUGUGCUGAUGCUCUAGCAUGUUUUGCUUCUUCUAAGGCAACACAGACUGAUUGGGAGAGAGGGCAGUGUUCUGGAAAUCACAACUAGCCUCAAACCUUGGAUGACUUUCUAAAACCCUCUGCUUCUAUGCAUGGUUUUAAGAAUCGGUCGAGUCAAGUUUGACUCGCCAGGUUGGAAUUGGAUCGGUGGUAUCCGACUCAAAAAUUCAUUGUUGACUCGGAUCAUCAUAGACUCGGUUUUAAAACCGUUGAAUAGGCUGAUUCUACAUGUAAAACCGGAAAUUUUUAUAUAAUUUUGUUUUUUUGAUUUUUUAACUAAAACUUGAAAAUUAAUUUCUUUUAUAAUAAUAAGUAAAUUUACAAAUAAACCAUAAAAUUUGGUAGAAACUUACAAAAAGUCUCAAACUUAAUAGUAAAAUAAUAGAUAUUUAUUUAUAAUAAUAAAUAUUAAAUAGAAAAUAUUAACAAAGAAUCGGCCGAGUUAAACUUGAAUCAGUGGUUGAAACCGGGAUCGGCAUACCCCUAUUCACUCUAAGAGCAAUCCCAAUGAGAGGGCAUUUGAGAAGGGCGGUAGUAUGAAAUGCCCUCUUGGUUAAAAUUCGUUCCCCAAUGGGAGAGUGGGUCAAAAGAUUCAACGGUGGAUAGAAAUUCCAAUGGCAUUUCAGAGGGGAGUAGAAUGCCAUCCAAAAUGCCAUGUUAAUUGUAUAAGACGGAACACCGUGUUCCGGUUUAACACUUUUUCAGAACACACAAUUCGGUCUUAUACACUUUAAAUGUGAUAUGGAACUUGAAGUUCCGUCUUAUAACCAACAUUUAAGGAACUUGAAGUUCCGUCUUAUAGAAAUAAUAAAGGAACUCGGAGUUCCGUCUUAUAUAACUAAAAGAACUCGAAGUUCCGUUUUAUAUACUACCAAGUUCCGUCUUAUACCAAAUAAAGGAAUACAGAGUUCCGUCUUAUUUCACUCAUAAUCGGAAUUCCAUGUCCCGUCUUAUAGAAAAUUAAGACGGAAUACCAAGUUCCGUUUUAUGCACAAAUUUUGUAACUGUGUUAUAACCCAUUUUAUUUUUGUAAACUGACAUUUAAAAAUUUACCCAUUGGCACCACUUCGCAGGGGGUUUUGAUUACCCUGAACAGAAUGUGAUUUUGAAGGUGUGGCACCUAUGUGGAGGGCACCAAACUGCCCUCCGAUUGGGAUUGCUUUAAAGAACCGGUUCUUAGAACUAUGUUUCCAUGUGGUGGUGGAUUACACCACCUCUUUUUCUUUGUAAUAAUCUAAGAAGUGACAGUAAUGGUGUAAGUUUUCCUAGAACAAUUAAGAAAUAAAAAGGGAUUGUAUAAAAAAAGGAUCUGCUUCUCUCUCUCACUCCCAAAUGGAUCUAGGGCUUCAAUCUGUUAGCAAUCAACCUAGGGUGUGACGACCCUAAUUUCCAAAAAUUGGCAAAAAGAGAGAAUUUACAAAAUUACCCUCAAGAUGCCAAUAAAAGGAAAAAGGAUCAAGACAGUAAUCUAAAUAAACAUUUGCACAAGGUAAAAAUCCAUAACCAUUAAAGCCAAAUACUUCCAUAGAAAAAUUGAACUCCAAUAAGUUUCCAUAAAUAAUCUGAAAACUCCAAAUACUGAAUUAAACAACUCCAACUGAGGUACUAUAUGCCCCAAUCAACAAUAAUCCAAUUAAUGAAAUAAACUAGAAUAAUCCAUUGACCAACAAAUCAAAGAACUCAACCUACUAUGAACUAUAACUUCUACGAUCUCAAACUCCUUCCUGAACAACUGGAUCUACACGAGCCUCCUGGUGUUGCUCCCGAUCGUACUCAACUUGCUGCUCUCCUCCGCCUACGCUCCAUAAGGAUACGUACCCACGUGCAAAACAAGCAACAUGGGUCAGCAAAUUAUGCUGGUAUGAGUGGACAAGGGUAGGGAACUCCAUUCCCAAAAACAAUAAAAUAACAGACUCCGCGGUCUUUAUACAUUUAUCUCGUUUACUAAAUAAAUAUUAUAUAUUAUAAUAAUACAUUACCUGAGCUGCACCUCCUAUUAGGAUAGGUCAAGCCCUGCAAGAAAUGUUAGUUGACCUAUCCUCCUGCAAAACUGUGUUAGUACAAUAAUAUAUAAUUUAUGGCAUCUCAAGUCUCGACACUAUAUCUCAAUCACUACAAAUCAAUCAUUACACCCCAAACAACAUUUCACAACCUAUACUCAAUCACUAGUACACCUCCCACAGGAUGCACUCCACACAUUUGCCAUACCCACACUGCACCAGUGUGCCUUGACCAUGGUUAAGACCCUCUACGCGGAAACCAAAACCCAAGUGGGUGCUCACCUGCAAGCUUUGGCUAGCCUCGACGUAUGCCUAACUCAUGGCCUCUACUAGCUCCCUUGAGCUUUCUAAAGUGGCGCCCAGACCAACCCCGAAGGCUAUGAAGGUCUGUAGGGUCAGUUCCGCAGGCUAAGCCGUCUAGGAAAUACCCAACAAAAAUAUAUCCAAGUGUCAACCCGCAGGCUAAGCCGUCUAGGGUGAUAUCUAAUUUUCCUUAAUCCUAAUUCCAUAGGUGUGGCAAAUGUACUAAUGCUUGGGCGACUACAACAAUUCAAACUAACAGGCAACACUCGCCAAAACAGUUAGACACGUCAACUUUACAUUCCAAAUUAAAUGUCUACCGACCAUAGUGUCGAGCCAUUCUAAGGCAUUUAUGAUAACUUAAAUUCUCAAGUGCAGAAUCAACAUGAAUUUCAUUCCUUACAUCUUAAAUAUACCAUCUUACGGCAUAAUUUAAAAACAUGUUAAAUCCUCUUGGUGACACAAGGAAAAAGGUUGAAUAUAUACGCUGCCCCAAAACAUUAUUAUCCAAACCAAUAUAUGAAGAAUCAUGCAUUAACACAGACCAAUCACAGAUAAUACACUUACUGUAUGCUAUUUAGUACAAAUUACAAGUUUGGCAAGACGGCACAUAGUAUACCCUGUACUCUACUAUCACUUUCUCAUUACAUAUGUAAUUCAUAUAUAUACUUACCUUACAGUACAUGAACAUCAAAGCUAGCAGGUGCACAGUAAUCCGAUUUUGCAACCAUUACUAGAACCUUAAUUAAUAAAAAAAAUGCUUUCCAAUUAAGAGAACUAUAUAUCUAUGUAUAUAUACACGUCAACUGAUAUAUUCUGGUCAAUUACACAUUUACCUAACAUGUUAUUCAAAGGCUAUUAAACUACCAAACAGUUUAAAUUAAAGUUUGUCAUGUUUUCCUUGAACACUACAUAUACUCAGGCAAAUCAACCUACCAAUUCUAUAUAUCUAUAUAAGAUUUCUUAAUCAAUAUAUUAUAAACAAUAUUAGUUCUCCACUCACCUGCUAUACUACUGUUGUUCGUCCUCUUCCUCUCUCACUCUGCAACUUCUCCUUCUUCUUCACUGAUGACUGGUCUGCAACUCGCAGAAAACCCGACACCACAAAUAUUCUUCUUCUUCACUCUUCUAAACUCAGAAUUCCAGCCACUGUACUUCUUCUCCUUCAACUUUGAUCACUCUAGUCGCAGCGCCGCCCACUCUCCCUUUCUCUCUUUUUUUUUUUUUUGCAAAAACCUUCUAAUCAAAUAUAUAUAACACUAAUAAUCUAACCUAAGAUGGUUCAUCCAACGAACCUGAUCGAUUUGAGAUUGUGAUCCCACUAUGGUCGUGAUUCUGAACUACAAGCAACCAGAUCUGUUCGUGGGUGUUUUCUCCAAGUUUGGGUUAUUUAAACCAUAAUCCACUACUUUAUAGUAAUUAUGCUUAAACCCUUGGUCCAGGGACUUGUACCCAAUUAUUCUUAAUCUCAAAUUAACUUAAAUAAAAUUUCCAUAAUCAUUAAAAUAGGGGGGGUUUACAUAGGGCAUAUCGGAUGGUGAAUUGCAAGAUUGUGGUUACUUGCACUCGUUACAACUCGAGCAAGUGAACCAGUCGGAUCUUUCCAGAUUUGUUCAAAUCUGCCAUUAUUGACAGGAUCUUUCUUUUAGCUUCUCAUUAACCUUGCGUUGGUUAAAUUUUUUUAGCUAAUGUAGUGUUUGAUUAUAAAGACAUUUCUGGUUUUCAUAAGCUUUCAAUAAUAUAGAAAGGAUUUUUUUAUAGAAAGGAUAUAGUUUUUAUUGUUUGGAUUGAUGCAUUUAAUAUGCCCUGGUGCAAUGCAGGGAUCUCCUAAGCUUGUUUGUCUGUGAAAAGUGUGCUGCCCAAGCAUCUCGCUUUAUUCUGCAGAUGAUGCAAUCCCCUCUCUACUAGAAAGAAACUCACAUGGAGGACAGAAGUGGAAGCAGAGACUCGCAAGAAAGUGCUGAUAGUUCUGGGCAAUUAUCAAGUGGCUUUGAUCAUGGGUAGGAAACGCUUGCUAGUCACAUUGCCACAGAGGUUUGUCUUAAUCCUUUAUCAACAUGUGUUGUAGUCCUCAACAGCAUUCCUUAAUUUCAGUUUUGCAUAGAAACAUAGAACCCGACUCUUUGUAUGAACUUUUUAUGAAGUUACUCUGACGAAGAAGUUAUUGAUAGAACUGCAUUGACUUUAUUAGGUGCGUAUUCCUUGGAUCUAUAGUUCACCUUCCAGUAAGAAGAUUGUUUUGAUGAUGUAUAAGUGAUGCUAAAUUAAUUCCUUGGUUCUAUAUUAAGGUGGGAAGACAGUUGCUGGGAAGGCAUACAUGUCAGGACUCUGCAAAAUAGCCGUUCUGCUUCAUUUCCGUUCAUCAGAGCAGACAUAAAUUAAGUUUAUGAGAGGACUUCUGAACCACAUCAUAGAAUCUGUUUCGGCAGAGAGAAGUUAUGAGAGAUUUAAAUUGUGUGGCUGCCCUCUAGAUCAACGUCCAGAAUCUGGACUCCAGAUCAGGCUCUGUAAAAAGAUCAAGCUGACCAUAUUAUUUCUUGGUAGUGUCUUUUGUUCUCAUAGUUAACUGAUCAAACUCAACCGAACUAUUCCGUAGUAUAAUCUUAAAACAUUUUUCUAUAUGACUAUAUUUUUCUUGCUAAAAGUAUGAGUUGUAUUUAUAGUAAAGGGUGGCUACAUAUCGACAAAUGGACUAUGGAAGUAAAGGCUGUAAGGGAGAGCUCUUGCUUUUCAAAGUUGGCUGCAAAUUGUCAGUCUGUUAUGGCUGAAUUUUGACUUUGUGAGACAGCUUUUUCAGUGCAGGGAAUGGUUUGCAGAGUUUGUUUGGUGACCAUUUGCAGCUGAAGCCUGUAGGCCUAAUUAUAUCUGAAUGCAUUACAGCAGUAGGAAGCUAGCAAUUUGUAAGGGUUGUUGGGUGAUGACUUUAUCUUUGUACAGGGCAGCAAUAAUGGGACAAGCAGUGUACAAGGCAAUACACACAGUAGUAGAGAAUGGUAGAAGAUUAGUUUUCAAUAAUCUGGACACUCUAUUAAUACAGUUAUUUUAUACUAUAAUUGCUUGGUAUAAAGUUACAUUGUAGUAUUCAUAUUUUCUAGGAGUAGUUUUAUUUGGUGGACAUUGGAAUCAAUUAGUUAGGUGCUGUUUGUUUUUUCAAGUUCUAAUAGCUAGUAGCUUUUUUUUUUAAUAAUCAAUAGCUAGUAGCUUAUUAUAAUCCACAAAGGAUACAUAAAAUAGACAAAUUAGAGUUAUAAGUAACGAUUCAGAUUAUCUCGAGUUCGAAAUUGUGAUUAGAUCUGCGGUUGUGAUUGGAUUAGAGACAAACUGGUUUAUUAGUCAUUGAGUAGAUUGGGUCCAAACUUAAGUUGUGAUGGAUGGUUCGGAUCACAUCAGGAAACCUAACUCUAUCGUUGCUCUAUUGAAACAAUAAUGUACUUUCUUUUUUUUUUUGGUUGGCAAGCGAGGUUGUGGGGACCCCUACCCCUUUUAAAUUACGUGUGGAAACUUAUAUCAACAAUCCGCUGUUGACGUGUUUCGAACCCACGACCUCUCCACUUUGUGAGAGGGGUGCUACCAUUGAGCCACGGGCUCAUUCGCAACAAUAAUGUACUUAUCCUUCUCCUUCUAUUUUUUUUCACAUGUUCAUCUUCAUCAUUAAACCAAUAUCUCUGUUUCUCCUUCUCUCUAAUUCAAUCUUUGCACUCUUCAGUACUCUUUUUUUUUUUCUACUUUGAUUAAGUUCUCUUUCUUUUCUAAGAAAAAUCGAUUUUUUGGGGGGUGAUUUGAUUGUAUUGACUAUUGACACCUUCGACAGCACUAGCAAGCUUUUACACCUUCGACAGCACUAGCAAGCUUUUACACCUUCAAUCAGCAGCAAUAGCAAUAGCAAGCUUCUUGAUCAUUAAGGUGAACUAUAUUCUCAAUCAUUAACUGUAAUUGGAGUAAUUAGGUAUAAUGAACUUUAUAGGUUCCCAAUUGUGUAGCGAGCAUUUAAAACUCACACGAAAUUCAGUUAAAAGCAUAUCGAAUAGAUUCAAAACCAUAGGAUUAUUGUCUCUAUCUAUUUCAAAAGUUAAAAUGUUUUAUCUGAUGUUCAUUUUCUACAAUUUGAUGCCUCACACAAGGAAAGCUAUUUCAUUUUAAUUUCCUCAACUUAUAAUACACCUUAAAAAUCGAAAAGCUUCUUCAGAUUCCCAACACAUUGGUAUGAUUGAAAGCUUUUACCUGAGAUUCAAGUUCACUUUUUAAUUCAAGUUCAUUUUUUUUGUUUAAUUUAUUGCUUCAUUCAACUAUCCUUGAAAAUAUCGAAUCUGUUUAUAUUGCUUCUACCUGUUGUUUUAAUCUCUGCACACUGUUGUUUGAUUGUGGGUUUUUUUAUUAAACAACCUCCAAAUUCUGUUCUAUAUGUUUCAUUUGGGACAACGACAUCACUAUCUGAUGAUCAGAUUGCCGAGCUAGCUAUUGGAUUAGAACGCAGUGAACAAAUAUUUAUUUGGGUAUUUAGAGAUGCAAAUCGUGGCUAUAUAUAUACAGAGGAAGGGAGGAAACCCCAAUUGCCAGAUGGUUUUGAGGAGAGGUAUGUACUAAAUCUAUACUCUAUUUCUUUCCUAUCCCAAUCAUCAUCUAAAAUCCAUUUGAUAUGGAUCUCUCUCAAAUGUUAUCAAUAACAUAGUAAACCUAACAAUUGCAUGAUAUAGUAGAAUUCUAGAAAUUUUUGAGGAAUCGUAACAUGUUCCGCAUCUUUCCAUGAUAUAAGUUAAUAAACCUCUCUUACUACUUUUUCAAUCAAUUAAACCUAACAAUUGCAGCUCGAAAUUAAAGAGUCAUAACUUAAAUAAAAAAAAAAAGGUCAGAAGUAAAACCCUUUUGAUUAUAGGAACUACUACUUUAAAGUUGUUGCUCGGAAAGAUCCCAAACAAUCAUAAAGUACGUUAAUUGAGUGGGUGGUUUAUGGUAGAGGUUCUUUACUCAACAGUUAUCAUGAAAUUUUCCGAGUAUGAAUAUUAUCAGUGCCAUGGGUAUAAUCAACAUCUUUUCGAGUCGCAACAAUUAAAUUUUCUGUAGCUACGAAGAGAACCCCAAGAUAAACAGGUUUUAGACUAACAGUCUGCAGUAUUAGAAAUUACUGCAAUGCCUAUUGACUAUGAAUGUGGUUUACUAGACCUCCCUGAAUUUGAAAUGUGAAGUUCAUCGUUUUAAUCUAAUUUUCAUCUUCCACUAUUAAUGGUCAAAUUCGAUGAUUUUCCAGAGUUUUAGUUUUACUCCUCUCCUAAAAGAGACAUGACAUUGUGUUUGUCUAAUCUUUCUUUUCCUGUUGUAUUUCUAUUUCUUUGUUUUCAUACAAUAACUUGCAUAUGACAGAGUCAAAGAUACUGCGAGAGUUGCGACAAUUAUCAAGGAGGCUAUAAAAGAUUACACAAAGGCAGGGUUUAUAAGCGUUAAAGCUAAUUCAGUGUUAAAGGUAUUUGGAUUUUAAUUUAGUCAAGUUUAUUUUUUCCUGUUAAAUCUCCGACUAGGGUUGCGGCAAUUAUCAAGGAGGCUAUAAAGGAAUACAUAAAGGCAGGGUUUAGAAGCGUUAAAGCUAAUUCAGUGUUAAAGGUAUUUCGAUUUUUAAUUUAGUCAAGUUUAUUUUUUCACGUUAAAUCUUCGACUAUGUUGAUGUAGCUUUAGAAUUUUUCCCUAAGCCAAGCCAUGUUGGUUUCCACCUCCUUGAUUUUAUUAUGCUAAUUCACAUCUCAGCCUUUCUCCGAUUUCCAUCUUCAAUAUUGAUUGUUUGAUUAAUUAAGUUUUAGUAUCUGCAAACUAAUUUUUAAAGUUCUUAAUUAUACAUAGGUCAUAUUAUGGUAUAUUCUGAUUUAUAGAAACUCUGGUUUGCUUAAAUUUGAUUGUUUGUUCUAUAUAUGUACAACUUCACCUCUUCCUUGGUAGUAUACUAGCCAUAGCUUUCCUGAUUUUGCUUUCUCCUUAUUUUCGAGACUCCAUGUGAAAUGCGCAUUGCCUAAUAACAAUGAUGCCUUCUUAAAACAAUAAUCUAGGCUGACACGGGUAUAGGCUUCUUCUACAGACAAAAUGAAGUGAUGAGGGAAUUUUAAGUUAAUUAAAUGCGAGUACAGGACUAGAAACUAAUCUAAUGUAUUUUUAAAAAAAAACAAUGAUGCAUGAAAAAUUAAAAAUGAAUAGAUCAGAAUUAAAUAAUAUCAAGCUAAAUUAAUCAAAUAGACAAAGGAAGGUUUGCUGAAAGUGUAUCUAGAGCCGGUCAUAAUCUGAAGAGGGUGGACUUCGGCUCUGACGUUAGCCUUACGUCGGUGACCCAAAAUAUAAUAGCAGACAAGUUUUGGAAACCAGAAGAACGAGCUAAAAUCCAGUGUAGACAAUAAUUAACACCUCAAUGAAUUUUUUAAGAAAUAUUCAAUUUGAUUAAAUACUUUAACUAAUAUUGCAUAUGCUUGGAAUUUAAAUUUUAAACAAUGUCAAAUGGAGCCUAAAAAGUAAAUGGGAUUUGGAUUUAUACAUACUAUCUCCUUCAUUCCUUCGAAUGUUUUCGUAGUUGAGUAUCCUUCUGGAUACUAUGUUGAGGUUAAUACCUUUAUUUUCACUUUUUAGCAUACAAUUUUGAUCUAUAUUAUCAUACAAACACAAAAAAAUUGUUUGAGUCUUUGUUUAAGACCCUACUAAGAAACUAGCAGUUUUGUUUUGUUUCCCUGUUUUACUAACUAAGAAAGUUUUAUUUCAACUACUGUUAAAAUCCUAAAACGUUAGCUUGACACUUUCCCCAUUGUUUUAUCCUUCCCCCACUGAAAGUAUUCCACUUAUAAUGCUCCCUCGAGCCCAUUGUUUUGCCCUUCCCCCACUGAAAGUAUUCCACUUAUAAUGCUCCCCCGAGCUAACUUCUUUUAUAUCUACACUGUCUGACACAGAAGGAACAAUGGGUACAAAAGCCUUCUUCUGAUGAGUCUGUCAUGUGUAACAACUACACCCAGAAAUGCCUAGGCUGAUUUGAUACUGAAGCUUCCAUCUAGACUAAGAGCCCAUAUGAUUUUGUCUUUGUCGAGCUAAGAAUUUAUAUCAAUGCAAAAGAUUUUAUUUUUGUUCCAAAACAAAAACUUUUAUGGGUAAAGGAAACCCCUCACCCUAGAUAUCUCUGGCUCCCAUAGUAACUAAGUCGCCCAAACCUUAAAACUAAGGUAGGAAAUAAUUAUUAUGAAAACUGUUGGAAGUUAUUGUAAUAGUAGUGACUUGUCUAACACACUACUAGUAGUAGUGACUUGUCUAACACACUUCUUUCAUUAUAUAUACAAGUUAUGUCUCACAUUGAGAUAUAUAACUUUUCACCCUAAUAUUCUACUUCUACUUGGUAUCAGAGGCUUGUAGAAACAAAACCCAGCCAUCAUCAAAACCAAAACCCAAGCCGUCACCACCACCACCACCACUCCCAUCACCAUUACCACCUUGCCUUCGGGCUUCUUUCUUCUAUGAGCAGCUGGUAAUCCCUGCUCUUCCUUCACCGUGUCUGCAGUAGGACAUCCCUGCAGACGGCUUCCUUUGUUGGUAGUCAUCCUUGUUGCUAAGGGUAUCAACUGGUGUUCGUCUCCCACCGUCACUACCUCCACUGUUUCUUCCGUCUUCUGCUGAGUUGCCAUCCACUAAGGCUAUGGAAACUGACUCUGGUUUACCCAACAUUCAGUCUACUCAGAAGAUUACAACCAUUCUUCUAAAUGGGCGUAAUUUUUCAUCGUGGUCACGUUCUGUUCGUUUGUUCUUGGGUGCUAGAAAUAAGAUUGAUUGGUUGGUUCCAGGGAAGAUACCUUGUCCAUCUGAGGCUGAUUCAACUUAUUCUACUUGGUUUAUGACCAAUUGCAUGAUUCUUGGUUGGUUUUUUAACUCUAUGGAACCUGACAUAUACGAGUUAUUCACAUUCUAUGAUUCUGUUGAGAGUUUGUGGGCUGCUUUAUCUGAGAUGUAUGCUACCACGAACAAUGAGGUUCGGGUAUAUGAGUUGUACCGUGAAUUAGGCCAAGUUUCUCAGGGUUCAAUGUCUGUUACUACCUACUUUGGGUAUUUGAAGAAACGUUGGGAAGAGCUUGCUAUCUAUACCGCUUUGUCUAGCAUUUUAGGUAUGACUUCAACUAUCGCUGCUGCUAUCCACAAACGGGAAGAAAAACAAAGAGUUCAUCAGUUUCUCAUUGGUCUUCAUCCUGACUUUGAAGCCAUUCGUACUCAAGUCCUUAACACUACACCUCUUCCAACUCUUGGGGAGGCCUAUGUAGUGAUUGAGAAACAUGAGCGUCGUACACGGAUCACAGUUCCUUUGGUAGUUUCUGACACACCAUCUUCAGCUGAUCAGAUGGCCUUUGUAGCCAAAUAUCAUCCUCCAACACCUCAGUAUUCUCAGGGCCUGCCAGGAGCCCCUAGUGCUAAUGCACAAUCUGGUUGCACUACUGGUCGUAAUCGACCAUACUGUGAUCACUGCCGGGCUGAUGGCCAUUUUCGACAAACGUGCUAUCAACUACAUCCAGAACUUAGGCCAAAGAAGGGGUCUGGAAAAUCAGGUGGUGGUAAACCUCGUACUGCUGCCAUUUCUGAGGUUCCUAGCAGUUCUGCUUCAGGGGGAGUUCCUACUGAUUCAGGUUCUUUGAGUCAGCGAUUAGAUGAGGUUCUUUUUUUCCUCCGGGAGGGAAAACCAGGGUCUACUACCAUGCCUACAGCUACAGGUAUACCUUCUGCUUUCCAUGUUAGUUCUGGCUCUACACCUCCUGCUUGGAUCCUUGAUUCAGGGGCCAAUGAGCAUAUGACUGGUAAGUAUAGUUUAUUGACUAAGCAUACCCCUUUUUCUCAUCAUGUUCGCAUUGCUGAUGGCUCGUAUAACUCUAUUACUCGUAAGGGCACUGUUCAUUUAUCUCCUCAAAUUACUUUAGAGUCUGUAUUGCAUGUUCCCCGUUUUGCUCUAAAUCUUUUAUCAGUUAGUCGCCUUGCUAAAGCUCUUCAUUGUGCUGUUGUAUUCUUACCUGAUUCUUGUUAUCUUCAGGACCUGAGUACGAAGCGGAUUUUUGGCAGGGGGUAUGAGCGCGAUGGGUUGUACUAUUUUGGUGAUCCCCCACCGGUUCCACCUUCUACUGUUUCGAGUCUGCAUGUUAACGUCUUGCCCGAGUCAGGACAUUAUGUGUUUAGUUUGGAGUCUGUGAAAACCUGGCAUGCCCGAUUAGGUCAUGUUAACUUCCAGUAUUUGUGUAGUCUUUUUCCGGAAUUAAUGAAAGCAUGCAAAAAUUCUACUUUUCAUUGUGAAACUUGUUCCUUAUCGAAGCAUGUUAGAAAUUCUUAUAUUCCACGAAUGCAUCGAUCACCUGCUAUGUUUGAUUUAAUUCACUCUGAUGUUUGGGGUCCUUCACCUGUUACUGCAUUAUCAGGCCAUAGGUAUUAUGUUACGUUUAUUGAUGAUUACACUAGGUGUACUUGGGUUUAUUUACUUCGCCAAAAGUCAGAUGUUCUUCCCUUGUUUACACAGUUUCUCCAACUCAUCAAAACUCAGUUUAAUGUGGUGGUUAAGGCUCUUCGCUCAGACAAUGCUAAGGAGUAUGUGUCUAAUGAGUUUGUCAGUCGUCUUAGCCAACAAGGUAUCCUUCAGCAACUCACUUGUCCUUAUACACCCGAACAAAAUGGUGUUGCUGAGAGGAAAAAUAGGAGUCUCAUGGGUGUCGUUCGUUGCUUGUUGAGAGGAAUGCAUGUCCCUCAGUCCUAUUGGCAUUUUGCUGUUCUUACUGCUGCCUAUCUUUUAAAUCGCACUCCUAGUAGGAUUCUCCAUGGUCAAACCCCUCACCAGCUUGUCCACCCUAGUCGUGUUCUUUUCCCAAUUAUUCCCAGGGUGUUUGGAUGUGUUUGUUAUGUUCAUGAUAAAAGUCCAUCCCGCACUAAACUUGAUGACAAGUCCAUUCGGUGUAUUUUUGUUGGUUACUCUCCCCUUUCUAAGGGAUAUCGAUGUUAUAAUCCCUCUAGUCGUCGUGUUUAUCAUACCUUGGAUGUUACUUUUGCCGAACAUGUUUCCUUUUUUGGAUCUUCUAUCUCUUUGCAGGAAAACUUGUUACCAUCGGAGGAGGAGUCUUCUACUGUUUGCUCUGAUACCAUUCUUUUUUUUUUUUUUUUUUUUGUAUUUCAAGCUGAAAUUCAGAGUCUGAAUGUUCAGCUUGAGGGGGAGUGUUGGAAGUUAUUGUAAUAGUAGUGACUUGUCUAACACACUACUAGUAGUAGUGACUUGUCUAACACACUUCUUUCAUUAUAUAUACAAGUUAUGUCUCACAUUGAGAUAUAUAACUUUUCACCCUAAUAUUCUACUUCUACUAAAACAAACCUUAGUUCAAUUUUGAAUUAGAACACUAACCCUUGCCAGAUUCCUCCUCGACAAGUCGGUAGCUUGGUACUUCUUGAUUGACCAAACUGAAUUUUUCGAACUUUCACAAUAGUGUACUGAGACUCGAUUUAAAUUAUAUUGUGUCUUCCUCAAACCAUAAACUAAUAAAAGGUAUCCCGUUCCUUCUCUGUAUGAUAUCAAUUGCAUUUGUUUCUUACUUUUUUUUCUUUGCAUUUGUAAGAGAGCACCCAAUACCCAGCAAUUUCAGACUGCAACACCCAAUGCCCAACAUGUUACUAAUGGAUUAUGCUCUACAAAGGGUUUGAUAAUAAAUACAGGAAAAAUACCACUACAUUUAAGUCUAUUUUCUUAUAGUUUUUACUUAAUCUUAGAUUCUUAUAUUGUCCGAUUAUUAUUUUGAAGAUAGAAUGAAUCACCAAGUUACUUGAUCACAACCAUCAAUAUACUGUAUUGGAUUAAUUUAGUGCAGGAUCAAAUCCUUCAUUUUGGCCAAGUAAAUCCCUUCAACCAACCCUCCUAUACAUAACCACAAUCAACUGUUUGCAUACUUGCAAUCUGCCAAAGAAAGGUUUUGUUGUGGAGUGUUGAGGUUUUUAUCUUUUAACUGUUUGAAAAAUAUAUCUCUGUUACAUCACUAAACUGUUUCAUACUAAAAUAGUUGGAUCUUCCGUCAAGCAGCAUAAGUAGUUUCAUGCAAUAUUGUUACUAUAUUUUUUCGUUUUAGUAUGAAACAAUUAUAGUCUUAUUGUGGUCUUAGAUUCUUAUAUUAUUUGUAGCAGUAUUGUCCGAUAUAUCAGUAAAUUUUCUUUUAAUAUAUAAAAAUUCCGGUAAGUCGUAUGUCGGAGUAAUGGGUGAGUCGUUUGAAAAAGUUGGAUCGGUUAUGUUGCAAGUUUGCGUCAUGGUAUUGGUAACUACUAUUGGCAGCUUGAUUAUCUAUCUCAUUAUAAUUGGUAAGUACAUAUGUUCAAUUGUACUGCUCUUUAAUUAGUUCUGGCUUUUGAAAUUGCGCGCUUUCAAAGAUUUAAGUUUGGAUUAUACAUGUUAAGAUCUAAUUAUAGAGUACUUGAGGAGCUGGUGAUAGUCCAUUGUAGUUGUAGGCAUUCUGGAACUUUGUUGGCUAAGUACAUAGCACAAAAUAUCGCGACAAUUAUAGUGUGACAAGUUCGACCAUUUUUUAGAAACUAUAAUUUUGUUUAGAAUGAACUUAGUCAAUAUUACUUGAAUGGGAACAAAAUUAGCCCAUUUUAAUUUGGGUACUUAGAAACACUGAAACAGAACACAAACUUGACAUAUUGAUGAAUUAGCUCGAUUUUUCUGGAAGGAACAUUAAUUAGCAUGGGCACUCCAUAUAACUAGGAAAUAUUAUGUGAGUGAGAAAGCAAAAGGAUAAAUUACCAUAUAUAAUCUAUUUAUGUUUUUAUACAGUAAAUGCAGAGAUAAUAUUAAUUGAUACCUGCAUUAAUAAGGAAGAAAAUGCAAAAGGAUAAUGUUCAGAAGAAUAAUGUUAUCAUAUUCCUUGGUAUGAUAAAUAUGGAUUAAGAAUAGAAAUUUUUUGAAGCCAAAUAUGCAUGUUUCACACCCUGCCAACUAGCUUAUAAAAAUAUGGGGGAUUUAGAGAUACCCCCCAAAAUAAUAGGAACUCUUUGAGAUACCCCCCAGAUUUAAAAAUCAUUAGAGAUACCCCCCAGAUUUUCAUUUCAAGCCGGUCAACCGAGCGAUUGACCUAUGUUUGACCCAUCUUUAUGUUCUUUAGACAAAAAUACCCUUCUUUUAUUUGAACCUUAAUCCUAGUCAUCUACUUGUAUGCCAUAUCAGCAAAACCUUUAACAUAAACAAAUUUUACUCACAUCCAACACCCAUACCCCAUUAAAUCAUAACCGUCCAUCUCAUGUAAUUUAAACCCAUUGAUCCUAACCACACCCAUACCCCAUUAAUCCAAGAACUUUAAUAGUGGUGGUGGAGAAAUUAGUGGACUUAGUAGUGGUGGUGGAGAAAUUGGUGGUUUUUGUAGUUGUGUUGGGUGAUUUACGAGUACAAAAGAAGAGAAAAAAAUUGUUUGUGUGAGAAAAAAAGGAGAAAGAAGAUUUAGUAGUGGUGGUGGAGGUAUUGGUGGUUGUGGGGUGAUUUAUGAGAAAAAGAGAGAGAAGAUUUUUUUUUGUGAGAAAAAGAUUAGAGAGAAUAUUUAGUAGUGGGGGUGGAGAAACUGGUAGUUUAUUAGUGGUGGUGGUGGAGGAAUUGGUGGUUGUGGUUGUAUGGGGAGAUUUAUUAGUAGAAGAGGAGAGAGAAAAUCUAGUAGUUUGGUGGAGGAAUUGGUGGUUUUAAUAGUGGUGGUGGAGGAAUUGGUGGUUGUGGUGGUGGUUGUGGUGGUGGUGGUGGUGGUAUGGGGUGAUUUAUGAGUAGAGGAGGAGAGAGAAGAUUUAGUAGUUUGGUGGAGGAAUUGGUGGUUUUAAUAGUGGUGGUGGAGGAAUUGGUGGUUGAGAAGAAGGAAGAAGAGUUGGAGAAAAAAAAAUUGGUUUCUAACCAUAGGAUUAGAUUUGAGGGUUUUAUCUUAUUGAAUAGUUAGGAUUAGAUCUAAGUUUACAUGAUAUGGCAUACAUGGUAUUUAGGUUGGAUGACUAGGAUAUAACUUCAAUCGAGAAGGGUAUUUUUGUCAAUAUAAAAGUUAUAUUGGUCAAUGGCUUGGUUGACCGGCUUAAAAUGAAAAUCUGGGGGGUAUCUCUAAUGAUUUUUAAAUCUGGGGGGUAUCUCAAAGAGUUCCUAUUAUUUUGGGGGUAUCUCUAAAUCCCCCUAAAAAUAUUGAAAUAAUUAAAGAUUUUUUGCAUGCAAUUUGAUUAGCAAGGACAAGUGAGUGUUACGCUUUUUACAAUAACAAAUCUGAAGACCCCUUCUGUCACGACCCUAAUAUCCAAAAAUUGGCAAAAAGAGAGAAUUUACAAAAUUACCCUCGAUAAGCCAAUAAAAGGACAAAGGAUCGGGACAGUAAUCUAAAUAAACAUUUUGCACAAGGUAAAAUCCAUAACCAUUAAAGACAAAUACUUCAACACAAAUAAAUUGAACUCCCAAUAAUUUUCAUAUAUAAUCCAAAAACUCCAAAUAUCGAAUUACACAACUCCAAUAAUAAAAUUCAACAUCUUCUACGGAGGUAUUGUCUUCCCCAAUCAAUAAUAAUCCAAUAAAUGAAAUAAACUUGAGUAAUCAACUAACAACGAAUCAAAGAACUAAACCUACUGUGAAGGAUAACUCCUGUAAAUCUCAAACUCCCGCUCGAUCAACUGGAUCAGCCCGAGCCUCCUGAUGUUGCUCCUGAUCGUACCCAACUUGCUGCUCUCCUCCGCCUACGCUCCAUAAGGAUACGUACCCACGUGCAAAACAAGCAACAUGGGUCAGCAAAUUAUGCUGGUAUGAGUGGACAAGGGUAGGGAACUCCAAUCCCAAAAACAAUAAAAAUUACAGACUCCGCGGUCUUUAUACGUUUAUCUCGUUUACAAGUAAAUACUAUAUAUUAUAUUAAUACAUUACCUGAGCUGCACCUCCUAUCAGGAUAGGUCGAGCCCUGCAAGAAAUGUUAAUUGACCUAUCCUCCUGCAAAACUGUGUUAGUACAAUAACAUAUAAUACAUGGCAUCUCAAGUCUUCACAUUAUAUCUCAAUCACUACAAACAAUCAUUCGUAACCACACAACACUUCACAACCUAUGCCCAAUCACUAGUACACCUCCCAUAGGAUGCACUCCACACAUUUGCCAUACCCACACUGCACCAGUGUGCCUUGACCAUGGUUAAGACCCUCUACGCGGAAACCAAAACCCAAGUGGGUGCUCACCUGCAAGCUUUGGCUAGCCUUGACGUAUGCCUAACUCAUGGCCUCUACUAGCUCCCUUGAGCUUUCUAAUGUGGCGCCCAGACCAACCCCGAAGGCUAUGAAGGUCUGUAGGGUCAGUUCCGCAGGCUAAGCCGUCUAGGAAAUACCCAAUAAAAAUAUAUUCCAAGUGUCAACCCGCAGGCUAAGCAGUCUAGGGUGAUAUCUAAAUUCCUUAAUCCUAAUUCCACAGGUGUGGCAAAUGUACAAAUGCUUGGGCAACUACUAAGAAAUCUAAACUAUCAAUCAAUCAAACAACACUCGACAAUGAGAUUACACAUCAACUUCACAUUCCAAAUCCAUUUUUGUAUUUUAUUUCCAUUAUCCAAAUUGAUCAAAUACCGUCCAUGGUAUGGGCCAUUAUAAGGCAUUUAUCAACUAUAUCCCAAUGUUCAAAAAUAAUCUCUUUUAUAAGCCUUUAAAUUCCAUAGCAUCCAUAGCCAUAAAGAAAACAAAUUUCCAUGUCAUUUACCAUUAAUUUCGAUACACCAUAGCAGUAUGAAAUCCUUAUUAAUAGAACUUAAUUCAUGCUAUAAAACUGUUUUAAUCACUGUACACCGGCUCGACAUUUGCUAUAUAUAUGCAACUGCCACAUGCAACAUAUUAUCUGAGUUUGUGAAUGCUACUGCCACAUGCCAACUUUCAGGAAGUUGAUCUGUUGAAACUUAAAAUAAAGCUAAUAUACAUACAAUUUCACUAUCAUCAUGACAUAUGUAUAGGAUAUUAAAACCAACAGUAACCAUAUUCUAAUGUACAUGACCAAGGCACAUCAAAAUCACAUUAAAAAUAAUUUAUCCAAAUUAGAGUCCACUCACCUGCUACACUGUUCUUCUUCUUCCUCUCAACUGGUGGCUCAACAGGUUGCACGCCUCUCUCUCCCUCUCUCUCUCUCUCUCUCUCUCUCUCGAUCGAUCGAUCGAUCGAUGAUCGAUUGAGUUGUCGUCGCCACUCCCGAUCUCUCUCUCUCUCUCGCUCGAUCGAUCGAUUGAGUUGUCGCCGCCACUCUCGAUCUCUCUCUCUCUCGCUGUUUAUCGCAAACUUUUUUUUUUUUUUUUUAAAACUAAGCAAACAAAACCCUUGAUUAAAUCUCUAUAUAGGGAAAUUAGUCGGCUGAUCUAACGGUUCAUGCUUAAUUCGAUUUCGAUCGUGUUGACGUGUUUCCGAACUACAAACAACCAGAUCUGUUCGUUGGUGUUUUCUCCAAGUUUGGGUUAUUUAAACCAUAGUCCACCACUUUAUAGUAAUUAUGCUUACACCCUUGGUCCAGGGACUUAUACCCCAUUACUCUUAAUCUCAAAUUAAACUUAAAUAAAAUUUUCCAUUAACAUUAAAAAUAGGGGGGUUUACACCUUCAAUAAAAAUAUAAUAGCUUAAAUACCAAUCGAAUAAUACGUCUUCCAAUUAUUUGGCAGGUAAUGUACUUUCCAGAUGUGAGGCUAAUGGAACUGUGCACUUGAGAAUCCUCUAAGAAUGGUUUGGAAUACAUUGGUGGAACUCCCGAGCUUUCACUUUGUUCUGCACUAUCAUAUUUAUGAUGCUUUUGAGAUUAUUUGAGAUUAUGGUACAAAAACUUUUUUCUUCUUUCUAAUAUUUAUAGUUGUGGUUUUUUCUUAAUGGUUAUGAGUAGUACAAAACGUUAUUGAGAGAAUGUUAUUGAGAGGGCUUUGAUAGUAACCCUGGGCUCAUUAGUUUUGAUGUUUUAGGUUUUAAGGCCCAUGUUUCUCAUUGUACCGAGGUAAGGCAACAUGUCCCCCUCUUGAUAUAAUUUUUUCGAUCAUAAUAUACUGGUAGGGGUCUGCCAAACCCCACCCCCUAUUGGGGUCUUUUUUUAAAAAAAUAAAUAAAUAAAUAAAAAAUGGUGGAGUAAAUCUCUCUUUGGAUUAAUCCAUAACAAUCAAAAGCGGCUAUUGGAGGAAGACCAGUCAAAUCAGCACGUUCGUUUUAAGCAAUUAAAAUCCUAUGGCAAAACAAUUUCGAAAAAAAAAAAAAAAUUUUUUUUUUUUUUUCAAGAGACCCAAAGUGCCCAAAGACCCUGCCCGAUCAUAGAUAGAUCAAAGAAAAUAUAUAUUUUCAAUGUAUUAGGAUGGAUUUGAAUCCCACACCUCAUGUGGGGGGUCCACACUCAUUAGCACUAGGCCAUACUCCAAACCAUGUCAAUAUCAAGGAAUUUUUAAUUAUAACCUCAAAAACCAACAAUUUGCCUUGGGAGUAUUUGAGACUAGCAGGAAGACCAAAGAAGGCUAGAAGAAAGGAUCCAAAUGAAGCUUAGAGAAGAAUGAAAUGUAGUACUUGUGGAUUUUAUGAUCACAACAAGGCUACUUGUAAGGGUCUAAGUAGGGCUGAAGUUAGAGCCUUUCAAAGAGUCCAACAGAUACAGGUGUAUCCUAUUAGGAGCUUAGUGAUCAUCGAGAUUGGUGUCUUGAGGAUAGACAUUUGCCACCCUAUGACUUGGUCGUCGCGAAGCGACGACGCUGCGGGUCCAGGGCGCAGCGCCUGGCUGGGGUCGUCCAAGGUUUCCUUAUUCCGGGUGAAUAGGAAAUAGGUUUCCUUGUAUGAUUCGAAGUCGUCCAAGGUCUAUAAAAAGGUGUUUUGGCCAAGGCCAAAACAUAAGAGAGGCAACUAGGGCUUAGCUUGUGGACCUUGUGAGAGGAAACACAUAAUUGCUUAGUAGUUUAUACGACCCCAUUUUAAGAUAAGCUUGCCGAACCUCAUCGCAUUUAUUAACGGGAUAUUUCCAUAUAGAAGUACGUAUUCCUGGAUCACGUUCAAAAGAAGUUGCGAGGUCAACUUCUUCAAGUGUAAUACUUGGAGCAUUAGGUGUAAGUUUUGGAGCUUCAACUCCAAAUCUUGGAGUUUUAGCCGAACGAUCCUCAUUCUUAUCACAUGUAGGUUCAACUUCGGAUAUGGAAACUACAUCACCUUUAACACCAUCUUUGGGUUUAAAGAAUGAAUCGAUAGUCUUUCUUGGCUUGGUUAACUUAUGUGUUUGAUGAGGAUUUGACAUUGUCCAAGAAAUAUGCCUGACUUGUUAAAUUAAUUUAUUCCAUCUAUUGGCCGACUACAAGAAAAAAUGUCAUGGCAUUAAUGUAAUAUAUUACUUCACGAGAUUAGAUAGCAACAUACCACUACUAUUAAUCCAACAACUCAAGAAUCAAUUUCUAUAUGAAUAAAAAAGAACUAAUAAUAUUUUUGUAAUGUAACUAUGUAAGUCAGGAGUUUGGACUCUUGGAGCUAUAUCCUACCAAAUUCUAAAUUGAAAUAAAUAAUCAAAUUUUCUAUAGAAGUAUAAAAUAUAAACUAGAUUAAUCAAAUUCAUAAACAUUUUGCACUCAACACUUAAAUGAGUUUUUAGAACUAAAAUAAAAAUUUUAUUUUAACAAAAUAAAUCAAAUAUCGAUACACCGUUCACCUACAAUUUUUAAUUUAAAAUUGGUUAGGGAUUUUGAAAACUAAAGUUUAUGUUAUUGAUUUAUUGUUUAAAAUAGGAAGUAAUUGUAAUUUGUAAAGUAAAAUAGAAGGUAUAAAGUUUUUACCUUUAAACCUAGCUUUGAAGCUUUCAAUUCUACUCAAAUUGAAUUCAAUAAUCAAAUGUUACCACUCAAGUCAAGAAUAAAAGAAUAAUGAAUGAUGUAGAGAGACAAAUGGAGGAUCACCAAGAAUUGAAAACUGAAGCAGCAAAAUCUCGUCUUCUUUUUCUAUAUGUUGAUUCUCUCUCUCUCUCUACUGAGUAUCUCAAUUUCUCGUUCUUAACUUUCUAAUCAGUUUUUUUGUCUUAGUGGAUAUGUAAUGGACUAUGGACUCUGUAGUGGACUUUUAAUGGACACACAAACGUGGGGAGACAAACAUAACUAGACACACAAACAUGGGGAGACCAACAUAACCAGACAAAGAGAAUAUGGGCUUAAGUUGUGGGCUUAAGUUGUUAGGUCUCAAUGGGUAUUAAUGUUCAAAUGGGUAUAAAAGAUCCAGGUUCACAAUGGGCUUAAGUAGGCCUGUAGAAAUGGCCCUUUGACCCUAAACUCGGCCCGGCCCGCCCGGCCCAUUCAACGAAAAAAGCCCUUAAAACUUGAACCUUAUGAUUUUUAGGGUAGGGUCGGCCCGACCCUCUCCUUUUAAGGGUCGGCCCGACCCUCUCCUUUUAAGGGUCGGGUUAGGGUUUAGCUUUGAAAAUCUUAGACCCUACCCUUAGCCCGACCCUAAUUAACCGUCUCAAAGCCCUCUUACGGCCCUCAUAAAUAUAUGUAUAAUUUUUAAUAUAUUUCUUUAUAUAUCAAAAUUUGAACAUUUUUUUAGAGUUUUAAUCGUAAAGAUUUUUUCAAUUAGACAUAGAUGUCACUUUUGUUUAAGUUAAAAAACUAUUAUAUAACUAAAAGAAAUUGAUUCUCAAUAGAAUAUAUUUUUUAUUAACCAUCUAUUUCAUUAUUGAGCAUGCAAUAAACGGUAAUUAGAUUAUUAUUUUAAAUGUGUAUUUUAUACUUAUCAUGUUAGAAUUUUAUAAAUUUAGGAUUAAAUUUCUAAAGUUUGAAAUUUUAGUAAUAAAAUAACAUCUAACUACGAGUUCUUUGUAUUUAUUAAUUGUAAUGCUCUUGGAUAAAAUAAUAUCAUAUACUAUAACAAAUUUUAUGGUGAAAAAAAUAUAUUUGUACAUUUAAGAAUUGAAACAUAUUAUACGUAUUUUCAAAAAUAUUAAAAUGAUAUUAAUAAAAACAUGAUCGCAUAUUUUUUUUCAAGUAAAACAUAAUUCUAUGUAUCGACCCUAUCAACCGGGCCCGUUAGCCCGGCCCUCAAUCCUUUAAAAUAAAGGGCUAAGGGUCGGGUGAGAUUUUCACAAUUUUUGUGUUGGCCCGCCCUAACCCGACCCUCAUCAUCUUUUAGGGUAGGGUUGGCUCGACCCUAAAGUGUGAGGGCUCGAGGGUUCAAGGGUCGGGUUAGCCCUACCCGGCCCAUUUACAGGCCUAGGCUUAAGUGGUUAAGUCUCAAAUGGGUAAAAAAAGGUCCAGGUCCACAAGAGAGACCGGGAUUGUAUCUACUGUGAAACACGUUACUGUAAGUGGUAUACGUGGUAGCUUUUAAGAACAAAACUCAAGUAAUCAAAAUUUGAACUUUUUCAAGUGGCGUGGCAGGAACUUUUUUGAAAGUGGAUGUUCGACAAAUUUAGAUCAGCAAACUUAAGAAAAAAAAUAGAGGGUUUUAAGUUGAACCUAUAGUUUGUAUGUUGAUUUAGUAUUUUAUUUAUGUUUUUUUUUUUGAGAUUUUUGGACAUACCCCCCAUUUGAAAGUCGUAAUUUGAGAUACCCCCCAUUUGAAAAAAAAUUUGAGAUACCCCCCAAUUCAAGAUGUGGUGUUAUCUUAGCCGUCCAUCAUAAUCCAUCAUAAAACUCACCUACGGCUGUAAAGCUCUUCUGUCUUGAAUUGGGGGGUAUCUCAAAUUUUUUUUCAAAUGGGGGUAUCUCAAAUUUCGACUUUCAAAUGGGGGGUAUGUCCAAAAAUCUCUUUUUUUUUUUGCUAAAUACGUUGUAUUUUAUUCAAACUUAGAGAUAAGCUUACAAAAACCUAAGCCUAUAGGUCCAGAUAGUUUUAUCAUCCUCUUCCUGUUUAAUAGUUUUACUUUCUCAAGCUUAUUAUAAUUUGUUUGUUAUGUUUUUCUUUUUUUAUGUUGAGUAGCAUUAUUGCCUUUAUGUGUUAAUCUAAUAUGUUUGAAAACUUUUAAUUUAUUUAUUUAUUUAUUUGGUAUUAAUCAAAGCUAUUUUGGAUAUGUUCAUUGAACCAAGUUUUCAUUUGAUCGGAAUUUUACACUUUAGGCAACAACAACAACAACAAUAUCGUGUAGCAUUAAUUCACCACUAAUAAUUUCCCACGAGCAUUAGUUCAACACUUGAACCACUAUACAUAAUUGUAACGACUUGUAUUCAUUUUAGGGGUAUUUUAGUAAUUUUAUUUAUAAUCUACUAUUAGGAUAAAAUAAUUAUAACUUUGGUGGAUUGCUUUUAGAAAAUGGAGUAUUUUGAAAUAGGAAGAAUAUUUAAAUUAGAAUAAAUAAGAAAUGAAUCUCAAAACACAUUUCAGAAUAUUUCCGCAAACCUGACGCGUACAAAUAUAACAGUUAAUUUUGAUGUUUAAUAAGGACUACCCUCGGCACUAAUACCAACUCAUAGGUGAUCGAGCGCGCGUCCAAAUGUAUAAAAAAAAGUUGAAGUGGACACAAAUAUAUUACCUAAUCGAGAUUUUGAUUAAAGUGGGUAACUUAUUAAGUAGCUCACAAGAUCACUAGAAUGACUUGCUUUGUAUUGAUUUAGAUUACAGAGAGCUUGACACCUAUUACUAUGACUAAUCAAGUACUAAAGAGAUGGGGAUCCAGGAGCAACCAGUUCUCACUAGCAACUAAAAGAAAGAAAGAAAAUUUGAAUGAGAACCCCAAAGCUUUUCUAGCUAUUCACCGAUCUAAUUAAGUGAACACAAUCCAAUUUCCAAUGGAUUUUUCUUCUCUGGUUGUUGAAGUAUACAUCUCUGAAUUUAAGAUAAAGAUUAUGAUCAUGCUUGGAGGCAGUUCACACACAAGAAACCAAAACCCAUCCUCAUUACAUGUUAAUUGUAUUCAAGUUUUGGCGGUGCUUGGUGGCUAAAAUAAAGAAUUAGUUAGAGAUUAAUCUGUGAUGUUUAUUGAUCAGAAAUUAUGAGCUCUUUAAGUUGGACGACUGUGAAUUCGUUUGCUUCAUAUGGUGAUAUGGUAACCUACAACUGACUGGUUAGAAUUUGAUUCUAAGGUGGCGUGAAUUAACUACAUAUCCAUGAUUCAUUUGGUGUUAAAUAUAGGUGUUUGUAAGUUUUAUUUGGGACAUGUAAUUGAUGCAUCCCAAUUUCCAAGUACAAAUCUUAAGAAAGUAGAUGGAACAUAGAUGGGUGUGAGCUUAUGAACCUUGGCAAAUGCUCGGUGAGAUGUUUAGUGUGGAUUGAUUAAUUAAGUUGGUAGCCAGCUGCUACACUAGUGCGGAGCCGCUAAACACUUCACCUGAACUUGUAAAAUGGUCUUAAUUUGGAUGCACAAUAUUAAUUCAUAUAGAUUUACUUGCAUACAACUGCGGUCUUAGGAUAUCAACAUACCUAAAUGAGUAUUUCAAACUUAGAAGGAAGUUAAGGAACUAACGAGCAAGAGGUAGGGACUUACAUUUCUUUUAUAUUGUCUUUUCAUGUGUCAUAUUUUAAUGUUGCAAAAUUAUUUGAUAUAUUAUUGAUGAUAAAAAUGCAUUCAUGGUUUUGUUUGGUAUAUAUAGAUUACUCGUGGUUUAUCGAUUAUAGUUUUUAUUAAAGUGAUUAGUUACAAAUAUCAUGUUUUAAACUGGAGUUAUUAAAGCAGUAUAUGUAUAUUGAAAUGGUUUUAUAAAUGGAUUUCUCGAUAAAUCUCUUUCCAAUGGUGGAAAAGAUUUGGUUUUGUAAUGCAGGGCAAGGAAACCCGAUUGUAAUGUAUAACUGGGAUGUGUGAGGUCCCUAGAUUGAUGGAAAUAUUGAUCUGGUAUGCUGUCACGAUUAUGGCUGUGGCCCGGUUAGGGUAGCCAACUGUACGGAUCAUAUUUGAUUAUGGUUGUGGCCCGGUUAGGGUAGCCAUGGAUAUUGUUUAAAUCUGGGGACUCACCACACAUUUAAAUAUAUGGUAUAUAUAGUUAAUAAAUAAUGAGGUCGUUUGGAGAGGGACCUGAGAAUUCCUAUAAUGAAUGAGUUGUUGUCAUAUUCCGGAGACGGCAGUUCAUUCUAGGAUGACAUCUAUGGUGUUCACCUUUAGAAGGUGAAUGGGGCGCCUUCUAGAGAGAUACAUUAGAGAUGUAUCCGGGAAUUCCUUUUCACCAUUCCAGACCACCAUUCAUGUAGUGGUACGUUGUUGAUAUAUUAGUUCAGAUGAGGCUACAUGUUACCUCGAUGAGGUUUAGACGCAAGGGGUGAGAGUUAGUCCACUCCUGGACGUGUGUCAGGAUCCUGUGCAGUUUGCAGUCGUCGAACGGUUGACCACCAUAAUUCAGGGAUUCCUCGUAUCAGGAAUCAUGGUCAAAGGCCCACCUGAGCCUAAAUGAACGGGUUUAGUGUUCUAGGAACACAACAACGGUAAUACAGUCACCCCACCGGAAAUGAGGAAAUAACGGUGUAGGUUCACACUGGUAAGUACUGAACCAAGAGAUUACCUGGGACCGGGGCGGUAUAGCGGUCGUACCUCAUCAUUCUAAUAGGAUGCAGCUACCCGACUUAUUGUAUGGAUGCAUGGUUAGUAUGAUUACUAUAAAAGGUAAAAAGUUUGGUUAAAAAGUAUUUAUUUAUUAAAUUGCUUAUAUUAUUUAUUAUGACAGUUAAAACCUGCAUUAUUUCAACUGUUUCGUAUGGUUAAUCGUCAUGCAUGACUAGAUAGUAUUUUGGAAAUGUGAGUCACUACUGAGCAAGUGGAAAUGCUUACCCUAUCAUUAACCCCUUUUCAGUUAAACAGUUGUUCGAGGAUAGAUCGAUUCGGCAGAUAUGGUUGUGCGGAGGUUACAGAGAGUAUUGUUAUAAGUGUUCGUGCGAUAGAUGUACUUAGUUUCUUUUGUAUAGAAAUAAUUAAAGAAUUUUGUAUUAUUAUGUAUUGUGUUAAGUUAUGUAUUUUUAAAGUCAAUUAUAUAUAUGAAUAUCAUUCAGAAUCUUGUAUUAUAAUAUUAUUAUCAUGGGUUGGGUUGUUCUAAUGCCUUAAGAUCUGACAUUGAGUCAUGGGGAUUCGUGUUAUGGUUUUGGGGCGUUACAAUAAUAUAUAUUUUUUAAACCUAUGUAAGCAAAUGUAGCAGUCCCCUUCUAUCCACGAAAGGAAUGAUUAGGUUCUAGACAUGAUUGGAUUCUUGACACGUUUUGAUUCUUCUGCUUUUGAUUUUAUUCAUGACAUUACUACUGAAUGUGGAGUUGAUUUUGAUGAGGUGUGAUUGAAUUACCCCUGCAAUCAUAUAUAUGGCUCUUGGAAUUCAAUAUAUAUUCAGUAAAAUAAAAUUGAUUUUAAGAACAUUGUAGUACAUUGCGACACCUAUUGCAAGAAGAAAGAUCCAUGAACUAAUCAUUGGUCAAAAAAAUAUAAAAAUCCACUACAUCAGUCAUGCCAGUGAUUUUGGAUAGUCAAUAAUAUCAAAUGUUAUUCCCAUAUAUAUAUAUAUAUAUAUAUAUAUUAAAGUAUCUCAACAACAUAUGUUGUGACACUGAGGCACGAGCUUUGCCUUUAAUAUAGAUAAACAUUUUGACCGAUAUAAAACCUCAAUGUUGCCCACAUGUAACACUAGGUAAAGCAGGAGUGUGCUCUCUGACCCUCAGUAGUCUCAGUAAGGAUGACAACAUUGAAAUCGAUAAUAGCCUUUGAAUGUGAUCAAACCGUGUUACCAAAGGACCAACAACUCCGUUUUCCCUCGCCUGAAAGGCAUGAACUAAAGACACAGUCGUUUUUAUGGAAAGAAUUUGUAACGAUGGAGUUUUUCCUCCUAAAUGAUUGUAACAAUGUGAUCUAUAAGACUAUAACUGCCAUUACAGCAGGGGAAAUUAAUUUAAAAUGCAACACGUGAGAUCAACAUUCAAUUCUUUUCCACAAGCAAUUUCCAUUACAAUCGUUACGCAAUUAAACUGUAACUCCCCUAGCUCUUUCUAAAUAUAUUUUGCCAAUCAAUACAACAUCGAUACAAGUGGUCUAAUUACAUUUUCUCUCCUAAACAUCAGAAUCAUUGUCAACCAUUCUCAAUACCUAAUUCGCAACUGAAGUCUUAACCAACAUUGGUAAAACCUCCCCAAUUAUAGGUAACCAAGUUCGGCAACAAUUUGUCUUACCCUUUCUUUAUCGGUAGCCAAAUUAGCUAAUGCAAUUGUUGUUUCCACUGUAUAUAAAAUAUAGUAAGGAAAAUAUUAAAAUGGUUUCUCACAAAGGAUUAAUAUGAAGGAGAACAAUGUACAUAUAUAUAUAUAUUUUGCCUGAUUGAAAGUGAAACACAUGUUUAAAGUAAUCGAAAAGUAAGAUAACAUUUCUGUCAUUUCGGGGAACAGAGCUACUGAAAGGCACACAAGAAAAUUAUGAAUCCAAAAGGUCUAUGCAAAAUCAAACGAUAGGUGCAUACAAUAAAUAAAGUUUUUAUUACACAUGAGAUCAAUAUUUUCUAUAAAACAACAUUCCCCAACAAAACCUUAAUAAAGGGUUGAAGUAUAUUAUUUAUAAGAUCAUGCAUGGGCCUAAGCCCCAAACAAGACUUGAGAUUUAUUAAGACGAAAAAACUUAUCCAUAAACAACACUCAAUAUAACAAGAAAAACUAUAUACUUAAUGUUGUUCUCUUUGGCAAGCCUUAAGCAGUUUCUAAAACCAAAAUAUGUGAAUGCCUAUUAAAAUGUAAGAAAAAAAAGUUAUGAAAUAAUGACCAAUAAACAACAACAAUAUCAAAAAACUACAUGUAUGAAGUUCUUAACAACACUUCUAAAUAAUCAUGGUCAUCAUAGAUUGGACCAACAAUGUGAAUUACUUGAGAUAUAUAUAACUUGAAUGUUCUCCACAUUGUCAAUAAAGUUGAAGCAUUUAAAAUAAAGUUAUAAUGGAUGUUUAAUACCAAGCCCAAUAUAGCUAAAAAGAAAACAUAAAAAUUAUAGAAUUAUCUUUAAUCACUGGCUGGACAACGAUCACCAACACGGACCUUCGGAACACUACGACAUGCUGCCUGUAGUUCUCCACCAACAACUAUAUGAAUGAUUGUCAGAAAUAAUUAUAACAUUAUAAAAAUUAUUAAGCAAAAAAUCUCUUAAUAAUUUAUUAAAUAAAUAAAAUUAACAAAUGAUGAAAUGUGACAAAAACCUAUUGUAAAGAGGAGCUUUUUUAAUCCAAAGGUCCAUUACCCUUUUCAGACAUAUGGAAUCACUUUAUUACCAUGCCCAACUAUACAUAUGUACAAAUCUCCAAAGAGUAUUACAACACAAGUGCCCCUCAAACAUUACCAAAAUUGUGACCAAAACCAUGACUUGAUGAGCUGACAACAUUAAUAAAAUUAUUUGGAAAACAUCCUUAUUAAGCCUGCCUAAACACUACAACAUUAAAAAACAACCGAAAAUUCCAUUGAGGUCAACCCACCGUACAUACGUAUACUGCUAAUUAUGGAGUUCGUGGAUGAAUAGAAAUAUUUAAUUAUGAUGAGAAUUUUUGGGUUCAUAUAGGCUGAAAACUGAUGAGAAUUUUGUGUUCAUCCUGGAUUUUGUGGAUGAAUAGAAAUAUUCAAUUAUUAUUUCAUUAGCAUAUUUUUAAUUAUACAUAUUUUAUUUUUUAACUAUAAAUGUUUGAAACACAACAUUUUUAGAAAUACAACCUCAUGUAACUGUAAGAAAAAAAAUUGAAUGUAAAACAAAUAAGAUCUUUUUCGAUGCAUGGAAAAGGAUUAUUUGUACUGUUACUUGCAACUAGAAUCCAAGACAUGAACUGAUAUACUAACUAUUUUGCAUUGGAUUUCAAAUUUACUAUAUUAUUAUUUAGUUAGAGUUAAAAAGAGUGUAUGAUGAUCAUCAUAAAUGUAUAAUGUUUAAAAUUUUAGCAUACCAAAUAGAUGAAACUAGCGUGGCAAAGCCACGGGUAUAACUAAAUAUUAACCCGGAUUCUAGCAAAGCUGACAAUUUCUCCUAGAGCUUAAAAUCUUAAAAGAGACACGCCAUCAUCAGAUAGAUAACAAGCAAGCUUUUCGACUGGAUAAUCAACACCAAGGAUCGAUAGAAUUGUAUUUAGAAUAACAAAAGGAGACCAUUUCUCUAGGUCUCCUAUUAAAACAAAGACGUCAAUCCCGGAAGAUCUAGCCUUCCUUUGGGAUUAGAAAGAUUACAUGACUCAUAUCGAUCUUUCAAAACAGACAUACCAGUUACUUUUUUAUAGAACAUAACUUAGAAAGUUGAUUAAGAUCCCACAAAAAGGCAAACCAAACAUCACAGACAAUUGACAUUCCCCAUAACCACAUUGCAUCAAUAUUAAGUAGUCAAAUUCCUGAAGUUAGGAAAAAACAAGUGCCACCAAAAGAAUAACCAUAAGCAAUCUAUAUAAGAUAAGAAAAACAACCAACUCGACAACUCCUAUUCAUUAUUGUUGUUUUCACGCCAUAAUAUUGUUUUGUAACUUCUUAUAAUAUCAAUAAGCUAUUGUCUGCUGCUAUAGCAUCCUAAAAGUUGCCUACCAACAACUACAAAAGUGGUAGACUACACCCUAUGUAUCAACGACACAAAAUACCACGGUAAGUACAACUGUUCCCAUAUACAUGUACUCUCCUUGAAAAAACAAGAUUGAGAAGUUUUGUUUUUUUUUUUUUUUUUUUUUUGAUAAGUAAAAUUUUAUUGAUUUCGAUCGAAAGAAUACACAAUCCUGAGCAGCAUUCAAAUUAUGCCAUCAGAUUGACCCUCGCAAACCAUACAGAUACAAGAGAUGAGAAGAUAUACUAUCUCCCCAUCACCCAUUAACCCUUGACUAAUACCAGAUGAUACUACCUUGUGUAUCUUCCUGCCACUAUGUCUCCCCAAUUCUCUAGCAUCUCCUGGUAUGUAAACUGUUGUCUCCCCGCCCAGAUUCCCAACCAGUACCACACUGUCGCCUUGGUUUCACUGAUAAUCCGAUCAACGGAGACUUCCUUGUUUCUGAAAAUCCUUGCAUUUCGGUUUUUCCAUAAGCACCAAACAGCCGCAUACGGCAGCAAAGUCCAUACCAUUCGAGGGAAAGCUUGACCUGUUCUUUUUGGCCACGCCACAAGCCAUUCCUGCAAUGAUUCUCUGAUGAAGAGUGACGUGUAGAUCCCUUGGUCAGUUAGAAGCAGACCAUACCAUACCUGCAGCGCCACAGAACAGUGAAGGAAGAGAUGGGUGAUUGAUUCAUUCAGCUGCCCACACAUCAUACAGAGAGGGGAUAAGUUUUGCCCUCUUUGUACUAAGUUGUCCACAGUUAGGGUCCUGUUCAUUAAGGCAGCCCAGAAGAACAACUUAAUUUUAACUGGCAGUUGAACUUUCCAGACUAACUUAACUGGGAAAGGAAAGGUUUCCCUUGUGAUGUCUUGUCCAGCCACCAGCAGUCUGUCAUACAUUGAUUUAACCGUGUACUCGCCUGACUUGUCCCAAAUCCAUUGCCAAGAAUCCUCAUCGUCUUCACACUCUACACUGUUUAGAAUAUUUUGGAGUGCCUCCACUUGUUGUUGUUCUUCGACAUUUCCAAUUCUGACUAAGAAUAAGUUCCAUGCCGUGUAAGUUUCAGUUUGCAGCCUGAACUCAUACACCAAUCCCCUUUUUCUUCUUGACAUUCUAUAGACCAUGGGAAAUUGCUUAAACAAUGGCCCGUUGCCCACCCAAGUGUCUUUCCAAAACUGGAUCUUGAGCCCGUUCCCUAGUUUGCAAUGUAUUCCUUCCUUAAACUGUGAGACUUUGGCCAAAAUUCCUCUCCAUAAGCUGCAACCAUAGGAUUGGGUUACCUUCUUUGGCCACAAACUGAUACCUUCACCAUACUUAGCGGUUAUAACUCUUCGCCACAGUGCUCCUCCUUCCUUAUUGUAUCUCCAAACCCAUUUUAGUAAGAAUGCCGAGUUCAUGUGCUUCAAUCGCCGAAGACCCAAACCUCCUUGCUGUUUAGGGGAACAUACUACUUCCCAAUUGAUCAAAUGAUAUUUUCUCUUGUCAUCUGUAGAGCCCCAGAGGAAUGCUCUCAUCUUCGCCUCUAUCCUGUCACAAAUACUCAAGGGAAUCGUGAAUAGUGACAUUUGAUAAAUGGGGAGAUUAGAUAGAACAUUCUGCAAUAGUACCAAUCGACCUCCUUGCGAUAGGAGUCUGCAUUGCCAUCCGCCAAUUCGAUUCUGGAUUCUUUCAACAAUUGAGUCCCAUACCACCUUACUUUUAUAACCAGCGCCGAGUGGCAUACCGAGAUAUGUGCAAGGUAAUGUCGCGAUUCCACACCCAAGAAUAUCAGCAUAGAUUUGGAUAUUAUCGACCUCACCUACUGCCAUUACCUUCGUCUUGUUCAUAUUCGCUUGAAGUCCCGACACAGCCUCGAAAAUAAGAAACAGAGAUUUCACUACCAUCACUUGGCUGAUAUUUGCGUCACAUAGAACCAAUGUAUCAUUUGCAAAUUGUAGCAGAGCCACUUCGGGUGCAGAUUGGUUAACUUUAAACCCCCUCAAAAGCCCUUCAUCCAUUGCUUUUGAGACUAAUUUGUUCAAUGCCUCCAUAACAAUAUUAAAUAGAAACGGGGAGAUCGGAUCCCCUUGCCUCAAGCCCCGCUUACUUUUGAAAUGCCCCCUUAGGACUUCCAUUAAUGAGAAUCGAAAAAGAAGCUGUUGAAACACAAAUUGAGAUCCACUUCCUCCAUUUGUCUUUAAACCCCAUCCUCUUUAAUAAGUAAUUGAGAACCUCCAGCAAAACACAGUCAUAAGCUUUUGCUACAUCAACCUUAAUGAGGAUUCCAUUUUCACCUUUUCUUUUCUUCGAAUCCAUACACUCAUUCGCGAUGAGGAUUCCAUCAGUAAUCUGGCGUUGUCCCACAAACGCGCUUUGCUCAUGCGAGAUAAGAUUUGGUAGGCAAAUUCUCAAUCGAUUCGCAAGAACUUUGGAUACCACCUUGUAUGCCCCUCCUAUCAGGCUUAUCGGCCGAAAGUCUGUAAUGGUAACUGCUCCUUGCUUUUUGGGGAUCAGAGUUAAGAAAGUUGUGUUCAAUCCCCAGUCGAGAAAAGGGUGUGUUUCCAAACUCUUGAAGAUUGCCAUCAUAUCUGUUUUGAACGUGGACCAACACUUUACAAAGACCUCCAUUUGAAAUCCAUCUGGGCCUGGAGCCCGAUCCCCACUAAACCCUUUGAUUGCAUUUAAGACUUCUUCCUCUGAGAAGCCCACCUCUAGAGUAUCUGCUUCCUCUGGGCUUAAUUCUGCAAAAUCGAGUCCAUCCAACACUGGUCUCGACAGGUUUUCCUCUUCAUAUAGAUUCUCAUAAAAGUCUACAAUAUGUUCUUCAAUCUGCUCCUCCUCUGUUAUUGUUCCUCCAUCGAUCUGUAGCAAAUUUAUGCCAUUUGCUCGGUAUCGCAUACUAGCAUAGCGAUGGUAGUAUGUCGUAUUACAUUCCCCUUCCACUCUCCAUUUGAUUCUCGCCUUUUGUCGCCAAGAGAUGUCAGCCUUUUUGAGCAAAUUACUAAGCUCCUCUUUCAGUAGAGCUCUAUACCCCUCUUCCUCAUUGGACAAAGCGACAGUCUCCUCCUUCUUGUCGAAUUCAUCCACCUCUUUCAGUUUCUCCUCGAUCAGUCGAUCAACUCUGUCGAAUGAAACCCGGUUCCAUUCCCUGAGCUUAGCCUUUAAGCUUUUCAUCUUUUUCCACCAAUUAUAGCUUGGGUUGCCUUCAUUUGGGAAGGAAGACCACCACUCAUUAAUAAGCUGAAUCAAAUCUGUGCUUUCGAACCACAUGAGUUCGAAACGAAACGGCGAUGGAUCCUUUGGUUUCUUGUUACAUUCGAGCAUAAUCACCCUAUGGUCAGAUUCAAAUUUCUCAAGAGCGAAUUCAUUUGCUUGAGAGAACUCUUCAUCCCAAUCUAAAGACGAAAGGAAGCGAUCAAUUCGGCUAGCACUUCUCGAAUUCGACCAUGUAAAUAAAGCCCCUUUUAACGGAUAGUCAAUUAAACUAUUUCGAUCAACAAAGUCUUCAAACUCUUUCAUGUAUCUAUCCAUUCGACAUCCACCCUUUCUUUCAAAGGUGAAGCGAGGAAUAUUGAAGUCACCUCCCAAUACCCAUGGCCAGUUCGACCACUCUCUGAUUUGCUGCAGUUCCUCAAGAAACUGAGAUCGAUUACUAUCAAUACAAGGCCCAUAGGCAGUUGAGACGAUACACUCAAACCCACUGCUCUUCACAGUACACUUUAUAGAUAAAGUGUAAUCACCUGCCCUCGUCUCUUCAACCUCGAUUGAAUCUGAAUUCCAACCCAUAGCUAUACCCCCAGAUACCAUUGGAAGGAACAUACAAAUUUCCAAGGGUGCCUCCAUAACCACCUCAUAAGUAGGCUUUGCUGCAUUACUUAACUUCGUCUCUUGUAUCAUAAUAAUAUUUGGUUUCCUCGUCUGCAUCAAACUUCUCACACUAGCACAAGUAGCAUUAUUCCCCAAACCACGAGCAUUCCAUGAAAUAAGAUUAAUCGACAUGAUUAACCUCUUCAUCCCUGAUGUUAAUUUCCUCAUCUUCUGAUUGCUCAUCCUGGUUUUGUGUUAUGAUUGUUUUGCCUUUAUUUAAUUCGGUGAAUAGCUUCACCAAUCCUCUAUUGUCCAAUGGUGAUGUCAUCCCAAACUUCUUAGCUAGAGGUACCACUACCCACUUUAUGAGGUUCUCUGUAUCCCCAUUUUGUCUGCAUCUGAUUAAGAUCUCCGCAAUCUCUUCAUUUGAUAGCCUUGACUCUCUUUCAGUGAAAUUUGCGCCAGAUAUAGGCGAAUUUGGUACUAUACUGGGUUGGGAUUCUUCGUCUUCUCGACUAAGCAAUGGAAAAAAAGGAAUAGCUUCUUCCGAUUGAGUUUGACCAUUCAUUCUGACUCUGGGCCUGCUUAGCCCGUUUCUUCUUCGUGGGCCUCUAGAUGCACUUCUUCCUCUAGCUGUGGCCUUUAUCCACAAUUUGUUGUGAAACAACGUGUUACCCAGUGAGGCUUGUCUUCGUUGUGGGCCUUUGUUUCUGUUCUGUCUUCUGGGCUUGUUUAUAGGAGUCACAAACUCUUCAUCCGCUUGAGUUUCAGAUGGACCGCCCUUAUAAGCACCCUCUUCUUCUUGGGCUUGGGCUUGGGCAGAGCAAUCCCCAGAUUCCGUAGUAAGACCUCCUGACUGAUCGUCUUGUAUUGCUAAUAAAGUAAAAGGGUUUCUACUCACGAAGUUAUCUCCACAACCAAGACUGGUCUCAGCCGCAUUCACACACUGAAUCUCCCUUCUUUCUAUUUGGCAUCUAUUCUCAACAAAACCAGGUGGUUGUGAGACUGAGUAUGACAUGUCCCUAUCACUGACAUUUCUAUCAUACACCUCUUCCAGCUGACCGACAGGUUGUACACUCGGAUGUUGAAUCACGUGAUCAACAGAGGUAGCUGUACGAAUGUAGCUUUUUGAAAAACAGUCAACGACUUCAACUACUACCGGUGAUCGGAUUCCCCUUUCCGUUAAGAAGAUCAAUCUCGGAAUUUUAGAAUAUUCCGCUCCCUUCAUUGACACCGAGCAGAAUCCAUUUGUUGGGGUGAGAGUAUCUUCAUCCACCUUUGCAUUGUUACCGCACACUUUUGCCAAGUCCUCAACAAUAGAUCGGACUCUCAGGUGGUAGGGGAUACCAUAGAAUCUGAUAAUAAUCUCUUUACACCAGCAACUCAUCUCUUCAUGUGUGAUGCUUCCCGACUCCGGCGUCCAUUUAGAAAAGAUGAACGAUCCUUCCCAAUUAACCAAUGGUGGCAUAGCAAGCAGUCUAAGUGAUUCUUCCUCCGACUGAAAUCCCACUAUAGCUUCCCUUUCUUUUGUAAUUUUGAUUUCAGCCAUCGGAUACACCUCUUUCACUUUAGACUCAAACCAUUGCCAAUCAGGAAUGAUACAAUUAGUCUUGCAUAGAACAAUUGAUUUCCACCAUGAGUCAUUAGCCUUUCCUCUUCCUGCACUUAUCAAAACCUCUUUCACCGUCAUGUUAUUUUCAUUCCCUGGUCUCUGUCUUACAGAUUCACAUGCUAUUGGGUAGGAUGAAGUUGUAUUCGUGUUCACUGGCCUUUGUGCAUCUCUUGUUGGUGAGAUGACAUUAUCGUCCAGAAAACUCCUUAUUGAUGCACCCAAAUUGCCCCACCCCUUUGUCUGAUCUCCUGCUGGGAAUCGAAGAGAGGAAAAUUUUCUCUUUGCAUUCCGUUUAAAGACUGUAACUUACAGAAACUGACCUCUUGCAUUUUGCUUCAAGAUUGCCAGCAUAUGACCAUUGGGUUCCAAUUGCUUGAAAGAUGACCCCAGAUCUGUAUUCCCCUUUGAGAUUUGGGAGAGAAGCUUCCCCAACCAUCUCCCUGCCUCCAGCGAACAAGACGCCGUGAAUGUUCCUUUCCUUGUUGUCUUCUCCUUCAGCCCAACUACCCAGUCUACAGAUGUUGAUUCAUUUCUGGUAAACGUGAAGUUCUUUCCUUCAACUCUCACAUUAAUACUCCCUUGAUUUCUCUGUGGAUCAUUACCCAUUCUACCAAUAACAAAGCCGUAGCAAACACCUCACCAGAGCACGACAGAAUUCAUCUGAGAUUGAGAUCUAGGUACAGUGGUAGAGAAUAUCCGGGCUUCCCUCUCCCACCUCCUUCCAUACUUACCACAGCCUCCAAACGGACACUCACCGGAAAGUUGUGUAUUCACCCAAAUUUGGAGAACAUGGUACAGAUGAUAGUGUAUCCCGGGAUUCCCUCUCCCUCGGUACCUCAGCUAUCACUGUAUUGUUCCACCGAUCUCCAAGCUCGGACUACUAGUGUAAUUGAAGUUAAGACAAGAAAUCGCCUCUUCCAAAUUGUAAAUAGUGGCCCAAAAUUCAAUUUAUCAAUUCAAGCCCAGAAGUUUUGUUCUGUGGAAAAACCGUCCUUUCUCACGAAGAUAGUGUAGGACAAUAUAUCAAAAAUUCGGUAAAACAAAAUUGAUUUUAAGAACAUUGUAGUACAAUGCAACACCAGUAAAAAAAACCAAUGAAAGUUUUGUAGGAAGGAAGACCCAUGAAAUAAUCACUGGUCAAACAAGAUAAAAAACCACUACACCAGAUAUGCUAGUGAUUUUGGAUAGUCGGUAAUAUCAAAUGUUAUUACUGAUAUUUAUUAAUGCACUAAACACCAAUGAAAGUUGCAGCCACUUAUUUUUUUGUUGAUGCUACUGAAAACGAAUGGAUGAUCUCCUUCAUGAUAGAGGUUAAGCUGGUAAAUGGCCUUCAGAAUCAAGUAUCUCAACAACAUAUGAUGUGACACUGAAGCACAAGCUUUCCCAUCAAUAGUAGAUAAACCUUUUGACCGAUCUAAAACUUAAAUAUUUGCCCACAUGUAAUGCUAGGUAGCGAAGUAGAAUGAACUUAUGCAACUGAGCGUUCUCUCUUAUCCUUAGUAGUCUCAGUAAGGAUGACACACCACUGAAAUCGAUAAUAGUUGUUGAAUGUUGUACACGCAAAAAAAUGCUCUGGGAAAACAAAUUUUUCCGAUGCAAUGAUAGCUUCUGUAGCCACAUCAAAAUUCAUGUGAUCAAGUUGUGUCACUAAAGGACCAACAAAUCCGAUUUCCCUCGCCUAAAAGUCAUGACCUAAUGACCCAUUCGCCUUUAUGGUAGGAAUUUGGAACUAGGGAGUUUCUUCCUUUUGAAUGAUCCAAACAAUCUGAUCUACAACUGCCUUUGUAGCAGGGGAAAUUAAUCUUAAAUGCAACACGUCUGAGAUCAACAUUCAAUUUUGUUGCACCAGCAAUUUCCAUGACAUUCAUUACGCAAUUAAACUGCAAAUCCCCUAGCUCUUUCUCAAUAUAUUCUGCAAAUCAAUGCAACAACGACACAAGUGGUCUAAUUACAUUCUCCUUAGCUAGCAAACUCCUAUUGAAUUCAGAAUUUUCAACUGAAGUCUUAACCAACAUUGGUAAAUCUCAAAGAACCUCCACAAUUAUUGGUAACUAAGUUCGACAACAAUUUGUCUUACCCUUUCUUGGUCAAUAGCCAAAUUAGCCAAUGCAAUUGUUGCUUGUACUACAUAUAUAUAAAAUAUGGUAAGGAAAUAUUAAAAUGGUUUCUCACAAAGGAUUAAUAUGAAGCGGAACAAUGUGCAUAUAAAAUGUAUAGUUUUGUUGCUCGAUUGGAAGUGAAAAACAGGUUUAAGAUAAUCAACAAGUAAGUUAACAUUUCUUUCAUUUUGGAGACAAAGCUACCAAAAGACACACAAGAAAACAUGAAUUUAAAAGGUCUAUGCAAAAUCAAACGAUAAGUACAUACAAUAGAUAAGUUUUUUGUUACACAUGAGGUUAAUAUUUUCCAUCAAACAACAUUCCCCAGUAAAACCUUAGUAAAGGGUUGAACUUCAUUAUUUACAAGAUCUUGCAUGGGCUUAAGCCCAAAACAAAACUUAAUGAUUUGUUAAAACGAAAAAAACAUACUCAUAAAUAUUGCACAAUAUAAGAUAAAAAUCGAUAGACUCAAUGUUGUUUUCUUUGGCAAGCCUUCAACAGUUUCUAAAACCAAUAUGUGUGAAUGCUUAUUAAGAAAUGUAAGAAAUAACGAACAAAAAAUAAAAAGAUAUACAAAACUAUCUGUAUGAAGAUCUUAACAAGACUUUUGGAUACAUGGUCGUCAUAGAUUGGACCAACAAUAUGAAUUAGAUGAGAAACAAAUAACUUGAAUGCUCUAUACAUUGUCAAUUAGGUGGUUGGAACAUUUAAAAUAAAAUUAUAAUAUAUGUUCAAUAUCAAGCACAAUAUAACUACAAAAAGUAUGAAAAUUGCAAAAUUAUCUUUACUUCACGGGUGGGACAGCGAACACCAGAAAGGACCUUCGGAACACUGCGACAUGCUGCAUGAAGUUCUCCACCAGCAACUAUAUGAAUGACUGUCACAAACAAUCAUAACAUUAUAGAACUAUUAAGGAAAAAAUCACUUACUAAAAUAUUAAAUAAAUAAAAUUAACAAAUGAUGAAGUGGGAGAAAAACCCUGUUGAAGAGAUGAGCUUUCUCAAUCCGAAGAUCCAUUUACCUUUUUUGAACAUAUGAAAUCAAUUCAUUACCAUGCCCAAUGACACAACUCCAUAGAACGUUCCAACACAAGUUCCCCACAAACAUCACCAUAACCGUUAUUUCAUUGGCUUAUUUUUAAUUAUACGUAUUUUAUUUUUUAACUAUAAAUGUUUGGAACACAAUAUUUUCAUGAAUACAACCUCACGUAACUGUAAGUAAAAACAAUUGAAUGCAAAACAAAUAAGACCUUUUUUGCUGCAGGGAAUAGAUUAUUUGUAUGGUUACUUGCAACUAGAAUCCAAGACAUGAACUGAUGCACUAACUAUUUUGCACUGAAUUUCAAAUUUACUAUAAUAUUAUUAGUUGGAGUUAAAAAAGGCAUAUGAUCAUCAUAAAUGUUUAAUGUUUAAAAUUUUAGUUUAUCAUAUGGAUGAAAUUAGCGUGGCGAAGCCAUGGGUACAAUUAGUAUAUAUAUAUAUAUAAUGGACUUAUUUUAUGGACUGUAUAGUAGUACUAGUAACUUUUUAAAAUUUUACGGUCAAACCAACUAAUACAUCCGUCGCUGGCUUUAUAUCUCUGAACCUAAAUUAUAUCAUGGAAAUGAUAAAAUCUAGCUUUGCAUCGUCUAAACCUAAAUGCGACCUGCAUUAUUUUCACAUAAAAGUGGUUACGCGAAAAUACCACCUCAAUUAUGAGUAAAGUUUUGCCCUAGCUGGUUGGGGACACCCAAAAUAUUCUUGCUGAUGUAAUUAGCACAUGAACAUCUUGUGAGAGUAUAACACGAACGAGGUUGUACGGAUACUAAAUACAAAAGCCAAUCACGCCAUGACAUGUGGCACAUCAAUAUUAUCAAACAAGUCGCACUUAUUACGUUCUGACGCGAUCUAACUAGAGCAGCUCGCAUACAUGACCGUUGGUGACCUCCGUUCAGACACGUGCGCUAAAUCAAUGCUCAGAAGAUAUUCGGUCCGUUACACAUUGCUUACCAAAUAUCCCGUAAUCAAUGGACUUCGGAGAAUCUUCAUGAUCCCAUGAUCUGCGCCUUUCCACCUUCUAUAAAAUCGACAAAACUACGAUGGCUUAAUCUCUAAGUUCCACUCCUUCGAGAGCUAGAGUACGUAGGCAAUCUCGACCUUACGAGAUGGAGCCACACCCGAUCUCAAACUCCCAUCUUGGUUAGCCUCCUUGCGACCUGACCCUGACUAAUGGAUUAAUCUGGAAACAGGUUAAUACAUUUGGUACCAACUUAAAAGAUUCAGUUGUAUCAAAAAACCAACCCUCCCAAAACUCCAAAUCCUAGGCAACUCUCCACUUAUCCAAUGGCUAAUCAAGAACCGAGAUCUAAGGAACCAACUUUCUCGUUUACAUCACAACUUAAAGCUAGUACCACCGACUCUAACAACGGUCAGACCAGAGUCGUUGCCACAGAUAGCAACAACCGCAAGUACGAAGAACUCAGGCAACAACUUGUUGAAUUCAAGGCCUCCCAGGCCGCAAGCCAACUUGGACGAGGUUGGACAACAGAUGAACAACUCGCAAUCCAGUCUCUACAACACUUUCAAGAAUCACCAUUCACAAAGAAGAUACUGGAGCACGACCUGCCAACCAAACUCAAUGCACCAAAGUUAGACCAAUACUCCGGAGUAGGUGAUCCAACAGAUCACGUCAAAAGCUUCUGAAAAUUGCUCCCACUAAUCAAAGAGGAUCAUCUGCUAUGCCUACUGUUCCAAUCCAAUCUCUAGACCAGCGCUCGACUGGUUUCACCACCUCAAACCAGGAUCAAUCGAGUCUUUCAGCGAACUCGAGAAACAGUCCGCCAUCUUCUACAUACACAACAAGAAGCGUCCAAUUACUAUCGACGCGAUGUUUAAAGUAAAUCAGAAAGAACGAGAGUUGUUGAGUGAUUUUUUCACUCGAUUUAAAACUGAGGUACAUUUAGUUCAAGACUUUGCAAAAAACCACCAGCCUUUUGCCACAAUAGCUUUCUUACACGAUCUGAUCCCUGGAUCCGACCUCCACAAGUCAUUGGCUGUAAAGCGGCAAACAUCUCUCGACAAGCUGUAUGUGUUGGUACGUUAUAUCAAACUUAAAGAAGCCCUGGUCGAAAAGGUUAAGAGCCACGUUAUAGGAAAUGUACAAGGGGGCUCCACCAAAGGCUCUCGAUCAGAAAAGAACAGAAGGUUCAAAGCCAAGCCACUGCCUACAGAGCAGCGGGAAUAUCACAGAUUUACACGACUUGCAUCAUAUAUCUACGAGAGAAUCAAACACCAUCACUGGUGCAAGAUUUCAGAUUUCACUUCACUCGAGGAGACAACUGGUCGUCCUUACUGCAAGGUCCACAAGGUGAGAUGCCACCAAACAAAUGAUUGCUGCAUACUGAAGCGAACUCUUCAAACAUGGGCAGAUGAAAAGAGGCCGAACAACAUGCAAGAUGAGCCCGCUGAAAAGAAGAACAAAAAGAGGUCCAAAACUCCGCCACGUUCUGAUCAACGAUCUCAAAGCAAGACCAGAGUUGUUUCUCCAAGUCAUUCAUGUAGUAGAGGGCGUAGCCUCUCCAGAAGAUUAGCUCCCACUGGCGACCAACGUGAUCAAAUCAACAAGCAGGACGCAAAUAGGAUAGAAGAAUAUAGUGAGAUAGAGAGUCAUGUCAUUUACAUGAUCUACGAGUCUAAUUCCACACCAGUUCCAAGGGAGAAGAAAAGACGUGUCGAAUAUCUUCACCACGUCUACUCGAUCACAGGGCGAACAACACGAACCAAUGUGCCUGCUCAAUAGGAUACACACCUAUGUAGCACAGAAGACGAUCUCAACAAGUUCGUAGUUCCACACAAUGACACUUUGGUCGUUGAGUUGCGAAUAACUAACUAUACUGUGAAGAGGUCCUAAUCGACCCUUGGUGCGUUCUGUAACAUCUUGAUGUACAAGACCUUUAAGGAUAUGAGUCUCCCUGAUUCAGUUCUUAUCCCUAACUUCACUCGGAUCCUUGGAUUCAACAGUUCAAGGGAAAACCCAAAGGGGAAGAAAUUGCUGCCCGUUACCAUUGGCAGAAAAGAAGACAAAGUUACUCUCACCGCUAAGUACACUGCAAUACUUGGCUGCAAAUGGAUCCUCUCCAUGGGAAGAUCCUAUCCACCUACCAUUAAGUCUUCCGUUAUCGUGGUCCCAAUGGGAUAAUGGAACUCAGAGGAAACCAGAACGUACUCGGCACAGGGAUGUCAUGGCAUCAUAGAAGCUGUGACAAGCGAGAAGCCAUCGACUUCAGUGAUAGAAUAGUUUUGGCUACUAUAAACAAAAGAUUAUAUUUUUAACUUGAAGUUUCUUCUUGUGCCUGUAUAAAUUGGAUAUCAAAAUAGACAAGUAACAAGCAAGGGUCGUACACACCUCAGAGGGAGAGAUCUUAGCUCAAACACAAUAGAAAAUAAUGGUUAAGAAACACCAAGGGAAUCAAUAAUAAGAUUGGAUAUUGAUUCUACUUCCUACAGGCAAUAAUAAUAAGUAAACCCUAACUUAAGAAUAUGGUAGAGAUGUAAAGAAGAUAUAUGAUGACAUAGGGAGAAUAGUUGGUAUCCACAAAGUAAAUCAUGCAAACAUAACAUGUUGUUCCUUCAUGUUCAAUCUAUAACAAUCAAUUAGUCACCUCUCGGUUAUUCCAACUAAUUAUUAAUACCUAUAAUAAUCAAGUAGUCACCUCUCAGCUAUUCCACCUAAUUAAAACGGGACUCUCUUAUGCAUGCUAUUGAAUAUGUCUUAUUAAUUAAACCGCCACCUCUCAGCAAUUCAAUAUAAUGAACUUAACAUAUUGAUUCACCUCUCAGCUAUUUGAUUUAAUUACAAACGGUUCCAAUAAAAGAUAUCAACUGCAGAUAUGUAAUAAUCACUUCUCAACUAUUUCACUACACAUCUUUGAUCAAUAUAAAUAAAACCAUUAAAGCUAGGUCUCCCUAAACCAUAACAAUAAUAUUUUAACAACAUGGAUAAUCAAUAACAUACAAAUAAUCAUACUUACCUUAUAUCGCGAAUUAGAAGUAAAUAAGCAUUAAGUAUUUCGAAUCACAAAGAACAAUAAAAACAAACAUUGUGCAUCAUCUAGAGUGCUUCAACCAUCCCCCUAAGGAGAUUUAGCUACUCAUCCUUGAUGAUGACACCAUGGAAUAAAUAAAUAAAUAACAAAACAUCAUAAUGGAAAAAAUAAUGGAAUAAAUAUUGAAUAUUGAGUUUGAUACAAAAGAAGAAGAAGAAGAUGAACUUUUCUCUUCAAUCUUCAAUUCAUAAAAAGCUACCUAAACCAUAACUACUACUUCUCUUAUAUAGAAAAUACAAAGUAGAAUACUUGCAUGCAAAGACUUCGAAAUUAGGUCAAAUUCGUGGCUGCUGCUGUUCUUCUAGAGACAUUAGGUUUUCAGGAAAACCUAAUUCUCUUGGGCUUAAGUUGUAGCUUGGGCCAAGACCUUCAACUUGGUAGCUCAUGGGCCCAAAUCAGACUUCUGGAUCUCCUUGUAGAGCAUUUUUAAGUUUGGACUUAAAACAAGGCCUAAAAUAGAAAUUCUGACUUGUGGGCUCCAGUAGGACCCGGUUUGGGCUGAGAAUUGGACCGCCCCACUUUGACAUAAAGUCAAGUCAACUGGACUGACCGUGGGGUGCCCUCAGAAGAUCUGUGGGUGCAAAUAUCAAUUAUCCUUCCCUUGUGCAAAUAACACCUUUUUGCUUGCUUUUCUUGACUUUUGGCGGGCUUUAACAUAAUAUUCGCAUUUCGGCUAAUGAAACCUACACAAUAGACAAGAAAACUCUAAUCAAUAGAUAUAACACAAUAAUAUAAGCUAAGUGUUACAAACAAGGUGCUAUUCGGGGGAUAGAUAUACACUUUUCAGGACUUAUCACUCAACCAAUAAGGAAGUCACAACUCCAACAAAUGAUGCUGCCAAAGGAAAAGCCGAGGCCACGGAUACAGCCAAAUAACAAUAACAAAAGGAGCAAACGAGCUCCCCUCAACUCUCUCUUAGAAGCACAGAUCUUGGCGUACAAGUGAACCUGGGGUCGGAGGACGACCCCAAGUACGUGUAUGUGGGCUCAGAGUUAGAAACAGAUAAGUACAAUGAAUUUGUAAUUUUUCUUUCUCAUAAUAAAGAUAUUUUUGCUUGGUCGUAUAUCGAUAUGCCUGGUAUAGAUCCUUUGAUUGCAUGUCAUAAGUUACGGGUAGACCCUAAUUAUCAACAUGUUAAGGAAAAGCUAAGGCGACUUGCACCUAAAUUUCAUUAGGCCGUUAAUGAUGAAAUAAACAGACUCAAACAGGUUGGAUUCAUUAAAGAGGUCAACACACCAGAUUGGCUAGCCAACAUAAUUCCAGUCUUGAAAAAGAAUGGGAAGAUGAGAAUUUGUAUUGACUUCACAACCUUUAACAAAGUUUGUCCUAAAGAUUCAUUUCCACUCCCACGAAUCGAUAGGCUAGUCAAUCAAAUCUACGGUAUCGAGCUUCUUUCAUGGACACGUAUCCAGGAUAUAACCAGAUCCCAAUUUAUGAGCCCGAUGAAAUCAAGAACUCAUUCACCACAGAAAUAGGAAUCUUUUGCUACAAAGUCAUGCCAUUCAGCCUCAGAAACGUAACAGCAACCUACCAAAGGCUAGUUCCAAGAUGUUCAACGACCUUCUAGGUCGAACAAUGGAAACUACAUAGACGACAUGCUCGUUAAAAGCGGCCAAGAUCAAAGCCACCUCGCAAAUCUCGAUCAGACAUUUUAAAGACUGCGAUAAUACAAGAUGAGACUCGAUCAAGAGAAAUGUUUAUUUGGGGUCGCAUCAGAGAAAUUUCUCGGUUACCUGGUCACCUGAAGAGGAAUCGAGGCAAACCCCUAUCAGAUCAGAGCCCUGGUUGAUAUACCUAGCUCGAGAACAAAGAAGCAAAUUAAAAAGUUGAAUGGCAUGGUAUCAGCUCUCAAUAGAUUCAUUUCUAAAGCAUCCGAUAAAUGCCGACCAAUGCUUUAAAUUCUAAUGAAGGGGGUUGCAUAUCAAUGGACCGAAGAAUGUGAACAAACUUUUGUCGACCUCAAGGCAUAUUUAUCUACUCCACCAGUUCUCACCCACCCUAAUUAUGGAGAUGUGCUCGGAAUCUACCUUGCCACUUCUGAUUUUGCGAUCAGUGCGGUACUAUUCAAAGCGGAAAAUCAGGUCGAAAGACCUACCUACUUCACAAGCAAGGUAUUACAACAAGAAAAAAUAAAGUACACACUAUUAGAAAAGCUAGCAUUAGCUCUUUUAUACGUCCCAUGCAAGUUGCGACGCAUCCUAGAAAAAAAAAAAAACAGGUUGGAUGGCUCGAUGGGCCGUUGAGCUCGGUAACUACACCUUUGAAUUCAUACCCCGCCAGGCCGUCAAGGGCCAGGUCGUAGCUGAUUUCUUAGCAGAUUACCCUGCUGAAGAUUCAAACUUGGAACCAGAACCAGAUACCAGACCAGCCCAAGUCGAUCCCCCAAACACUUGGCAACUAUAUGUUGAUGGUUCACACCACACAAAUGGCAGUGGCAUCGGGGUCAUACUCAUCUCACCUAAGUAGGGGUGCAAUGCGAGCCGCUCAAGCCGAGCUAAGGUUGAGAAACUACAAAUAGUGCUAGUAUAACAAAUGUGAAUUCAAACAAACAAACAAAUAAUAUGCAGAAAGUAAAUAACACACAGAGAUUUUUAACGUGGUAAAACCCAAACAGGGAAACGUCCACGGUUGUCCUCGCGACAACAAAAUAAUCCACUAGAUGAAAAGAGAUGUACAAACCUAUCAACUACCUGCACUCACUGCGAGUUGAUACUCCUGGUUAUCUCUAACACCUUGACUUCACCAGAGCACCUUGAUGUACGCACAAGACACUCGACUUCUUGAUGAACACACAAGAAGACUCGAAGCCGAAUUCACAAUAACACUUGAAGAUCACAAAGAUAUGAAUUGGGAAAAGGGGGAAGAAAGGGAAUUGAGUUCAAUAGCCACAAACAAGUUUAAUACCAAAAACCUAACCAAAACACAUGAACAAGAAGAAGGAUGGACGGCCAAAGAACUGUCUUGUUCUGUAGAAGAGAAACCCUAUUUAUACUUAGGGUUGAAAACCUAGGAAAAUGGGCCGAAACUGAGCAAACCGACUUUGGACGUUCGUACGUCGAUAUGACGUUCGAACGUCGCCACACAAAAAUAAGCCUGCUGCCUAACAUGACGUACGAACGCUCUAAACACGUACGUACGUCUCCAUACGAAAACAUGUCUGCUGACUACCUGGACGUACGAACGUCCUAACUGAGUACGUACGUCCUGACCAAAAUAUGUUCGCUGCUUCAGUGAACGUACGUACGUCCUAACUCGGUACGUACGUCCAGAACCCAAUAACUUUCCCUAGACUGACCUAAGAGACACAAGGACACGAGACGACCAUGCGUACAUCUUGGUUUUCCUAACAAUGAAUUCAAGGCGAGAUAACCAAAGACACUUUGUCACAAAAUUGAUGUCAAACCACUUCGUGCCGGUUUCAAUCUCCCCCUUUGACAUUGAUUUUGUGACAAAAACCUAUGACUCUAAUAGCACUUAUAAAACGUGCUUACAAUCCCAAACCAUAGCAUUUAUAAAACAUGCCUACAAAAACACUCAAAAUAGAAACAUAUAACAAGUCACCAAUUCUUGUUAUCCAGCUUUAGGAAGAUGCUUUAACCAUCAGAGAUCGAACGGAAGCAAUCAAAGAUUCAACAGAAGUUCCUUCGAGCAACUCCCCCAUACUUCAUGAGCUCCAAAAUUCAUGAGCAACUCCCCCAUACUUCAUGAGCUCCAAACUUCAUGAGCAACUCCCCCAUACGUGCAGCAUACCUGAAACAUGACCCAAAAAUAACCUAACAACAAGAAGACGAUUGUUAGUAAUUAGAGUCAUAAAUCUCCCCCUUUUUGUCACAACAAGUGAACAAAAUAACCAACCAAUCAAAGGAAAAGAAUAACAAUAAACCAAUAAUCAAGAAGAAGAAAUCAAUACCAAACAAAGAAUACAGAACAGAUAAAAAUAUAAACCGAACCCAACUAUUAAAAGUUCAGAAAAUCAACUAAUAACCAAACAGAGAAAUCCAUAAACAGAAAAAACCAAAACGACAAAAAUAGAAAGCUCGAAUUAACGAAUUCGAAAGACCCUUUCCCAAUGACCUAGAGGAAGCUUGGAGAAGUAAGCUUCAGCACGAGCCGAAGGUCGAUUCCACCGAGCAAUCACAUGAUCAUCAUAAUCCUCCAACCAUUCACUCGUACAAAACAACUCUUCAAUUCUGCUGUCCAAGCCACAGUCGGUAAGUGGAGCAGCAAGUCCUGGAACCUUCGGAUAACCAACCAACUCCAAGAUGUGAUUUUGAAGAUGUCCCGGUAAUCUCUCCCAAUGAUUGACACGAACCAAACAAGGAUUAAGAAAAGGACGAUGAAUAUAGUCAUAUCCAUGGGGAACACGACACAAACGACAAACCUUAGCAUUGUUCUUGUACUCCAUUACCAUGAACGACACAUAACCAACAGUCGGAACAAAAAUUCCAUGAAGUUCAUAUUCUGCCAUAGAGAAUUCUGAAGAACAAAGAGAGAAUUAGCAAGAGGUAAGAAGACACAAUAUGAGUGAAAGAGAAAAGACUCCCUAUUUAUAAGAAGAAUAGGAGUAAACAUAUCAUGGACCCAAAAAGAAAGGUCCAUUACCUCAGAAAAAUUUACUGCAAAACAAGGAAACCAACUUGAACUAAUAUGAAAAUAGCAAUAUCCAAGAACAUGUACAAUACUAAAAAAUAGAAACAAACCGAUAUAGCAAAAAAAAAUUUAAGUACAAAAAUGUGGAGAGUAAACCAGAAAAACCACUACUCGGAGUCCGAGUCACCAUCACUCGGUUCACCAUCACCCUCGUCCUCACUCUCUGAGUCAUCACCAUCACUCGCACCUUGAACUGGAGGCACCUCUUCCGGAAACGGAGGCAAGUUUGUGGGAGUGAAGUCCAGCUGCAGAUGCCGCAUCUGAGCAACAUUCAUCGCAUGAAUAUCACUGAUCAUGACAUCAUGACGAGAGAGAAUGGCCCCGAAACGAUCCAACCGAGCAUCCAUAUGGUCCUGAUGACGGCGGAGAGAGGAAACCCGAGCAUCAAUGGCUGCAACAGCCCGAUUUCCCCUAGCAGAAGCAGGGAUGGGGCGUCCAGUGGUCAAGGCCCGAUCGAAAUCAUCAUUACGCACAAGUGCCCUGCCUCCCCAAAUGAGGUGGUGCGUCAGACGCGCACCCACGGACUCGAAAGCCAACUUUCGAGACUGACAGCCCUUUUUAAUAGCAUUGACCCAGUCGUGGCCAACAAACUUUGGAGGGCUCACCCCCAAAUACUGUCCCUGAAAACCCAAGUGCCUGAGAAUUGUCAUAAUAAAGCUAGGGAAAGGAAGAGUACCCUUAGCCGCAUCAAUUUGAAGCAUCCGAUUGUAGAUGACCUCAGAGAGAUGAAUAUGGUGCACCGACAUACAAACCACCAAUUUGACCAUGUCGUCGGUCAUAAUUAUCUUGUUGCCCUUGGUGGGGUAGAUGUUGGAGUGAGCAACCAUGUGCAGGAGGAUGGCGCUGUAGUGCUUGGCAUGGUACCUUUCCGUGACACCAUCAAUAAACAUCUGCUGAACUUGAUUGACAAAGUCAAUUUGAAUUGACUCCGGAACGGGCCAUCUGACAGAGACAGCAUCCUCAGGAACAAAGUCACCAUCAAUACCCAACGCCUCGCGUAUCACCUUAGGAGAAAUGGUGUAUCGCCGGCCUUCAAUCAAAACCGAAAAACUCGAUCGAUUUUGCGAGGGUGUCUUUGUCUCAUAGAAAGCUAUCGUAUGCUCAACCGAGUACUUGGUGAUUGGUUGAGCCACCCUUAGCCAAUUCCGAGUCUCAAAGAACAAUGCGAUAUUGCCAAGUUGAGAUGCCCCUAGAGGGGUGGCAGCAAUGUCUCCCAAGUCGAAGAACCGCUCGGGAACAAUGGCCUUGGCUCGAGGAUGAGCGCCAAGGGAUAAUGGAUGAGACAAACCCGGAGUGGAACCACGACCUCUCGGAGCGCGAGAAGAAGAUGCACCCUUAGAUGUGGAUGCCGUGGAGGUGCGUGCACGCUUUGAAGACAUUUCCUACACAAACACACCAGUACACAAACCAAAAAUGUAAGAAAAUUGACAAAAUAACCAAAUUCAAACCCAUAGAGGCAUUUCAUCAAACACUUGAUGUGCAGAAUUCUAAGUAUAUGCUAUCGACAACAAUGAAGGAAUCGCAAGCACCCAAACACUUAACAAAACAUAAAGAAACAAUAGAGACCAAGAACAAACCACCUCCCAAGGUCAUUACCAACUAAACUGGCGGCAAGAGCUAGUAUAGAAACACCAAGGCCCAUGAAGGCAACAAACAAGCAUACAACCUUAACUUAACAAAAUAUGAUCAAGCAAACCCAAAUUAUCAACAAGAGCAUGACAAUAGAGAAGAGAAGAAGGAACAAAAGAAAACUUACAAGUGAUUGUGAGUGAGAAGGAAAAUCAACAACUUUGCCGACUAACGCACCGGAACAAAAAGUGACAAGGAAACGACAAACCAAAUGCAAGGAAAGGGAAGAGUAGAAGAAGAUCUCCUAAUAUGAGCAAUGAAAACCAAUAUGGUAACUGCUUGUAGUGUGCCAAAGAGGAGGGAACACGAUUUAUAUAACAGUUGGCCUAUGGUUUAAAAACAAGACUUGAAUUUAAACAGCAAAUGGGCCGGACUGUUUCAGGGACGUUCGUACGUCCUAAGUACGUUCGAACGUCGGGACCCAAAAAAAAAACAUCUGUCAAACAACACGUUCGUACGUCCUAGGAACGUUCGUACGUUGCAAAAAGAUCUGUCCCCCUCCACGUACGAACGUCUUGAAAGCGUACGUACUAACCUAACCUUUUUUUUUUUUUUUUUUUUUUUUUUUUUAUUAAAAUAAACUACAUAACCCGAAAAACAGAUAUUGAGAGACAUCACAAGAAAACACGUCUACGUAUCAUACGAAUUCCAAUUACAACCGAUUAUAGUUUAAACAAUCCUCAACCACAAGAUAAUGCAAAAACGAAGAACGACAUCAUACACCAUGACAUGGUAGUUACUAGAAUGAUGCAAGUAUGUAGAAGAACCUGAUAGACCAAUACCAACCUCCGAAGAACAAACUAAAGACAUGAUCAUAGAGAAUAUUGAAAACCCACACUAUUGUUUUUCUUCUUGUCCUUCAACUAGACAAAUGCGAAAGCCACUAUUCAUUCAUUUUUUUUUUUUUUUUUUUUUUUUUUUUUUGUUAUUUUGUAAACCAUUGAAACAGAUGCCAUUCCCGUGUGGGAGUAUGAAAUAUCUCCAUCUUUUACCAGAACACGAGGGUAGGGUGUAGCCUACAUCUUUUCGGCAAAACACACUCAAGAAGUGCAAUACCAUGAUAACGUGCAACACAAGAACUAACAUCUCUUGAGUGCAACCGUCAGAGCAUGACCCUCACAGCCCCAACGGGUUCUUAGCCAAAUGAGUAUGCUCUCAAGACAUUCAAAUGGCUGGGGAUUUUGUGAGUCAUUGACCACUUACAAGAGGUGAGAGAAUAAAUAAAACAACAAACAACGAUCAUGAAAAAUCAACCAUGGAAGACUGGAGUUAAACAUGUAUUGAAAAUGUCAAGCCAACUACAUUGAAGUGCAUCAUGCAAGAAACUACCAAUACGAAGAGAGUAUAAUGUAACCCUACACCUAUGCAUGACACAAAGACAGUUGAGAACGCCAAACUAGAAACAUUUGUAAAAUGAAAUCCACACAAUAGAGAAUGUAGUAUGUCCUCAAUACCAAUAACAACAAUAAAUGACCAACCCUAAACAUCCUAAACACAGACAGUUCCAAUGAACACAUUAGACAUAUGAAUGCAGAAGAGGUGUAGUAACAAUGAAGCAAUUAUCAGAUGAGCGACUGCCAGAUAACACCAAGAUAUUAUUGGAAUCAAAAACAUCACACCUAUUAUCCUCAAACACAACCUUAAAUUUAGCAUCACAUAACUGACUAAUACUCAAUAGAUUUGACCUAAGACCCUUAACAAAAAGAAGCUCAUGACUAUUGAGCGAUUCAACCUCAGAAAAGUUACCUUUACCUUCAACCGGAAGCAAUUUACCAUUACCAAACCUAACCUUACCUCCAUAACCAAGAGUCAGGUUAUCAAUCAGAGUCUUAUCACCUGUCAUAUGACGCGAACAACCGCUGUCAAGAUACCAUGAUGAAGGCAAUGGUUCAACCAAACGAGCCAUGUGAGACACCAUUUUCCUGGAUGCAUCCAUACUCCUAUCCCAGAAAUGUGGUGGUGGAGUAGGCAUGGGUGUUGCUUGAGCACGGUUUCCAUAGGGAGAAGUUCUGGGUAAACCCCACGGAGCAUAGCCAUUCCACAUGUAUGGAGCCUGCAUGGAGAAGGUGGAAGACUUGUUCCAAUAUGAGUUACCUGCAAAAGAAGGAUGAUGAGCAGGAUACAAAUUAUUCCAACAAAAGGCAGAAGUGUGACCCAUGCGACCACAUGUUAGACAUUUAAAGCCUUUGUGUCUUGAGUUCUUUUUCCGAACUUGCUUCACAUGAGUAACCUUGGGUGGCGAUACCACACUAGACACCUGCACAGGAGCAGGAAUAGUGACACUUGUUGGUCGCACAAAUGUAGUGCGGGAAGUGCUAGCAGUAGCAAGGGGAACAGAGGUGUCAUAACCUAAACCAGAUUUAUCUGAAUGGGAUUUACCGAUUCCCAACAGAGAGUUUAGAUUAGCACUUGCUUUACCAAACCCAACCAAUUGUUUGUUGGCAGCAAACAACUCGGCCUUUACUCUCUCAUGCUCCAGUACAAGGGAUCGAUACCGUGUUUCAAGAUCAUUAUUUAGUUUUUCCAGAGUGACAAUACGCACUUGGAAAUCCUCCUUUUCCUUCACAAAUUCUUCCUUUAACAUGUUGGAAUCACCUGUAAGAUUGCAUAUAUCCUGUCCAAGACUCUCUACCUGAUCCUGCAAGACGGUGUUAGAUUUUUCAAGCAACUUUACUUGUUGCAUAGAAAACUUAUACAUGUCACAUAAUUCACCAGUAGUAGCAUGAACACCAGAAUCAGAAACAUUAAUAUCAGUAGAAGAGGAUACAAUACCUCCUGGAUGUUCAUCCAGGGAUGCACUGAAGACCACAUAAUUAGAGACAACAUUCGAGAGAUUCCCAUCAUCAUCUUCAUCUGAAUCAUCCCAUGUGACUGUGAGAUUCGCUUUGGAAUUAUCACCAGGUUUGCGAUCGACCUUCUUAUCACAUUCAUUUGCAAAGUGUCCAUAAUCACGACACUUGUAACAUUGGACAUCUUUACGGUCAACCCGAGCUCUCCUCCCAUCCACAGAGAACCGCUCAAAACCACGACUUCUAGGAGCAUUUGAGGAAUCAGGAAAUCGCUUUCGAGGAUCUCGAUUCUGUUGAUAUUUCAGAAUCUUGUGAAAGCUACGUGACAGAAACGCAUAGUUAUCAUCCACAUCCUGUUCUUCAUCAUCAGAAUGUCCUGUGGAAGGUUCUUUAGACGAUGUAGCUUUGAAUGCAACAGAUUUGUUCUUCAAAGGUUCUUCCAAAGCCUGUUCCAUCUCACAUGUCCUUAGUUUGCCAGCAAGUGUCUCGAUGGACAUGUUCUUAAUCACAUUACUUUCAGUGAUGGCAUCCUUUCGUGAACGAAACCGAGGAGGCAAAGCACGCAAUAUCUUGCGUACCACCUGUGUGUCAGUAUAUGCCUGACCAAUAGCUGCACUGCAGUUGAUGAUGUCUUGGAGACGAAUAAAGAAAUCAUCAAAGGUCUCAGAAUUAUCCAUCCUUAGAUUCUCAAACUGAGAUGUUAACAGUUCCAGCUUACUUUCUUUAACUGUUUCGUCACCUUCAUGUGUACAGAUAAGCCUGUUCCAUGCAUCUUUAGCCUCUUCACAGCCCUGCACCCUACGAAACUCACUAGCAUUUAAUGCCAUGAAAAUAGCAUUGAGUGCCUUGUUGUUAUAAUUUGCCAACAACUUCUGUUCAGGCGUCCACUUUUCACGUGGCGUCAGUGAUGUAACAGCAGUAUCAUCAGUACCUGUAGUAGUCAGAGGUUCUUUCCACCCUGUGACAACAGAAAGCCAGACUUCUUCUCCUAAUGCUUGGAGAUAAGCUCGCAUACGUACUUUCCAAUGACCAAAGUCCUUUCCACUGAAUUGUGGAGGAAGACUUGAAGUAGCAGACUUGUGAGAUUCCAUAAAGCACUAUUGAUCGUUAGCGUGAGCCUUUACGCUCCUUAACCAGCCCCCAGCCUCUGAUACCAAUUGAGAAACUACAAAUAGUGCUAGUAUAACAAAUGUGAAUUCAAACAAACAAACAAAUAAUAUGCAGAAAGUAAAUAACACACAGAGAUUUUUAACGUGGUAAAACCCAAACAGGGAAACGUCCACGGUUGUCCUCGCGACAACAAAAUAAUCCACUAGAUGAAAAGAGAUGUACAAACCUAUCAACUACCUGCACUCACUGCGAGUUGAUACUCCUGGUUAUCUCUAACACCUUGACUUCACCAGAGCACCUUGAUGUACGCACAAGACACUCGACUUCUUGAUGAACACACAAGAAGACUCGAAGCCGAAUUCACAAUAACACUUGAAGAUCACAAAGAUAUGAAUUGGGAAAAGGGGGAAGAAAGGGAAUUGAGUUCAAUAGCCACAAACAAGUUUAAUACCAAAAACCUAACCAAAACACAUGAACAAGAAGAAGGAUGGACGGCCAAAGAACUGUCUUGUUCUGUAGAAGAGAAACCCUAUUUAUACUUAGGGUUGAAAACCUAGGAAAAUGGGCCGAAACUGAGCAAACCGACUUUGGACGUUCGUACGUCGAUAUGACGUUCGAACGUCGCCACACAAAAAUAAGCCUGCUGCCUAACAUGACGUACGAACGCUCUAAACACGUACGUACGUCUCCAUACGAAAACAUGUCUGCUGACUACCUGGACGUACGAACGUCCUAACUGAGUACGUACGUCCUGACCAAAAUAUGUUCGCUGCUUCAGUGAACGUACGUACGUCCUAACUCGGUACGUACGUCCAGAACCCAAUAACUUUCCCUAGACUGACCUAAGAGACACAAGGACACGAGACGACCAUGCGUACAUCUUGGUUUUCCUAACAAUGAAUUCAAGGCGAGAUAACCAAAGACACUUUGUCACAAAAUUGAUGUCAAACCACUUCGUGCCGGUUUCAAAGGUAUGCUCGAACUCGGCUCGUUACUAACCGAGCCGAGCUCGAGCCGAGCUCAAAAUUAAGAUCGAGCUGAACUAUGAGCUCGAGCUCGGCUCGCGAGCCAACAGUAAAACUCGAGCUCGGCUCGCUGGCUCGUUGGCUCGUUUGGCUCAUUUGGCUCGCUGGCUCGUUUGGCUCGUUCGGCUCGUUCGGCUUGUUUGGCUCGUUCAGCUCGUUUGGCUCGUUCAGCUCGUUUGGCUCGUUAUAAUACUAAUUCACUGAUUUGAUCAAAUGAACCAAUUGCAUGUAAAAGAUAUGUAUUAAUGUGUGUGUAUGUAUAAUAGCUGCUGUGAUGGGAUAUGUUCCUGAUUGGAAUUAAGGAUUUUUUUUAGUGUAAUAGCUAUUAUACUAGCAACUCAUGCUUUAACCACAUAAAUUGGCUUUUCUAACAAUCCACACCAAUAAGGAAAGGAAUUAUUUUUGAUUCUUUUUCUCUCCAGAUCUUUUCUUUAACCAAGUGUUGUUUAACUUUCUCCAUACAAACAUUUUCCCUGCAAAAAAGCUUCUUACUUGAUAGAUAACUUUCUUUCUCUCUCUCUCUCUCUUUACUGAUCUCUUCGUUAUCUCCGACCAUCUUAUGCAGUAGUAAGCUCUCUUUCUCUCUCUGUUCUUCUUAUUGAUUUCGUUAUAUAAGUUAAAAUCUUCAAUUCUGUUGUGGAAGAACUAAAAUUCAGCAAACCAAUUGACUCACCUUGAGCAGACGCGACGCCGAGAAAAGAAAAGAAAAAAAAAACUAGAUCUUCGAUUGAUACAAUGAUACUUAUGUUGUACUGUUGUUGUUGUGAUUGAAGUUGAGAUCCAUUCAAUAAACAACUUGAUGGAGAUAUAAGCCCAACUGCCCAAGCCCAUAGUUACUGAUGGAGAUAUAAGCCCAACUGCCCAAGCCCAUAGUUAACGAGCUGCUCGGCUCGGCUCGUUUAGAGCUCGAGCUCGGCUCGGGCUCGUGACUAGCUCAAAAACCGGCUCGAACUCGACUCGUUUAGAUAAAUGAGCGAGCCGAGCCGCUCGGCUCAGAUUGCAGCCCUACACCUAAGGGCUCACAACAUGAAAGGUCGACAUGAUUAGACUUCUCGACCUCCAACAACGAGGCCGAAUAUGAAGCCCUAAUACAAGGCCGGCCUACUCAUGGCCAUCAACCACACAGUAGAUCGAAUCACAGUUUUCAGCUACUCAUAGCUCAUAAUGAACCAGAUCACGAGCAACUACCAAAUCCAUAGAGUCAAUUUGAUAAUAUAUGCAAGCAAGGCAAAAUAGCUCAUCAACAAGUUCAGUUUCUUCACCAUAGAUCACAUCCCCAGAAACGACAACAAACAUACUGACUCACUCGUAUUCCUUGGGUCUAAGGUCGAAUCAGCUCGACCUCGAGCUUUGACAAUAGCAGUAAACACGCUACCUGUGUAUUUGCAAAGAGAAUAAAAAGUCAAUCAGAUCAGCGACCUCCUCAAUACGACCUUCUAAGACAUCAAGAGAACAUGGAUGAGACCUUUUAUCAACUUCUUACAAACUGGCGAGUUGCCUCCAAGAAAGAAAGAAGUUUAACCAGUAUUACACAAAGUCACCAUGUACAAGCUAUAUGAGGGCAAACUAUUCCAAAAAUCGGCCGCUGGGUUAUUCUUAAGGUGCUUAAUUUCAAAGAAAGGACAAAUAAUCUUCCAAGAAAUCCAUGAAGGAGAAUGUGGAAACCACUCUAGAGGUCGCAACCUAGCACACAAAGCGAUCUCCCAAGGAUAAUUUUGGCCGCGAAUGAAAGAAGAUGCAAGAAAGUUCGUACUGAAGUGAAAAGAGUGUCAACAUUUUGCCGACCACACCCAUCAGCAUCCCAAUGACCUUAUCAACGUCACAACCCCUUGGCCAUUCCAUAUGUGGGGGCUCGAUAUCAUGGGUCCCUUAAUUAAAGAGGAGAAAUCGGAGAAGAGAUUCGUCCUGGUCGCAAUAGACUACUUUACCAAAUGGGUAGAGGCUAUUGCUCUCAUAACAAACGUAACUCAAGCAGAUGUGAGAAGGUUUUUGUGGGAAAACAUCAUAACUAGAUUCGACCUGCCCAAAAGAUUAGUUACUGACAACCAACGAACCUCAGUUCGUUGGGAAGAAUAUUAAAGCUUUAUACGAACUCUGGAAAAUCGAGCACGCCAAUCAGCUCCUCGAUAUCCACAAAGCAACGGACAGGUCGAAGCAGCGAACAGACAAAUCCUAUCUAACUUGAAGAAAAAGCUUGAGGAACAAGAAGAUCAAUGGCCACAGCAACUCGAAAACUUCCUAUGGGCCUACAGAACUACUCCACGAUCAUCAACAGGAAUCCUACCAUUCAGUUAUGUUAUGGAGUAGAAGCAGUUAUUCCGACUGAACUGACAUUUGGUACGACCAAAUAACUUUUGGUCAAUACCGAGCUCAACAAUCAAGUCUGGUCGUUCGGUAUAGAUCUGGUCGAAGAAAGGUGAAACCAUGCAUCGAUUAAGCUCGAACAAUACCAACAAAGGUUAAAACGAGCUUACAACAAAGGAAUACGACCUUGAACCUUUCAACACCGAUAGCUCGUACUGAGAAGAAUGUUCUACCACAAAAGAAAAACAAACAUUGGGAAGUUUAAUCCUAACUGGGAAGGACCUUACAUCAUUACAAAGGUCCAAAACAACGGCUUCUACCAUCUACAAACUCCAAACGGCGAAGAAGUCAAGAAACCAUGGAAUGCUUAGCAUUUCAAGAAAUUUUACCAAUAAUGUAAGCAUGCAUUCACUGAAUUUAUCAAUAAAAUGAGCUCGUAUUUGCCUUCAUCUCAAUUCACACAUGAAUGGCUAGAACUGGUCGAAAGCAAUCGCGGUGGACGUUCAAUUAUCAAUAACUCCAGUCUGCUUGAUAAUUGCACAUGUGUUUAGUUGACAUCAAUUAUCCAACUAGCACCACCUUUACCUAAGGUCAGAUCAAUCCCAUGACCUAGGUAACGCAUAAUCAAGCUCACCAUUAAUCGACAUCAUUUGAUUUUAGGUAGAAAAUUCAACACUUAAUCAAAUUUCUUUGCUUCAUGUAAACUACCUUUUCAGAGCAAGCAAUAACAAAAGAAAAUGCGAACAAGGUAAAAAAAAAAAAAUGUAAUUAUUUUAUUGCUUUAGAUUCAACCUAACUAUUACAGGAAAGGCGAUCUGAUCGCUGACUAACAUUAAUCAAGUCCUAUACUACUUGGGGUCUGCGUCAACAUCCUCAGAAACUACAACUAGCAAAAUACAGACAUGCACAGAAAAAUAGAAACAAACGAGCAAGAGCACAAUACAAGAAAUGCAACAACCAAAUUUAUUCAAAGCAUACAAGAAGAAAUGUUUCAGUCCGCCCUACUUGCAGCCAUUAUCUCGUCUACCUACCUUCUGAACGAGCUACCAGAACUCCCUGAAAACUAGUCACCAAAAGAUCAGGAGACAUUAUCCACAACAGAAAGUGUUCUAAAGUAAAGUGCACAAAAUAAAUGGCGCAAUCGACCUGCCGAAGCAGAUCGAUCACUAAUAUUUAUGGCCUACAGCUAAAACCAAGCACCAGGUCGCCAAAGACAAGUCUGGUCGCAACCAAACCAGCAUAAGACUAUUGUUUAAAGCCAACAACCACAACAGAGAAUGAUAAGUCCUCAAAAGUGUACAUUUAUCCCCCGAAUAACACCUUGUUUGUUUAGCACUUAGCUUAUGUUAUUGUGUUAUAUCUAUUGAUUAGUGCUUUCUUUUCUAUUGUGUAGGUUUCAUGAGCCAAAAUACGAAUAUUGUGUUAAAGCCCGCCAAAAGUCAAGAAAAGCCACCAAAAAGGUGUUAUUUGCACAAAGAAGGAGAAUCGAUAUUUACACACACAGAUCUGCUAAGGGCACCCCACGGCUGGUUCUAUUGACUUGACUUUAGGUCAAAGUGGGGCGGUCCAAAUCUCAGCCCAAACCGGGUCCUAUUGAAGCCCACAAGUCAGAAUUUCUAUUUUAGGCAUUUAUUGAAGUCCAAUCUUAAAAAGGCUCUACAAGAAGAUCCAGAAGUCUGAUUUGGGCCCAUGAGCUGUCCAAUUGAAGGUCUUGGUCCAAGCUACAACUUAAGCCUAAAAUAAUUAGGUUUUGCUGAAAAUCUAAUGCCUCUAGAAGACCAACACCAGAAGCCACGAAUUUGACCUAAUUUGGAAGUCUUUGUAUGCAAGUAUUAUACUUUGUAUUUACUAUAUAAGAGAAGUAGUAGCUAGGGUUUAGGAUAGUCAAUGCUUGAGAGGCAAAAGUUCAUCUUCUUCUUCUUUUGUAUUGAACUCAAUCAUUAUCAAUAUCAAUCCAUUACUUUUCUUUAUGAUGUUUUGUUAUUUAAUUAUUUAUUCCAUGGUGUCAUCAUCAAGGAUGAGUAGCUAAAUCUCCUUAGGGGGAUGGUUAAAGCACUCUAGAUAAUGCAAAAGCACCAUGUUUGUUCUUAAUGUUCAUUGUGAUUCAAAAUACUUAAUGCUUAUUUACUUCUAUCUGCGGUAUGAGGUAAGUAUGACUAUUUGCAUGUUAUUGUUAUCCAUGUUGUUAAAAUACUAUUGUUGGAGUAUAGGGAGACCUAGCUUUAAUUGUUGUGUUUAUAUUAAUUGAAGAUAUGUGAUAGAAUAGCUGAGAGGUGACUAUUGUAUAUUUGCAGUUUGUAUAUAUUAUUGAAACCCUUUUGUAAUUAAAUUGAAUAGCUGAGAGGUGACGGUUUAAUUAUGAAUUAAUAUGUUGAUUUAAUUAAAUUGAAUAGCUGAAAGGUGACAGUUUGAUUAAUAAGACAUAUUCAAUAGCAUGCAUAAGAGAAGCCCGUUUUAAUUGAGUGGAAUAGCUGAAAGGUGACUACUUGAUUAUUAUAGGUAUUAAUGGUUAAUUGGAAUAGCUGAGAGGUGACUAAUUAAUUGUUAUAGAUUGAACAUGAAGGAACAACAUGUUAUGUUUGCAUGAUUUAGUUUGUGGAUACCAAUUCUUCCCCCUAUGUCAUCAUAAGAUCUUAUUUUCAUCUCUACCAUAUUCUUAAGUUAGGUUAUUUACAGUUUAUUAUUAUUGCAUGUAGGAAGUGGAAUUACAUCUUUUUUUUUUGUGAUUCAUUAGUGGUGUUACUUAGUUAUUGUUUUCAAUUGUGUUUGAGCUAAGAUCUUCACCUUGGAGGUGGGUACGACCCUUUUGCUUGUUACUUGUCUACUUUGAUAAUCAAUAUACAGGCAGAAGAAGGAACUUCAAUAAAAAUAUAAUCUUUUGAUUAGAGGUUACACAAAUAGUCUCUAUAUCAGAGAACCAGAACGCCAAGAAUGAACAAGGUCGAAACCAAGCCCACCCAAGACUAAUGUUUAAAAGCCACGCAAGGCUACCAACCUCGCAUCAACAUUGUUUUUUAAAAAAAACUCAUAAACACUCAAGAGAAGAAAGAAAAUGAUCACUGCUCCGGGACACGCUCUUCCUACUCGACCUGCAUAUCAUCAACAUUCAGCUGUUGCGCAUCUGGGCCCAACGAAGUGUCCUUGGGGGCAAUCUGCUCAAGAUCUUCAUGCCCCUGUAUCUUCUCUUCAAUGGGUGAACCAAAAUCCUUCAGCUGCCUCUCGAGAUUAACACAAUGUUCCUACCACAGUAGCCCGUUAUCUUCACAACAUUUCUGAGUAGUGGCCAAAUCAGACUUCAGGUUGAGCACUUCGAGUUCGAGAGUAGCAAUAUCUUUAUCCUUGUCCUUCAGCUUUAGGUCGCGGAUCAGAACUUCAUUUCGAGCAGAGUUUAGUUGGUCCCUUAGCCUCUUCAAAUCCAGGUCGACCUGAGCCCCAGAUUAAGCGAUACCUCUCAGCUCCUGAAAUGAAGUGUUGAGCUAUAAGCAACAUUAAAGAGGUCAGCUAACCAGCAAAAUAUCUACACUCAAGAAUAUUGAAAUAACUUACCAGCGAGAUGCCAUAAUUGAUUUUCGAUAGCAUAUGCGCCAAGCUCUGACCCUUCACAACAAGAAGCUAGGGUUUGAAAUUGAAUUGGGGAUUUGGAAGUUAGGGUUAUAGAUUUGGGUAUUUUUAAAUUUGUUGAAUCAAAUUGUUAAAAUAAGGGAGAAGGGGGUCAGUCACGUGAGAAAACAUGUGCCUUACUUUGAUGGGUUGAAAAUUUUGUUUAAGUUUUUUGUUUAAAAAAAAUACACGAAUAUAAUUAUUAGCCACGAAGCAGUCCGUUAGCCAGUUUUAGACAAAUUGCAUAACUUGAAUUUUUUUCAAAGUACAUUGAUGAUGUUUUAGCGUGAUUUUUAAUACAUUGUAUAAAGUGGAAAAUUUGUGAAAGUACUUUGUAUUUUUUGAUCAUUUUACCAAAUCUAUAUUAUCAAACAUAAUGAAUAAGAUUUAAGAAAAGGGGGGAAAACAAAUGGAAGAGAAGUGCUAUAACAGUUUGGGUUAUAAUUCAUUUUUUUUUAAUCCAAUUUACGAGAAGAGAAUCAGAUUGGAAAAGAUUUCUAUUAAUUUUGGGUUUUCAACAAAUUGGGUGUGAAAGGGCAUUUUCUAUAUAUCUAUACUAGCUUUUUACCCGUCCGUUGGACGGGGAACUUGAAAUAAUCAUUUAAUAAAUUUUUUUUUUUUUUUUAAAUUGUCUCAAUUUUAUAUUCUAAAGUGUUCCUGAAAAAGCAAUUGUUCUGAAGUUCCUUACACAGGUGCCAUGGGCCUGUGGCCAUGAAGAUCGAAGAUUACUGACAGACUGCUUUGAGAGGAAGUGCAGUAAGGGUUUGGACGAAGCAAAUGACACAAAAGAAUAUAAGAAGCAGUUUGAAGAUUGUGGCGGUGAAUAAAAGAAGCAGCGAUACUGAAUUGCAUAAAUGAGUUCUGCUUUCAAACAACAAAUCUAACUUCAUAAUAUGUAGUAACCACAGCUGACUUGCUAAUCACAAUAAAUCUAAAAGAAUUUCCUAUGCUUGAAAGAAUAGACUGGAUUUGCUGGACUUGGUAUAAUCACAGCUCAUUCUUAAAGCUCCAUCUAUCAGUUCCAAGGUGAAAGUUUAAGGGACCUCCAGCUCAACAUUAAGUUACUGGCAAUUGAAAAUGCUAUUGAUUUUUCCCACCAUUUUUUAUAUUAAUAAAUCUAUUUAUACUGAUAAACUAUAUUUGUUGUGUUUGGAGUUCUUUGUAAGUUGCAUGGAAGGGAAGAAGGUUAAUAGGAGUUUACAAUUUGUGUGUCUCUAUUUCAAUUUUUUGCAAGUUCUCUUAGCUUCCUGUUACAUUUGAGUUUUGUGUUGCUAAUCUGAACUUGGAUAACCUGUCCUUUAAAAUGGCCACAAAUCUGAUAUGAAAUUGUGAAAUUAUAAAACUAAAGAGGUUAACAUGUGUAAGAGAACAAAGUCAGGAAGGAAAAAUUAUUGAAGAACAUCAUCUCUAUUAUUAAUACCGAAUGUGGUUGACAUCAAGAUAUUCAGAGAUAUACAAAAAAUAAAAUAUUACAAUGUAUUUCAUAGAUUACACUUGUAAAGUACAUUCACAUUGCUAGAAGACUGCCCCAUUGUAUUGGUCGUUAUAGCAGCACCGUUUCCCUCCACCUUAUUAACACAUCUGAGAAUAUGAGUUUUUCUCGCUCCUUAAUAUUGUCAGUUCCCAUUGCUAAUCAUGCCUAACCUGUUGCCUUGAUCCUCUUAGUUGCUUUGGCAAACGUAAACUCUUCUUCUCUAAAAAUGGCUUCAUUCCUCAUGGAUCAGGUCACCCAUAUCACCAUGUACGGUAAAAUUGGCCAUACGAAGUUGCCUAUAGGGCGCAGUCUGAUCGUCUCAACCAUUCAACAUCUCUGCAAAAGUUUCUUUACUGACUUCUUUCACCACUAUACACCUGGAAGAAAGAUGAAUUCUGACUUCCUGUACGAGUUUAUAUUGGAAUUCAUUCUCUAAUCUCUCUUCUGGUUGAUGAUCCCCGAUAAUUGAAAGAACAUGGACUUGACAGUAAAUUGUUUUUUUUUUUUUGCCAAAGUUAUAAUGUGGAACGAAACGGGUUAUAUGAACAUAAUAAUAUACCCAAAAAUAGAAAUACCCCAAAGAUUGUUUACGAUCCAAGAAUUCUUAAAAAAACAAACCUAUCGAGAUAUUGUCCCUUUCCACCAAGCUUUUGACCUGCCCUGAUAGUAAAGGUAAACCUCCCUGCACUCACCCAUAAGAGCAUCUCUAAUGGGUCUCCCAUAUUUAGCCUACACAUGGGACGAUUUAGCCUCCACGUAGGUGCCCAGUGGCGUAGCCAGGAUUUCCGGUGAGGGGGAGCACCCAACCUGUAUAGGUAUUCAUAGAAUCACAAAAAAAAAAAAAAAUACUCCAUAAUUGAAUCCAAAAAUAAAAGACUUCCAAAUAUCAAAAUUAUCAAAUUAUGAUGGGAUAAUGUAGUAGCAAAGUAAAAUUAAGUAGUAACCUAGAUUCCUUAAAUAAAAGUAACAAUUAUUUAGGCAUAAAUUAAGAAAAUAAAAUACAAAAUAACCAUAAUAUCCUUCCUAUGAAUGUUAAUUCCUAUUACUUAGUUAAUUAUAUUAAGAGUUAAACUAGUAAAAACAAAAAAAAAUCAAACAAAUUAAUAUUUUUUUUGGUGUACGCAAUAUACAUGUAGGUAUUUCCAAAAAGUUGAGGGGGAGCACUUGCGCACCCUCAACCCCCUCUGGCUCCGCCACUGUAGGUGCCACCUCCUUUCCCAUCACUUUUUUUAGCAGGUCUUCCAUACCUAUAUCAGGGGUAUCCCUAACGCGUUUCCUAUUUUUUUUGCCAAAUUUUUAUCUUCCACGCUGGUGCAACCAGCGUGCAAAUGUUUUUCUGUUCCACGCUGGUCCAACCAGCGUGGAAGACUUGGGCUUCGCGUGGUUGGGCUUGGGGCUGGGCUUGGGGCAGUGGGCUUUGGCUACAGGAUCUGUAAGAUGUUCCACGUUGGUUCAACCAGCGUGGAACUUUAAUGAAGUUUUUAAAAAAAAGGUUCCACGCCGGUUUGACCUACGUGGAAUAAAAAAAAAAAAAAAAAAAUGUUCCACGCUGGUUGAACCAGCGUGGAACAUUUUAUUUUACCCAUUCCUAUAAUCCUAUCUUUGGUUCGAUUUUGGACGAAGUUUUAACAGACCGGCCCACCACAUCCUACGUGGAUAGCCGACUGCUAAAAUUAUAGACGACGCGUUAGGGUGCUGUUUUUUUCGGAAUUUCUAUAAUUUAGGUUUUAGGAGAUCCAUUAGAGAUGCUCUAACAUCCUGCACCUAAAAUGCCAAUGAUCAAGCAGCUGGCUAAAAAUGUCAGUGGUCAAGCUUCUAAGUCAUACGUAAUACGAAUAAAUUCUUAUUAUUAAUAAGUUCAAUGUUUUAUAUUGAAACACUGUAAUCAAUCUCAACACGGUCUCCCAGAGGGCCUUCAAAGUGAAGGGCAUGAUCAUGCAGAAAGUAGAUGACAAAGGUGCAUCAUCUACAGAUGGACAAAUCUCUUGUAGUAGAAUAUAACAAAUAAUUUUGGUUACUACAGAUUAUGUAUAUACGAAACAAAAUCAAUAAUUUUUUGGUUUGUAAAUGAUACCUCCUCUUUAGUUCUGUCAAAGACAUAUGAAGUUACCCCCCCCCCCCCCCACACACACACACGGAAGCUUUGUUUGAUUGUUAUCAACCAUUUCCUGUUUCUUUAGCUUAUGCACAUGAAAAUAUUGGGGUAAUUAGUUCUAAAUAUCGUCAAUUUACAUAUAAUCUGAAAUUAUUUUGAAGAGAGCUUAGCUGACCUUUGUAAUCUGCAGAGAAGCAUUAUUGCUCCGACUUGAAGAUGCAUAAGUUGUAAAAUGUAGGGAAGCAUUAUUGCUCUCACUUGAAGAUGCAUAAGUGGUAGAGUCUUCUGCAGCCCUUUUCAUCUUCCUAUCACCCUACAUUGGAGAAUAUAUGAAUAAUUUGAUUAAGAUGAAAUACCAAAAAACCACUAACAUAACAUGUACCUCAAUGGGUUUGGUAAAUUGAUUGGUCUCGAUUUCUUCAUUUACAACCCAAACUUUGGAUGUUGUAAAUGAGGCCACAACAUCUUCAUUGCGUAUAUUGAAUUCACUGAUUUUUAUUACAAAAACAAAUUCUAAUCCAACCAGUUUAUUCCCUAUAUCUUUAACAACAGAGGUAAAAUUUUAAUUAAGUAAAUAAGAAGGAGAAACAACUAAAUAAUGUAUGGUAAGUGUACCAUUGUAUUUAAGUCAAUCAUUUUUGUGACAGGAAGCUUCAGCAAACGUUCAACCUCUCUAUCAAAGAUAGAUAUUGAAGCAGAUUGUGUACAAUCUCGAAUCUCGACAUGUAUUUAAUACCUAUUAAUCCAAAUGAUGGUUUAGAAUUAAUAUCUAAUUUAAUUUAAAUCCAUAGAUUUGGAAUUCCAUUACUUUGCAACUGGAUAAUCAACAAAGUUUUUGCAAUUGUUACACCAAUGUUUGCUGCCUUUACAACAACUUUCUUGCGACAAUCUUUGUUAUUGCAAGAGAAAUAGAAGGGCUCAUAAUCGUAUAUAAUCUUAGAAAUGACAGUCUUGCAUGUGAACUUGUCUCCCUGUAUUUUCAGUUAGUAUUAUAAAGUUGUUCAUUUACUAAAGCUGACCAUGUACAAAAAUUCAGUUACAACUUACAAUGGCUGCAUUUAGUACUGCUUGCACAAUCUCAACCAAAGUUUUAGGUAACAACACAAAGAAUUAAACAAAAGAUUAUUUAGGUAACAAUAAAUUGGAAGGGCAAGCAUGUUAUUUGUGCCGAACAAAAAAUGAUUGAUAUAAUAUUCUCUUAGUAUAAACAACAACAAAAAUAUAAGUAACCCAAAUUUUAGUGAAUCAAUCCAAUAAGAAAAAUUAAAAUUAGAAAGGCAAGCAUCAACAUGUGAUUUGUAAACUUCUCUUUAGUGUAAAUGGAAUCAAAUUAUAAAGGACCCAAUUGUACUGAAUCAAGUGAGUAAGGAAAAUUAACUCCACGUGUACAUGAUUGUAACUAACAAUCUUAAGUCGGGAAAGAAAGCCAAAUUGUACUGUAGGUAACGAUAUUUUAUUAUUAUUAUUAUUAUGUAAAUAGUCGGAAUUUAGGUAUGGAAAAUAAAAAGGGAAAAGAUUUGUAGCAAGAUAUAAUGCCAAAUCAAAUAAACAAACAAAUAUCUAAUAAUUCGAACACAUAGAAAAGAGUAAAAAAAAUAACCAUUGAGACUCAAACCUUUCCAAAAUUGGCUGUUGUUUUUUCUGCAGAUGAACGGGAAGACCAAUUGCUGAAGAGGAGAAAAAGAACAGGAAAGUGACGAAUUCAUUUGCUAUUAUUUCCUUUUAUAACUUUCUAAUAUCGACGAAUCGUUACAUGUGUCUAUUGGGUAAAUUAUGUCUGUUGGCGAAGAUUUGCAAUGAUAACUACCAAAUAAAGAGAAUCACGACCUUUGGAUAUGCUAACAAAAAGGUGCGACGAUUGGUGAAGAAGAUAGGAUCCAUGGCUUAGUAACAACGAUUGGUGAAGAAACGAUUGGUGAAGACGUUUGUACAGAUGAAAAUAGGGAGAUUUAGUAAUUUUUGAAAAGUUGCAGGGAUAAAAUUGGAGCUUUGAUUUUGCUGUAGGGAUAAAAUUGGAGCUUUGAUUUUGCUGAUGUGGCUGCGGAAUUCUGUAAUAGUUGUUAAGAGUUUUUUGCCCUUGGGUGUUGCGCUUUAUAUUAAAAGAAGAAUAAUAGCUACACCCAAUAGGUCCCACACUCUCUUUCCUAUGUGGCACUCUAUAUGAUCAUCAAGGUCUCACAAAUUUUCUCCCAUAAAACAAAUAAAAAAAAAAAAAAUUAUACUAAUUGGUUCUAUAACAAAAUUUUGUAUUUCUCUACAUUUUUCCCCAUUUUCCACUAAAACCCAAAAAUCUCUACCCACUUUCUCUACUCUCCUAAUAAAGUACAAACACAAACAUUUUAAUAAAAAUAAAAUCAAAACAACAAAUAUACUCAAAACACAAAUUAAUAAUCAAAUAUAACUAAACAUAAUAAUUUAUUAUAUGUACCUAUAAAUAAAUAAAAAAUUUAAUAUAGAUAAAUUUAAUAUUAUAUAAAUUUAAAAUUUAUAGAAAAUUUUUGUUCCAAAAUCUCUAAUCCCAGUGUGUAGCACGAGGUCCACAGCUAGUCAUAAUGAAAUAAUUGUCAGAUUGGUUUUUCUUAAGCAAUUUGGUCAGAUAGGGUUUUUGACAAAUCUCUUGGGUGGCCAUAAGAUCUCCCAAAACCUACCUAAGACUCUAAGAGCCCAAUACUAUCUGCUUCCUCAUUUCCUAAUUCCUCUUCCUCAAUCCUACAAGCUUCGCUGGUUCACUUCACCAAUCAUCAGAAAAUGGCAAUGAUGGUAUUCAGGAUUUCUAUUUUCUAAUGAAAAAAUAAUUAAUUUUGGAAUGAAAAAAAUCCAAUUUGUUUGUUGAUAUGAUAUACAGGUGAUGCAUUUGUUGGUGGAACAAGAUGUGGAUUGAGACUACCUCCACCUCCAACAAAAGGAAUAAAGGAAUUGAAGGUAUUUCCAUGUGACUUGGUGAGUACGAUAUUGAAUUUUGGUAUUUUGUUUGAGAGAAGAAAAUUAUCUUAGCUGUCUAAAAAGAAUUAGGGUUAUAAAUCCCAAACAAUUUAGAAAAGAGAAAGACAAAAUCAGAAACAGAGAGAUCGAGUGGUGUACAGAGAAGUAUGUGAUAUGAUGUAGAAACAUUGUGAUUGCUAUCCUUACUUCCUUCUCUCUAUCCAGUUUCAAUGUUAAAUUUUCAAAGUCAAUGAAUCUUACUUCUUCACAGCCUUGAUUCAAGGCUUGGGUUCUUGAUUAAAACAACUAAUAGACUUCCUUGCCUUUGAAUGAUCUCAACUAUUAAACUCAUAAUUUGAGUUUUCCUCAAAUGAAUUUAUUCUUUCAGAACUGUUUUGAACUUCAAUUUUUUCUAAGAUUAUUUUCUAUCUUUCAUUCUUUCAGAUCUGGUUCUACUCAUUGUUUGGUUAGUGCAUAAGGAAAAAAACUGGCUUGGUACAUAAGGUAAAUAAGUAAGAAAAACCUUUUGAGUUCAAGUACUUCUUAAUUUGCUGUGUGUGUGUGUGUGCGCGUGCGCGCGCUUAGAUAAACAAAAUGUUUUUGCAUUAUCAGUUUUGGAUGAACAGAAUGCUGACUUUUUCUUUCUUGCGGAGUGUGUACUUAUGAGCGCAAUUUGGUGUACAUUAGUAACUCAACGGGAAAUUUUAUGUGCUAUCUAAUUUUGAUAACUACUGAGAUUUGAUAUUUUGUUUUUAUGAAUCGCUUUAUGUGGUCCUCAUUCAAGGUUUUAUCGUAAUUUAACAUAUUAUUUUUUAUGGGUUAGAAUGUUAGAUUUUGAUUUUUGGUCAAGAGGCCCAAUGAUUUAAAAUAUAAUUAAAUCUAUUAUCUAUUUUUAAAGAAAAUUAAUUAUCUAUUAAAGCAGAAAAUAACCCUAAGAAUAUAUCUCUUCAAUUAGGCUAUCAAUAUUGAAGAGAAUUUUGAUUGAGUUUGGGUAUAUGUAUGUAAUCACGCAAAAGGAGACCACCCAUCACGGAUAUAAUCAAACCUAGUUGGACUAAAUCACAGGCAUAAUUAAGCCGAGUCUAAAACAACUUAAAGUGGACCUAAUCCCAAAUAUAAUCGAGUCCUACCCAUGCAUUGCAUGGGCCUGAGCACUAGUCUAUUGUACUCUAUUAAAGCAGAAAAUACCCCUAAGAAAAUAUAUUUUCAAUUAGGCUAUCAAUUACUCCCUCUGUCCUAAAUUAUAAGUACCUUAUUCCAUUUUAGAUUGUCCCAAAAUAUAUGUCGCUUUUGACUUUUCAACCCAUAUUAAUUAAGUUAAAUGGUUCAUUUGUCUAUACUACCCUUACUUUGAGAUUAGAGUAAUUAUUCUAAUGAAAAGUUAGACCUUGUAAUUAGAAUUAAAUAGGGGUAAAUUAGAAAAUAGAGUUAGUAGACAGACAAUAAAUGAUGUUUCCUUAAUAAGUAGAAUAUUCCAAAAGGUACUUAUAAUUUGGGACGGAGGGAGUAGAUUAAAUUGAUAGCCUAAUUGAAGAGAAUUUUGAUGAACUUUGGGUAUAUUUGUAAUUAUGCAAAAGUGGACCACCCAUCACACAUAUAAUUAACCCAGUUAAACUAAAUUAAGUGUAUAAUUAAGCCCGGUCCAAAACAACAUAAAAUGGACCUAAUCCCAAGUAGAAUCAAGUCCAACUUGUGCAUUGCACGGGCCUAAGCACUAGUACUCUAUUAAAGCAGAAAAUACCCUAAGAAAACAUGUUUUCAAUUUGGCUAUCAAUUAGAUUGAAUUUUGAUUAAGUUGGGUAUAUUUGUAAUUAUGCAAAAGUCGACCACUAAUCACGGAUAUAAUCAAGUCCAGUUGGAUUAAAUCACGAGCAUAAUCAAGCCCAAUCCAAACAAUUUAAAGUGGACCAAAUCCGAAAUAUAAUUAAGUCCAACUCGUCAUUGCAUGAGCCUUAACACUAGUUAACAAAUAUUAUGAGAAAUCAACAAUUUUUAACGUGAAUUCUUAUAAAAUAAUAUUAAUAAAAAAAUUUCAAAAAUAAUUAUUUCACAAAAUUCAAUAAAUUAGUAUAAUUGUAAAUUUUACUGGGUUAAAACUCGAAGGGUCACCAAAAACGGAUAAACUAAAAUUAACCCGUGCGUAGCACCAACUAACACAUUAGUGAAAAUAAUUUCAGUAAUUUGUUAGCGUUAGAUUUUACCAUUAUGAAAUACAGUUUGGUAGAAUGCACUCCAAAGCUAGUUCAUCACAAGCUAAGAGUACUUGCAACUUCUAAUUAUGACUGCACUUUUUCUUACCUUGCCUUGAUUCCGUGUUAUUUCUCUGACGCUAAUGUCCAUACUUGCAACCAAUCGUUUUUACGACGGUUAGAAGUAAGGGUAUUGGUUUUUGUUGUGUAGUUUAGUCCCACAUAGCUUUGAUAUAAAGUCUAUGUGAUUUCUCUCUAUAUAUAGAGAGAGAAUUAGCUUUUUGUAAGUUUAACCUAAUAUAUCAAUAUUAUCAUUUCAUCUUUUAUAUUUCUAAUUGGUAUCAGAGCCAAGUUAGGUCAUGGUUUUCGGCCACUAGGAAGGCCAACUCAGGUGUCGGUGGCCGAAGAUCCGAGGAAGAUUUUCUUUGUCAAAUGUGUUCUUGUUUUUGCUUUUUUUGUGCAUUGUGUGGUUUUUUUCCUGAGUACUGUUCACGAGUACUAUUCAUGGCCAUUGUUCAUCAAGUACUGUUCGUCUGAAGUACUGUUCACAAAUCACUGUUAACCGAAAUUUUUAUUCUAGUUUAGGUUUAGGUUUGUUUUUUGUGUCAUUGGUGGGCACCGCUCUUGAUGUCACGCGCCAUUCUUUCUGGCCCUCUCUAGGGCCUCUUCGGCGCCGCCAUCAGUUUAUAGCUUUACCGUUUCUAUCCAACCCUUUCAACGACCUUAUUUGAACUUUGUCUAUUUUUAUCGUGGAGUAUCCUAUCUUCGUCGAUUCAUUCAAUAACAAAUAAGAUGGUUUGGGGAAGUAAACCCUAGCCACCGAAAAGAUCAUGCCCAUAGCAAUCACCACCACUACAUUCGGCGUCUUUCUUGGUUAAGCAGCUAGUAAUCCUUGCUUCUUUAACGUCGAAACAGUUGGACAUCUCUGCAGACGGUUCUUCUCGUAGUUGGUCAUCCUUGCCAUUGAACAUCCUUCCCGGUGUCGUUUUGAAGAUACUUUAUGGAAGACAUGAGAGAAUUUCUUUGUAUUUCAAGCUGAUAUUCAGAGUCUGAAUGCUCAGCUUGAGGGGGAGUGUUGGAAGUAAGGGUAUUGUAGCCUUUUUGUGUGUUGUUUAUCCCCACAUAGCUUAGGUAUAAAGUCUAUGUGAUCUCUCUCUCUCUAUAUAUAUAUAGGGAGUUAGCUUCUUUGUAAGUUUAACAUAAUACAUCAAUAUUAUCAUUCAUCUUUUAUGUUUCUAAUAGGACUCCCCUUGUUGUAAACCAUGUCAACUUGUGAUGUAUGUCCAUUCCACAAUAACAGAUCAAAAUUGUGAUAUUUCUUGUUCUCAUUCAGAUCCAUUUCUUAUAUGUUCUAGUAAAGUCUUAGGCAUGGUCACGUGCCCAUCUACAACUAUCAGACUUCCUUCUUGCCAUUAUUAUUUAUUUUUUUUUAUUUAUCAAAAGCAUUUCUAAAUUCUAAUUGUAAAUUUAGGAAAUAAUUACAUUGCAUAUAUGCUAGUAAAGUCUCCUCCAGCUCUUGUAUGUUUUGUUAUUGUGUUUAAUUUAACUUUUUCUUAAAUAACAUGUUUUCUUUCUCUCAAACAAAAUUGGUUUCUUCAUUGUGUAGUAAGUGUAAGGAUUGCUAAAGGGAGUGCAACAAAGGAACAUCCAACAUAAGGUAAAUAAAUAGAAAAAUAUUAUUUUGAAUUUUAGGUGUCGAUUUUUGUUUGCAUUCAACUGCUUUUUUUUUUCCUACAAAUUCAUACUUUUAUAAUGUGUGUGGACAAAAUCCUAGUCUUUGCAUUAGAUUUGAUAUUUUUUUUAAUAAAAUAAUUCUCGGGUUUUGUCGGGUAUUUGGGUAAAAUCUCGGGUUCGGGUUUAUUAUUUAAACCCGAUUCAGGUUUGGAUUCGGGUUAAGGUUGUCUUAUAUAAUUGGGGUUCGAGUUCGGGUUUGUAUGAACCUAAACAAAACCUGACCCGUUUUUAGCCCAAGGCUUCUAUCUUCUGACGUGGACGGAAGUGUAAAUAUAUAAUUGAAUCUAACACUAUAAACUUGAAAGAAAUUUGAUAUAAAAAUAGAACUUUGAUAGUUGAAUGAAUAACUAAAUACAAAUUUCGUUUUUAGAGCUCUUUAUAUAGAUAACUCUUGAUAACUAAUCUAGAAAAUGACUAAAACUCCUAAUACAUGUUCCUUGAGGAUCCUAAACAAAGUAGAACUCAAAAGACUCUUCUAGACUAUUACAAAGACACCUAAAUAGCAAAAACAAGACUUAGAAACGAUGUUCAUCUUAGACCAGGAUUUCUAAACCAAUACUAAGUAUGAAAUAGGAAACUGUCAGUCAACUCAAUUAAUCUAGUUCUGAGUUGACUAAGUCAAGAUGUUCUGCAUCGUCCUCGAGUUCUCGCAAACACGUUAAAGAUUAGAGAAAUGCGUAUAUCUUUUGAAAGAUUUACAACAUAUGCAUUACAUUCAUGAUUUAAUUAUAGCCCGUACAUUAAAAUUAUCAAACCCACCCAAUCCGCUCAAAUUACAAGAAAAAAGGGGUUAGCCCAACCCACCCCCAUUAUUUUGUAUUAAUCGGCACGGGCGGGAUCUAUGAUCCAAAUCCUAUAAUUGCGAAAAAAAAGUAUCUAAUACAAGUAAAACCUUUUGCGCACCCACUAUUUGUACAUGUAAGUGUAAGUAGUAUAGAUUUCUAUUGGUUAAGCCAGCUAAAAAACCUAGCCGCUAGAAUGAAAAACCUAACCAAUUGAAAUCCCAGCCACCGGCGUCGAAUUUCGAUCGCUGGUGGCUGGCCUUCUUCUCUAUGUGAUCUUCUUUCCUUCUUUUUUCUUUUCUUUUAGUUUUUUUCUAGUUUUCUUUCAAGAUGAAUUUUUUUUUCUUACUUUUCUACAUCUCAAGUUAGUUCAGAUCUGGAAUUUAUUCUAGAUCCAUGUUAUGGCUUUGAAGAAAAGGUUGUUUAAUUAUGGAUUUCGUGGUUCUCUUCAAGCUUCAAGAAGAAAGAUCUUGUUUUUCUUUGUAGGUUUUAUCUCAGAUCUAGUUUGGUUCUUUAUAUGGCUUUCUUGGUCACGGAUAUUGGUGGUGGUCCUUUUUCUUAUAGCCUCAUUGGUGGUUGAAGCUCGUGUGUUGUAGCAUUUUUUCUUUGACUUCCUUGACUGUGUUUGAUUCCUAAUUUUUCAUCUUAGUUUGUUUUAUUUUUUUCAUGGAAAGAUGUCACCUUUCUUCGGCGGUUUGAUCUAAUUAAGUUUCUAACUAGAUUAAAUUGGGUUGGGUUAACCCAAUUCGCCCAAAUUGAACCCACUUCCUCUUGAAGAAUUAGCUUGCUUCAAGAUCAGCUAUAGGCCUCUGGUCCAUGUAUCUAUAUUAUCUUAUAAGUAGCCUACCAAAAAAGCCCAACCAAUUCUACCAAUCAGGUUUCGUCAUAUUGUAACUGAUGUUCGUCUCCGUAACAAAAAACGAAAAAUCUGAUAAACAUAAUUUCGUUGUUUUAUCUCCUUAUUCCAUGUCAUAAAGUUAAUGGAUCCUACUAACCCGUGCUACAUACCUGGAUUUGAGAGUUUAUAGAAAUUGAAAUUUUGUGACAUUCAAUUUAUUUAUACAAAAAAUAAAUUAUUUGUAUAUAUUUGAUUAAUUUAUAUUUAUGUCUGGAUUUUUGGCUAUAUAUAUUUAUAAAUUAUUAUUUUUUACUAUAUUUGAUUAAUUUAUAUUUUUGUCUGGAUUUUUUAUAUUGAUUAUUAGUUAGGAGAGUGGAGAAACAAGGUAGAGAUUUUUGGGCUUAGUAAAAAUGAAGAAUGAGUAUAGAAAAAUACAAAAUUAGUUAGGGAACAUAUUAAAUUAAUUUAAUAUUCUACCCAAUCAGAUUUUUACUGUUUUAUUUUACUUUUUAAAAAAUGAAAAAAAAUUGUGAGAGUUUUGAGAUCAAUUAAGAUGCCACUUAAGAAAGAGUAAGUGGGACCCCUUGGGGUUCAGCUAUUAUAUAGACUACGUGAAUAUGCACGCACAGUUCAUGUGCGGGAUUCUUAUGUAUGGGGCAUAUCUGAGUCAUAAAGAUUCUAACUCUUGCCACGUGUCCUCAAAAACCUAGUUUGCCAUGUACAAAUAAAAUUAUACAUUUUCCUUCCCACGGGGACUUGAACCCUCACGAUUUCAAAAGUCGACGGAUUUUCCUCUUACUAUAAAUUUCAUUUUUGUCCUUAAAAACCUAGUUUGCCAUGCACAAAUAAAAUUAUACAUUUUCCUUCUCAUAACUAAUACCAAGUCCAUUUUACCAUUUAAUAUAUUUUUCAGAGAUAGAACGUGCUUGACACGUGCAAAUUCACUCAGUGUUCUAGUAAAGUGUCAGAUGUGGCUACUUUCCCAUCUACUACUAUUAGGCCUCCUUCUUUCUUGCCACUUUAUUUUAUUUAUAAAAAUAUUUUUUUUAUUGCAAAAUUAAGGAGGAAUUACAAUGUAAGUAUAUAUAUUCCAUAUAUGUUCUGGUAAAUCUACUCCAACUCUUCUUAUGCAUAAUUUCAAUUUGCUUAAAUAACAUUACUUAUUUUCUUUCAAAACAAGUCAAAUGAUUGUUUAGUUACUGCAAAAAUUGCAAAGAAAAAAGUGUAUGUUGUAAGGAAUUAAUGUGCUUCAUUAAGGAGUCUUCUUUGUUUAACAUGAUAUUAUAAUAUUCAUUCGUAAGCUAACGUCUUUCUUUGAUUGGUCUAAACUUUAAAACAACUCCUGCCACACUACUUUAUAAUUUUUUUAUUAACCAAAACUAAGGGUCUCGUUGAUUUCGUAAAAUUAACCUGAUAAAUAUUAUUAAGGAUAGUACUGUAAAUUCACUAGAAAUUAGAAAAACAAGGCAGUGUUUCUCUCAUCUAUUUUAUCACGUGAUCUCAGCCAAUUAUUCCCUUAUUGUCCUCCCAUUUCUCCAGAUAUUUUUGGGAAACUAAUUCUCUUCUCUAAUCAAACAUAUCCUAAAAAAAUAUUAUAAUCAAAGUAUCAAACAUAUCAUGUAUUCUUGUUAGGGUGGCGCUCAUCCUAAUUUUCUAUGUAAUCCCAUUAUAUGUUUAUACUUUAUAUUCAAACUAUUAGUGUAACUCAUUUUGUUCAUAUUUAAUAAAAUAAUAACUUACCAAAAGGUUUUUUUUUCCCGCUAGAAACCAAAAGAAUAAAAAGCACAGCCAAGGAAUAAACUUUUGAAUUUGAGGUGAUGGUUUUAUUUUGCAUUCAAUUGUUUUUCUGGGUUUUUUUUGCCAUAUAUUACAAACUAUAGUAGAAUAUAUAUAAACCAUCAAACUUGUUCAAGUUCAUAUCUUGUUGUGCCAAUUACUUUAAAAGGUUAUCCUUAUUCUUAUGUGAUACAUUUAUGUUAUGUUAUAAUGGUAGGGAUGGCUGAAACAAUUACUGCAAUCAGUACUCUUCUGAGUUGCUUUUGUCGACAAAAUUGUGUAAAUACGGCAAUUUUAGUACGAUGCAAGCAUAUGAUUAAUCCCAAGAAAGAAAUUAAGAAGUUGAUAAUGAUGAAGACAGAGUUAAUUGCCUUGAAGGAUGACGUAAAUGGCAAGUUACACAUGGCAAAGAUUGACCAAGGGGAGGUUCCUACACAUGUUGUGGAAUAUUGGCUAAAUAAUGUGCAACGUAUAUUGGGAGACACAGAUCUCAUUGAAGGAGAGUUUAAAACAUCAAAGAGGUGCUUAAAUGGUCUAUCACCUAAAUGUUGUUCAAAUAUGAAUUUAGGACAACGUAUCUCAGAGUUGAUCAUAGAGGGAACUACACUUACUCUUACUGGUAGUCAAUUAUUAAAGGACACUCUCACAUCACAAGUGCCAAAGAUUGGAGUUGAACUACCUGCACAAAAAUUGGUUGGAGAAACUACGGCUGAAAAAUCUUUAGAGAAGGUUUGGGAACUUUUAAUGGAUGGUGAAAGUAGGGUGGUUGGAGUGUAUGGAAUGGGUGGAAUUGGUAAAACCAAGAUGGCGAUGGUUAUAAAUAAUCGAAUCCUUGCAAAGCCUGGUCAGUUUGAUAAGAUUAUUUGGGUCACUCAAUCACAAGUUUGGGAUAUUCGUGGAUUACAAACUGAUAUUGCAAAAAAGGUUGACUUGGAUUUAUCAAAUGAACAAGAUGAAAUAGAAAGGAUGGGGAGGUUACAUGAGGCGUUGAAACGGAGGAAAAGGAUCCUCUUUAUUUUUGAUGACAUGUGGCAAGAGUUUCCUCUUGGGAAGAUAGGUAUAUCCGAACCCACUACAGACAAUGGAUGCAAAGUAUUAUUAACUACCAGGAAGAAAGAAGUUUGCAAUAAGAUGGGAUGUCGUGCAGCCAUUGUUAAGGCAGAAACUCUAACUGAAGAAGAAGCUUGGGAGUUGUUUUUAGAUAAAGUUGAUGAGCUUACUCCUGAAGUAAUGCCAACUGCGAAGUUGGUCGCUAAGGAAUGUUCUGGUUUGCCACUGGCAAUAAUCACAGUAGCUGCAGCUAUGAGAGGAAAUGGUGACAUUGGAGAUUGGACAGUUGCUUUGAAUGAUUUGAGGAACUUUAGCAACCGAAUCAUAGAUAGCGAAGACAUUGUCUUUGAACGUUUAAAAUUCAGUUAUGACCGGUUGCCCAAUGAAAAACUCAAAAAGUCCUUCUUAUUUUGUUCUUUGUAUCCUGAGGACUAUGAAAUUCUAGCAAGGGAAUUGGUUGACUUUUGGAUCAUAGAUGGUAUGGUCGAGGGAAGAAAUAGACAGGAGGAGUUUCUUGAAGGCCAAUUUAUAUUAAAAAAACUAAAAGACUAUUGCUUACUUGAAAGUGUUGAAACUUAUGAUGACUACUACGGCGAAAUGUCUGAUGCAGUGAAAAUGCACGAUUUGAUAAGGGACAUGGCCCUGCGUAUCACAAACAAGUAUUUCAUGGUCAAAGCUGGUUCACUAUUGCAAGUAUUACCAAAUGAAGUGGCAUGGGAAGAAGUUCUUGAGAGGGCUUCUUUUAUGAAGAAUAGGAUAUCAAAGGUUUCAAUCCAUCCAAGAUGCCCCAACCUCUCCACCUUAUUUCUUGGAGGCAAUCCUUUCUUAAGAAGUAUAACGCACGAUUUUUUUGUCCAUAUGCAAUGCCUCAGGGUACUUGAUUUGCGAUGUCAUUUGGACAAAGCAAAUCAUCAUUUAGAAUCGUUGCCAGAUUCUAUCUCUGACUUGGUGAAUCUACAUGAUUUACGUUUAAGUUGGUGUACGAAGUUGAAGAAAGUGCCUUCACUAGCUAAACUCGUACUAUUGAGAAGGUUGGAACUUAAUAAUACUGCCAUUGAAGAACUGCCUGAAGGGAUGGAAAUGUUAAUCAAACUGAGAUGCCUUAAUCUCCAUGCGGUAAAAUUGAGAGAGAAAAUUCCAAUGGGAUUAAUAUCAAAGAUGUCUGCACUACAACAGUUGUACCUUGGUGGCAUAGAAUUGGAUAAAUUGUAUGACGUUGGAGGCAGUGAAUCUUUUGCAAAUGAAUUGCUCAGCUUGAAAGAGUUGGAGAAUCUUAACACCACUUUUCAUUGCUUGUCUGAUUAUGUUACCUAUGUUGGAUCGUCCAAAUUUAAUGGGUUGAAAUGUUUUGUUCUAACAGUUGGAGAACUGUGUUAUUAUCGUGUAUCUCAUCUAGGUCCUCCUCCAAGGGCAGCAAUUCAAUUUAUUUACUCACCUGAUGAAGGUAGUGCUCAAAAUGCCCUUUUUUUCCCCAAAAACACUAAACGUGUUGAAAUAAAUUUGUUCAAUGACUUGACAAGGUUAAAUGAGUUGGGAUGGUUAAUUAAGGAGGUAAGAGAGCUAAUGGCAUUUGCAAUCAACAUGUGUAACAAAAUAGAGUGUAUAUGGUGGUGGUCUUCGUCAGAAGAUGUAAAAGAAGAAGAAUUGUUUGCCACUGGUACUUCUUCUACUUGUUGGCUACAAUGCCUGGAAAGAAUAGAUAUCUGGAAAUGCCCCAAACUGUACACGCUUUUUAAGGGGAUUCCAGUUCCUCCUUCUAGUACUGUUCCUCCUUUUUUCCGCUUGAAGGUGUUGACAAUCAAUGAUUGCCGUAGUCUCAAGAAUGUUUUAUCAUCACCUAGGUUGUUGCAGCUGCUCCAAAACCUUGAAGAGAUAAGGGUCAUUCAAUGUGACGAAUUAGAGGAGUUGAUAGGAGAAGGAGGACAAGAAGAAGAAAACAGAAGAAAUGUUAAAACACCCAUCACAGUUCAACUCCCUAGGUUUAAAAAAUUGGUG